rnacentral:lncRNA from 1 species
CCGUUUUCAACUUUUGGAUUGAAUCCAAAGGUUCAAACCGUGGACAAAGCCAUACACGAGGGCACGUCAUGAAUCUAGAUCAGACAUGGCGUCAAAGCUCGAGAGAGGCGACGAGCUCCGGCCAGCAACAGCGGGAUUUGAAGCAGUAGUAGGUGGUAGUGGUGGCUCAAACUAAUUGAUUGAUUUGGUCUCAAACCAUAGAAACCAAAUCAAGAUCCAAUCCAAAAACUAAGUUUCAGUCCAAAACCAAUCGGCUCAAAUCCGCCUCCGUAGGGAGACGCGGUUGGGGAAGGGAAUAAGAGGGGAGAUCUCACGUACUUGCCGGAGUUGGCGGCGGCCGCGCACCGGCAGCAAAGAGAGGGGUCGUCGAGAGAUGGCGGCGACGGCGGCGGCGCUGGUCGAGAAGGGGAGAAAGAAAAAUGUGGAGUGGUCGAGACGGGGAGAAAGAAAAAUGUGGUACAUGUGGUGGCUCGGUUGUGUGGAUGACAAGGGGACCCACUUGUGAGACCGAUAGCAAUUGAUGGCUAACCGCAGGAGGUGCAGGACCGCGUGCACGACCGCCACGUCCCCACGUGGAAUGGGGACGGCCGGGUGGGUGUGUCAAGUCAAAUUGGCACCCGCGGCUUCUCGGUAACUCCAAGAGGCAGGAGCAGUGCAUUUCUUCCCCAUAUCGGGUAGAAAACCCUCGUCCUCUCCCCACCCUCUCUUCCUUCGUCACCACCUCACCACCCUCUCCUCCUUCCUCACCACCCUCCUCCCUUCCUACGCCUCCCUCCUCCUGUCUUCGACCGACAAUGAAGCGCGGGCGUGAAGAUGCGGCGGACGAGCCGGAGGCAACCAUCGGAGCAGAGCAGUCUGCUGCCGUGGAUGCAGCCGUGGGUGGAGCGGCUGAGUCCGCCGUAGCGGCGGAAGCUGGCGGUGCAGCGACCGUUGUGCCUGCUCCCGCUGCCAUCGCAGCUGUCGAGGCACCCGUCGGCGAGCACAAGGUCGGGGAAGAUCUGGAGGAGGAGGAGAUGAGAAGGCAUAAGCGGAAGGUGCAUGACUGAAAGUGCAACUAUCCCUAGGUGGUUUUGGUAAUUCAUAACAACAUAUAGCUCAUUGAGCUAAUGCUAUUUCAAGAUGAUUAUUUCAGGAAAGCUCAAUGAUUGGCAUGGCAUGGAUGUGAAAGUGGAAUCCUCAAAAUGCGAAGGAAAAAGAAUUGGCUCAAGCUCAAAAGUUCAAGACUCUUCAUUUUAUAUUUUAGUGAUCCAAGAUCACAUUGAGUCUUUAGGAAAAGCCAAUACUAUUAAGGAGGGAUGAGGUGUUGCUUAAUGAGCCUCUUGCUCUAUGUGCUUAGUGAUAUGCUCCAAAAUCCUCAACCACUUUUCCAUAUCCACAAAUGACCUAAACCCUAAGCCAAACUCGGUCUUACCGAUUCUGUCAAUCCGGCGCCACCGAGUUUCACUUGUCAUUUGAGACUGCCAAACCCUAGCAAUUCGGUCCUACCGAUAAGGUUCUCGGUCUCACCGAGAUGGGCUUGCAAACUCUCUGUUUCCCUUUCGUAACUUUUUGGUCUCACCGAAAGAGCGAAUCGGUCCCACCGAGAAUGCAAGGUAAACUCUAUGUUUCCUUCUUGUAACGUUUCGGUCUCACCGAAAGAGCAAGUCGGUCCCACCGAUUUUGCCUGACCAACUCUCUGGAUAGCUAAUUGCCGAACUUGGUCUCACCGAGAUUACGUUAUGCCCAAACCCUAACCGAAUCGGUCCUACCGAGUUGCAUCUCAGUCCCACCGAAAUUCCUAAUGGUCACUAGGUUUACCAUUUCGGUCCGACCGAGUUUGAUUAUUUGGUCCCACCGAGAUUGGAAAACUGUGUGUAACGGUUGGAUUUUGUGUGGAGGCUAUAUAUACCCCUCCACCACCUCUUCAUUCGAAGAGAGAGCAAGCAAAACACAUACAUCAUUCCUACUCAUAUGUUCUGAGAAAGAACCACCUACUCAUGUGUUGAGACAAAGAUAUUCCAUUCCUACCUUAUGAAUCUUGAUCUCUAGCCUUUCCCAAGUUGCUUUCCACUCAAAUCUUCUUUCCACCAGAUCCAAAUCCUAUGAGAGAGAGUUGAGUGUUGGGGAGACUAUCAUUUGAAGCACAAGAGCAAGGAGUUCAUCAUCAACACACCAUUUGUUACUUCUUGGAGAGUGGUGUCUCCUAGAUUGGCUAGGUGUCACUUGGGAGCCUCCGACAAGAUUGUGGAGUUGAACCAAGGUGUUUGUAAGGGCAAGGAGAUCGCCUACUUCGUGAAGAUCUACUGCUAGUGAGGCAAGUCCUUCGUGGGCGAUGGCCAUGGUGGAAUAGACAAGGUUGCUUCUUCAUGGACCCUUCGUGGGUGGAGCCCUCCGUGGACUCGCGCAACCGUUACCCUCCGUGGGUUGAAGUCUCCAUCAACGUGGAUGUAGGAUAGCACCACCUAUCCGAACCACGGGAAAACAUCCAUGUCUCCAAUUGCGUUUGAAUCCUCCAAACCCUUACCUUUACAUUCUUGCAAGUUGCAUGCUUUACUUUCCACUGCCAAUAAACUCUUUGCAUGCUUGCUUGAAUUGUGUGAUGAUUGCUUGACUUGCUCUAAGAUAGCUAAAAUCUGCCAAGAACUAAAAUUGGGAAAAGGCUAAGUUUUUAAUUAGUCAAGUAGUCUAAUCACCCCCCCUCUAGACAUACUUUCAAUCCUACAAGUGGUAUCAGAGCUUUGGUCUCCAUUUGGCUUGAUCUUCAUAGCUUUUGGUGGUCAUAGCCUUGGUUUCACAACCUAGGAGAGUAUGGCAUCUAGCGAGGGAAAUUAUCACCGUAGAGGUCCUUACUUUGAUGGCACUAAUUUUGCUAGUUGGAAGCAUAAAAUGAAAAUGCAUAUUCUUGGACAUAACCCCGCCGUAUGGGCUAUUGUUUGUGUUGGCUUGCAAGGUGAGUUCUUCGAUGGGAGGGAACCAAACCGUGAAGCUACCGCGGAUGAGUUGAAGAUGUUGCAAUACAAUGCUCAAGCUUGUGAUAUUCUCUUCAACGGAUUGUGCCCCGAAGAAUUCAACAAAAUCAGCGGCCUUGAGAAUGCAAAGGAGAUUUGGGAUACUUUGAUUGAUAUGCACGAAGGUACCGACUCCGUCAAGGAAUCCAAGUUGGAUGUGCUCCAAAGUCAACUUGACAAGUUCAAGAUGAAGGAUGGUGAAGGUGUCGCUGAAAUGUACUCCAGGCUUGCUCUCAUCACAAAUGAGAUUGCCGGCUUAGGAAGUGAAGAGAUGACCGAUAGAUUCAUCAUCAAGAAGAUCCUAAGAGCCUUGGAUGGGAAAUAUGAUACCGUGUGCACAUUAAUCCAAAUGAUGCCCAACUACAAAAUCUCAAGCCAACGGAAGUAAUUGGAAGGAUUGUUGCUCAUGAGAUGUCACUCAAGGAUAAAGAGGAACUUCACAAUAAAUCAAGUGGUGCCUACAAAGCGUCAUGUGAAGCCCCCGCAUCAUCAAGUGAGAAACAAAACUUCAAUGAAGAAUUGAGCUUAAUGGUGAAGAACUUCAACAAGUUCUACAAGAGUAGAAGCAAAGAUAGAAGCUUCAAGUCAAGGUCCUACAAUGACAAAAGAUCUUCUAGUCGAGAGCGAAACUGCUAUAAUUGUGGAAGACCCGGACACUAUUCCAAUGAGUGUACGACUCCCUACAAGAGAAGAGAAGAUUCUCCAAAAAGAAGAAGCAAAGAAUCUCCACCAAGAGAGAGAAGGAGUAGAGAUGAUCGUUAUGAACGAAGAUACUCACGGAGAAGCAAGGACUCGGAAAGGAAGGAAAAAUCAUCAAGGAGCUAUACAAAACAAAGACAUCAAGCUCAUGUUGAUGAAUGGGUAUCCGGCUUCGACUCCGACAGCCACUCAGAGAGAAGUUAUCACUCCGACUCCGAAGAUACUCAAGAUGAAGGUGUUGCCGGUCUAGCACUUGUGUCAACCAACUCCUACGACAUAUUUGACUCCCCAAAUGAAGGAAUUGGAAGAUGCUUCAUGGCUAAAGGUCCUAAGGUAACACACCCCGAGUACGUUGAUUUUAAUAGUGAUGAAGAUGACUUGUUAGGUAAUGAUGAUUUGCUUGUUGACAACUCUAGUGAUGAGUACUAUGAUGAAACAUCAAUUAAUCAUGCUAAAACGAAUGACAAUGAUAAGGAGAAGAUUGAGGCUCUAACUAAAGAACUAAACACUCUUAAGUUAGCUCAUGAAACUAUCUUCGAAGAUCAUCGAGAACUUUUAAGAGCUCAUGAGAAAUUACGCUUUGAAAAGCUCAAUCUUGAGCAAGAGCAUGAGUUCUUAAAAGCAAUCAACGAUGAUCUCCGCAAGAAUAGUUCUUCUUACAUUGCCAAGCGUUUACUAUUAUCCACUUACAUGCCUCAAGUCAAGACUAGUAACAAGAAUAAGAAAGAUUCUUCCUCUAGUAGUGACAAUGAUCAUGCUAAAUCCAAUAUUGUUGCUUCUAGUAGUUCUCUUGAUUCCACUAAUGAUUCUCUUAGCCAAGUUACACUUGAGCAAGAAAAUAGCUUAUUGAAGGGAAUUAUAGAGAAAGGUGUUUACAAGAGCCUUGCCGGAAGUAAGCAAUUCGAGGAAAUUGUGCACAAGCAAGGAAUGCACCGGAAGAAUCAAGGUGUUGGUUUUGAACGAAAGUUCAAUGCCAAUGGAGUUGAAUGGGAAGAAGAUCAAUACCCCAAGACAAAGUUUGUUCCUCAACAAGAGAAGUAUGACACUUCUUUCAAGGGGACACAAGCUCAAGAUGAUCUUCCACCACAAGACUACAAGCAAAAAGGCAAGGACAAGCUUCAAGAGGAGAUUGAUGCAUUUGAAGAAGCUCCCAAGACCUUAGUCAAGUGGAUUCCCAAGACUACUUCAAGUUCCACUACACCAAGUACGACUACAACUCCAAGGAUUCCCAUCAAGAUGGUGUGGAUCCAAAAGAAGAAGAACUAGAGAGUUCUUGAGGGUGACUCCGCCAACAUAAUUCACUCUUAUCAUUUUGGCAAGAACAAGUGCAAUCAACUUCCACAUCUUGCACUAGUUCAAGGAGUUACAAACCCUCUUGUUGGUAAGACAAGGGACAAGGUAACCUAAAGUUUUCAUGGACAUCAUCUUGUGUGUGCAUCACUCUAUGUCUAUGGAUAUCCUUGUUUGUUCCUUGUGGGACUAACCCAUGUAGGUAUUGAAAGUGCAAUUCACUCAAAUGGAUAGCUCCAAGUGAUCUACAUCAACAUUGAGCAUCCACAUCUUCAACAUCUACAUGAAGUCAUCAUCGACAAAACCCAAGGUUAGUUCAUCCCUCUUAGGGGGGAUAUCACAUCUAGGGGGAGCUUUACUCUAAGACUUGAGCUAAAGCAACUCUAAAGAUGUGAAUACAACAAUGCUUUAUGUAAAAGUGGUAACCCCACUUGAGCUUAAACGAUGGGUAUGACCUAUGAUCAAGUGUUCUCACUUGACUCCUAAGUCAAUAUGCUCAUAUAUAGAUGACCUAGUCAUCGCAAAUUGCUUUAUAGAUGCUAGAAUUGGUUGUGCAUGCUUUGCCACAUAUUUCAUUUGCCAUCUUAUUGUGUGAGCAUGUUGGUUGCAUAUUUUACUCAUUCGAGGACAUCCACUUGUUGUUUUGAUUGUUUGGCUUUCUUUUUUUGCCAAGUGGAUGGACAAGAAUGCCUAAGAACCUCCUCUAGCUAUCUAUGCUUUUCUCGUCUCAAACUCUAUUCAUGCUGCAUCACAAAACUUGAUCAAGUCAGAUUCGAACCACUCUGUGUGAGGAGCGCUCGGAGUCCCCGAUUCGUCAUAGACUUAAACUUCCAAAACCUCUUUAUGAAUCUCGGUCUGACCGAUACUCCAUUUUCGGUCCUACCGAGUUCAUUAAGUUGAUCUAGGUUUUCGAUCUCGGUGCAACCGAUUUGAACUUUUCGGUCACACCGAGUUGCAAUAACUGCACACAGUUUUGCAUCUCGGUGCCACCGAGUUGUUCCACUCGGUCACACCGACAGGGUCGGGCUAUAUAUAGUGACGGGAAAUUUUUUGGAAAUUUCUCCGAAACCCCUUCGCCCGCGCGAUAGCCUGCUCUGCCUUCGUGGUCUCCGGAUCGUCUUCUCGUCGCCAGCAGCCUCCAGUCACUGGUCUCCGCCGCCGUCAACGGAUUUCUGCCCCGCCGUUGCCGCCGUAGCGAGUCUCCGCCGAACUAGGGGUCAGCAGUCAGUUUGCAACAUGUCUGAUCAAAGUGACAGCCAGAAUGUGUCUGAGCAGCAAGUUGUGAUGAGUGAGGGCACUAGCCCCUCAAGCUCUUCUGAUGAUGGCAGCAGGAGCACCCCCAGCAAUCUGCCCAAGGCCGCCACACGUCAAAGGAAGAAGAGAACGUCUGAUUCUGAGGAUGAAGACUAUGUGGCAGAGGAAGAGGCCACAUCAAAGAGAGCUGAACCAGCUCAAGGAACCAAGCCAGGGCUGAAGAUCAAAAGGCCAACAGGCAGGCAGCCCAUGUCAAAGGCUAGGGCUUCAACUGUGAAGCCUGCUCCCACUGAGCCCGUUGCUGCUGAGGGCAAGAAAAGGAAAGAAAGGGUGAAAAAGACUGUAGCCAGAGUGCUUGGAAAGGCCUCCAUCAUGGUCGAUGAGGAGGAAGAAGAAGAGGUUGCUGCACUAGCACCCAAGGCAGCCAAACUCAUGGGAGAUGCUAUAAGGUCAGGAACAGCUGCAUCCAAGCCCAAGGAUGCACCUAAGGCUGCAACUAAGCCUAAGAGUGCACCCAAGAGAAACACACGAAGCAUCCCAGCUGCAGAAAAGAACAAGGCCCCAACGCCUGAAGCUAUUGAAGAAGAGGAAGAGAGUGUCCUUAGGAAGAUCAAGCCUGAGCGUCGACUUAGCACUAUGCAUUUUCUAGGAACUUUUUGGUAACUUGUUGCCAAAGGGGGAGAAGAUGUAUAGAUCAUAGGCUUCGAGAGAGAGUGUGUUGCUUUUCUCUCUUGUUUUUAUUUGGUGGUUUUUCGAACUUUGUUUGCUUGUGUGUGAGAUACUAUGUCGUUAUUCGUGAGACAUCGAUGAUCAUGUGUUUGAUCAUAAGCUACACUUAAUGUUUGCUUAAUGCUUGCUAUAUAUUAUCAUUCCAUCUAUCGUUUGUGAUCAUUCACUAUUCUUGGUGAUGAGUGCAUGUAUUUCAAUCUUAUCAUUUUUGAGCGCUCCACCAAGAUGUAUGUGACAUGGAAGAGUAACCCAUGAUUCUAACUCCAUGUGCAUUUGCAGUCCAAAGCAAAUUUUAAAUACGCACAAAUUUAGGGGGAGCUCUUAUUUGUCACAUACUUCUGAAAGCGACGAUAUAUUUCAUGCUUAUUAUCAUUUGUCGAAGCUUUGAUCUAUAUGUUGUCAUCAAUUACCAAAAAGGGGGAGAUUGAAAGUGCAACUAUCCCUAGGUGGUUUUGGUAAUUCAUAACAACAUAUAGCUCAUUGAGCUAAUGCUAUUUCAAGAUGAUUAUUUCAGGAAAGCUCAAUGAUUGGCAUGGCAUGGAUGUGAAAGUGGAACCCUCAAAAUGCUAAGGAAAAAGAAUUGGCUCAAGCUCAAAAGUUCAAGACUCUUCAUUUUAUAUUUUAGUGAUCCAAGAUCACAUUGAGUCUUUAGGAAAAGCCAAUACUAUUAAGGAGGGAUGAGGUGUUGCUUAAUGAGCCUCUUGCUCUAUGUGCUUAGUGAUAUGCUCCAAAAUCCUCAACCACUUUUCCAUAUCCACAAAUGACCUAAACCCUAAGCCAAACUCGGUCUUACCGAUUCUGUCAAUCCGGCGCCACCGAGUUUCACUUGUCAUUUGCCACUGCCAAACCCUAGCAAUUCAGUCCUACCGAUAAGGUUCUCGGUCUCACCGAGAUGGGCUUGCAAACUCUCUGUUUCCCUUUUGUAACUUUUCGGUCUCACCGAAAGAGCGAAUCAGUCCCACCGAGAAUGCAAGGUAAACUCUAUGUUUCCUCUUGUAACAUUUCGGUCUCACCGAAAGAGCAAGUCGGUCCCACCGAGUUUGCCUGACCAACUCUCUCGUUAGCUAAUUGCCGAACUCGGUCUCACCGAGUUUGUGCGAUCGGUCUCACCGAGAUUACGUUAUGCCCAAACCCUAACCGAAUCGGUCCUACCGAGUUGCAUCUCAGUCCCACCGAAAUUCCUAACGGUCACUAGGUUUACCAUUUCGGUCCGACCGAGUUUGAUUAUUCGGUCCCACCGAGAUUGGAAAACUGUGUGUAACGGUUGGAUUUUGUGUGGAGGCUAUAUAUACCCCUCCACCACCUCUUCAUUCGAAGAGAGAGCAAUCAGAACACAUACAUCAUUCCUACUCAUAUGUUCUGAGAAAGAACCACCUACUCAUGUGUUGAGACCAAGAUAUUCCAUUCCUACCUUAUGAAUCUUGAUCUCUAGCCUUUCCCAAGUUGCUUUCCACUCAAAUCUUCUUUCCACCAGAUCCAAAUCCUAUGAGAGAGAGUUGAGUGUUGGGGAGACUAUCAUUUGAAGCACAAGAGCAAGGAGUUCAUCAUCAACACACCAUUUUUUACUUCUUGGAGAGUGGUGUCUCCUAGAUUGGCUAGGUGUCACUUGGGAGCCUCCGACAAGAUUGUGGAGUUGAACCAAGGUGUUUGUAAGGGCAAGGAGAUCGCCUACUUCGUGAAGAUCUACUGCUAGUGAGGCAAGUCCUUCGUGGGUGAUGGCCAUGGUGGAAUAGACAAGGUUGCUUCUUCGUGGACCCUUCGUGGGUGGAGCCCUCCGUGGACUCGCGCAACCGUUACCCUCCGUGGGUUGAAGUCUCCAUCAACGUGGAUGUAGGAUAGCACCACCUAUCCGAACCACGGGAAAACAUCCGUGUCUCCAAUUGCGUUUGAAUCCUCCAAACCCUUACCUUUACAUUCUUGCAAGUUGCAUGCUUUACUUUCCGCUGCCAAUAAACUCUUUGCAUGCUUGCUUGAAUUGUGUGAUGAUUGCUUGACUUGCUCUAAGAUAGCUAAAAUCUGCCAAGAACUAAAAUUGGGAAAAGGCUAAGUUUUUAAUUGGUCAAGUAGUCUAAUCACCCCCCCUCUAGACAUACUUUCGAUCCUACAAUGACGAAAUCGAGGAGCUCUUCGAGGAGAACGCCAUAAAGGAGUUCGACCUAGAUAGCAGGAAGGGCAGCGACUUCGACGAGGAUGCCAUCGACGACCUAUCUGAGGUAGUACUCUGUUUUUGCUCUGUUUUUUUCAUGACAUUGGGGUUUUUCUUGUUAACUACAUGAGCAUCAAUUUCACUUGGGCGUGCUAGUUGUACGUAUGUAGGAUUGUAGGGAUCUAGCAUAGAUCUUCAUGUUGGAUGUGGUUUUUUAAAUCUGAUUGACAUUCUGAUUCCAGCAAAUACUUUGGGUUUUUUUCAUGGCAUUGGGGUUUGUCUUGUUAACUAGAUGAGCAUAAGUUCCACAAGGGAUACAUUAAUGAAAGAAGUGGGGUAAUGAACCCAACUACAAGAUAAUGUUCAUGGCAGGGAUACAUUAAUGGAAAAAGUGGGUUAAACAAUGGAUAUAUGGCAGGAUUCUCCAUUGGCUUCCCCAGGACAGUGACAAAAUGCUGCAGUUCCUGAUUCAUUUUAGUUUAUGUAGAUGAAUUAAUUUGCACACAUGUUCAUAGAUGAUUAGUUUGCACACAUGUUCAUAGAUGAUCCAUUUGCAAAUUCUAUACAGCUUUCCAUUUUGCAAAGGAAGUGAUCGCUCCCUUAAUAAUUAUGGGCUGACAGUACAUAUCCACUGGAUACCAAAAAAUCAAAACAUUUCAUCUAGCCAAUUUUCCACAGUAUGUUAUCUAGAUGAUCACAGCCACAUCUCUCAUCAAUAUGAGCAGUGAGACACCCCAUAGCUCCUUUACCAAUUUCCUUCUGAAACUUAUCAGGGUCUAACAAUGUUGGACAAGCAGUAUUGCCGGUGUCAGAAAGAAUAAUGGUUUCUUCAUUCCAGUAGAUAGAACAAACCCCCCUUGUGUGAAACAUGGAGGAGUACAAUGAAGCCAUUUUUCUGAUUCCAAUAAGAAUUACACCUGUAACAAGUAUCAAAUAUCAUUAAACCAAGCCACUUCAUGAAGUCUUUCAUGUGUUAAUUAUGUACUACUUGUGCACUAAUCUAUAAAUGCAACUAUUCCACCAUCCGUAUUUAUGCAUGUCAGUUUCUUUGGCUCAAUUAUGUAUGUGCACAUACGCCUUGUUUCUAGCAAAUAGAUAGUUGCCAUGUUACACGUGUGUACUUUCAAAACAUUGUAAUUAAAGUCAAUGUACCAUAAUGGAUUAGCUGAGUUCUUCUAUGUGUACUAAUUCACUAAUUCACAGGAGGAUGACGACGAUGUGGACUACUGCAUGGACAGCAGGCACAACAAGAGCCGGUACACCCUGAGGCAUCUGAUUGCUGGGAAGAUCAAGUACCGUUUCUUUGGCAAGAUUGGGUGCCCUUUCUGUUGCAAGGUGAUCGGUGGCGGCAUAGAUGGCAUGAUCCAGCAUGCCUUCAGCACUGGCAAUGGACAUGGUAAGAAGCAUAAAGCCAGUACUUUGGCUAAACAUGCUGCCUACGCACGCUUCCUCGAGAUUGUGAAAGUCAAUGAGCCCUACAACAUGCAUUGAACAAGGGAGAGAAGUGAUGUGCUGCUAGAGUGCUGCUGCUGCCCCAGGACCCCCGUGUCCUGUUAUGUUAUGUAUGUUUGUUUGUUGUUGGAGUCUAAAACUGAUGUCCUAUGGUGUGUCUGAACCUAUGCUGAGCGGUGGUUGAUCUGCCGUUUAUGUUAAGAGUUUGCUGCUACUCUAGUUUAGUGUUCCUAGUUGUUAAUACUAUUUUGGUGAUGCAUGUUUAAGCCUUGUACAAUGCUAGAUGCUUAGGGUGGUGCUUAGAAAAAUAAACAGGGUUUUUUUGAAGCACCAGUGCCUAUUUCUACAGGAGAGACGCCUAGUUAUGCGUCUACCCUGUACAAAUAAGCACCUGUGCUUAAGAAAAGCCUAGUUUAUUUCUAUAAGCAACUCCCCUAAGCGCCUUGCAUUGUACAAGGCCUUAGCAACUCAAGUAUCGUACGGUGGUCUACGUUAUGGUUGCUGUGUUAUUCUGCCGUACGGUGAUGCAUGCUAGGAACUGUCAUAAUAUGACUAUGGUAGUUAUAGCUUCGCAUGAUUAUGUUUAGUGUAUAACUCAGCAUGUUCCUACCAUAUCUAUGGGUAAUUACAACUGAACUAUGCAUUAAUUUUUGACAAAAUGAAAGCAUGCAAAUGAUUGCCGAUUCCACCUAUUGGAAAAUCAAGCUUUGGACUGAUGAUGCAUUAUAUAUUGCAAUAAGUAGAGGAUGCUCAUGAUUGCCAAAAGUACCUAUUUCCACUUUCUGAUAAGAACUAAACGUGUAUCAAAUGAUGCUAAAAGUAGAGCAUGAGCAUAAGCAUGUAUCAAUGCAUUAGAUAUUGCAAUAAGUAGAGGAUGCUCAUGAUUGCCAAAAGUACCUAUUUCCACUUUCUGAUAAGAACUAAACGUGUAUCAAAUGAUGCUAAAAGUAGAGCAUGAGCAUGAGCAUGUAUCAAUUGAUGCUACCUAUUUGUGUUUGAAUGGGCUCAAUAAAGCUGGUGCUGGUUUAUGCUCUCUGCGUGACCGUGAUGGUAACGAAGACACUUGGUUGGCUAUGGUCUUGCUGUCAAAUUUAAGUUUCAGUUCUUUAAGAUUCUUUGUUUUUGCUGCUUGCUCGGGAUCGACUAGCUUUCUCGGGCGUCCACGUGCUCUCUUCCUUUUGGGGGAGUUGGGUGCACCAUUUUUGGGGGAGUUGGCUGCACCGGUAUCCUUCUGGGAGUUGGAUGUGUCAGGUUCGUUGGAACCAUCGGGAUUGUUGACUAAUUGUACGUCCUCUUCUGAAGCAUCAGGUAGAACUGCUUGCUGGGCAUCGUACACCUCCUUCUGUAUAAGAGAGAGUGCUGCGUUAGUUCUAAUCAUGAGACUUAUGAAAUAAAUGAUAUAUUCUUCAUGUAGCGCUAACCGUUAUGGGGAACUUAUAUGAUUCGAGACGAAGCGCAUUGCAAUUUGAAUGCAGUAAGGCUGUACAUAUUUUCCACCUGAAAAUAUCUAUCCUUGCCUAUAUUGGAUAACCGACACUGACGUCAGCAUAGCUUUCAAGCUAAACAAAUUACAAAUUUAAAUUAGGCAUUCAAUUACCUGGUUCAAAAUAUCGGUCAUUUCAUCCCCGUUCCAUGACAACAUGUACUGCAGUGUCCAAACCGCACAGGAAGUCUUGCAAUGUUUAGUUAAAGAUCAGUAAUCUUAUUCGUGUACGCAAAUAAUAAUUUAUGAGGCCAUGCGUACCCAUCGGUCUGUUGUGGUAUGUUCUCAUAGUGUUUUUUGGUCCAUUUGGCAAAAUUGAUGUUAUUAGCUGGUGAUAUCAACCCUUUCUUGACCGCUUCGUCAAUGCAGAACUGAAUCGAGUCCACCUAGGUUACGACAAGUUAUACAUAGGGUUACGGUACUUUGGGAGCUCAUGUUCCAUGCGGAUCAAGAGAGGCAGCAAGAGAACACUUACAAGAGAAUCUUCCUUGGUCUUGUUGCAAUGAUAAUUCAUGGAGUUCAGAGUCUGAAUUUCUUUUUUGUCAAAAUUAAACAUCAUUAGCAUCCAAUGGUUUUGGUGUACAUUGAGUGGGACAUGCACCUGCAGUAAAAUUUGGGUUGGGUUGAGAACCGAAAUUUGUCGUGUACAGUGUGUACGUAAACUAUAAAAGUGUGGAAAACGUGUACCUUUCGGCGCCCUACAAAUUUUCCUGCUACACGAGCUAACCAUGAUGCUGCACGUCCAACAGGAACCACCCCCUUCAUUUGUAACAGCUUUUCGGUUUCUUGAGGGGAUAUGAUUGAGGUAGUAUCAUUCUCAAUUUGGCUAAUGAGAGCAUAUGCCAUAAUAACCUGCCAAAUUUUCAAUCAUACAAUAAUAAGACAGUUGUUGCAGUAAUGAUGUACAAUAGAGUAUAAUGGGCUUACAUCACCAUAAAUGUAUUUCUCGUCCAAAUUUCGCUUCAGAUUUUCUGCUGUGAGGGAAAUGUCUCCGAUUCUAGCUAUUUCAACAGGGUCAUAUGUUCCGCGGGUGUAAACGGCUGUCUCUAUGUCCUCAUCCGUGAACUUGUAAUCAUUACCAAAGACAGGCUUCAUCGGAGUUAAUUGUGGUUCCUCAUUGUUUUCCCUCACAUGUCUUGCACUUGGUGUACUCAAAGUCCCUGUCGUGAUUUGGCUAGCCCUAGGAGUUCCUGUCAGGGAUGAAUUGCACACAUUGACUUGAUCCUACAAUGAACAAAGGUAGUUCAUCAUUAGUUUGUUACUUUUAGAUAUUAACGUGUUGGGCCAAUUUUGAUCACCUGCACGCCUCCUUUCUGUGACACUGAUUGUCGGUUCCUUGUAAAUUCGUAUUUUAAGUCCUGUAACAAUGCAAACAAUAAUGAACAUGAAGGAACAUAUUCAUAAAAAAUACAAAAUGCACAGUAUGACAUACAUGGAGUUCCCUCCUUAAGUCUUUAAUUUCGUCCUCGGCCUUCGACAACCUAGGAUUAGUGCCAGUUUUAGUCUUCAUGUCGAUCAAGUCUUCACCUAGAGUCUGGUAUUUGACAUCAAAUCUGUGCUCAAUUUCCAUUAACUUCCUGCAUACCUUCUUUUCAUGAUCAGCAAUGCGUGCAUUCAUGACUUCAACUACCAUUUCAAUCUGUGUAAACAAAAUAAAACCCCAUUGGUAACAAUAGCUAAAUGAAUGAGGUUCCAUGACACCUAUUUGUGAUAUUGCAAAAACAAAUAGUCUUUGGAGUACAUACUUGCUGGCUACUAAAUUGCUGUCCUUGUGAUGGUGCUCGAUACGAAUCAUGUUGAUGCACAUGUUCAUCUUUUUUUCUUGGAAAAUUAUUAGAAUUAUCGGACGGUCGUUGAGGAGCACAAAUUUCCAUGACAACCUAUUUUUUUAAAAUAUAAUGAACCAUUAGUACCAAAUAAAAAAUCGAAUAUAGAAAGUUCAAUUGUAGAUAGGUACCAGCCCGUUAUGAAGACCUCCUUUCUCGUAAGCAUCGCUUCUUAAAGUAGCCAUCAUUUCGUCCCAUCGUGCGAUCAAUGGAGGGGGUCUAGAAGCAUACAUUAAUCGGCCACUACGCACGUGCUCCCAGUACCAAUACUACACAAUAAAUUAGUUCAUCACCAUACAGAUAUGCAACAGAACAAUAAUUAAAGGACAUUAAGUAGUGAUCUAUCACUAACCUAGAGCAGAAUUAGAUUUCAUUGUAGAUUUACGUGAUCUCGAUUUCUAAACUUGUGAACGGACUUGAAGAAGUGAUUAAGUGUGAAACAUCCCCAGUUAAAUUUCCGAAGGUUUUCAAGAUCUGUAACGAGGUUGAGAAAUUUCGAGUCCACAUAAUGUUGUGCUGUUGGUGCUAGAACAGUACCAAUUGCGUACAGAAUGAACCGCCUCAGGAAAUCGCCGUCUGGGGCUUUGGAAGCUCGGAUCAUUGUUUCAAGGUCAGAAAUCAAAAUUUGCCCAUUGUUUGCAUAGGCGGUAAACAAUUCUGUGUCGGUUUGCAUUUCCAGAUGUGGCUCUAUAUCCUCCCCUUCUAUCGGAAUGCCAAAUAUACCUUGCACGUCCUCUUUUGUUAUAGGAAUUGGCGUUUUACCGAUGGUAAUGGAUUGCGUGUCCAUAUCUAUGCUCUUGGCUAGUCUAACCAACAUUAUGCGCCGUAGAGUCACUUCAUGCAUCUGGGUCAGACCGCCAAGACUGGUUUCUGAUAUGAUGUACUUUCUGUGGUCUUAUGAAAACAGUUUCAUGGUUUUUCCGAACCUUGUCUGUGAGCAUACUAACUUCAUAUGACCAUGCUUUUCGGCGAGUUCCUGUUACAUGCCAUUAAAUAUUACUGAGUACACAUGAAUUAUGUGUACGAAACGAUUGUACACAAACAGUAAAUUACUUACCACAUCGGUAAUUUCGGAGAUGGGCUUUUCUCCAUUAUUAAGGUUCGUAUCUGAAACUGACAUUGCUGCCUCGUAUGCAAUGAUAAAAUCAGGCUCAAUUAAUCUGAACAAAAUUGGAAAAUCUAUAACAAAAUUAGCAGAGAAUUAAUUUUAACAAAAUUAACUGGGUCAUUUAACAUAUGAUCCACUUAUGGGUUUAAGCACAGAACCUACUUGGGUGCAAAACCUAUGAGGGUUCAACAACUAAAGCAUCGGCGAACAACGAUUAUAAAGAGUUACAAUCAGCUAAGACCUUACCUCGGAGAUGGUGCCACCGAGUAGAUGGCGGCGGUUAGUGCGUCGGAAACUAUAAGUGCCGGUAUAGCGCGGUCGACGGCGCAAAGGAAAAACGGCACGUUCACGCGAGGAGGAGGCGGCGAGAAGAACACUGACGUCCGAGCCCUUAGAUCACGUUGGCGGUGGGCGGCGAGUGGUGGUCGCCGACUCCUGUAUUCCAUGGGCGACCGGCGUCUCCGAUCUGAUCUUGCAGCGGUCGUGGGAGGUGCAGACGACCCGGGUGGUUAGAAUGCGGAGCUGUAAUCGCGGGAUUUAGGGAGGGGUGGGCCGCGUGAGUUAUGUGAGAUUUGGAUAAAUGAUAUAAAGAAAUAAGAAAAUCUUGUGAACUCGGUGUGGGGUUUAUGGGCUUUAGGGUUUAGGGGUUUAGGGUUAUUAGGGUUUAGGGAUUUAGGGGUUUAGGGUUAUCAGGGGUUAGGGUUAUCAGGGUUUAGGGUUGAGUGUUUACAUGCAAGCCCGGAAAUGCGCGUGUCAGAGAACAUACUUGCAUGUGUAUGUACUAAUGAUCCCAAACUUUCUUAAUGGCAUCCCAUGACCACAUAGAGAAUGAAUGCAUAAUGGUUUCCAUGUUGGGCAAAAUUUUGAAUGUUUUUACGGUUUAGUGGGGGGGGUGGGGUUAGGGUUAUCAGGGUUUAGGGUUUAAGGGUUCUAGGGUUGACGGAACUAUGUUUGUCUUACGGUGGACGUAGCACACACACCGGACAUUGGUGGAGCGUUGGUCUACAAUGGAUUCCCUCUGGUAGCAUCGAUCCGAUCCAUUGAAUGGCUCGGCCAACAAACUUCGUGCCACAUAGAGCAUGCAUCCAUCCACUGGACCGGAUCAAUGUUGGGUUGGUUUCAUACAGGUGAGGAAAGCAGCUAGUGCUUUCGGGGUGUUGACAUGCUAGGCCGGAAAUGCGCGUGUCAGAGAUCGUACUUGCAUGUAUAACCCCAAACUUUUUUCAUGGCAUCCCAUGACCCCAUAGAGAAUGCAUGCAUAAUGGUUUCCAUGUGGGGCAAAAAUUUGAAUGUUUUUACGGUUUAGUGGGGGGUGGUGGUUAGGGUUAUCAGGGUUUAGGUUUUAAGGGUUUUAGGGUUAACGGAACUAUGUUUUUCUUACGGUGGACUUAGCACACACACCGGACAUUGAUGGAGCGUUGGUCUACAAUGAAUUCCCUCCGGUACCAUCGAUCCGGUCCGUUGACUGGCUCGGCCGACAAACUUCGUGCCACAUAGAGCAUGCAUCCAUCCACUGGACCGGAUCGAUGUUUGCUUGGUUUCAUACAGGUGAGGAACCCAGCUAGUGCUUUCGGGGUGUUGACAUGCUAGGCUGGAAAUGUGCGUGUCAGAGAUCAUACUUGCGUGUAUAAUCCCAAAAAUCUUUCAUGGCAUCCCAUGACCACAUAGAGAAAUUUUGAAUGUUUUUACGGUUUAGUGGGGGGGAGGGGGUGGGGUUAGGGUUAUCAGGGUUUAGGGUUUACGGGCUCUAGGGUUGACGGAACUAUGUUUGUCUUACGGUGGACGUAGCACACACACCGGACAUUGGUGGAGCGUUGGUCUACAAUGGAUUCCCUCUGGUAGCAUCGAUCCGAUCCGUUGAAUGGCUCGGCCGACAAACUUCGUGCCACAUAGAGCAUGCAUCCAUCCACUGGACAGAAUCAAUGUUGGGUUGGUUUCAUACAGGUGAGGAAAGUAGCUAGUGCUUUCGGGGUGUUGACAUGCUAGGCCGGAAAUGUGCGUGUCAGAGAUCGUACUUGCAUGUAUAAUCCCAAACUUUUUUCAUGGCAUCCCAUGACCCCAUAGAGAAUGCAUGCAUAAUGCUUUCCAUGUGGGGCAAAAAUUUGAAUGUUUUUAUGGUUUAGUGGGGGGGGGGUGGUUAGGGUUAUCAGGGUUUAGGUUUUAAGGGUUUUAGGGUUAACGGAACUAUGUUUGUCUUACGGUGGACUUAGCACACACACCGGACAUUGAUGGAGCGUUGGUCUACAAUGGAUUCCCUCUGGUAGCAUCGAUCCGAUCCGUUGAAUGGCUCGGCCGACAAACUUCGUGCCACAUAGAGCAUGCAUCCAUCCACUGGACCGGAUCGAUGUUUGGUUGGUUUCAUACAUGUGAGGAACCCAGCUAGUGCUUUCGGGGUGUUGACAUGCUAGGCCGGAAAUGUGCGUGUUAGAGAUCGUACUUGUGUGUAUAAUCCCCAAAAAUCUUUCAUGGCAUCCCAUGACCACAUAGAGAAUGCAUGCAUAAUGGUUUCCAUGUGGGGCAAAAAUUUGAAUGUUUUUACGGUUUAGUGNNNNNNNNNNNNNNNNNNNNNNNNNNNNNNNNNNNNNNNNNNNNNNNNNNNNNNNNNNNNNNNNNNNNNNNNNNNNNNNNNNNNNNNNNNNNNNNNNNNNNNNNNNNNNNNNNNNNNNNNNNNNNNNNNNNNNNNNNNNNNNNNNNGGUUUUAGGGUUGACGGAGCACACACAUCGGACAUUGAUGGAGCGUUGGUCUACAAUGGAGUCCCUCCUGUAGCAUCGAUCUGGUCCGUCGACUGGCUCGGCCGACAUACUUUGUGCCACAUAGAGCAUGCAUGCAUCCACUGAACCGGAUCAAUGUUGGGUUGGUUUACAUGUACAUGUACAGGGACCCGAAAUGCGCGUGUUAGAGAUCGUACUUGCGUGUACAUGUACCAUCCUUCCAUCCACUGGCUGGGCCGACAACCUUCGUGCCACAUUGUUCACAUUGUCCAAUUAACACUUUGUAUAGAUUUUUUUCAUAAAAAAUGAACGAAAUAAUGCAACUAAUCUGAACGUAACGUUUGGCAUGUAUCAAACCAAGUUGCCACUAUUCCUCAAAAAAAGAACCCAGUUAGCCACUAAUUGCGCCAAACAUAUCUCGUAAUUACGAACGAAAAUGGGUUGACAAUUAUAUCUGGAAAUUCUUGGACUGAAUUUAUUGCUCUUCGUUUUUUAGAGAACAAUAAGUUAGAAUGGUGGGCGGCGGGUUGGCAUGGGCACGACCAUGGCUCGGGCUUGUGUCAUAUGUGGUUCGACCCGCGGUCAGUGCACAUGUUUUCGAAGCCCCGAAAAGAUCGUGCUCGUUAAAAAAAAAACUUGCAUCGACGCGCAUUACUUCAAAAUAACUAAUUAACCCUACAAUCACGGAUAUAGACCUUCCCAUUCUACCGCAUAUCUACCCUAUCCUAACCACCCCCAUCUACCUUGUUUCUCCUCACAUAGCCAUCGCCGGGAUCGCGCCAUCACUUCUCAAGCGACCACGCCGACGCCGGAUUACAAAAGGUCUCUUCCACGGCUUCUCUCAUCUUCGAUUGCAGUGAUGAUUAUUUUUUCCAUUGAUUCGACCAACAAGUAAUUUCCGAAGAGAUUAGAAAAUCCAGCUUUUACUAUGGUUGAGUAGUUCUGUUGUGAUUCGAGUACAGGAUGUCAUGCAAGAGCUUUUUGAUUGAUAGUUUGUACUAGUUGAUCGUGUGAACUUAUUAUGAAUAUUUUUUCACAGUCGUAUUGUUUCGAAUUAGUUGGAUGAGGGUGUGGAUACAGUUUUCAUACUAUGGGUAUAUGUGUUGCUGUAGGGACCAUGGUCUCAGAGGCGCAUAACAACCGUGCGGAGUACGACAAGUCUUUGCAUGAAGCGCGUCGGGAGAUCGACUUGAAGGUGCAAAAGGAUCGCGCUGAGGUAGAUAAGAAACAGAAAAAAGAACGUUCAUACGUGGACAGGAUGAUAAAGGAGGAGCGUGAGGAGUUUUCCCUUAAGAUGGCGAAGAUGCGUCUUGAGAUUGAAGAAAAGUAUAAGAGGGACUGUGAGCACAUGGAAAAAAAGUUUGUCUUAGGCUACAAGGAAAUGCAUCAAAUGUUGCAGAAGGACCGGAAGCUUGUGGACAGUAUUAUACAGACAGAGCGAGUCAGGAUGGAUGCCUAUGUGUUGCAGGCAUGUGCGGAUAUGGACAGUAAGCUGCUACAGGAGCGGUCGGACAUGGAUUAUAAGGCCAUGCUGGAGAAGGUCCGCUUGGAAGGACAUAUGUUAGAAGACCGUGCGAUCUCACGGCCACCCCGACAACAUGUCUUCAAUUAUUCUCCCCCUGUCAGUAUCUCGCACCGAUUCUAUAUAUUAAGGACCUACGUAUUCUAUGAUAUAAACAUCUUCAAUUUGUGGCAACCUUAUGUCGGCGAUUGUAUGUAGGCUAAGCAUCAUGACACGACACAGUCGCCAUUCACUCGACACAUUGCGAUAGAGUCACCCGUUCAAUGCCACAUCAGUCCACCCCAACAACAUAUCGUCAAUUCUCCCCUUGUAAGUACCCCGCAACAAUGCAUACCCAAUAUAUGGUAUGACCUUUCAAAACUUGUGUGUAAACCCACUAUCGACGUUUCAUACGCAGGAUAAGAAACCUGUGAUGGCAGAGUCCCCAGUCACACCACAUGAAGGAUACAUUCCACAUAAUAAGGUGAGAAGGUUUGAGAUGGCACAACCCCCAGUCACUCCACAUGAAGGAUACAUUCCACAAAAGCAGGUAACAACGCCGCAAUGUUGCUAUGCACAUAAAAAAUUAUGUUUGCCCCUUUACUCAUUGAAUGUAUUAACUCCGAUGUGAGAUACUAGGUGCUGGUCAUGGAAUUUUUUGUUAGUAGGGAUCAUGAGAUGUCACAUGUCCCGAGAGCAUACUUUGAUGAACACCCGGCAGAAGUCAGAAUUUUUGAACCCGCCAAAGUUACCUACGAUCUCAUUAUGAGUGAAAUGAGAGAUACUUUUGGUUGCAAACUGGGAGCAGAACUGUACUACUUCUUACCCGGGUCUGCGUGGAAGCUGCCAGAAGGAAUGUUCUUGAUUGCAGGACCAGAUGAUGUACAAAAAAUGCUUUCUGAUCUGAAUGGCAGCAAGACAUGUCACCUGUACAUUGUGUACAAUAGAACUACGGGUUGUUUUCCCGAGGAUGACGUUGAUUCCGAGGUUCAAAUUUUACAUGUUACAUGCAUCUAGUUUAUGGCUACGUCUUUUUUGAGUUCUUCCUAAUACAAUUCCUAUGGUUUUCUACAGGAAGUGAGAAUCCAAGAAAUGGAGUGUCUUGCUAGAGAGUUGGCAGAGAAAGACCAAGAACAACUUAAGUUGUAUGGUUACAUUGAUGUUAAAGAGAAAAAGAUUGAAGCACGUGGGUCGUCGCCAAGCCCGACGCAAUCUCCAACGACGCAACGCAAGAGGUCACUGGAUUUUGGUAGUGCAGAAGACAAUAUGGAGUAGGCUCAAUUGUUUUUCAACCAGUUAAAGCUUCAAACCAGGAUUAUUUAGUUGCAAACAAACAUUUUGUUUUCUGUUUCACACUAUGUUCGCAAUUAUGGUACAAUUUAUUCAUGAGACAUUUCGUUGAACAACAAUGCAUGUGUUUUAUGAUCAAUCAUACAGUUGUUUCUGAGUUGUUUUUGAGAUGGCAUUGUGUCUAAAGAAGUUUCCAUCUAUAAAACUUGCCACGCAGUCGCAUCGGAAUCGCGUAUCACGCGAGAGGCGUGCGUCGCACGGGAGAGCGUCGCACGCGAGCUUGUUUUCGGGUAGAAAUCAUAACAUAUUUCGGAUAGAUAAAGUUCACGUCCUCCACCCGCGCAUGCAAACCCACGUCGCCGCCAUUCCCAUGCACGCAUGCCUCAGGCGCAGACAACGAGACGGCCCAUCCGAAUUAGGCCCAUCCGAAGUAGGACAUUAGAACCCUCCCCCCACUCCACCUAUUCCCCUCGCACUGUGGCCUCCCUCCCUCCAUCGCCAGAUCCCCCACUCGUCCCCCUCUGUCCGCCGCCCCUGCAUGCCGUCAGCGACUUCACCUCCGCCGCCCCCGCACCCCCCGAACGAGAUCGGCCAGAUCCAUCUCCUCAACCAUCGCAGGACAACGCAGGUACCCCAGUUUCUGUUGACGUCUCAAUGGUAUCCAUGCUGAUAAUGCUAGGUAGAUCGACUGAGUGUAGCAAUUUUGUGCCACCAUCUGAAACUUGUGAUGCUUCCUACUGUACAAUAUAGGACUUUUCAAAGUUCUGUUAUGAUGGCACUUUUUGACACAUACAGUAGAGCUGCGUUUUUAGUUGUUAUACUUUCAGUUACCAUCACUGCUUGGGAAAGGACGAAUUGGAUGCAUUCAGGUCUGCAGUUGAUAGUGUAUCAUCAUAAUAUAGGUGCUGUGUUGUGUGAUUCUUCAUGCUGAGAACUUCAGCUUUUUCAGUUAUAGUGAAAGGCUUCUGUAUAAAAAAAACUACUAAAUGAUCACAAAAACUUCUAGACAACAUUUUGUAUGAUCUGACCAAAACUUGAACUAAAUGAUCACCAAAAGUUGAAGGAUUUUGCAUCACAUCACAACCAUAAGUCUUCUGCACCAGCAUCAUAACAAUCACAUAACUACAUAACAAAAGCAAACUUGUUCAUCAUUACAAAAGAAAACUUGUUCAACAUAAGAAAAGCUAACUUGUUCAGCAUUACAAAAGCAAACUUGUUCAACAUAACAAAAGCUAACUUGUUCAGCAUUACAAACGCAAACUUGUUCAACCACAUAACUGCAAACUGAGACACAUAAUACCACAAACAACUCAAUAUCCCAGUAGUAGGGGUCAUCCCAAUGAUCCUCCACCUCUUGCCAGUACUCCAAACCUUCUUUGACGAUAUCGAUUUUCUUCCAUGCCUCGUAGGUGACGUACGCAUCUUUCGCUGCGUACUCGAUGAGGUUGUUUGGCAGUGGGCUGUCCCCCCAUAGUUUGUGGUCCAAUUCCUUGUUGAUCUUCUUCUUCAUUUCCUUGUACGAUGGGUGGAUGAGGCUGGCUGCAAACUCAGCCAAAGCCUGCCACUUCUUUCCAUUCCUUGGAACUCUCCAUUUGCGCUGCAUGUCGACGUACUUGUCGGGGUUGAUCUCCAAACCAGACAAUUUCAGCUUCUCCUUGUCACCUCCAAUGGAGAAGCCAACAAAGGUGUAGAGCUUCUUCUCCUGCAGGAGUGGGCGGAGUUCCUUAGGCCUGCAUCAAAUUAAUCUGGUGCAUCAAAUUCAUCCACUUCAAAAACUUCAGAAACUACUAAUUAGACAUAAAAUUCAGAACUAGUAUUGCAUCUACUCCAGAACUUCAGAACUAGUAUUGCAUCUACUUCAGAACUUCAGAACUAUUGCAUCUACUUGAGAAACUUCUGAAACUUCAGAACUAUUGCAUCUACUUGAGAAACUUCAGAAACUACUAAUUAGACAGAAACUUCAGAACUUCAGAACUAGUAUUGCAUCUACUUCAGAACUUCAGAACUAUUGCAUCUACUUCAGAAACUACAGAAACUACUAAUUAGACAGAAAGUUCAGAACUUCAGAACUAGUAUUGCAUCUACUUCAGAACUACAGAACUAUUGCGUCUACUUCAGAAACUUCAGAAAUUACUAAUUAGACAGAAACGUCAGAACUUCAGAAACUUCAGAACUGGAUGUUUUUACCAUUUGGUUGCCGCGGUGAUGUGGUAUACCAGGACGAGAUCCUCCACGCAUAACUGUAGAACUGCAGCCUUUUGCGGAGGUUCAUCUUCCCUCGUAUACUCGACAUCAACGCCGAUCGACUGAGGAAACAUGCCGCCGAGCCUCCUCCUGAUCUCGCGGAUCCUCUUGUCGGCUUCGUAUGGAUUGCUGGUGCAUACGACAUCCAGCUUCUCCUUCAGGUGGAUAUCAACCAUGAGCUUCACGGUGUAGUCCUGCUUCUGCCCAGGGAUCGGAACGUCGUCGUCGACCACCAGCGGCUCCUUGCCAGACGCCUCACCUUGGUGAUGCUUGCCAGAUGGAGGGGAGUUGCUCCACGAUGCCUCCGCCAUUCUCUUGGCAGACGGAGGGGAGUUGCUCCACGAUUCCUCCGCCAUUGCCCUCCUGGCCAGCGAUGGUGGAGGCAGAGGGGAGUUGCUUGAUGGUGGAGGCAGAGGGAGGAAGAUGGAGCGGCAAUGGAAUAAGGAGGGAGGCAGAGGGAGGCAGAUUGAGCGGCAAUGGAAUAGGAGGGGAGUUCCCUGCGUCGUGGGGAGUUGCCAGUGGAGGGGAGUCGUGGGGAGUUGCCAGUGGAAGGGAGGCGUGGGGAGUUGCCUCGAAAACUCAAACGUCCUGCCCUUUGGCCCUCGAAAAAUCUGGAGGGGAGACGUGGGCUCUUUGGUUUGUCCCGUUUCUGAAACAAAAAAAAAAUAACAGCCAUAUUUUGCUCUCACUGCAACCAUAUUAAGAGAUGAAAAAUGGCACCAAAAAGUCACUGCAGCCAUCCUCAAUGGCACGAAAACAGCACCAAAACAACAUCAGCCAAAACAACAAAAAAUGCAUCCAUUGAUCGUUCUUUAUUUCUUCUAACAUUCCGUGUUCUGUGCAGUGAGAUAGACACAACACUACAAAUGCAGGCUGACAACGCCCGCGAUUUCAUGACCAUCAGGACAGACGGCGGCUUCAUCCACGCUCCGGUCCCAUGAGUCGAGUCGAAAGUAGUGAUGCUAUGUGUAGUUCUGAAACAUUGAUUGGCUCAUGUUGUAAUUAAACUUUAAUGAAUUGUAUGUCUCUUUGGUUUGGACAGUCGUUAAACUUAGAUGUACUCGAUGCUAUUUAUUACUAGGACCAUGAAUUGUGCUAUUAAUGUCUUGCUUUUCUCUUCCGAUCCUUUUGUUGCAUACUUAUUUAUUGCUUAUGUAUUGUCUGUUGUUUGGCUUGUGCAUAGAGAUGCCGUCGUAUGUCGUGUACAAGGUAAGGUUCCCGGAGUCUACGAUGACUGGGAGGAGUGUCGGAGACAGGUUCACCGUUUCAGCGGUAACAGUUACAAAGGGUACACCACUAGGGUGGAGGCGGAAUCUAGAUAUGCCCGCUAUCUAGCGGGAGAGAGGAGGGAGCGUUGGAGGAAACGGAUGAAGACCAAUUUCAUCGCGAUGAUGCUCAUCGUGAUGACCGCAACUCUCUUCUAUGUGAUGGUAGUUUAGAUGAUCGAUAUCGACUUGUAAUGUGAAGACAAACUCGCUACUCGCGGUCUCGAGACUUGUAAUGUUCUAUCUUUGUUCGGUCUUGUGAAUUCAGAGACUAAUAUGAUGAAUUGUAUUCGGAGAGCUAUCUUCUAUUGUAUUGGAUGAAUGUGCUGUUGCUGUGUGGUGUUGUCUAUAUUCUCUCCAAUAAUAUAUUUUGUAACCUGUGAAAAUAUCAGAAAUGUGCAUUUUUUCGACCACCUCCAAAUCACCUCAGUUUUGGAACACAUGAUCUCUUCCACAAACAAAACUAGGUUUCCAAGUUUUUGUAUUUUUUUAAAUUUUUUUGAAUUUAUAAUGCCCUCUAGACUGACUGCUGAAAACAUCGGUCUAUGCCUCAAGGGGGCAUUGUAAAAUAUUUUUUUUAAAAUUUUCUUGCAUACACAUGUUUUGCACAUGUGGGUCACCAUGUACAAGAAAAUUUGGGUGAUUUGGAGGUGGUGGAAAAAUUCACAUUUUUUCAAAAACUGACUUAAGUUAAGACCAAAUGGUCCCUCCGGGAAUGCGGGCAUUUUUUCGACCACCUCCAAAUCACCUCAGUUUUGGCACACAUGAUCUCUUCCACAAACAAAACUAGGUUUCCAAGUUUUUGUAUUUUUUUAAUUUUUUUUGAAUUUAUAAUGCCCUCUAGACUGACUCCUGAAAACAUCGGUCUAUGCCUCAAGGGGGCAUUGUAAAAUAAAUUUUUUCAAAAUUUUCUUGCAUACACAUGUUUUGCACAUGUGGGUCACCAUGUAUAAGAAAUUUUGGGUGAUUUGGAGGUGGUGGAAAAAUUCAUGCAAGACUCGGGGACCUGCAUGCAAGACUCGGGGACCUGCAUGCAAGAGUCGGGGACCUGCAUGUGAAUAGUGAUUCAUCAAGGCCAUGACAGCUAUUGGCACAGCGGCUGCCGCCCGAUUUGUAUGCAGCGAAGAUGAACGUGCAUGGAGGUUUUUCAAAGAUUUCCAAGCACACCCCAGUGGGCCCCGCUUAUUUAAAAAAGACGUCAGUCAUUAUUGCUCUGUAAAUGAAGAAUAUGCAUGAUGAUUAUGAAUACGCAUGACAACCAUAGUAAGGGUGAAGAAUCAUAGUGCCCAAUUUGUCGAAAUACAUCAUCAUUCUUAAAGUUGGACAUCAAAUGAUACACACAGAAAAUGGAAACGAAAGAUGUCGAACUAAUAUAGUAACAUGCCAGUACAACUGCACUUCACUAAAUUACUGUCACGAUGAAAUAGAAUGUAAAGACCACGUCACACAAACAUGAAUGACACACGACUUUCUCUGGCUCAUCGUCGGUUCAUGCUGUAUGUAGAUAUCACAGUUCAGCCUCGAUAUCCUACACAGAAGAAUAGAAUAAAUCACAUGGACAUCAAUUAUGAGUAAAACACAUGCAAAAAAAAUAUGAAAAUAUUUUGUACCUCUAGCAAUUUAGCGCAUUUACGUCGAUUGUGACCUGGUUUCUUGCAAUAGCCACAGAUAUUCUGUGAUGUUGACUUCUUUGUCUUUGCCUGCAGCCUUUUCUUCGGUGCACCUCGUCCUGGCACAUGCACGGGAUCCAGAACCUUAUCAACUUUCUGUGAGUGUGGCAUCAACGGGCCAAACCUAAUGCUGUUAUGCUGAGCAUUAGUUGACUCCUUGCUGUCAGCUUGUUCAAAACUUGAUUGCUUGCCAUGAUGUUGUGCUUGCAAAAGCAUCUUUAGACGGUGAUAGUCCUCAUCAGAGUGGCAUGCCUGGAAACUUGCGGCGUGACUACAAUUCCGCAACUCGCGGUACCUCUGCAGGCUUAGCGAAUAGUCAUACAUCUGGUUUUUUCUGGUAGGUGCGUAUGCACAUUUUGCAUUCAUAGUCCACCUAGUGGGAACGCAACAACCGGGCAGAAUUGUUUGUUUUAAAAUCCCCAAUAUGUAAAAAAAUGUGGGAACAUGGUGUGCCUGCGCAUUCCAGCUUAUGGCAAGAACAACUCACCCUGUGCAAAAGACCUCCUUGCUCUUCAAUGCGCACUCCAAACUUUUUAUCCAUUCUUUCCUGCUUGGACACAACAUAAGUGGAAUCUUCUGAUCCAUCUAGUAUCUCUCUAAUCUGACAUUUGCUGACAGAAUCUAUGCUCCAUAAGACCAUCUUAAAGACACUAGGUGUGAAAACUGUUGCGGCGUGUUUCUCAAGCGGCGAAGCAUUUUCCUCUGUAAAUGGAACGGACUGCAAGGCUUCAACGUCAUGGAGAGCUUCGUUAAUCCGUCGCGACGCAAGGCAACGCUCAUAGUGCUCUAGCCUUUCAAACAACGACAUCUUACCCUCAAGAUGCGUAUGUAGCACAGAGUUCAAGCUCUCACUCCUCUGAUUACUGCUCAAUCCUAGGAAACAACGCCCCUCAAGAUAUGGAGCACACCACAACUUUCUCAUCUGAUACAUCUGAUGCAGCCAAGACUCCUCACUGGUUACUUUAUUCCGUUGUAAGAAUUGUAUUCAUUUUAUCUCAUGCUCUUCAAUGGAAGAAGUAUCAUAAAUGAAAGAUCUGAAUUCCUCCUUUACGUCGUCAUCAUGCAGAUGGCGUACAAUGUUCUGCUGAAUGUGCCAUAUACAUAGUCUAUGGUUUGAGUCUGGCCAGACCACCCUUAUUGCUCUCUGCAUUGCAAGGUCCCCAUCUGUGAUCACAGAUAUCGGAUGCUUCUGUGCCAUGCAAUCAGAAAAGGUCCGCAACAUCCACUCGUAUGCCUGGCUUGUUUCAUGAGAAAUUAAUUAUACCACAGCCAAAUAUAACAGUGCUGCGGUGGUGAUUCAACCCGACAAAAGGCACGAAUGGCAGAUUGUAUUUUUUGGUUCUGUAUGUGCUAUCGAAAACAAUGACGUCUCCGAAAGCCUCGUAGUCAAGUCGCGAUUGACUGUCAGCCCAGAACAGUCCCUUCAGAUGGCCAUGCUCGUCUACCAAGUACUUGAAGAAAAAAAUCCACAUCUCGCUCUCGCCUCGCCAUCAUAUGCAUGAUCACCGUUUUAGCAUCACCGGCACUGAUUGUCUCUUGCUUAUUAGCAUGGCAGAAAUUAUAAACGUCCCUCUUUAUGCAUCCAACCUUAUCAAAUCCACCGUAUUGGAAGCACAAAAUAUCCAUAAUACGGUAUUUGUGGAUCCCACAUUUUCCAUGUCCGCAAUGUCCGCUUUCUGCUCAUCGCUAAUUCGUCUGUGCAAACGCAACAGACAAGAAAGAUCCCAUGGGGCUAGAGGAUGGUUGUGCUCAUCGAUGAAAUCCUUGACAAACCACCGACCGGUUUCCUCUUGUCUCGUAAUGACCAAUUUAGCAUUACAUCCAACACGAGUUAAACUUUGUGGCCUCCUUUUUCUAUCUUCCAUCUUUCUUUUCAUGUGCUUAUCUUCGCGAAACCCUUGACGACUACACACAAUUUUCCUUAAAAUUAUGUAUUUGUUGGAUCCAUCCCACUCAACGUAGCUUUUCCUCACACUAAAACCUUUUUCAAGAGCAUAUUUGUUGUAGAAUUCAUAGCCUUCAGCCUCACUAUCAAACAUCUUGCUGACAACAUUUACAUACUCGAACAUACUCUCAUCACUUGCAUACGCCAUGUCUUCCUGCAUAUGACAUGUGAGGGAAACCAAUCAUCAACAUCUUUCUGUUUAUCAAUGUUGCAGGUGUAAAAUAGCUCAUAGGCAAAGACAAGUGCAUGGAAAAGACUUUGCUGGUUUGACAUGUGAGGGAAACCAAUCAUCAACGUCCAACAAGUACUAUCCUAGCAUGGAUGAUGACUCUAAUAAACUGGAUUCAUACCUGGUACGCGCGAAGAGAUGGGAUCGCCCGCCGCCGUCGCCGCCUAUUCCGUCGGCACAGAUCCGGCCUUCUUCUUCUUCGGUGACAGCGUGGGGGGCUGGGGUUGGUUGGGUGGAGGACGAGGACGAUGAAUUUAUUCCUCUCACCAGGCAGGUCGAGGACGGAGAAGGUCAGGAGCGGCGACGAAUAGAUCGGAGGAGGUUUCUGAUCUGGAUCGAGUAUACAUGGAUCUGGUCUUCGGGUGAUCGGUUCAAGAAAAGAUUUUUGUCCCUGGACCAUUAUGCCCUUAUCGCUUAAAUUUAAUCAAGUUUAAUUCCCUGCAAGAUCGGUUUUCUAAUAAUAAUCAGACGUCACCAGACAUGUAAGUACUGCUAAGUACUCCGAGUACUAACCUAAUCACCGUAAAACUGCUCCCAAAUAGGAUGACCGCUUUAGAGAAAGCAAUAAGGGAAUUCAUGGACAAUCAAACUGAGAAUGUAAUUGUAUUUGUACCGAUGAUGGGAACGAGUUCACAGAUUCUCUGACUUAGCCGAGACUAUGGCAGAGGGAUGUCAAAUUCAUAUAACUGUUCAUGCACCAUCCGACGGCAGCAAGCAAAGCCCAUGGACACACAGCAUUAUCGACCUAGAAGGGUGAUGCUGCCCAGUCCAACGCAUAGGCGAAGCAGGAAAAACGGUGCGAGGCAGCCGAAGUAUGAAUGAAGGAACCGAUCACCAAGCUGCCGAAGGAUGAGCUGCUCUGCUCUUGUGAGAGAUGUUAAAUUUUGUAGUGUUCAUUUUACCAUUCUGUAAUGUGCACUUAUGUUGCUGCUCAAUUCAGUUCCCUUCUCCCACUUGCAUUUCACAGUCAUGUCCAGUUCAGUGAGCAAAGUCUCUAAAAUUCAGCUCAUUCAAUUAUAGCAUUCAUUCACAACAACCACACUGAGAGAUCUCAACCCCUUCUGCCACUGAGUGAUCUCAACCCCUUUUGCCAUACUCAAUUCUGUUAUCAAUUUUACAACAUCAAGUGAUAUGCUCACAAAUUGACAAUGUCAAUGACCUGCUCUUAAUUUACAACAUCAUUGAUAUGCUAAAAAAUGAUAAUGUCAAUGAUCUGCUCUCAAAGUACUUCCUCUGUCCCAUAAUAUAAGAGCGUUUUUGACACUGUCUGAAACUCUCUUGUUGUUUUGUGUAAAUCAGUUUACAAUCUGAAACUCAACUGAUGUUUGCUUGUAAAUCAGUUAAUAAUGUGCUCUCAAUUUCCAGGCUAGCUUCGCCGGCGCCUGCUCGACGGAGUGGUGCAUCGAUGGCAGCCACGGCCGUCCUCCUCUUGCGAUGGUGCGGGGUCAGCGAUAUGGUGCUUGCUUAGUGCCUCCAGCAACAGCGGCGCGACCUCGCGGCGUGAUACAACCAUGACUUGUAGCCAAGGCAGCGGCAGUCGUCCUCCCAGGGCGAUCGCGAGCAAUGGCGACGGUGAGCGAUGGGUUGUUUAUGGGCUGCACAGCAUUGUUGUUAUUCUUAUUUGUUUUCACCUUGCUGCUGUCGAAUGACGCAUGUGAUUUGGAUUAGACGUCCGUCUAGCGUAAAAAUAAUACUCGAUGCUAUACAGCCCAGGUCGGGAAUCUCGAAGUGAGUUCACGAUGGAGAUAGCGAGAGUAUCUGAGCUCGUGCUCAGAACAUCACUUUCCUUAGGAAAGGGGGAACCAGGAUCGAUUCCUGGUCUCAAAGGUGACAGCGGGUGCUGCUACCAGUCCGAUCAAGUUCCGUUCGUGAUAAGUUGUAGGUGCGCGUCGUACUUGAGCCGAUUCAAGCCGGUUUUCUUUGAGUUUUUUUCCUUCUUCAUUUUUUUCAUUCUUUUUUGCACUCGUUUCUUCAUUUUUUUUCAUUUUUUUCUUUUGUUUAUUUUCUUUGUUCUUUUGGUUAUUAUUGUGCAUUUUUUGUAUACGUCAACAAUAUUUUUUUAAUACACGUCUAACAUUUUUCAAAUACAAAUCAACAAUUUUUGCAAUACAUGGCCUACAUUUUUGUAUACACAUUUUUUAAAUGCUUGAUUAUCAUUUUUCAAAUACAAUAUUAACAAUUUUAAUACAUGGUUAACAUUUUUUUAUCAUUUUUACAAAAAAAUAUAUUAAAUGCUUGAUUAACAUUUUCUUAAUAGAUGGUCAACCUUUUUUUCAUACACAUUUAACAUUUUUUCCAAACGCUUGAUUAACUUUUUCAGACCCUUGUUCGACAUUUCUUUCAAAUGCUGGAUUACAUUUCUAUAUACUUAAUCAAAUAUUUCUAUCAUUUUUAAUACAUGGUCAACAUUAUUAACAUACACAUUUAACAAUUUCCCAAUUCUUGAUUAAUAUUUUUUAAAUACUCGUUUAACAUUUCCCAAUUUUAGCUAGUUAUGGUGCAAACUAAGUGUUGUGCCUCGUCUUAAUCUAUCUAUAUAUCCUAUCUUCUAUUCGGCGACGUGGUUGCGCCCGUGGCGGAUGUGGUCGCCGCCAUGACUUGGUCGAUCUCCCUCUUCUGUAUUCGAGAAAAAAAGAUCUCCGUCUUCUCUUUAGAUGAGAUGGGGAGGAGAUGGUGAGAGAUGAGGUCAACGGCAUUGGGGAGAGGAUAAGGGUAGACGCCAGUGGUGAGGCGGCGUGAGGAAGACGAGGUGGUUGGCGGCUAGGACGCAUGAGGGGAGGGGAAGGGUGGGGAGUGGUGCGUGGAGGGAAGUGGGUGUGCGGCGUGCCCAAUUCACGAGAGAGGAGAGAGGUCGGCAAGGGAGCGACCCAUGGGAGUUUUUUUUCUUCUGAGUGAGCCUAGUUGGGCUAUCUGCUGCGUCCAAGGCCCAAUGCACCACAUGUCUUCAAAUUGGCCACCAGUAGCAGCCCUUAGAACAGACAUGGCCAUUUUGCAAAUUUAAAGACAUAAGUUUUUUGCACGCAUGAAAAACAUAACACGUAUCUUUUCACACAUAAUGAACUAUAGGUACUACCCAAAAAAACAUAAUGAACUAUAGGUUGUCACAAGAACUCAUGCCAUCCCACAACCUCCCUCUGACCCUGCCAACAUUGUUGCAACUGCACUCGCAAGUGUUAUCGUAGAUGAUCAUUUGCAUGAUUUCCCGUAAAACAAAAUAAGAUCUACAAACGAAUAGAAGCUACACAUACCUUGGCAUGCACACACAUUGCAAGCCAUACUAAGCAGAUAAGUGUUAAAAACUUGUACUCCCUCAUCUCAGUUUACAAGUCUUCCACGUGUAUCUAGGUCGUCAAUUUAAUUAUAUAAAAUAAAUUGUUUGACAUAAAUUAUAUCAUUAGAAAAUAGAAAUAUAUAUUUUGUAAUGUAUGCCUCUUAUUAAGUUGGUCAAAUUAACAAUCUAGGUACACAUGCAAGACUUUUAAACUAAGAUGGAGGGAGUACAACAUAUACAACACUUACGACAAGUAAAAGCAAUUUGAUGAGUCAUGGUCUAUCAAAGCAAGCUACAUUACUAAUCUAAUCUAUGUUAACAUGUCACACAUGAUUACAAUCUUUUUUGUGUGCAAGUCAAGCCUAUCUAGUCUACAUGUAACAACUUGUAGAACAUUACAAAAUUGAUGUUUGCUAAUAACUUUUAGAACACUACAACACUUGACAUGUAAAAAGAGUUUGAUGAGUCAUGACCUACUAAAGCAAGUUACAUUACUAGUCUCAUCUAUCUUAACAGGUCACACAAGAUUAAAAACUAAGUUCUGUGCAAGCAAUGCUUAUCUAUUUUACACAUAACAACUUGCAUAACAUUACAAACUUAGUUUUAGAAAAUUAGGCAACCUAGAUUAGUGUUUAGUUGUAAAGUGAAUAAGAUGAGUCAUGUGUGUUAUCACACCUUUUUAUGGUGGAAUGAUAGUGCCACCAAACACAACAUACCAAAAUAUGAUUUUGGGAAGCAUCCAAGCACUUUCCAGACAAGCAAAUGCCAAUUGUGAAAGAGAUAAUGCCAUGGCAGCUAUAAAUAGGCCUGUUGCAUGAUGAUCAUCCUUCCUCAUUCAUCAUUCUCAUAAGUAGAGUGCAUCAUUCAAGCCAAGCAAGCACUGGUCAAUACAAAUCCAUCAUGAAGACAUUUCUCAUCAUUUCCCUCCUUGCUAUCGUGGCGACCACCGCCACAACUGCAGUUAGAGUUCCAGUGCCACAAUUGCAGCCGCAAAAUCCAUCUCUGCAACAACCACAAGAGCAAGUUCCAUUGGUGCAACAACAACAAUUUCCAGGGCAGCAACAAACAUUUCCACCACAACAACCAUAUCCGCAGCCGCAACCAUUUCCAGGACAACAACCAUAUCCGCAGCCGCAACUAUUUCCACAGCCGCAACCUUUUCCGCCACAACUUCCAUAUCCGCAGCCGCAACCAUUUCCCCCACAACAACCAUAUCCACAACCGCAAACACAUCAUCUGCAACCACAACAACCAAUUUCGCAGCAACAAGUACAACAACAACAACAACAACAACAACAACAACAACAACAACAACAACAACAACAACAACAACAACAACAACUACUACUACAACAACAAAUCCUUCAACAAAUUCUGCAACAACAACAACUGAUUCCAUGCAGGGAUGUCAUCGUCUUGCAACAACACAACAUAGCGCAUGAAAGCUCACAAGUAUUGCAGCAAAGUAGUUACCAAGUGUUGCAACAAUUAUGUUGUCAGCAGCUGCGGCUGAUCCCCGAGCAGUCGCGGUGCCAAGCCAUCCACAAUGUCGUUCAUGCUAUUAUUCUACAUCAACAACAACAACAACAACAACAACAACAACAACAAGGACAACAUCAACCGUCGAGCCAGGUCUCCUACCAGCAGCCUCAGCAACAAUAUCCAUCAGGCCAGGGCUCCUUCCAGCCAUCUCAGCAAAAUCCACAGGCCCAGGGCUUUGUCCAACCUCAACAUCUGCCCCAACUCGAGGAAAUAAGUAACCUAGCGCUGCAGACGCUACCAGCAAUGUGCAAUGUCUACAUCCCUCCAUAUUGCUCGACCACCAUUGCGCCAUUUGGCAUCUUCGGUACUAACUGAGAAGAGAAGAACUCUAGUACUAGAUAUAUGAAACACCGUGUUCUUAGUCCAUGGUUUGGUCGUUGUACCGUUGAAAAUAUAAGGUGACAUGCACUAUCAUGUAAGAACCCGAACUAUACUAGUUCAAACAUGGGAAUAAAAGACAAACACAUGUCUUGUCUGCAUAUGAUUGUUUAUUUGAGUUCCAUUCCUAUGCCCAUUCACAAGUUCACCCGUAAUUAUAUAUAUUACACAUUAAGUAGAUAUUUAUGUUGCAUUAAUAUGAAGAUAACAAAAUGAGUCUGAAACUUGAAUUAAAUUGAAGUAUUUUCUUGGACUUUCAAAUUGUGUAUUAUUAAAGUAGUAAGGAUUAUCCACAUCCUUGGCUUGCCCUUCAUCAAUUAUUCCCAGAGAAGCUUUCAGUUCAUAAAUCAAUUACAUUGAUUUUUGUGAAUGGUACAUCUCCUCAUCACGAGUAUCAUUACGGCUACUCCAAAUCGCUCACAUAACCGAAGCAUUAAUAGCGCCCUUCUUGCAUCCGGAAAUAUGGAUCGAAGAUAUCACUUGACCAUGUUUCCAGGUGCAACCUUGGGAUUUUUAUGUCAAAAUAUUCUCAAGCAAAAUCCAAGAAUAAACUUGCAUGCUCACGUGUGAUGAGGGCAGAUGAAGUAACAUUUCCUCCCCAUGGCCACACAUAGGGCACACACAUAACCCCAUCACAUGCCUUUUUAGUUAUGCAUAUGAAAGGUAGGAUGUUUUUAAUUACUCUCUACCAAAAUACUCUUAACUUGGCUUGUACCCUAAUAUUUCGUUGCCUUUUCAAUUGUUCUUCCCCAUUAGACAAAGUAGACAGUCCAUCUACCACACCGUACCUUGUGUCCAUCAUUGCUCUGUACAACAAUUGAACAGAACAAAUGUCAUUUCUUUACGAUACCCACGACCAAAUGUCCUUUGCUGGAUUGUUUGGUCGUGGCAUAUUAAGGAUGGCCACCUCAUCUCAUGGGGUAAACACCUAAUGAAUGAAAGGAUUGUUCUAGUCGCCCGUGUUUUUCAUCGAUAAGAUCAUCUACAAGUUGGACCGAAGUUUCUCACAUGCAUCAUAGUGGUUUCAUUAGCGGCGUGCCCUGCACCCAUUUAUCACGUCGUAUCUCUGUAGUAUGUGCAUUCCCAAUUUGUCACAGCAUACCCUCCUUCAAACCUUCUUUCCCUUUCAGAUUAGCACGCCAAGUUAGCUAUGCACUAUGCGGGAACCAGCAUUUGAAAAAAAAGAAUCUCAUUUCAUGGUAUCUUCCAUGAAGGACCCUCGUACAUUAGCUAUCUAGGUAGAAAUAGCCAUGUAUGUUUGGCAAACUUUGCAUAAGUGAAUAGAUCAAGGUCGUGGAACCCCAAGCCUCCAAUUACACACGGCCUCUCUACCAAUAAGAUCUCCAAAGACAUCAAGGAUACAGACAGCCAAAAAAGAAAAUAAAAAGAAAAAAAAUAAAAAAUACCCUGCCAUGGUGAUCAAUCACAAGCAUCAGCAGCACUCUAACCACCACCAAAGACAAUGCCCAGAUUACAAAAAAAAAUUAUCCAAAAACAAUGCCCCCAAGAAGGAAACAAUACACAAGCGUUGUCGUUGCCCGAUCGAAGAUCGUGGGUUUUCACCCUGGAAAAUUUUUGAGUUCACCCAAAAACAAUGCCUUCAACAAGGCCAUUGCCAAGUACAACAAAUAUGGUCGAGACCUUGGGUUUUCACCCUAGGAAUUGAGACUCGAUGCUCGAGGAGUACCAGCAAAAAUGCAGUCCACUAGUGUUGCCGCCCCCACUUGGCAAGGCCACUGUUGCAAGUCACCAAACACCUGGCAUAUAGUUGUCAUCGCAUCCAAUACACCCUUCGGCCGAAGCUUCAAGACCUUGAUCCGUCUCCAGCGUAUCUAUAAUUUUUGAUUGUUCCAUGCUAUUAUAUUAUCUGUUUUGGAUGUUUUAUAUGAUUAUUAUGGUAUUUUAUAUGAUUUUUGGGACUAACCUAUUAAACUAGAGCCCAGUGUCAGUUCCUGUUUUUUCCUUGUUUUAGAGUUUCGUAGAAAAGGAGUACCAAACGGAGUCCAAACGGAAUUAAACUUUUGCGAUGAUUUUUCUUAGACCAGAAGACAUCUAGAGGACUUGGAGUGCAUGUUAGGAAAGCCACGAGGCUGCCACAACGACAGAGGUGCGCCCCCACCCUUGUGGGCCCCUCGUGACUCUACCGACAUAUUUCUUCCGCCUAUAUAUUCUCAAAUAUUCCAAAACAUACUAGGAGAGCCACAAAAACACUUUUCCACCGCCGCAACCUUCUGUACCCGUGAGAUCCAAUGUAGGGGCCUUUCCCGGCAUCCUGUCGGCGGGGGAUUCGAUCACUUAGGGCUUCUACAUCAACACCAUUGCCUCUCCGAUGAAGCGUGAGUAGUUUACCACAGACCUAUGGGUCCAUAGCUAGUAUCUAGAUGGCUUCUUCUCUCUCUUUGAUUCUCAAUACCAUGUUCUCCUCGAUGUUCUUGGAGAUCUAUUCGAUGUAAUACUCUUUUUGCGGUGUGUUUGCCAAGAUCCAAUGAAUUGUGGAUUUAUGAUCAGGUUAUCUAUGAGUAUUAUUUGAAUCUCCUAUGAAUUCUUAUAUGCAUGAUUUGAUAUCUUUGCAAGUCUCUUCGAACUAUCGAUUUGGUUUGGCCAACUAGAUUGGUUUUUCUUGCAAUGGGAGAAGUGCUUAACUUUGGGUUCAAUCUUGCGGUGCUCGAUCCCAGUGACAGAAGGGGAUGAUACGUCCCCAACGUAUCUAUAAUUUUUGAUUGUUCCAUGCUAUUAUAUUAUCAACCUUGGAUGUUUUAUAUGCAUUUAUAUGCUAUUUUAUAUGAUUUUUGGGACUAACCUAUUAACCCAGAGCCCAGUGCUAGUGCCAGUUUCUGUUUUUUCCUUGUUUUAGGGUUUCGAAGAAAAGGAAUAUCAAAUGGAGUCCAAACGGAAUGAAACCUUCAGAAAAUUUAUUUUUGGAAAGAAAGUAAUACGGGAGACUUGGAGUGCACGUCCGGGGAUCAACGAGGAAGCCACGAGGCAGGGGGCGCGCCCACCCCUCUUGGGCGCGCCCUCCACCCUCGUGGGCCCCUCGUGGCUCCCCAAAUGUAUUUCUUCCGCCUAUAUAUAUCCAUAUACCCCAAAACGACCGGGGAGCACAAUAGAUCGGGAGUUUCUCCGCCAGAAGCCUCCGUAGCCACCGAAAGCUAAUCUAGACCCGUUCCGGCACCCUGCCGGAGGGGGAAUCCCUCUCCGGUGGCCAUCUUCAUCAUCCCGGUGCUCUCGAUGACGAGGAGGGAGUAGUUCUCCCUCGGGGCUAAGGGUAUGUACCAGUAGCUAUGUGUUUGAUCUCUCUCUCUCUCUCUCUCUCUCUCUCUCGUGUUCUUGAGGUGAUACGAUCUUGAUGUAUCGCGAGCUUUGCUAUUAGAGUUGGAUCUUAUGUUGCUUCUCCCCCUCUACUCUCUUGUAAUGGAUUGAGUUUCCCCUUCGAAGUUAUCUUAUCGGAUUGAGUCUUUAAAAAUUUGAGAACACUUGAUGUAUGUCUUGCCGCGUGUAUCUGUGGUGACAAUGGGAUAUCACGUGAUUCACUUGAUGUAUGUUUUCGUGAUCAACUUGCGGGUUCCGCCCAUGAACCUAUGCAUAGGGGUUGGCACACGUUUUCGUCGUGAUUCUUUGGUAGAAACUUUGGUGCACUCUUUGAGGUUCUAUGUGUUGGUUGAAUAGAUGAACUUGAGAUUGUGUGAUCCAUAUCAUAUAAUCAUACCCACGGAUACUUCAGGUGACAAUGGAGUAUCUAGGUGACAUUAGGGUUUUGGUUGAUUUGUGUCUUAAGGUGUUAUUCUAGUACGAACUCUAGGGCUGUUUGUGACACUUAUAGGAAUAGCCCAACGGAUUGAUUGGAAAGAAUAACUUUGAGGUGGUUUCGUACCCUACCAUAAUCUCUUCGUUCGUUCUCUGCUAUUAGUGACUUUGGAGUGACUCUUUGUUGCAUGUUGAGGGAUAAUUAUGUGAUCCAAAUAUGUUAUUAUUGUCGAGAGAACUUGCACUAGUGAAAGUAUGAACCCUAGGCCUUGUUUCGACGCAUUGCAAUACCGUUUACGCUCACUUUUAUCAUUAGUUACCUUGCUGUUUUUAUAUUUUCAAAUUACAAAAACCUUUAUCUACCAUCCAUAUACCACUUGUAUCACCAUCUCUUCACCUAUACAAUUUACCAUUGUAUUGGGUGUGUUGGGGACACAAGAGACUCUUUGUUAUUUGGUUGCAGGGUUGCUUGAGAGAGACCAUCUUCAUCCUACGCCUCCUACGGAUUGAUAAACCUUAGGUCAUCCACUUGAGGGAAAUUUGCUACUGUCCUACAAACCUCUGUACUUGGAGGCCCAACAACGUCUACAAGAAGAAGGUUGUGUAGUAGACAUCAAGCUCUUUUCUGGCGCAGUUGCCGGGAAGGUGAGUGCUUGAAGUUAUAUCUUUAGAUCUUGCAAUCGAAUCUUUUUGUUUCUUGUUUUAGCACUAGUUUAGUUUAUAAAAGAAAACUACAAAAAAACGGAAUUGAGUUUACCUCACACGCUUCAUCUUUUUAAUAUCUUUCGUGAGUAUGAUGGAAAGAAAAAUUGUGCCAAAGUGUUAGAAGAAGAAUGCAUUAAACUGUUUGGCAUUAAAUAUUUGAAUGAUGAGCAUUAUUGCAAUGUUGUUAGUAUGAAUUCCUUGAAUAUCCAUAGUACUAAUGAUGAUUGCACUAGUUAUGAUGAAAAUGUCUCAUGUAAACAUGUCAAUUUUUGUGGAGUGCAUUGGGUUUGCAAGUACACACCAAUUAGGGAAGAUAGAUUUUGCAAGAGGCAUAAGUACUUAGAAACUAAAUUGUUGCAAGAAAGGCUAGAUGAAUGUGCUGAAAAUUUAAAUUUUCUUGGCCAUACUUGUGAGCUUUGCAAUGAACAUGGUUAUUUAACCAUCCGAUGCAAAUUGUUUCAUGAUCUAAUCGUUUCCAAAAAUUGUGAUGACUUGAUUUCCCUUGCACAUCAUAAUGAACUUAGUUUGCUUAUGGGUUAUGAGGAAAUGAAAUGUAUAACUAACUAUCUUCCAGUAUUUUCCCAUGAUAAACUUCUUGGAUUUGACCUAGAGGAAAUUUAUAUGUAUUGUGCGGUGAAUUGCAUUGAAAACCCCUAUAUUGUCAAUUACAUAAAGAAAAGAAAACAAAUAGAGGAUGAACAGAAUACUAAUGAAAGGGAAGAGACCUCCCAAUAUCCUCCUAUUAUUUCUUAUGAUGAACCAGGUAACGAGGAGGAGCCUCCUAUUCAACCAAUCUCAUUAAUAAGGAGCUCCAAAAAGAGGAUUGAACCCACACACGAUGUAGUGAAGAAGAAGAAAAGAAAGAGGAAGAGAGGUAAAAAGAUAUCUCUCCCAAAUAAUGCUGCUCCUAUUACUAUUGUGCCUCAUGAAAAUAUAAUUGUGGAAAAUAAUGAUACUUCUUAUGAUCUUGAAAAUCCUUUUGUCACUUGCUUGGAAGAAUAUGAUAAUUGCUAUACUAUUGGUGCUAUCCAUACUAUUAAUGAUGAGAGUGAUUAUGCUUAUGAUAUGAAAAGGCCCAAGCUUUGGGAUGCUAUGUUUGAUGAAGAUGAUGUUUUUGAGAAUAUAUUUGCUACAAUUAAUGUUUGUCCCAAGCUUGGGGAUGCUAUGUUUAAUCAAGAUGAUAUUUUUAGUCUCCCAAGUUUUGAUAUGCAAAUUUAUAAUGAUGAUAGCAUGCCUCCUACUUAUGAUGAUUAUUGUGAUGAUACUUAUGCUAUAAAAAGUAAUGAUUAUAUUUAUAAAACUUGUCAUGAUUAUGGUUACCCCUUUUCUGAACAUUACUCUUUUAAUGUGGAAACAAUUUAUAGUAUUCGAGUUUCUUAUGAUACUCCCACUAUUCCGAAUGAGAAGAAUUUUGCUUGUGUAGAGAGUAAUAAAAUUUCUAUGCUUGUAGAUCAUGAAAAGAAUGCUUUAGGUGCUGGUUAUAUUUUUGAAUUCAUUCAUGAUGCUACUGAAAAUUAUUAUGAGGGAGGAACAUAUGCUUGUAGGAAUUGCAAUAAUAUCAAGUUUCCUCUCUAUGUGCUUAAAGUUUUGAAGUUAUGCUUGUUUUGCCCUCCUAUGCUAGUUGAUUAUUGUUCCCAUAAGUUGUUUGCUCACAAAAUUCCUACACAUAGGAAGUGGGUUAGACUUACAUGUUCUAGUCAUAUGCUUCAUGAUGCUCUCUUUAUGUUUCAAUUCUUAUCUUUUAUGUGAGCAUCAUUGAAAUCGUCAUGCCUAGCUAGGGGCGUUAAACGAUAGCGCUUGUUGAGAGGAAACCCAACUUUAUUUUUGUUCCUUGAUUUUUGCUCCUGUCUAGCAAUAAAUAAUUUAUCUAGCAUCUGUUAUGAUUGAGUUUUUAUGUUAGAACCGUUGGGAAGACUUGGGGAAAGUCUUGGCGAUCAUGCUGUAAAAAAACAGAAACUUUAGCGCUCACGAGAAUUGCUGACAUUUUUUAUUGGAGAGUGCUAUUUGGUUAAUUAUUUUUGCAGAUGAUUAAUAGAUAAAUUCCUCACGUCCAGCAAUUUAUUUUAGAAUUUUUGAGGCUCCAGAAGUUUGCGUUAGUUACAGAUUACUACAGACUGUUCUGUUUUUGACAGAUUCUGUUUUUCGUGUGUUGUUUGCUUAUUUUGAUGAAUCUAUGGCUAGUAAAAUAGUUUAUAAACCAUAGAGAAGUUUUAAUACAGUAGGUUUAACACCAAUAUAAAUAAAUAAUGAGUUCAUUACAGUACCUUUAAGUGGUGUUUUAUUUUCUUUCGCUAACGGAGCUCACGAGUUUUCCAUUUUAAGUUUUGUGUUGUGAAGUUUUCAAGUUUUGGGUAAAGAUUUGAUGGAUUAUGGAAUAAGGAGUGGCAAGAGAAUAAGCUUGGGGAUGCCGAAGGCACCCCAAGGUAAUAUUCAAGGACAACCAAAAGCCUAAGCUUGGGGAUGCCCCGGAAGGCAUCCCCUCUUUCGUCUUCGUUCAUCGGUAACUUUACUUGGAGCUAUAUUUUUAUUCACCACAUGUUACGUGUUUUGCUUGGAGCGUCAUUUUAUUUCAUUUUUUUGCUUGCUGUUUGAAUAAAGUAUCAAGAUAUGAAAUUAUUAAGUGGGAGAGUCUUCACAUAGUUGCAUAAGUAUUCGACUACUCAUUGAUCUUCACUUACAUCUUUCAGAGUAGUUUGUCAUUUUCUCUAGUGCUUCACUUAUAUCUUUUGAGAGCACGGUGGUGGUUUUAUUUUGUAGAAAUAGAUGAACUCUCGUGCUUCACUAAUAUUAUUUUGAGAGUCCUCAGAACAGCAUGGUAAUUUGCUUUGGUUAUGAAUUUAGUCCUAAUAAGAUGGGCAUCCAAGAGGGAUAUAAUAAAAACUUUCAUAUAAGUGCAUUGAAUACUAAGAGAAGUUUGAUACUUGAUGAUUGUUUUGAGAUAUGGAGAUAGUGAUAUUAAAGUUGUGCUAUUUGACACUACUAGGAAAAGGCCUACUAAUGGCGCACCAGUUUUGCCUACUAAUGGCGCAUCACUGGUGCGCCAUUACUAGCACGCCAUUAGUAAUUUUUAGUAAUGGCGCACCACUGGUGCGCCAUUAGUAUCGGCCACGGUGCGCCAUUCGUAUAGGCCACUGGUGCGCCAUUAGUAUAGGCCACGGUGCGCCAUUAGUAUUUUUGGAUUUUGAAGGCGGGAAAAUAGUAGUGGCGCACCGUCUAACCCCCACCGUGCGCCAUUACUAUUUUUGAAUUUUGAAUUUGGAUCUGGAUCGUGAUUUUUUUGCCCAUUUUUUGCUCGUUUUUUUGCUCGUUUUUUGGCACAAUAUUAUUUCAAAUUUUGUUCUUGUUUUUGGAUCUUGUACGUUCUUUUGCCGUGUUCUUUUGCCGGAGAGGAGUUCGCCGGAGAGGAGGAGGAGGAGGUCACCGGAGAGGCGCUCGCCUACAUCGCCGGAGAGGAGGAGGAGGUCGCCGGAGAGGAGUUCACCGAAGCAUCGGAGAGGAGGAAGGAGAAACCAUGAGGGAAUGGGAGGAGAGGAGGGAGGAGAAACCAUGAGGGGAGGGGAGGAGAGGAGGGAGNNNNNNNNNNNNNNNNNNNNNNNNNNNNNNNNNNNNNNNNNNNNNNNNNNNNNNNNNNNNNNNNNNNNNNNNNNNNNNNNNNNNNNNNNNNNNNNNNNNNNNNNNNNNNNNNNNNNNNNNNNNNNNNNNNNNNNNNNNNNNNNNNNNNNNNNNNNNNNNNNNNNNNNNNNNNNNNNNNNNNNNNNNNNNNNNNNNNNNNNNNNNNNNNNNNNNNNNNNNNNNNNNNNNNNNNNNNNNNNNNNNNNNNNNNNNNNNNNNNNNNNNNGGAGAGGAGAAGGAGGUCGCCGGAGAGGAGGAGAUGGAGUGGAGGAGAGGAGGAGAUGGAGUGGAGGAGAGGAGAGGAGGAGAUGGAAUGGAGGAGAGGUGGAGUGGAGGAGGUGCGCCCAGCCAUGUAUACGACAUAGUAAUGGCGCACCGUGGGCAGGUGCGCCAUUACUAACUUUUUUUAUUUUUUGAUUUAUUUUGAAUUUUGAAGGCGGGAAGAUACUAAUGGCGCACCGUGGGCAGGUGCGCCAUUAGUAACUUUUUUUUUAUUUUUGACUAAUUUUGAAUUUUGAAGGCGGGAAGAUACUAAUGGCGCACCGUGGGCAGGUGCGCCAUUAGUAACUUUUUUUGACUAAUUUUGAAUUUUGAAGGUGGGAAGAUACUAAUGGCGCACCACGGGGUGGUGCGCCAUUAGUAACUUUUUUUUAUUUUGUUGACUUAUUUUGAAUUUUGAAGGCGGGAAGAUACUAAUGGCGCACCAUGGGCAGGUGCGCCAUUAGUAAGUUUGAAUUAUUUUUAAUUUUUUUGCCUCUCCAGAUCUUAAAAGCCCCAUAUAUUUUUUUCUGUUAGGUUUUUGAGGAUUUUAAAAAUGUUUAACGGAUUCCCCGGUUAAAUUUGGAUGUAACUUUUCGAGUAGAUGAUUUUUCAUAUAAAAAACUUUUUCAUCCGAGUUAGUAUGCAAAAGUUAUGCCCAUUUUUACAAAUUNNNNNNNNNNNNNNNNNNNNNNNNNNNNNNNNNNNNNNNNNNNNNNNNNNNNNNNNNNNNNNNNNNNNNNNNNNNNNNNNNNNNNNNNNNNNNNNNNNNNNNNNNNNNNNNNNNNNNNNNNNNNNNNNNNNNNNNNNNNNNNNNNNNNNNNNNNNNNNNNNNNNNNNNNNNNNNNNNNNNNNNNNNNNNNNNNNNNNNNNNNNNNNNNNNNNNNNNNNNNNNNNNNNNNNNNNNNNNNNNNNNNNNNNNNNNNNNNNNNNNNNNNNNNNNNNNNNNNNNNNNNNNNNNNNNNNNNNNNNNNNNNNNNNNNNNNNNNNNNNNNNNNNNNNNNNNNNNNNNNNNNNNNNNNNNNNNNNNNNNNNNNNNNNNNNNNNNNNNNNNNNNNNNNNNNNNNNNNNNNNNNNNNNNNNNNNNNNNNNNNNNNNNNNNNNNNNNNNNNNNNNNNNNNNNNNNNNNNNNNNNNNNNNNNNNNNNNNNNNNNNNNNNNNNNNNNNNNNNNNNNNNNNNNNNNNNNNNNNNNNNNNNNNNNNNNNNNNNNNNNNNNNNNNNNNNNNNNNNNNNNNNNNNNNNNNNNNNNNNNNNNNNNNNNNNNNNNNNNNNNNNNNNNNNNNNNNNNNNNNNNNNNNNNNNNNNNNNNNNNNNNNNNNNNNNNNNNNNNNNNNNNNNNNNNNNNNNNAAUUUUUUUACUAAUGGCGCACCGUGGAUGUGGUGCGCCAUUACUAGUUCAACUAGUAAUGGCGCACCACCCCCACGGUGCGCCAUUAGUAGUUUUGAAAAAAAUUAAAUUUUUUUACCAAUGGCGCACCGUGGAUGUGGUGCGCCAUUAGUAUUUGGACACUAAUGGCGUACCAACACAUGGUGCGCCAUUAGUAUAUAGUAAUGGCGCACCACAUGUCUGGUGCGCCAUUAGUGUCAAUUCCAUCUAUAGCCCUUUUCCUAGUAGUGUGAGUAGUUGUGAAUUUGAGAAAUACUUGUGUUGAAGUUUGCAAGUCCCGUAGCAUGCACGUAUGGUAAACGUUAUGUAACAAAUUUGAAACAUGAGGUGUUCUUUGAUUGUCCUCCUUAUGAAUGGCGGUCGGGGACGAGCGAUGGUCUUUUCCUACCAAUCUAUCCCCCUAGGAGCAUGCGUGUAGUGCUUGGUUUUUGAUGACUUGUAGAUUUUUGCAAUAAGUAUAUGAGUUCUUUAUGACUAAUAUUGAGUCCAUGGAUUAUAUGCAUUCUCACCCUUCCAUCAUUGCUAGCCUCUUCGGUACCGUGCAUUGCCCUUUCUCACAUUGAGAGUUGGUGCAAACUUCGCUGGUGCAUCCAAACCCCGUGAUAUGAUACACUCUUUCACACAUAAACCUCCUUAUAUCUUCCUCAAAACAGCCACCAUACCUACCUAUUAUGGCAUUUCCGUAGCCAUUCUGAGAUAUAUUGCCAUGCAACUUUCCACCAUUCUGUUUGUCAUGACACAUUCAUCAUUGUCAUAUUGCUUAGCAUGAUCAUGUAGUUGACAUAGUAUUUGUGGCAAAGCCACCGUUCAUAAUUAUUUCAUACAUGUCACUCUUGGUUCAUUGCAUAUCCCGGUACACCGCCGGAGGCAUUCAUAUAGAGUCAUAUCUUGUUCUAGUAUCGAGUUGUAAAUAAAUAGAAGUGUGAUGAUCAUCAUUAAUAGAGCAUUGUCCCAAAAAAAGGAAGAGAACGACCAAAUAAAAAAGGGAAGCCCCCCACCCAAAAAAGAAAAGAAAGGCCAGAUAAAAAAUAAAAAAAAUAAAAAAAAUAAAAGGGACAAUGCUACUAUCCUUUUUCCACACUUGUGCUUCAAAGUAGCACCAUGAUCUUUAUGAUAGAGAGUCUCUUGUUUUGUCACUUUCAUAUACUAGUGGGAAUUUUUUAUUAUAGAACUUGGCUUGUAUAUUCCAACAAUGGGCCUCCUCAAGUGCCCUAGGUCUUUGUGAGCAAGCAAGUUGGAUGCACACCCACUUAGUUUCUUUUGUUGAGCUUUCAUACAUUUAUGGCUCUAGUGCAUCCGUUGCAUGGCAAUCCCUAAUCCUUGCAUUGACAUCAAUUGAUGGGCAUCUCCCUAGCCCAUUGAUUAGCCGCGUCGAUGUGAGACUUUCGCCUUUUGGUCUUCUCCACAUAACCCCCUCAUUAUAUUCUAUUCCACCCAUAGUGCUAUAUCCAUGGCUCACGCUCAUGUAUUGCGUGAAAGUUGAAAAAAGUUUGAGAUUACUAAAGUAUGAAACAAUUACUUGGCUUGUCAUCGGGGUUGUGCACAAUGAGAGCAUUCUUGUGUGACGAAAAUGGAGCAUGGCCAAACUAUAUGAUUUUGUAGGGAUGAACUUUCUUUGGCCAUGUUAUUUUGAGAAGACAUGAUUGCUUAGUUAGUAUACUUGAAGUAUUAUUAUUUUUAUGUCACUAUUAAACUUUUGUCUUGAAUCUUAUGGAUCUGAAUAUUCUUGCCACAAUAAAGAGAACUACAUGGAUAAAUAUGUUAGGUGGCAUUCUACAUCAAAAAUUCUGUUUUUAUCUUUUAGCUACUCCAGGACGAGCAGGAAUUAAGCUUGGGGAUGCUGAUACGCCUCCAACGUAUCUAUAAUUUUUAUUGUUCCAUGCUAUUAUAUUAUCAACCUUGGAUGUUUUAUAUGCAUCUUUAUGCUAUUUUAUAUCAUUUUUGGGACUAACCUAUUAACCUAGAGCCCAGUGCCAGUUUCUGUUUUUUCCUUGUUCUAGGGUUUCGAAGAAAAGGAAUAUCAAAUGGAGUCCAAACGGAAUGAAACCUUCGGAAAAGUUGUUUUUGGAAAGAAAGCAAUACAGGAGACUUGGAGUGCACGUCAGCGGAUCAACGAGGAAGCCACGAGGCAGGGGGCGCGCCCACCCCCUGGGCGCGCCCUCCACCCUCGUAGGCCCCUCGUGGCUCCCCUAAUGUAUUUCUUCCGCCUGUAUGUACCAAUAUACCCUAAAACGAUCGGGGAGCACAAUAGAUUGGGAGUUCCGCCGCCAGAAGCCUCUGUAGCCACUAAAAGUGAAUCUAGACCCGUUCCGGCACCCUGCCGGAGGGUGAAUCCCUCUCCGGUGGCCAUCUUCAUCAUCCCGGUGCUCUCCAUGACGAGGAGGGAGUAGUUCUCCCUUGGGGCUGAGGGUAUGUACCAGUAGCUAUGUGUUUAAUCUCUCUCUCUCUCUCUCUCGUGUUCUUGAGGUGAUACGAUCUUGAUGUAUCGCGAGCUUUGCUAUUAUAGUUGUAUCUUAUGUUUCUUCUCCUCCUCUACUCUCUUGUAAUGGAUUGAGUUUCCCCUUCGAAGUUAUCUUAUCGGAUUGAGUCUUUAAAGAUUUGAGAACACUUGAUGUAUGUCUUGCCGCGUGUAUCUGUGGUGACAAUGGGAUAUCACGUGAUUCACUUGAUGUAUGUUUUCGUGAUCAACUUGCGGGUUCCGCCCAUGAACCUAUGCAUAGGGGUUGGCACACGUUUUCGUCGUGAUUCUUUGGUAGAAACUUUGGUGCACUCUUUGAGGUUCUAUGUGUUGGUUGAAUAGAUGAACUUGAGAUUGUGUGAUGCAUAUCGUAUAAUCAUACCCACAGAUACUUGAGGUGACAAUGGUUUGCUCACAAAAUCCCUAUGCAUAGGAAGUGGGUUAGACUUAAAUGUUCUAGUCAUAUGCUUCAUGAUGCUCUCUUUAUGUUUCAGUUCUUAUCUUUUAUGUGAGCAUCAUUGAAAUCAUCAUGCCUAGCUAGGGGCGUUAAACGAUAGCGCUUGUUGGGAGGAAACCCAACUUUAUUCUUGUUCCUUGCUUUUUGCUCCUGUUUAGCAAUAAAUAACUUAUCUAGCCUCUGUUAUGAUUGAGUUUUUAUGUUUUAAUUAGUGUUUGUGCCAAGUAGAACCGUUGGGAAGACUUGGGGAAAGUCUUUGCGAUCAUACUGUAAAAAACAGAAACUUCAGCGCUCACGAGAAUUGAUGGGCAUCUCCUUAACCCAUUGAUUAGCCGCGUCGAUGUGAGACUUUCUCCUUUUUGUCUUCUCCACAUAACCCCCUCAUUAUAUUCUAUUCCACCCAUAGUGCUAUAUCCAUGGCUCACGCUCAUGUAUUGCGUGAAAGUUGAAAAAAGUUUGAGAUUACUAAAGUAUGAAACAAUUGUUUGGCUUGUCAUCGGGGUUGUGCAUGAUGAGAGCAUUCUUGUGUGACGAAAAUGGAGCAUGACCAAACUAUAUGAUUUUGUAGGGAUGAACUUUCUUUGGCCAUGUUAUUUUGAGAAGACAUGAUUGCUUAGUUAGUAUGCUUGAAGUAUUAUUAUUUUUAUGUCAAUAUUAAACUUUUUUCUUGAAUCUUAUGUAUUUGAAUAUUCUUGCCGGAAUAAAGAGAACUACAUGGAUAAAUAUGUUAGGUAGCAUUCCACAUCAAAAAUUCGGUUUCAUUAGCGGCGUGCCCUGCACCCAUUUAUCACGUCGUAUCUCUGUAGUAUGCGCAUUCCCAAUUUGUCACGGCAUACCCUCCUUCAAACCUUCUUGCCCUUUCAGAUUAGCACGCCAAGCUAGCUAUGCACUAUGCGGGAACCUGCAUUUGAAAAAAAAGAAUCUCAUUUCAUGGUAUCUUCCAUGAAGGACCCUCGUACAUGAGCUAUCUAGAUAGAAAUAGCCAUGUAUGUUUAGCAAACUUUGCAUAAGUGAAUAGAUCAAGGUCGUGGAACCCCAAGCCUCCAAUUACACACGGCCUCUCUACCAAUAAGAUCUCCAAAGACAUCAAGGAUACAGACAGCCAAAAAAGAAAAUAAAAAGGAAAAAAAUAAAAAAUACCCCACCAUGGUGAUCAAUCACAAGCAUCAGCAGCACUCUAACCACCACCUAAGACAACGCCCAGAUUACAAAAAAAAUUCUCCAAAAGCAAUGCCCCCAAGAAGGAAACAAUACACAAGCGUUGUCGUUGCCCGAUCGAAGAUCGUGGGUUUUCACACUGGAAAAUUUUUGAGUUCACCCAAAAACAAUGCCUUCAACAAGGCCAUUGCCAAGUACAACAAAUAUGGCUGAGACCUUGGGUUUUCACCCUAGGAAUUGAGAGUCGAUGCUCGAGGAGUACCACCAAAAAUGCAGUCCACUAGUGUUGCCGCCCCCACUUGGCGAGGCCGCUGUUGCAAGUCACCAAACACCUGGCAUAUAGUUGUCAUCGCAUCCAAUACACCCUUCGGCCGAAGCUUCAAGACCUUGAUCCGUCUCCAACGUAUCUAUAAUUUUUGAUUGUUCCAUGCUAUUAUAUUAUCUGUUUUGGAUGUUUUAUAUGAGUAGGGCGUUUUGGUGCCCAGGCUCAUCUGCACCCGGUUAGAAAAAAUUCAUAAAAAAUUUAAACAAAUUCAAAAAAUUCCAAAUAAAAUUUGUAUGGUAGACAAUUUGAUGCGUGAGGCCCGCCUCAAAUUUCAAGUCAUUUGGAUAUAUGAGAAGCUCUCAGCAAAAAAGACAAAUCGGACUAAAACAGUACAUGAACAGUAAACAUUUUUACAGACCCUCAAUUUGUCUUUUUUGCUGAGAGCUGCUCAUAUGUUCAAAUGACUUGAAAUUUGGAGCGUGCCUCACGCAUCAAAAUUUCUAUCACACAAAUUUUAUUUGGAAUUUUUCGAAUUUUUCUAGUAUUUGUUUUGAUUUUUUUCGUCGGCACAGGUGCAGAUGAGCUCAGGUGCAGAAAUGGAUUUUCGGUUUUAUUUGCACUAUUAUGCUAUUUUAUAUGAUUUUUGCGACUAACCUAUUAAACUAGAGCCCAGUGCCAGUUCCUGUUUUUUCCUUGUUUUAGAGUUUCACAGAAAAGGAAUACCAAACGGAGUCCAAACGGAAUGAAACUUUUGCGAUGAUGUUUCUUAGACCAGAAGACAUCUAGAGGACUUGGAGUGCACGUUAGGAAAGCCAUGAGGUGGCCACAAUGACGGAGGGCACGCCCCCACCCUUGUGGGCUCCUCGUGACUCUACCGACCUAUUUCGUCCGCAUAUAUAUUCUCAAAUAUUCCAAAACCUACUAGGAGAGCCACAAAAAAACUUUUCCACCGUCGCAACCUUCUGUACCCAUGAGUUCCCAUCUAGGGGCCUUUUCCGGCAUCCCGUCGGAGGGGGAUUCGAUCACGGAGGGCUUCUACAUCAACACCAUUGCCUCUCCGAUGAAGCGUGAGUAGUUUACCACAGACCUAUGAGUCCAUAGCUAGUAUCUAAACGGCUUCUUCUCUCUCUUUGAUUCUCAAUACCAUGUUCUCUUCGAUGUUCUUGGAGAUCUAUUCGUUGUAAUACUCUUUUUGCGGUGUGUUUGCCGAGAUCCGGUGAAUUGUGGAUAUAUGAUCAGGUUAUCUAUGAAUAUUAUUUGAAUCUCCUAUGAAUUCUUAUAUGCAUGAUUUGAUAUAUUUGCAAGUCUCUUCGAACUAUCGAUUUGGUUUGGCCAACUAGAUUGGUUUUUCUUGCAAUGGGAGAAGUGCUUAACUUUGGGUUCAAUCUUGCGGUGCUCGAUCCCAGUGACAGAAGGGGAUGAUACGUCUCCAACGUAUCUAUAAUUUUUGAUUGUUCCAUGCUAUUAUAUUAUCAACCUUGGAUGUUUUAUAUGCAUUUAUAUGCUAUUUUAUAUGAUUUUUGGGACUAACCUAUUAACCUAGAGCCCAGUGCCAGUGCCAGUUUCUGUUUUUUCCUUGUUUUAGGGUUUCAAAGAAAAGGAAUAUCAAACAGAGUCCAAACGGAAUGAAACCUUCGGAAAAGUUAUUUUUGGAAAGAAAGCAAUACGAGAGACUUGGAGUGCACGUCAGGGGAUCAACGAGGAAGCCACGAGGCAGGGGCACGCCCUCCACCCUCGUGGCUCCCCUAAUGUAUUUCUUCCGCCUAUAUAUAUCCAUAUACCCUAAAAUGAUCGGGGAGCACAAUAGAUCGGGAGUUCCGCCACCAGAAGCCUCCGUAGCCACCGAAAGCCAAUCUAGACCCGUUCCGGCACCCUGCCGGAGGAGGAAUCCCUCUUCGGUGUCCAUCUUCAUCAUCCCGGUGCUCUCCAUGACGAGGAGGGAGUAGUUCUCCCUCAGGGCUGAGGGUAUGUACCAGUAGCUAUGUGUUUGAUCUCUCUCUCUCUCUCUCUCUCUCUCUCUCGUGUUCUUGAGGUGAUACGAUCUUGAUGUAUCGCGAGCUUUGCUAUUAGAGUUGGAUCUUAUGUUUCUUCUCCCCCUCUACUCUCUUGUAAUGGAUUGAGUUUCCCCUUCGAAGUUAUCUUAUCGGAUUGAGUCUUUAAAGAUUUGAGAACACAUGAUGUAUGUCUUGCCGUGCGUAUCUGUGGUGACAAUGGGAUAUCACGUGAUUCAUUUGAUGUAUGUUUUGGUGAUCAAGUUGCGGGUUCCACCCAUGAACCUAUGCAUAGGGGUUGGCACACAUUUUCGUCAUGAUUCUCCGGCAGAAACUUUGGGGCACUCUUUGAGGUUCUAUGUGUUGGUUGAAUAGAUGAAUCUGAGAUUGUGUGAUGCAUAUCGGAUAAUCAUACCCACGGAUACUUGAGGUGACAAUGGAGUAUCUAGGUGACAUUAGGGUUUUGGUUGAUUUGUGUCUUAAGGUGUUAUUCUAGUACGAACUCUAGGGCUGUUUGUGACACUUAUAGGAAUAGCCCAAUGGAUUGAUUGGAAAGAAUAACUUGGAGGUGGUUUCGUACCCUACCAUAAUCUCUUCGUUCGUUCUCCGCUAUUAGUGACUUUGGAGUGAUUCUUUGUUGCAUGUUGAGGGAUAGUUAUGUGAUCCAAUUAUGUUAUUAUUGUUGAGAGAACUUGCACUAGUGAAAGUAUGAACCCUAGGUCUUGUUUCAACGCAUUGCAAUACCGUUUACGCUCACUUUUAUCAUUAGUUACCUUGCUGUUUUUAUAUUUUCAGAUUACAAAAACCUUUAUCUACCAUCCAUAUACCACUUGUAUCACCAUCUCUUCGCCGAACUAGUGCACCGAUACAAUUUACCAUUGUAUUGGGUGUGUUGGGGACACAAGAGACUCUUUGUUAUUUGGUUGCAGGGUUGGUUGAGAGAGACCAUCUUCAUCCUACGCCUCCUACAGAUUGAUAAACCUUGGGUCAUCCACUUGAGGAAAAUUUGCUACUGUCCUACAAACCUUUGCACUUGGAGGCCCAACAACGUCUACAAGAAGAAGGUUGUGUAGUAGACAUCAGGGGAACCGACACAUAUUGUAGUGUUUCCAUCGAGGAUAACAAGAUGGGGUUUUCGUCAUAUUGCUUGAGUUUAUCCCGCUACAUCAAGUCAUCUUACUUAAUGCGUUAUCCUGUUCUUAUGAACUUAGUACUCUAGGUGCAGGCAGGAGUCAGUGGACGUGUGGAGUAAUAGUAGUAGAUGCAAGCAGGAGUCCGUCUACUUGAUACAAACAUGAUGCUUAUGUUCAUGAUCAUUGCCUUAGAUAUCGUCAUAAGUUUGCACUUUUCUAUCAAUUGCUCAGCAGUAAUUUGUUCACCCACCGUAAGAUUUUCUAUCUUGAGAGAAGCCUCUAGUGAAACCUAUGGCCCCGGGGUCUACUUUCCAUCAUAUAAGUUUCUGAUCUACAAUUGUGUUGGUUGAAUAGAUGAAUCUGAGAUUGUGUGAUGCAUAUCGUAUAAUCAUACCCACGGAUACUUGAGGUGACAAUGGAGUACCUAGGUGACAUUAGUGUUUUGGUUGAUUUGUGUCUUAAGGUGUUAUUCUAGUACGAACUCUAGGGCUGUUUGUGACACUUAUAGGAAUAGCCCAACGGAUUGAUUGGAAAGAAUAACUUUGAGGUGGUUUCGUACCCUACCAUAAUCUCUUCGUUCGUUCUCCGCUAUUAAUGACUUUGGAGUGACUCUUUGUUGCAUGUUGAGGGAUAGUUAUGUGAUCCAAUUAUGUUAUUAUUGUUGAGAGAACUUGCACUAGUGAAAGUAUGAACCCUAGGCCUUGUUUCAACGCAUUACAAUACCGUUUACGCUCAGUUUUAUCAUUAGUUACCUUGCUGUUUUUAUAUUUUCAGAUUACAAAAACCUUUAUCUACCAUCCAUAUACCACUUGUAUCACCAUCUCUUCGCUGAACUAGUGCACCUAUACAAUUUACCAUUGUAUUGGGUGUGUUGGGGACACAAGAGACUCUUUGUUAUUUGGUUGCAGGGUUGCUUGAGAGAGACCAUCUUCAUCCUACACCUCCUACGGAUUGAUAAACCUUAGGUCAUCCACUUGAGGGAAAUUUGCUACUGUCCUACAAACCUCUGCACUUGGAGGCCCAACAACGUCUACAAGAAGAAGGUUGUGUAGUAGACAUCAGGGGAACCGACACAUAUUGUAUUGUUUCCAUCGAGGAUAACAAGAUGGGGUUUUCGUCAUAUUGCUUGAGUUUACCCCGCUACAUCAAGUCAUCUUACUUAAUGCGUUAUCCUGUUCUUAUGAACUUAAUACUCUAGAUGUAGGCAGGAGUCGGUGGACGUGUGGAGUAAUAGUAGUAGAUGCAAGCAGGAGUCAGUCUAGUUGAUACAAACGUGAUGCUUAUGUUCAUGAUCAUUGCCUUAGAUAUCGUCAUAACUUUGCGCUUUUAUAUCAAUUGCUCAACAGUAAUUUGUACACCCACUGUAAGAUUUUCUAUCUUGAGAGAAGCCUCUAGUGAAACUAUGGCCCCGGGGUCUACUUUCCAUCAUAUAAGUUUCCGAUCUACAAUUUUAGUUUCCUAUCACUUCCUUUGCAAUCUUUUACUUUCCAUUCCAUAAACCAAAAAUACCAAAAAUAUUACUUUACCGAUUAUCCAUCUCUAUCAGAUCUCACCUUGCAAAUAACCAUGAAGGAUUGACAACCCCUUUGUCGCAUUAGGUGUAAGUUGCUAUUUGUUUGAGCAUGUAUUCAGUGACUUGUGCAUUGUCUCCUACUGGAUUGAUACCUUGGUUCUCAAAACUGAGGGAAAUACUUACUCUACUUUGCUGCAUCACCCUUUCCACUUCAAGGGAAAAACCAACGCAAGCUCAAGAGGAAGUAGGAAGAAUUUCUGGCACCGUUGCCGGGGACAUCUACGCCAAGUCAAGACAUACCAAGUACCCAUCAUAAACUCUCAUCUCUUGCAUUAUAUUAUUUGCCAUUCGCCUCUCGUUUUCCUCUCCCCCACUUCUAAAAUGAUUUGCCUUUUCUUCGCCCUCUUCCAUUCAUCUUCUUCGCUUGCUUUUUGUGUGCUCAUGUGUUGGAUUGCUUGCUUUGUCACGAUGUCUCAAGAGAAUACCAAAUUGUGUGACUUUUCCAAUACCAACAACAAUGAUUUUAUUAGUACCCCGAUUGCUCCCGCUACUAAUGCGGAAUCUUGUGAAAUUAAUGCUGCUUUGCUGAGUCUUGUUAUGAAAGAUCAAUUUUCCGGCCUUCCCAAUGAAGAUGCCGCAUCCCAUCUAAACAAUUUCGUUGAUUUGUGUGAUAUGAAAAAGAAAAAAGAUAUGGAUAAUGAUAUUGUUAAAUUGAAGCUAUUUCCGUUGUCACUUCGAGAUCGUGCUAAAACUAGGUUUUCAUCUUUGCCUAAAAAUAGCGAGUGUCAUUUUUUAAUGCGAGUGAUUAGUUUUUAAAGAAUGAUUGGCAUUCUUUCUUAAUUGCUCAUCUACUAAUCGUUUGGCGUGUUUUCUUAUCUUGUCAAAAUCAUAUCCCCUGGCUGUAAAUAUCAAAGAAUAAUUUCAUUUGUUGGGCUUGGACUGUACUGUCCGAGAGUCAGAGUAUAAAUACCAUACGAUUUCAAGAGCAAUAGCAACGGGGCAACCAUUAGUCCAUACUCUACACCAUAUGGCUAGAAAUUUUAUAUUAUAUAUAACAAAGUUGUGACAAAUUGGAAAUGGAAAGCAAUAAAAUGAAUAUGUUGCUAUAGGUUAUUAUUAUUACACAUGCACGUGUACCUUGAUCCUUGCUUGGACAUAGGGUCCGAGGAAGUUACAUUGCUUUGACUACUGAUAUUGUUUGUGUUAAAGUGUGCCACAAUGGCAUAAAUAUUGUCGUUGCAUAAUGGGAAACCACGUCAUAUUUAUCGAUGAUAUGUGGAAAUAGGGAUAAGCUACUUUAUGAAGAUAUAUAAGGAUGUAUGGGUUACGUUGGUGGAAAAUGUUGUUAUGAACACAAAUGCAGUUGCAUUUAUCAUGCAUUCGCGGUGAAGUGCGCUAUUGUGGCAUAUAUCUUCCUUUUUGCCACAGAAGCAUGGUAGAAUUAUAAAGAGAGUAUGUUUCUAUAGACAUUUCAAAAAAGAGAUUUGUGUAUACUCUCAUUAUACUGUAAUCACCAUAGAUUAUUCAGAUUAGAAGUUGUUGUCUCUACCACAUAUUUAGAUUUUCUAUACAUACUAAUAUCUAUAUCGCAUAGAAAAUCAUGUAUUUAUAUGAGAUCUUUGUGGUGCAUGAUAAAGCAAGAUUCCUUUUGUUAUUGCAGCAAUUUAUAAGUAUUUAAAUAUAUACUAAUAGCUAGUUUCUUCUGUGUUAUAAGGACAAAAUAAGACAUGCAUAGACAUGCAAAUACGUAUUAGAAAUCUGCUACUCCAAAUGUAUCAUGUUAAUCCAUGUAAGCCACGAAUCGCGUGCAUAUCAGGCAAAGCAGUUUUUUUUGUAAAAACAAUACAUAAUACUAAUCGAUGGUAUAGACGAUUCAAUACAUAUGCAUCAAGACACCGCUACCUUGCACAUAGUGAUAUAGGAUGGAAUUGAAUCUGAUCCGCUCCUUUCCAACUUAAUCGAGUAAUGUGUACUUCUCAUAAAUAGGCAUGUAUAUAGUAAUUGUUCUUUUGACCAAACGCUUGGUAUAUUAAUGAUCACAUUAUACAUUUAUGUAACAUUUCUUACUUGCGAAAUCUUUUACAAAUUGGAAUAUGGGAAUUUUAUUAAUACCUAGAAGAAAUACUACUAUUUAGAACAUAUAAUAACUGGUACUAUACUUUUUCUUAAUAUUGGUACUAUACUUAAUUGGACCAAAAGUUGCACAUAUUUUUGAUUAGUUCAUUUUUUUCUACAGAUUUAUCGGCGCCAUUAUUUCUCUAUGGUUGACAUGUAUAUGAACUACUGUCUGUAUAUAUUGAUCUGCAUUUAGACAAAUAUCAGGGACAAACACACAUACUGUUUAGCAUGUGUAGUUGUAAAGGUAGAAUACUGAUUUGUAGUAUUAAGAAAAUAUAUUUAUAAGAUCUUACUACAAUGUAUAUGGAUUGAGAAUCAGAGAAAUAACCAAGUGUUGUGCAAGGAUCAUUCUGACUAUCCAGUGGCAGAAUAAAAAUAGGAUGCUAAGCGCGGGGAGAAUACUUAUGUCCUAUAAACCUGCAAAUAAGAAGCAUGCAUUCACCAUAUAUUAGAAUUCCAAAUUUUAUAGUUCCUUUGCAUGUUGGAAAUAAGCUUUGCCCCUUGUGAUAUGGAUUAUCACGUAGAAUGGAAAGAGGAGAAAAAAAUUAUGGCUUAGCAGAAUCAAUGAGGAAAAGCACUACAUGUGAAGUAUCAAAACGUUGUGAUAGCACGAACCCCACCAGAUUUGAACUCGUGCUCUUAGUAUGACAUGAAAAGAGGGGCUACUCUCCAAUCGAAGUGAAAAUAGUAGAACUUUGAACUUAUAUAUAUAUACGCUUAAAAAUUCUAAAAGCAAAUGGUCAAAAACUCAGAAUAGCUUGAGCGGGCACUACUUGCUAACUCAAGCACAUGGCAACACAGUAUUAAGUCAAGAUUUUGCAACCGAGAGGGAAAGUCAAAUAAAUAAAUAAAUAAAUAAGGAUUCUCAUCAAACCUGUGAAUCCAAGCUAGUAUCUAACUAUUGUAUUGCUCAUAGUUUUGCAUACACCAUGGAACGUACGAUACAUAGCAUGUUGAAAAAUUAUAACCAAUUAAAUAGAAGAUAAAGGCAUAGUGCUAGGAGAUCAUCUCUCAGAGCAAUCAUCGCUGACAUAAACCUUCGGUUAAAUCACAUGUCUAAUUAGAACCUAGAGGUCUUUUACUUUUCCUUUAUAUGGAACCUUUAUUUUGACCUUUGGGGACUAUAGCCGCCUCAAAUAUGCAACUUUUUUUCGAAAUUUUAGUAUAGUGUAGUUGGAGCUUUUCCUGGUGUUCCAUAAAAAUAGCAAAGGGCAUAUUUCCUUUAGCCUACUUAUAUAUAAAAAAACGGCGUUCCUUAAUUAUUAUUCAAACUGAAAACACAUGCUAUCUUUAAAAGCAAAGAUGUACCUUAUGUGAGAAUCAUGCAUGUGUUAUUUCUAAUUAGUUAGGCAAUAAAAUAAUAGCAUCGUAUCAUUAGAUAAAUUAUUUUUCAACUGAAUCAGACAUGUGGGGUUUGACAAAAUUGAAAGUAUAUGCGAAGAUGUUAAGGAGAAAAUGUCAAUAUAAAAAAACUGUUUCUAUAGGCAGAUGUGAAUUACGUACAAAAAUAGGUCUGUUCGCUUUACAAAAGUUCUGGUGAAACCAAACUCCUGAGUUACUACAUGUAGAGCUCAAAAAUACCAGAUAUAGAGUAUAAAAUGAGAAUGGAAUACUAAGUGCAUCUUACAGAAAUUAUAAGAUCUUUUUAAUAGCUUCCUCAAUAUUACAUAGCAUACACAACAAUGAGGCAUCAAAUGAAUCAGUAUUCUAAAUAUGUAAAGAAGAAUAAGAAACACAAAGUAGCUGCUGCUCGAGCAACUACUACAUGCAAAUACAAUGCUUGAGAAUUUUCAAGCGUUCUGUUCGCUUUUUACCCUGAUUCAGCAUGGAUUAAAAAACCACAGUACUUAAUUCCGUGUAUCCUAAAUUCAAGCGUCAUGUUCGACGAAUUUCACCAUAGAUUUACAUGCCUGUGGACUUGUAGAACCAACAGCGCACUCUACAACAUCCGACAGAUAAAUCGAUCUGCUUUCCGUUCGCUGUAGGUUGUUCAUUGGGAAGCAGCACGAUCCACUUUAGACCACCAUCAGUAGACCUGAUCCUACGCUGCAUCGCAUUGUUAUAUUGCAGUCAGCUCGGAACUUAUGUCAAGGAGAAUAGUUAGACGAUGGAUUUGAUAUUUGGCCUUUUUGAGAUCUGAAACGUGUGUGUACUUCGUAGCUGUCAGCAGGUGGAAGGCCGUCCUGACAAAGAGGCAUAUUGCAUCCUAAAUUCAAGCACCAUGUUCGAAAAAAAAUCAGUAUGGGUUUACUUGCCUGUGGACUUGUAGAACCAACAUCAAACCCGACAAAAUCGGACAGAUAAAUCGAUCUGCUUUCCGUUCGUAGUAGGUUCUCCAAUGGGCAGCAGCACGAUCCACUUUAGACCACCUGAUCCUACGCUGCAUCUUGCAGUCAGCUCCGAACUUAACCCAGAAGAAUAGUUAGACGAUGGAUUUGAUAGUUGGCCUUUUUUUAGAUCAGAAUUGUAGGUGCAGGGUGGCUCGGCGAUCCUGACAAAGAUGAGAUUGAUCGGGGUCGCUAAUAAUCCCUUGUAGCACCUGCCGGGAUCCUUUGUGGUUCGCCGAGUGCACUUGAUGGCGAUGGGAUCAAGGGAAGAGAAGAAUUGAAGGAGGUGGGGUCGAGGGACAUGUUUUUCCUAUUUUAGGGGGAGAUAUCUUUCCUUUCUGUUUUUGCGUGAUUGUUUUCGUUUUUCAAUCGGCCGAAGAUUUUAUUGACAGAUCUAUUUUCUUUUUCUUUUCAUCACGGGAUUUUACAUGAAAGGAGGCUAUCUUUUUUUAGCAUGGAAGGAAGAUAUCUUUUUUAAAGGAACCGAUGGAUGCUUUGUUUGUUUGUUAAGCCAAUCUUGACGGUGUCGCGUUCCUUUAUUUUUUACGGGGCCAUAUAUGCUACCAUUGAUUGCAAUUAGUUUUUUUCUCUUGGAGAUGGAUUAUUUGUUUGUUGAACGUGUCUGCCUUAAUUAUGGAUGGACCAUCUGUGUAACGCAUGUUUACUUUUUAUCUUGGACGUUAAUUCUAUAAUCUAUCGGUGUAAUUAAUUUUGAUGAUGUGGAUUAAUGAGAAGGCCUUAAAAGGUGCCUCCAAUUAGUAAAUAUAUAAGAUAUAAGAUAUUGAUUCAUGGAAUAAGUUUAAGGAUGAAUUUAUUUCCAAGUAUUUUCCUCCCGCUAAGAUCAUCUCUCUUAGGAACGACAUUAUGAAUUUUAACCAACUUGAUCAUGAACAUGUUGCACAAUCUCCGUAGAGGAUGAAAUUGAUGAUAUGAAAUUGCCCUACACAUGGUUUGAAUAUGUGGAUGAUUAUACAAUUUUUUAUGCCGGAUUGAAUUUUGCUUCUAGAAAUCUUUUAGAUUCGGCCGUGGGAGGUACUUUUAUGGAAAUUACUUUAGGAGAAGCUACUAAACUCCUAGAUAAUAUUACGGUUAAUUAUUCUCAAUGGUAUACUGAAAGAUCUUCCACUAGUAAAAAAGUGCAUGCGAUUGAUGAGUUUAAUGUUUUGAGUGGAAAGAUGGAUGACCUUAUGAAAUUAUAUGCUAGCAAGAGUGCUUCUGUUGAUCCUAAUGAUAUGCCUUUGUCUACUUUGAUUGAGAAUAAUAAUGAAUCUAUGUAUGUGAAUUUUGUUGGUAGGAACAAUUUUGGUAAUAACGCUUAUGGAGGUAAUUUUAAUCCUAGACUGCUUCCUAAUAAUUCCCCUAAUAAUUAUGGCAAUUCCUACAACAAUUCUUCACUGGUAGAAAAAGGGCCUGUAGUCCCGGUUCGUAAGGGCCUUUAGUCCCGGUUCCUGAACCGGGACUAAAGUGUCGGUACUAAUACCUCCCACCUUUAGUCCCGGUUCAAUCCAGAACCGGGACUAAAGCCCAUCCACGUGGGCAGUGUGCAGAGCCCAGUCAGGAGACCCUUUGGUCCCGGUUGGUGGCACCAACCGGGACCAAUAGGCAUCCACGCGUCAGCAUUUCUGUGNNNNNNNNNNNNNNNNNNNNNNNNNNNNNNNNNNNNNNNNNNNNNNNNNNNNNNNNNNNNNNNNNNNNNNNNNNNNNNNNNNNNNNNNNNNNNNNNNNNNNNNNNNNNNNNNNNNNNNNNNNNNNNNNNNNNNNNNNNNNNNNNNNNNNNNNNCCGGUUCAAUCCAGAACCGGGACUAAAGCCCAUCCACGUGGGCAGUGCGCAGAGCCCAGUCAGGAGACCCUUUGGUCCCGGUUGGUGGCACCAACCGGGACCAAUAGGCAUCCACGCGUCAGCAUUUCUGUGGCUAGGGUUUUUAUUUUUAUUUUUUGAAAGGGGGGGGGGGUUGGGGGUUUUGGGGGGUUAAUUUAGGUGUUUCAUAUAUUGUGUUAGCUAGCUAUAAUUAAUAUAGAGAAGUGUCCUCUCUUAUGUCCGUGCUUGGUCGACGCUACGUACUAUACAUACGUAUAGAGAGGACUAGACACGCUGGCUAGCUAGUAAAGCAAACGAAGGAAACAGAAGAUCGUCAUGAACAUAUAUGCAUACAGAGAGAAGUGAUAUCGACCACCUCUCCUUCUCCGAGAGAUUGGUCGAACAACAAGUUCUCGUAUAUCUAUCUGACAGUACCGGCUACAUAUAUACAGUAAUUAUCUCUUACAAAUAUAAUCAUACGGACUCAGGUUUAACAUAGAAUUCUCCGUCUUCAGGGAUCACGUGGUCAAAAAAGAAUGCCGCCAAUUCCUCUUGAAUUGCUCGCAUGCGAGCUGGUGCUAGGAGUUCAUCCCGCUUCCGAAACAUCUAAUUUGAAGAAGGGGGUCAAUACAUAUAUAUAUAUAUAUGAAUGAAUGAAACUCAACACAAAUGAUGGUAAUAAAAUAAAAUUGUGAAUAUUGUUAUUUACGUACUUCAUAUUGUUCGUUAGAGUACCCGCCCCGCUCACACGUCGUGUGACGGAUGGACUCGCAGAUGUAGUAUCCACAGAAAUCAUUCCCUUGUUCCUGCCACAACCACUUUACAAGAAAUAGAGGUCAAUCAAACUGAUAAGCAAGAAUGCUAAAUGGUAUUGAUGAAACUAGCGCUUGAAUCACUAGGAGAUGCGCGGAACAUGCUACUAUAGUACUUACUUUCGGGUGUCUAAAUUCUAGCUCCUUCGGCAGUCCCGGAACUUUUUUGGUGAAUUUUCUCCAAACCAUGCCGGACAAAGAAAACAAUUACUUGAUAUCAGGAAAUGAACAAAGUUGCUGAUAUGGUGGAUAAUGAUCGAUUUAACUUACUUCUUGAGGAUUUCAGUCAUGUCUGCAUAGUCCUGCGGAUCUUUUCGUUUUGAGUCUAAGAAGGUUACUAGUCCCUGCUCAAGCUUAAUCUCUAGGAGAAUAUAGUGGAAACUGCACACGCAUGCAUAACUUAUGAAUUACAUUACUAUAACCUUGAGUAAUAUAUAAGGGAAACCGAAUACGCACAAGACAGUAGCACUCACUUGAAGUUGUAAGGAAAGAGUAUUAUAUCUUUGUUUUGAUUUAUUACGAACGAUUGUAGAAAGUUGGCCUCGGUAGCUGUGACAUGAAGUUUAACCUGAAUUGCAUCUAUGAGAUAUGUGUUAAUGAACCCAAUAUCACCGACUUGUCUUUUCUUCAAUUCGACGAUCUUCAAUCUGCAUAAUAUAGUGAGGAUGAUUAUAAAUACAUGCAAUGAAAGAGCUAAGCUAUAUAGAGAAACUUAAUGACAGAAGUAGUACUACUUACAGACAGUAGCAGGCGACCGUUGUUUUAUCGAGGGCCAAUUGAUUGAAAAACUGAUAGAACUCCUCAAAUGGAACAGGCAACAGAUCAAUUCCAACGAGGUCAUGCUCCUUUUUAACUCUCACAUACAAAGUACUCCUCCCCCAGAGUCUCUGCAGAUUUUCAAGUACCAAUCAUGCAAUCUUCGCAUCAUCGUUGAUAGAGAUCUUUCAUCUUUGACGAGAGGCUUCCCGUACUCGUAUCUUUGCAUCUGCAUGUCCAUGGGUUCAUAAUGUACUUCGUCGGGUAGGUAAUCUGCAAGAUUAUUAUAACCGGGCACCAUCCUCGGAUCAUUAGCGACUUUGUGGCUAGGCACCUUGAGCGAGGGGCAUGAUUGCUUCGCUUGUUUGCCGAGCUGGGCAAUUUGUUUCCCAGCUCGUCGUUUUUUCAGCCUUUCAUCACUGACAGUAGUUCCCGACCGCUCCGCUUCGGCAAAUUCCUUUCCAAUAAUGCGGUCAUAGUUUCCUUUCGGCGGAUCAGACUUUGGUGGUUUUGUCAGGGCAGCCAGAGUGCGCUUCACUUUCACCCCAUCUACCUUCUCCUCUGGAGGUGGAUGUUUCUUUGCUUUCACCCCUUCAAAGAAUUUCCUCACUUCUUCUCACGCGAUCUCGGCGUUCUCCUCCUGGGUCCUCUCGUAUGGUAACUUCUCUGGAGUCUUCAGAGAAGGACCGAAUCUGUAUGUCCUCCCGCCUCUGGUUGUACUGCUAGACGCCGACCGAGCAAACGAAGCGGUUGUCUUCUUUACUUGCUUAAGAGGCGGAGGAGAAGGACUACGACCCGCCGGAGCAGCUGGAGCGGCGGCAGGUCUCUUCUGCCCUUGCUGACGAGGCGGAGAAGGAGGAGGUUGGCUGCUCGGGCGCGUCGGCGCAGGCGGAGACGGAGGCGGAGUGCCGCCACGCGCCGGAGAAGGAGCCGGCCGAGGGCCCUGAUCCUCACUCGCCGGAGGAGGAGGUGGUGGAGGAGGCGGAGUGCCCUGACUCGCCGGAGGAGGAGGAGGAGGCGGAGGCGUCCAGUUCGGAAGGUUGAUGAGGUCCUUCCGCCAUAGGCAUGGAGUCUUCAGAGCAGACCCCAGCCGAGUCUCCCCUUCACCGGUAGGGUGGUCAAGCUGGAGGUCCUCAAAUCCCUCCGUUAUCUCAUCCACCAUCACCCUAGCAUAUCCUUCUGGAAUCGGCAUGCAGUGAAAAGUUGCGCCGGGUUCAGUAGGAUAAACAGAGCCAACAGCCGCCUUGACCUUCAAAUUCAUCCAUUGCGUCAUAAGGUGGCAAUUUUGAGACUCCGUUAUAGCAUCCACAGGAUAGCUGGCAGGAGCCGUCAAGGCAUGCUGCAGCUGAAGCUGCUCGGUGGAAGCCACGCUGCUUCUGCGCUGAGAUGGCGGGGUAGCUUCGGGGGAGGCUUCGGCAGUACGUUUGUUGCGAUUUGCUUCUCGUUCCUCUAUCGCUUGUACCCUUGCGUGCAGCGCCUGCAGUUCGGUCUGCUGCACUUUUUUCCUCCUCUCAUGGGAUUUGUAACCGCCUGCGUCCGGAAACCCAACCUUCCACGGAACGGAGCCUGGCGUGCCUCGUGUCCGUCCAGGGUGCUCAGGAUUCCCGAGGGCCAUUGUGAGCUCGUUGUGCUCUCUGUCUGGAAAGAACGUCCCUUCCUGCGCUGCGUCGAUAUAGUGCUUAAGCUUACUGACUGGUAUGUCCAUUUGUUCGUUCGUCCAAAUGCAGUUCCCUAUUUCAGGGUCCAAGGUUCCGCCACCCCCGAAGAACCAAGUCCGGCAACGGUCUGGCCAGUUAUUUGUCUCUGGUCCGAUCCCUUUAUGAACCAGAUCAUUCUCAACCAUGGACCACUUAGGCCGGGCUACGAGGUAGCCACCUGACCCCGUGCGAUGGUGAAGCUUCUUCUUCGCGGCAUUCUGCUUGUUUGUCGCCGACAUCUUCUUACUCUUUUCCGAUGUCUUGUAGGCCACAAAUGCGGGCCAGUGAUCUCUGAUCUUCUCAUAUCUUCCCUUGAAUUCUGGUGUCUCUUUUUUAUCGACAAACCUAUUCAGCUCUUUCUUCCACCUCCUGAAUAGAUCUGCCAUCCUCUUCAGAGAAAAAGACUUGAUUAAUUUCUCUUUAAUUGGGUUCUCUGGAUUAUCCUCUGGCGGUAGGGUGAAAUUUGACUUCAGCUCAGUCCAAAGAUCAUUUUUCUGCAUAUCAUUGACAUAAGACACCUCAGGGUCUUCUGUAGCCGGCUUAAACCAUUGCUGGAUGCUUAUCGGGAUCUUGUCCCUAACCAGAACCCCGCACUGAGCAACAAAUGCCCUCUUUGUCCGGAGGGGUUCAAUAGGUUGGCCGUCGGGCGCGAUUGCUGUGAUCUCAAGCUUUUCAUCCGAGCUCAACUUUUUCUUCGGGCCUCGUCUCUUUACCGAAGUUGUGCUCGAUCCGGAGGGCUAGAAAAAAGAACAAAGACUUAAUUAAUAUGUGUACAUACCAAAACAAUGAAUGCAUCAAUCAGCUAGUCAGCAUAGGCUUAACUAAUAUAUAUACCUGGCCGGACUCGGUUCGGUCACCGGAGCCGUCAUCACGGUCUCCUUCUUGCACCGGCAUUGGGUCACCGGCGCCGUCCUCAUGUUCUUCUUCUUGCACCGGCAUUAGGUCACCGUAGCCAGCUUGUUCACCCUCUCCUUCCGGACCAUCGAUGAUAUCGUUGAGAUAGUACGAGACGGCAUCACUUCCUUGUGCGAUUAUCUCCCUCAACAACGCUUCUUUUGUUGCUUCGUCUAGGGCGGUGUCCAUAGUUUCUACAAAUAUUUACAACAUGGCAAUUAUUAUUCAAACAUGACAGAUGGAUAUAUUAGUGCCAAACGUAGAACUACCUACCUAAUCAUAGUAAGCUAUCGGGAGGGGGUAUAUAUCGACAACGACGACACUACAUCUAUAUAUGUCCCUCGAUGACCCUCGUUCCUGAUAAAAAAAGAGGAAGAAGAAGAAAAAAAAGAGGAGAAGAAAGAAUAGAGGAGAAGAACUCCUCUAUUCUUUCUUCUCCUCUUUUUUCUUCUUCUUCCUCUUCUUUUUUUAUCCUCUUCUUCCUCUCAUGUUCGAGAGGAUCGCCUUGGGGUCGGGAGGUUGCCUAGUGUCAAAGGAUUCAACAAAACCAUGUCUUCAUCAUUAGGCGAAAGUAACAUGUGCAUGAUGGUAGGAAGCUCUUCAAAGUUGUUCUGGAACGGAGUCCCAGAUAGGAUAAUUCGCUUUUUGGUACAAAGUUCAGCAAGAGCCUUCCGAAUAUCGCUAUUUGGAAGGCCUUUGCUGAAUUCGUACCAAAAGGCGGAUUAUUCUAUCCGGGACUCCAUUCCAGAACAACUUUGCAGAACUUCAUACCAACAUGCCCUGGUUACUUCCGGCUAAUGAUGAAGGCAUGGAUUUCUUCAAUACUUUGACACUAGGAAACCUCUCUCGACCCCUCGGCGAUUCUUGACCCCUCGAACCCUCAACGACCCUGAAACCCUCGACGCUUGACCCCUUAACGACCCUCGACCCUCUACCCUAGUUCCCGACCCUCGACCAAUAGAGGAGAAGAAGAAAGGAAUAGCUAGAGGAGAAGAUCGAAGAAAAAAAAGAAGAAACAAAAGAGGAGAAGAAGAAAGGAAUAGUGGAGAAGAAGAGAAAAUAGAAUAUAUAUUCUAUUUUCUCUUCUUCUCCACUAUUCCUUUCUUCUUCUCCUCUUCUUUUUCUUCUGUUUUCUUCUUCUUAUUUAUUUCUCCUCUUCUUUUCGGUAGAGGAAACCCUAAAUAGCUAGCAAGUAUCGUGGGUGUGAGAUACAUGUGGCCUUCGGUGUCGGACACUACAUCCACGUCCCACAAGUGACGUGGGCGUCGAAACCCGCGCCACUUGUGGGAUGUGGAUGUAGUGUCCGACACCGACGGUACAUGUAUCUCACACCGACGAUACUUUCUAUUUAGGGUUUCUCCUCUACCACUCGGCGGCCCUCUCGACGACCCUCGUUCCCGAUAAUAUAAAGAGGAAGAAGAAGAAGAAAAAAGAAGAGAAGAAAGAAUAGAGGAGACGAACCCUCGAACCCUCGAACCCUAGACGACCCUCUUCUUCCUCUCAUGUUCGAGAGGAUCGCCGAGGGGUCGGGAGGUUGCCUAGUGUCAAAGGAAACCCUAAAUAGCUAGCAAGUGUCAUGGGUGUGAGAUACAUGUGGCCUUCGGUGUCGGACACUACAUCCACGUCCCACAAGUGACGUGGGCGUCGAAGCCCGCGCCACUUGUGGGAUGUGGAUGUAAUGUCCGACACCGACGGUACAUGUAUCUCACACCGACGAUACUUUCUAUUUAGGGUUUCUCCUCUACCACUCGGCGGCCCUCUCGACGACCCUCGUUCCCGAUAAAAUAAAGAGGAAGAAGAAGAAGAAAAAAGAAGAGAAGAAAGAAUAGAGGAGAAGUCUCCUCUAUUCUUUCCUCGCCUCUCUCAUGAAUGUCCGGCGUUCUCGACCCCCCCCCCUCCCCACGUGUCGAAGAAAAAAAAGAAGAAAAAAAAGAGGAGAAGAAGAAAGGAAUAGAGGAGAAAAGAGAAAAAUAGAAUAUUCNNNNNNNNNNNNNNNNNNNNNNNNNNNNNNNNNNNNNNNNNNNNNNNNNNNNNNNNNNNNNNNNNNNNNNNNNNNNNNNNNNNNNNNNNNNNNNNNNNNNNNNNNNNNNNNNNNNNNNNNNNNNNNNNNNNNNNNNNNNNNNNNNNNNNNNNNNNNNNNNNNNNNNNNNNNNNNNNNNNNNNNNNNNNNNNNNNNNNNNNNNNNNNNNNNNNNNNNNNNNNNNNNNNNNNNNNNNNNNNNNNNNNNNNNNNNNNNNNNNNNNNNNNNNNNNNNNNNNNNNNNNNNNNNNNNNNNNNNNNNNNNNNNNNNNNNNNNNNNNNNNNNNNNNNNNNNNNNNNNNNNNNNNNNNNNNNNNNNNNNNNNNNNNNNNNNNNNNNNNNNNNNNNNNNNNNNNNNNNNNNNNNNNNNNNNNNNNNNNNNNNNNNNNNNNNNNNNNNNNNNNNNNNNNNNNNNNNNNNNNNNNNNNNNNNNNNNNNNNNNNNNNNNNNNNNNNNNNNNNNNNNNNNNNNNNNNNNNNNNNNNNNNNNNNNNNNNNNNNNNNNNNNNNNNNNNNNNNNNNNNNNNNNNNNNNNNNNNNNNNNNNNNNNNNNNNNNNNNNNNNNNNNNNNNNNNNNNNNNNNNNNNNNNNNNNNNNNNNNNNNNNNNNNNNNNNNNNNNNNNNNNNNNNNNNNNNNNNNNNNNNNNNNNNNNNNNNNNNGGGACUAAAGGGGGGCAAUGGUCACGGUUGGUGCCACGAACCGUGACCAAUGCCACCUUUAGUCCCGGUUGGUGCCACCAACCGGGACCAAUGCCCUUGUGCGCCCCGCGCCCAGAAGUUUAGUCCCACAUCGCUAGCUGAAGGGCGCCGAUACUGGUUUAUAAGCGCUGCUCUGCCUCCCCUUUCGAGCUCCUCUCAAAUGCAGGCUUUCGGGCCUAAACUGCUACUGCCUGUGGGCCUAUUGGGCCUCUGCGGGCCUGAAUCCUGGCCCAUGUAGGGUUUCUAGUCGUAUUCAGGCCGUGGAGGCCCAGUAGGAGGCAUUUUUUUUGGUUUUUUCUUUUUUGUUUCUAUAUUUUUUUGGUUUUUUAUUUUUUUUAUUUCUACUUACAACUAAAUACUUACAGUUUUUUAGUGAUUUCUUUUUGCUUUUAGGUCACAAAAAUUAUAAACUUUCUAUUAGUGCCAUUAGUUUUAAAUUUUAAAUAGUUUAAAUUUGAAUUUUUAAAAAUUUGUGUGAAUCACUAGUUUAUGAAUAACUUUACUAUAAAGUUAGAAUUUGUUUUCUAUUUAUUUUUUAUUUCUACUUACAACUAAAUACUUACAGUUUUUUAGUGAUUUGUUUUUGCUUUUAGGUCACAAAAAUUAUAAACUUUCUGUUAGUGCCUUUAGUUUUAAAUUUUAAAUAGUUUAAAUUUGAAUUUUUAAAAAUUUGUGUGAAUCACUAGUUUAUGAAUUUUUUUCUUCUUUGCUAUUUAUUUUUGAUUUAUACUUACAAUUAAAUACUUAUAGUUUGCUUUUAGGUCACACAAAUUAUAUUCUUUUUGCUAUUGAAGAAUAUUAUAGUUUUAUUUUAGUUGAUCAUAACAUAAUAUUUUAAUUGAUUGUUUUUAUUUUCAUAAAAGUUUUGUAGUUCAUUCUGUUUGCUAUUAAUUCAUUCUUUGAGCUAAAUGACUCUGAAAUUGGAAAGCAUUUCAAAAUGAACUCUGAAAAGGUUGAAAGUUGGCAUGGUAUCAUCAUUUCACCCACAUAGCAUGUUCCAAAAAGUAGAGAGGGUUACGACAAAAACUUGAUGCACUUCGUGUACAAAAUGGACAAUCACUUUCGAAGUAUCAAAGUUUCAAACCAUAAGACAUGAAAGCAUUUCGAAUGAACUCUGAAAAAGUUGAAAGUUGGGAUGCAUGGUAUCAUAAUUUCACCCACAUAGCAUUUUCUUAUUGCGGGAGAAAGUCUUCACUUUUUCUUCGCUUGUGUCAUUUGCUUAUUGCGCCGUAACCAUGGAUAAUCUUCAUUGUUUUUAAGGAUGCUUGGGUCAGCCUUGACAUUGAAGGGAGGAAUUUCAUGAAACUUUUCAUAAUCUUCAGACAUGUCUGUCUUGCCGUCCACUCCCAGGAUGUCCCUUUUUCCUGAAAGAACUAUGUGGCGCUUUGGCUCAUCGUAUGAUGUAUUCGCUUCCUUAUCUUUUCUUUUUCUCGGUUUAGUAGACAUGUCCUUCACAUAGAUAACCUGUGCCACAUCAUUGGCUAGGACGAACGGUUCGUCAGUGUACCCAAGAUUUUUCAGAUCCACUGUUGUCAUUCCGUACUGUGGGUCUACUUGUACCCCACCGCCAAACAGAAUGACCCAUUUGCACUUAAACAAAGGGACCUUAAAAUCAGGUCCGUAGUCAAGUUCCCAUAUGUCCACUAUGUAACCAUAAUAUGUGUCCUUUCCUCUCUCGGUUGCUGCAUCAAAGCGGACACCGCUGUUUUGGUUGGUGCUCUUUUGAUCUUGGGCGAUCGUGUAAAAUGUAUUCCCAUUUAUCUCGUAUCCUUUGUAAGUCAAUACAGUCAAAGAUGGUCCCCUGGACAACAAGUACAACUCAUCACAAACAGUGUUGUCACCUCUGAGACGUGUUUCCAACCAACUCCUGAAAGUCCUGAUGUGUUCACAUGUAAUCCAGUCGUCGCAUUGCUCCGGGUGUUUGGAGCGCAGACUGUUCUUGUGUUCAUCGACAUACGGGGUCCCCAAGGUAGAGUUCUGUAGAACUGUGUAGUGUGCUUGAGACCAAGAAUAUCCGUCCCUGCAUAUUAUUGAGUCUCUUCCAAGAGUGCCUUUUCCAGUCAGUCUCCCCUCAUACCGCGAUUUAGGGAGACCUAUCUUGUUAAGGCCAGGAAUGAAGUCAACACAAAACCCGAUAACAUCCUCUGUUUGAUGGCCCAUGGAGAUGCUUCCUUCUGGCCUAGCGCGGUUACGGACAUAUUUCUUUAGGACUCCCAUGAACCUCUCAAAGGGGAACAUAUUGUGUAGAAAUACGGGCCCCAGGAUGACAAUCUCGUCGACUAGAUGAACUAGGACGUGCGUCAUGAUAUUGAAGAAGGAUUGUGGGAACACCAGCUCGAAACUGACAAGACAUUGCGCCACAUCACUCCUUAGCCUUGGUACCAUUUCUGGAUCGAUCACCUUCUAAGAGAUUGCAUUGAGGAAUGCACAUAGCUUCACAAUGGCUAAUCGGACGUUUUCCGGUAAAAGCCCCCUCAAUGCAACCAGAAGCAGUUGCGUCAUAAUCACGUGGCAGUCAUGAGACUUUAGGUUCUGAAACUUUUUCUCUGGCAUAUUUAUUAUUCCCUUUAUAUUCGAUGAGAAGCCAGUCAUGACCUUCAUACUAAGCAGGCAUUCAAAGAAGAUUUCUUUCUCUUCUUUCGUAAGAGUGUAGCUGGCAGGACCUUUAUACUGCUUCGGAGGCAUGUCAUCUUUUUUGUGCAAACGUUGCAGGUCCUCCCAUGCCUCCGGCGUAUCUUUUGUCUUCCCAUACACGCCCAAGAAGCCUAGCAGGUUCACGCAAAGGUUCUUCGUCACGUGCAUCACGUUGAUUGAGGAGCGGACCUCUAGGUCUUUCCAGUAGGGUAGGUCCCAAAAUAUAGAUUUCUUCUUCCACAUGGGUGUGUGUCCCUCAGCGUCAUUCGGAACAGCUAGUCCACCGGGACCCUUUCCAAAGAUGACGUAGGGUAAAUCAUUGACCAUAGCAAGCACGUGAUCACCGGUGCGCAUGGCGGGCUUCUUUCGGUGAUCUGCCUCGCCUUUGAAAUGCUUGCCUUUCUUUCGACAUUGAUGGUUGGUCGGAAGAAAUCGACGAUGGCCCAGGUGCACAUUCUUCCUGCAUUUGUCCAGGUAUAUACUUUCAGUGUCAUCUAAACAGUGCGUGCAUGCGUGGUAUCCUUUGUUUGUCUGUCCUGAAAGGUUACUGAGAGCGGGCCAAUCGUUGAUGGUCACGAACAGCAACGCCUUAAGGUUAAAUUCCUCCUGUCUGUGCUCAUCCCACGUACGUACACCAUUUUCAUUCCACAGCUGUAAAAGUUCUUCAACUAAUGGACUUAGGUACACAUCAAUUUCGUUGCCGGGUUGCUUAGGGCCUUGGAUGAGAACUGGCAUCAUAAUGAACUUCCGCUUCAUGCACAUCCAAGGAGGAAGGUUAUACAUACAUAGAGUCGCGGGCCAGGUGCUGUGAUUACUGCUCUGCUCCCCGAAAGGAUUAAUGCCAUCCGCGCUUAAAGCAAACCAUACAUUCCUAGGGUCCUUUGCAAACUCAUCCCAGUACUUUCUCUCGAUUUUUCUCCACUGCGACCCGUCAGCGGGUGCUCUCAACUUCCCAUCUUUCUUUCGUUUCUCACUGUGCCAUCGCAUCAACUUGGCAUGCUCUUCGUUUCUGAACAGACGUUUCAACCGUGGUAUUAUAGGAGCAUACCACAUCACCUUUGCAGGGACCCUCUUCCUGAGGGGCUCGCCGUCAACAUCACCGGGGUCAUCUCGUCUGAUCUUAUACCGCAACGCACCGCAUACCGGGCAUGCGUUCAGAUCCUUGUAUGCACCGCGGUAGAGGAUGCAGUCAUUAGGGCAUGCAUGUAUCUUCUCCACCUCCAAUCCUAGAGGGCAUACGACCUUCUUUGCUGCGUAUGUACUGUCGGGCAAUUCGUUAUCCUUUGGAAGCUUCUUCUUCAAUAUUUUCAGUAGCUUCUCAAAUCCUUUGUCAGCCACAGCAUUCUCUGCCUUCCACUGCAGCAAUUCUAGUACGGUACUGAGCUUUGUGUUGCCAUCUUCGCAAUUGGGGUAUAACCCUUUUUUGUGAUCCUCUAACAUGCGAUCGAACUUCAGCUUCUCCUUUUGACUAAUGCAUUGCGUCCUUGCAUCGACAAUGACCCGGCGGAGAUCAUCAUCAUCGGGCACAUCGUCUGGUUCCUCUUGAUCUUCAGCAGCUUCACCUGUGGCAGCAUCAUUGGGCACAUCAUCAUCUGGUUCCUCUUGAUCUUCACCAGCUCCCCCCGUUGCAGCAUCACCGUAUUCAGGGGGCACAUAGUUGUCAUCGUACUCUUCUUCUUCGCCGUCUUCCAUCAUAACCCCUAUUUCUCCGUGCCUCGUCCAAACAUUAUAGUGUGGCAUGAAACCCUUGUAAAGCAGGUGGGAGUGAAGGAUUUUCCGGUUAGAGUAAGACCUCGUAUUCCCACAUUCAGUGCAUGGACAACACAUAAAACCAUUCUGCUUGUUUUCCUCAGCCGCAUCGAGAAACUCAUGCACACCCUUAAUGUACUCGCGGGUGUGUCUGUCACCGUACAUCCAUUGCCGGUUCAUCUGCGUGCAUUAUAUAUAAUUAAGUGUCCAAAUUAAUAGAAGUUCAUCAUCACAUUAAAACCAAAGUGCAUACAUAGUUCUCAUCUAACAACAUAUAGCUCUCCAGAGCAUCUAAUUAAUUAAACCAUACAUUGAAACUAUGUAAAACAUUUCAAUGCGAAAACAAAUGCGAUCAUAAUCGCAACCAAGGUAACAAUUGAUCCAACGGCAUAAUGAUACCAAGCCUCGGUAUGAAUGGCAUAUUUUCUAAUCUUUCUAAUCUUCAAGCGCAUUGCAUCCAUCUUGAUCUUGUGAUCAUCGACGACAUCCGCAACAUGCAACUCCAAUAUCAUCUUCUCCUCCUCAAUUUUUUUUAUUUUUUCCUUCAACAAAUUGUUUUCUUCUUCAACUAAAUUUAACCUCUCGACAAUAGGGUCGGUUGGCAUUUCCGAUUCACAUACAUCCUAGAUAAAUAAAAUCUAUGUCACGUUGGUCAGCAUAAUUUUCAUAAACAAUAAAUGAACCAAUAGUUAUAAAGAUAAUAUACAUACCACAUCCGAAUCAUAGACAGGACGAGGGCCGACGGGGGCGGAUACCAAAACCAUCGCACUAUAUAAGAUGCAAUAAUAAAUGUAAGAAAAUGAUACAAGUAUCUAUCUAAACAUACAAGUAAGAAUAUUUUUCCUUUCAGAAAGAAGAUAAGAACAAGAGGCUCACCACGGUGGUGUCGGUGAUGAGAUCGGCGCGGGUGAUCGACGGCAGUGAAGACGGGGACGGGGCGUGACGGACCGCUAAAUCUAGACAAAUCUCGAGGAAAAUGGAGCUUGGAGGUCGAGCUUCGAGAGGAGAAAGCUUAAGUAGUGUGGCUCGGGCAUUCCAUCGAACACCUCAUGUGCAUAGGAGGUGAGCUAGAGCACCACAAAGCCCUCUCCCCCUCGGCCAGAGAAAACAGAGCACUGGGGUGCUCUGCUCACGAGCGAGGGGUAUAUAUAGGCACCUCAUUGGUCCCGGUUGGUGGCAUGAGCCGGGACUAAAGGGAAGCCUUUGGUCCCGGUUCGGGCCACCAACCGGGACCAAUGAUGGUGGGCCAGGAGGGAGGCCCAUUGGUCCCGGUUCGUCCCACCAACCGGGACCAAAAGGUCCAUACGAACCAGGACCAAUGGCCCACGUGGCCCGGCCGGCCCCCUGGGCUCACGAACCGGGACCAAUUCCCACAUUGGUCCCGGUUCAAGACUGAACCGGGACUAAUGGGCUGAGGCGGCCUGGACCAUAGCCCCUUUUUCUACUAGUGCUUAUGGAAAUUAUAAUAAGAUGCCCUCUAAUUUUGAGAAUAGUGUUAAAUAAUUUAUGAGUUCGCAAAAGAAUUUCAAUGCUUUGAUUGAAGAAAAAUUGCUUAAGAUUGGUGAUUUGGCUAGGAACGUGGAUAGAACUACCCUUGAUGUCGAUUCUUUGAAACUUAGAUCUAUUUCACAUAAGCAUGAUAUCAAUGAGUCUCUCAAGGCUAUGAGAAUUCCCAUUGAUGAGUGCAAGGAAAGAACCGCUAAGAUGCGUGCUAAAAAAGAUUGGUUUAUAAAAGCGUGUUCUUCUAGCUAGUUUCCGUGAAAAUAAUGAUGAAGAUCUUAAAGUGAUUGAUGUGACUCCUAUUGAAUUUUUGUUUUCCAAUAUAAAUCUUGAGAAAGAUGGGACUGGAUAUGAGUCAACUUUAGUUAGAAGGCGUCCCAAUGAUUCGGAGUUUUUAGAUAUUAAUGCAAAAAUUGAUAAAAGUGGGAUUGGAGAGGUUAAAACUUUAGGUAGUAAUGAACCCACUCUUUUGGAUUUCAAGGAAUUUAAUUAUAAUAAUUUCUCUUUAAUAGAUUGUAUUUCCUUGUUGCAAUCCAUGUUGAAUUUUCCUCAUGCUUAUAAUCAAAACAAAGCUUUUACUAAACAUAUCAUUGAUGCUAUGAUGCAAUCCUUUGAAGAAAAGCUUGAAUUGGAAGUUUCUAUUCCUACACUAGUAGACAAAGGGUCAAACAUGAAGCACAUUAGUGCCGGUUUGAAUUUGAGCCGGCACUAAUGUGUGCAUUAGUGCCGGUUCCAACGGCUAGCCGGCCGCUCUCAUUAGUACCGGUUCAUGGCGAACCUUUAGCACCGGUUCGUGCCACGAACCGGUACUAAAGUGAGUGGUGGCAGGAUGUUGUCACUCCGGGGCCCCUCCAGCACCUUUAGUACCGGGUCGUAUCACGAACCGGUCCUAAAGGCCGUCCUACAUAGACCCUUCGUCCACCCGAGCUCGCUCUGUUCUUCCCCUUUCCCCUCUCCUCUUUGUACUUUUCCCUCUUCCUCUCAAUCUCAUCACACAUUUUGCCCAAAAUUUGUCAAGAUUUGAAGGCCCCCAUCCAUUCAAAUGAUCACAAAGGUUAGCAACUUUUUCCUUUCAUCUCUCAUUGCUAGAUUAGCUCGUGCAAUGCUUUAUAUAGUGAUUGAUUUUUGAGUUUAGUAAUUUGGGAGGAAUUAUAUAUAUGUGCUAGUAUUUGAUUUAUAUGCAAUUUUAGGUCAAAAAUAACACUUAGUUUGCAUAUGUAGGUGUGGUUUACGUAGUACCUUCUAAAUCUCCGUCGUAACCACCGUCGAUCGCUCGCAACGUCCCGUCACCAGCACCACCUUUUGGUGAGCCUCUUGUUCAUGAAGUUUUAUAUAAAAAAUUGAUGUUUGUGUGAUUUGGAUAUAUAGUUACUCGUAUAAUUAUCUUACCCAUACGUUGUUUGUUAUACAUAGUGCCAUGGUUUUGAUAUCCGUCCCCGUUGGCCCUCGUCCGGGUUAUGAUUCGGAUGUGGUAUAUUCUAUUUUAAAACUAUUCAUUGCAUUUCGUGUUUAUGACAAAUUAUGCCCAUCAAGUUGACAUAGAUAUUUGUAUGUAGGAGGUAGUUGAAACGGAAAUUCCAACCGACCCUAUUGUCGAGAGGUUAAAUUUAGUUGAAAGAGAAAACGAGGAUUUGAAGGAAAAAUUGAAAAGAAUUGAGGGGGAGAAGAUGGAAUUGGAGUUGCAUGUUGCCGAUGUCGUCGAUGAUCACAAGAUUAAGAUGGAGAAAAUGCGCUUGAAGAUUAGAAAGAUUAGAAAAUAUGCCAUUCAUAGUGAGGCUUGGUAGCAUUAUGCUGUUGGAUCAAUUGUUACCUUAGUUGCGAUCUUGAUCGCAUUUGUUGUUGCAUUUAAAUUCUUUAGCUAGGGACUUAUUUGUUUGUUGCAUUUAAGUGUUGUAUGAUCUUUAUGUAUGAACCUUAUGUAUUGUAUUAAUUUGAUGUUUUCGGUGUUGUGUAUUGAAGAUGAGCCGGCAAUGGAUGUACGAUGACUGAUGCUCUCCCAAGUUCAUUAAUGGCGUGCGUACUUUUCUGCUUGCGGCUGAGGCAAACAAGCGAGCGGAUGGUUGUAUGCCUUGUCCAUGUGCUGGCUGUAAGAAUGGUCACAGUUACUCUACGUCAAGAACCAUUCACGUCCACCUGUUUGAGUCUGGUUUCAUGCCCCACUAUAAUGUUUGGACCAAGCAUGGAGAAAGAGGGGUUAUGAUGGAAGACAAUGAAGAAGAAGAGGACGACGAAAGCUAUCCUGGCCAUGGGUUCCCUGAAUACGGUGAUACAACAAUGAGGGAAGAAGCUGAGCCGGUAAUGCGGGAAGAAGCUGAGCCGGCAAUGCGGGAAGAAGCUGAACAAGAGGCACGGAUGAGCCCGUUGAUGAUCUAGGUCGGGCCAUUGCCGAUGCAAAGAGAAACCGCGCUAGUGAUUUGGAGAAGAAGAAGUUGCAGCGCAUGUUAGAGGAUCACAAAAAUUGUUGUACCCGAAUUGCGUAGGUGACAAGAAAAAGCUAGGCACCACACUGGAAUUGCUGCAAUGGAAGGCAAAGAAUGGUGUAUCUGACAUGGGAUUUGGAAAGUUGCUGGUAAUGAUAAAGGAUAUGCUUCCAAAGGACAACAAAUUGCUCGAGAGUACGUACGAAGCAAAGAAGAUUGUCUGCCCUCUAGGGUUAGAGGUGCAGAUGAUACAUGCAUGCCCUAAUGAUUGCAUCCCCUACCACGGUGAGUAUGAGGAUUUGAAAGCUUGCCCGGUAUGAGGUGCAUUGCGCUAUAAGAUCAGCCACGAUGACCAUGGUGAUGUCGAGGGCGAGCGCCCCAGGAAGAAGAUACCUGCCAAGGUGAUGUGGUAUGCUCCUAUAAUACCAUGGCUGAAACGUUUGUUCCAAAACAAUGAGCAUGCCAAGGCGAUGUGAUGGCACAGAGAAGACCGUAAGAAAGACGGAAAGUUGAGAGUACCCGCUGACGGGUCGCAGUGGAGAAAAAUCGAAAGAAAGUACGGGAAGGAGUUUGCAGAUGACGCAAGGAACGUAUGGUUUGGUCUAAGCGCAGAUGGCAUUAAUCCUUUUGGGGAGCAGAGCAGCAACCAUAGCACCUGGCCUGUGACUCUAUGUUUGUAUAACCUUCCUCCUUGGUUGUGCAUGAAGCGGAAGUUCAUUAUGAUGCCAGUGCUCAUCCAAGGCCCUAAGUGUCAGGACCCCGAUUCCAAGUCACAUCGUUCUAGCCGGUAACACCUCAUAUCACUUUGCGGCCUCAUGCACGGUAUCCCACAGGUGUCGCCUUACCAUGGCCCGGGACCGUUUGCGCCUUUUGGCUCACGUAUAUGAUAGUGUCGCUAGCAUCCAUAUGACAGAGAACCCGGGCCGACAUGGCUAGUCGUGAACCCAAAGCGGCACAGACCUAUGGAGACAGGCAUACAUGAAUCACAUCAAGCAUGUCAGUCAUCAGUGAGUGAAUCCGGGCUGUAGCACUGGGCUAACAGGACUCCGGGGAACCCGGGCUGUAGCAGGCUAGGCAGGACUCCGGAUGUCACCGCGUGACAUUUCCCCGAAGGGACAGACAUAGGAACGACGUGAAACACAUGCCGGCCAGUCAAGUGUCCUGAGCAGUAGUGCUGGGCUAGCAGGACUCCGGUGAACCGGGCUGUAGCGGACUACUAUGGCUCGAGGAACACUAGACUACGUUUCCCCAUAAGAAAGGCUGCCAAGGAUAAACAACUAGAUUGUCGGAUCCCACUCAUACCAAGCAUUUCAAUCAUACACACAAUAUGCCCGAUAUGAGUACAUACAACAUGGCAUCACAAGAAAACUCUACAACUCAAAUACUUUAUUUAAAGGCUCCAGAGAGCCAUACAUAACAUGUUCAUACAGAUAGGGGUCACAUGACCCGACACUCAAGUCAUACAAUCAUACAAGCACAAGCGGAAGCAACUAGUCUGAGUACAGACACUAGAAAGAAAGAAGGCUUCUCGAAGCCUGUCUAUCUACAUAGGUCUCUCCAUGGCCAGGAUCACCACCUGGGUGGCUAGUCACUCGUCGACGUCAAGGUCUACGUAGAACCCAUCGGAGGGGCGGUGUUGUCAUCUGAAAACCGUAAUUAAGCAAACAUGAGUACAAAGGUACUCAGCAAGUCUUACAACAUAACCUACUAUAAAUGCUCAUUCUCAAGAAGGUGGUGGGGUUAUUGCAGCAAGCCAGCUUUGACUCUUGGCUAAGCUAUCCUACGGAACUCCACUAGUAAAAUAGUUUUCGCACACGAGUCCACUACUCACCAACAUAAUACUCCACCGGGGAUCCUCUCUCGUCAUCCUACGAGAGGGCCAUCCUCGGUACUCACACUUAUCUUGAGUCUUUUAGUAAUAACCAUUAACUUGUCUAUGAACUGUAUAGGCAACCAGGUAGUCCUUUACCGCGGACGCGGCUAUUCGAAUAGUUUUAUACCCUGCAGGGGUGUACUUCCUCAUACACGCUUUCACCACUUACCGCCGUUUACACGACAUGUACUCGGCAACCUUCAAGCCUUGGCCCAACGAGGGUGUCGGCCACGGCCUACCUAAACACUCAAAUCUCUAGUCCAGGUGCAUCGCCUAUCCAAGUUCCAUCCGCAGGGAGUCCGGCCGAGGUUUCCACAUACGGCCCCGAACGAUGUGAACAGGGUUCCCGAGACACCAAACAGGUGACUCGGUACACCGUGCCACGGUGUAUCUACCGCAACAUAGCCCACCCCUAGGGUCAGUGCUACGCACGGCCGCCAACACAUAACCUACAAACACCAGAAACUAUUUGCAACUCCUGGACAGAGUACUAGGGUAUUUAAGAAGCCGAGAGGGUCAAUUAAGGAUCCCAAUGCAUGGUAGUAGCUGAAUCUUAAAAUCACACAUACAGAUCUCAGUUCUUAGGGACGGCCUCAAUAAAACAACCCACCAUGUACUCCUACAUGGCCUCUCAUCGAUACCUUUACCAAAUCAUGUUCAUCACAUCCCUCACAUUACCGAUAUAACCAUUUCACUCUAGCCCAUCACCCAGAUGGACCAGACCUGACACAACUCUAAGCAUAGCAGGCAUAGCAAGGUAGGAAACACAUACCUGGCUCAAUCAACUCCUACACAUGCUAGUGGGUUUCAUCUAGUUACUGUGGCAAUGACAGGUCAUGCAGAGGAAAAGGGUUCAACUACCGUAGCACACAACAAUUUGAAUCGCGUUGUCUUAAUGCAGUAAACAAGAGCAGAAGCGAGAACAUGGGUUUGUAUCAGAAUGAUCAAUGGUUGUUUGCCUGUUGUAGUGGUAGUAGGGUACUGCCCUUCAGACGGAUACUCGGGGUUAUCCUCGGAGGCAGAACCUACCACGAAAGAUACACCGAACAUAAUCAACACAUGACAAUAUGCAACGGUAUGAUGCAUGCUAUGACAUGGCAAAAUGAAUGUGUCUUGGCCUAAUGCAAGCUGAAACAGGAUGGAAUGAACUCAUUUGAAUCAAAGAUUCAAAUGUUAGCUCAUUUAACAUGGCCUUAUUAGUGCAUUAUCUUAUUCUGCUUAAAUAGCAAGGUUAACUUGUUUUGUCAUGCAUGAAACCAUUACAGAUGGACAGAUUGAAUUUUUUUGAUCAUUUUUCAUAUAUAAAUCUUUGCAUUUGGAGCUAUGGUUGAUUUUCUAAGAUUUUUAGAAGUUUUGGCUAUUUACUGGAAUUUCCUAUUAAAGAAUAAAUCCAGUAAUUGAAUUAAUGCGUCAGCAUGACAUAGGUGUGAUGUCAGCGGGUCAACUGGGUUGGCCAGGUCAAACCUGACUGGCGGGCCCUGUCUGUCAGUGACUCAGCUAAUUAACAGAGUUAAAUUAACUCUAAUUAACUAAAAGUGGGGCCUGGGCCCACAUGUCAGUGACUGAACUAAUUAAAUUUAGUUAAAACAAAUCCUAAACUAAUCAGCAGGCCGGCCCCACCUGUCAUAGACUAACCUGGGCCCACACGGGGGUCAAACAGGGUAAACUCGCCGGCGUCUAGCCGCCGGCGAGGCCAGACGCGGCGGAGCAGUGCGGGAUUUGCACUCUGGCGACCAAAUGGGCGGCGGAGACUAUCUACGUGAUGCGGGGAGGAAGCCGCCUUUGGAAAUAUGCCCUAGAGGCAAUAAUAAAUUGAUUAUUACUAUAUUUCCUUGUUCAUGAUAAUCGUUUAUUAUCCAUGCUAGAAUUGUAUUGAUAGGAAACUCAGAUACAUGUGUGGAUACAUAGACAACACCAUGUCCCUAGUAAGCCUCUAGUUGACUAGCUCGUUGAUCAAUAGAUGGUUACAGUUUCCUGACCAUGGACAUUGGAUGUCAUUGAUAACGGGAUCACAUCAUUAGGAGAAUGAUGUGAUGGACAAGAACCAAUCCUAAGCCUAGCACAAGAUCAUGUAGUUCGUAUGCUAAAGCUUUUCUAAUGUCAAGUAUCAUUUCCUUAGACCAUGAGAUUGUGCAACUCCCGGAUACCGUGGGAGUGCUUUGAGUGUGCGAAACGUCACAACGUAACUGGGUGGCUAUAAAGGUACACUACAGGUAUCUCCAAAAGUGUCUAUUGGGUUGGCACGAAUCGAGACUGGGAUUUGUCACUCCGUGUAAACGGAGAGGUAUCUCUGGGCCCACUCGGUAGGACAUCAUCAUAAUGUGCACAAUGUGACCAAGGAGUUGAUCACGGGAUGAUGUGUUACGGAACGAGUAAAGAGACUUGCCGGUAACAAGAUUGAACAAGGUAUCGGCAUACCGACGAUCGAAUCUCGGGCAAGUAUCGUACCGAUGGACAAAGGGAAUUGCAUACGGGGUUGAUUAAGUCCUUGACAUCGUGGUUCAUCCGAUGAGAUCAUCGUGGAACAUGUGGGAGCCAACAUGGGUAUCCAGAUCCCGCUGUUGGUUAUUGAUCGGAGAGUCAUCUCGGUCAUGUCUGCAUGUCUCCUGAACCCGUAGGGUCUACACACUUAAGGUUCGAUGACGCUAGGGUUAUAAAGGAAGUUUGUAUGUGGUUACCGAAUGUUGUUCGGAGUCCCGGAUGAGAUCCCGAACGUCAUGAAGAGUUCCGGAAUGGUCCGGAGGUAAAGAUUUAUAUAUGGGAAGUCCUGUUUUGGUCACCGGAAAAGUUUCGGGUUUUAUCGGUAACGUACCGGGACCACCGGGAGGGUCCCGGGGGUCCACCAAGUGGGGCCACAAGCCCCGGAGGGCUGCAUGGGCCAAGUGUGGGAGGGGACCAGCCCCAGGUGGGCUGGUGCGGCCCCCCACCAAGGCCCAAGGCGCAAGGAAGAGGGGAAGGGGGCAAACCCUAGGGCAGAUGGGCCCUAAGGCCCACCCUGGUGCGCCUCCCCCUCUCCCCUCCCCUUGGCCGCCCCUAGAUGGGAUCUAGGGGGCUGCCGCCACCCCUAGGGAGGGAACCCUAGGUGGGGGCGCAACCCAUCCCCUCCCCCUAUAUAUAGUUGAGGUUUGGGCUGCCCAAUACACAUGAGUUCCUCUCUUUCUUGGCACAGCCCUAUCCCUCUCUUUCUCCUCAUAUCUCGCAGUGCUUGGUGAAGCCCUGCUGGAUCACCAUGCUCCGCCAUCACUACCACGCCGUUGUGCUGCUGUUGGAUGGAGUCUUCCUCAACCUCUCCCUCUCUCCUUGCUGGAUCAAGGCAUGGGAGACAUCGUCGGGCUGUACGUGUGUUGAACGCGGAGGUGCCGUCCGUUCGGCACUAGGAUCUCCGGUGAUUUGGAUCACAACGAGUACGACUCCUUCAACCCCGUUCUCUUGAACGCUUCCACUUAGCGAUCUACAAGGGUAUGUAGAUGCACUCUCCUUCCCCUCGUUGCUGGUUUCUCCAUAGAUAGAUCUUGGUGACACGUAGGAAACUUUUGAAUUUCUGCUACGUUCCCCAAUAGUGGCAUCAUGAGCUAGGUCUAUUGCGUAGAUUCUAUGCACGAGUAGAACACAAAGUAGUUGUGGGCGUUGAUUUUGUUCAAUAUGCUUACCGUUACUAGUCCAAUCUUGUUUCGACGGUAUUGUGGGAUGAAGCGGCCCGGACCGACCUUACACGUACUCUUACGUGAGACAGGUUCCACCGACUGACAUGCACUAGUUGCAUAAGGUGACUAGCGGGUGCCAGUCUCUCCCACUUUAGUCAGAACGGAUUCGAUGAAAAGGGUCGUUAUGAAGGGUAAAUAGCAAUUGGCAUAUCACGUUGUAUUUUUGCGUAGGUAAGAAACGUUCUUGCUAGAAACCCAUAGCAGCCACGUAAAACAUGCAAACAACAAUUAGAGGACGUCUAACUUGUUUUUGCAGGGUAUGCUAUGUGAUGUGAUAUGGCCAAGAAGAAUGUGAUGAAUGAUAUGUGAUGUAUGAGAUUGACCAUGUUCUUGUAAUAGGAAUCAUGACUUGCAUGUCGAUGAGUAUGACAACCGGCAGGAGCCAUAGGAGUUGUCUUUAUUUAUUGUAUGACCUACGUGUCAUUGAACAACGCCAUGUAAUUACUUUACUUUAUUGCUAACUGGUAGCCAUAGUGGUAGAAGUAAUAAGUUGGCGAGACAACUUCAUGGAGACACAAUGAUGGAGAUCAUGGUGUCAUGCCGGUGACGAUGAUGAUCAUGGAGCCCCGAAGAUGGAGAUCAAAAGGAGCAAUAUGAUAUUGGCCAUAUCAUGUCACUAUUUGAUUGCAUGUGAUGUUUAUAAUGUUUAUACAUCUUAUUUGCUUAGAAUGACGGUAGUAAAUAAGAUGAUCCCUCAUUAAAAUUUCAAGAAAGUGUUCCCCCUAACUGUGCACCGUUGCGAAAGUUCGUCCUUUUGAAGCACCACGUGAUGAUCGGGUGUGAUAGAUUCUUACGUUCGAAUACAACGGGUGUUGACGAGCCUAGCAUGUACAGACAUGGCCUCGGAACACAUGCAAAACACUUAGGUUGACUUGACGAGCCUAGCAUGUACAGACAUGGCCUCGGAACACAAGAGACCGAAAGGUCGAGCAUGAGUCGUAUGGUAGAUACGAUCAACAUGAAGAUGUUCACCGAUGUUGACUAGUCCGUCUCACGUGAUGAUCGGACACGGCCUAGUUGACUCGGAUCAUGUAAUCACUUAGAUGACUAGAGGGAUGUCUAUCUGAGUGGGAGUUCAUAAGAUGAACUUAAUUAUCCUGAACAUAGUCAAAAGGACUUUGCAAAUUAUGUCGUAGCUCACGCUAUAGUUCUACUGUUUAGAUAUGUUCCUAGAGAAAAUUUAGUUGAAAGUUGAUAGUAGCAAUUAUGCGGACUAGGUCCGUAAACUGAGGAUUGUCCUCAUUGCUUCAUAGAAGGUUUAUGUCCUUAAUGCACCGCUCAGUGUGCUGAACCUCGAACGUCGUCUGUGGAUGUUGCGAACAUCUGACAUACACAUUUUGAUAACUACGUGAUAGUUCAGUUAAACGGUUUAGAGUUGAGGCACCGAAGACGUUUUGAAACGUCACGAAACAUAUGAGAUGUUUCGAGGGCUGAAAUUGGGAUUUCAGGAUCGUGCCCACAUCAAGAGGUAUAAGACCUCCGACGAUUUUUCUUAGCCUGCAAACUAAGGGAGAAAAGCUCAACUGUUGAGCUUGUGCUCAGAUUGUCUGAGUACAACAAUCAUUUGAAUCGAGUGGGAGUUGAUCUUCCAGAUGAGAUAGUGAUGUUUCUCCGAAGUCAUUACCACCAAGCUGCUAGAGCUUCGUGAUGAACUAUAAUAUAUCAGGGACAUAUAUGAUGAUCCUUGAGAUAUUCGCGAUGUUUGACACCACAAAAGUAGAAAUCAAGAAGGAGCAUCAAUUGUUGAUGGUUGGUGAAACCACUAGUUUCAAGAAGGGCAAGGGCAAGAAGGGAUACUUCAUGAAAUGGCAAUUCAGCUGCUGCUCUAGUGAAGAAACCCAAGGUUGAACCCAAACCCGAGACUAAGUGCUUCUGUAAUAAGGGAAACAACCACUGGAGCAGAAUUACCCUAGAUACUUGGUAGAUGAGAAGGCUGGCAAAGUCGAUAGAAGUAUAUUGGAUAUACAUUGUGUUAAUGUGUACUUUACUAGUACUCCUAGUAGCACCAUGGUAUUAGAUACCGGUUCGGAUGCUAAAUGUUAGUAAACUCGAAAUAAAAGGCUGCAGAGUAAACGGAGACUAGCCAAAGGUGAGCUGGCAAAAUGUGUUGGAAGUUUUUCCAAGCUUGAUGUCAUCAAGCAUCGCACGCUCCCUCUACCAUCGAGAUCGGUGUUUGCGUUGAGCAUAGACAUGAUUGGAUUAUGUCUAUCGCAAUACGGUUAUUCAUUUAAGGAGAAUAAUGGUUACUCUGUUUAUUUGAAUAAUACCUUCAAUGGUCUUGCACCUAAAAUGAAUGGUUUAUUGAAUCUCGAUCGUAGUGAUACACAUGUUCAUGCCAGAAGAUAUAAGAUAGUAAUGAUAGUACCACCUACUUGUGGCACUGCCAUGUAAGUCAUAUCGGUAUAAAACGCAUGAAGAAGCUCCAUGUUGAUGGAUCUUUGGGCUCACUCGUUUUUGAAAAGUUUGAGACAUGCGAACCAUGUCUAUUGGUGUAUAUGCAUGAAGAAACUCCAUGCAAAUGGACCGUUUGGACUCACUCGAUUUUGAAUCACUUGAGACAUGCAAAUCAUACCACAUGGGCAAGAUGACUGAAAGCCUCGUUUUCAGUAAAAUGGAACUAGAAAGAAACUUGUUGGAAGUAAUACAUUUUGAUGUGUGCAGUCCAAUGAGUGCUGAGGCAUGUAGUGGAUUUCAUUAUGUUCUUACUUCACAGAUGAUUUGAGUAGAUACUGAGUAUAUUUACUUGAUGAAACAUAAGUCUGAAUUAUUGAAAGGUUCAAGUAAUUUCAGAGUGAAGUUGAACAUCGUCGUGACAAGAGGAUAAAAUGUCUAUGAUAUGAUCGUAGAGAUGAAUAUCUGAAUUACGAGUUUGGCACAAAAUUAAGACAUUAUGGAAAUUGUUUCACAACUAAUACAGUCUGGAACACCACAGUGUGAUGGUGUGUCCGAAUAUCAUAACUGCACCCUAUUGGAUAUGAUGCAUACCAUGAUGUCUCUUAUCAAAUUACCACGAUAGUUUAUGGGUUAGGCAUUAGAGACAACCACAUUCACUUUAAAUAGGGCACCACGUAAUUCCGAUGAGAUGACACCGUAUGAACUAUGGUUUAGAGAAACCUAAGCUGUCAUUUCUUAAAAGUUUGGGGCUGCGACGCUUAUGUGAAAAAGUUUUAGGCUGAUAAGCUCGAACCCAAAGCGGAUAAAUGCAUCUUCAUAGGACACCCAAAAUAGUUGGGUAUACCUCCUGUCUCAGAUCCGAAAGCAAUAAGGGAUUGUUUCUAGAAUCGAGUCCUUUCUCGAGGAAAGGUUUCUCUCGAAAGAAUUGAGUGUGAUGAUGGUGGAGAUUUGAUGAGGUUAUUGAACUGUCUCUUCAACUAGUGUGUGGCAGGGCACAGGGAGUUGUUCCUGUGGCACCUACACCAAUUGAAGUGGAAGCUUAUGAUAGUGAUCAUGAAACUUCAGAUCAAGUCACUACCAAACCUCGUGGGAUGACAAGGAUGCGUACUACUUCAGAGUGGUACGUAAUCCUAUCUUGGAAGUCAUGUUGCUAGACAACAAUGAACCUACAAGCUAUGGAGAAGCAAUGGUGGGCCUGGAUUCCAAAAUGGCUCGAAGCCAUAUAAUCCGAGAGAGGAUCCAUCUAUGAAAACAAAGUGUAGACUUUGGAAGAACUACUUGAUGGUCGUAAGGCUGUUAGGUACAUAGGGAUUUUAAAAGGAAGACGGACAAUGAUAGUAAGUAUCACCAUUAAGAAAGCUUGACUUGUCGUUAAGAUGUUUUCCGACAAGUUCAAGGAGUUGACUACGAUGAGACUUUCUCACUCGUAGCGAUGCUAAGAGUCUGUUGGAAUUAUAUUAGCGAUUACUGCAUUAUUUAUGAAAUCUUGCAGAUAGGAUAUCAAAACAUUGUUUCCUCGAUGUUUUUUUGAGGAAAGGUUGUAUGUGAUACAACCAGAAGGUUUUGUCAAUCCUGAAAGAUGCUAACAAGUAUGCAAAGCUCCAGCAAUCCUUCUAAGGACUGGAGUAAGCAUCUCGGAGUUGGAAUGUAUGCUUUGAUGAGAUGAUCAAAGUUUUGGGUGUAUACAAAGUUUAUGAGAAACUUGUAUUUCCAAAGAAGUGAGUGGGAGCACUAUAGAAUUUCUGAUGAGUAUAUGUUGUUAACAUAUUGUUGAUCGGAAAUGAUGUAGAAUUUCUGGAAAGCAUGCAGAGUUAUUUGAAAAGUGUUUUUCAAUGGAAAGCCUGGAUUAAGCUACUUGAACAUUGAGCAUGAAGAUCUAUAAGGAUAGAUCAAAACGCUUAAUGGUAAUUUCAAAUGAGCACAUACCUUGACAUGAUCUUGAAGGUGUUCAAGAUGGAUCAGUCAAAGAAGGAGUUCUUGCCUGAGUUGUAAGGUAUGAAGUUAAGACUUAAAGCUCGACCACGGAAGAAGAAAGAGGAAGGACGAAGGUCGUCCCCUAUGCUUUUGUCAUAGGCUCUCUACAGUAUGCUAUGUUGUGUGCCGCACUUGAAGUGUGCCUUGCCAUGAGUCAGUCAAGGGGUACAAGAGUGAUCCAAGAAUGGAUCACAAGACAACGGUCAAAGUUAUCCUUAGUAACUAGUGGACUAAGGAAUUUUCUCGAUUAUGGAGGUGGUAAAAGAGUUCGUCGUAAAGGGUUACGCCGAUGCAAACUUUGACACUAAUCUAGAUUAUUCUGAGUAGUAGACUGGAUUCGUAUAGUAGAACAGUUAUUUGGAAUAGCUCCAAAUAGAACGUGGUAGCUGCAUCUAGGAGAUGACAUAGAGAUUUGUAAAGCACACACGGAUCUGAAAGAUUCAGACCCGUUGACUAUAACAUCUCUCACAAGCAUAACAUGAUCAAACCCAGAACUCAUCGAGUGUUAAUCACAUGGUAAUGUGAACUAGAUUAUUGACUCUAGUAAACUCUUUGGGUGUUAGUCACAUGGGGAUGUGACCUUGAGUGUUUAUCACAUAUCGAUGUGAACUGGAUUAUUGACUCUAGUGCAAGUGGGAGACUGUUGGAAAUAUGCCCUAGAGGAAAUAAUAAAUUUAUUAUUAUUAUAUUUCCUUGUUCAUGAUAAUCGUUUAUUAUCCAUGCUAGAAUUGUAUUGAUAGGAAACUCAGAUACAUGUGUGGAUACAUAGACAACACCAUGUCCCUAGUAAGCCUCUAGUUGACUAGCUCGUUGAUCAAUAGAUGGUUACAGUUUCCUAACCAUGGACAUUGGAUGUCAUUGAUAACGGGAUCACAUCAUUAGGAGAAUGAUGUGAUGGACAAGACCCAAUCCUAAGCCUAGCACAAGAUCAUGUAGUUCGUAUGCUAAAGCUUUUCUAAUGUCAAGUAUCAUUUCCUUAGACCAUGAGAUUGUGCAACUCUCGGAUACCGUAGGAGUGCUUUGGGUGUGCCAAAUGUCACAACGUAACUGGGUGGCUAUGAAGGUACACUACAAGUAUCUCCAAAAGUGUCUGUUGGGUUGGCACGAAUCGAGACUGGGAUUUGUCACUCCGUGUAAACGGAGAGGUAUCUCUGGGCCCACUCGAUAGGACAUCAUCAUAAUGUGCACAAUGUGACCAAGGAGUUGAUCACGGGAUGAUGUGUUACGGAACGAGUAAAGAGACUUGCCGGUAACGAGAUUGAACAAGGUAUCGGCAUACCGACGAUCGAAUCUCGGGCAAGUAUCGUACCGAUGGACAAAGGGAAUUGCAUACGGGAUUAAUUAAGUCCUUGACAUCGUGGUUCAUCCGAUGAGAUCAUCGUGGAACAUGUGGGAGCCAACAUGGGUAUCCAGAUCCCGCUGUUGGUUAUUGACCGGAGAGUCAUCUCGGUCAUGUUUGCAUGUCUCCCGAACCCGUAGGGUCUACACACUUAAGGUUCGAUGACGCUAGGGUUAUAAAGGAAGUUUGUAUGUGGUUACCGAAUGUUGUUCGGAGUCCCGGAUGAGAUCCCGGACGUCAUGAGGAGUUCCGGAAUGGUCCGGAGGUAAAGAUUUAUAUAUAGGAAGUCCUGUUUUGGUCACCGGAAAAGUUUCGGGUUUUAUUGGUAACGUACCGGGACCACCGACAGGGUCCCGGGGGUCCACCAAGUGGGGCCACAAGCCCCGGAGGGCUGCAUGGGCCAAGUGUGGGAGGGGACCAGCCCCAGGUGGGCUGGUGCGCCCCCCCACCAAGGCCCAAGGCGCAAGGAAGAGGGGAAGGGGGCAAACCCUAGGGCAGAUGGGCCCUAAGGCCCACCCUAGUGCGCCUCCCCCUCUCCCCUCCCCUUGGCCGCCCCUAGAUGGGAUCUAGGGGGCUGCCGCCACCCCUAGGGAGGGAACCCUAGGUGGGGGCGCAGCCCCUCCCCUCCCCCUAUAUAUAGUUGAGGUUUGGGCUGCCCAAUACACAUGAGUUCCUCUCUUUCUUGGCGCAGCCCUAUCCCUCUCUUUCUCCUCAUAUCUCGUAGUGCUUGGCGAAGCCCUGCUGGAUCACCAUGCUCCUCCAUCACCACCACGCCAUUGUGCUACUGCUGGAUGGAGUCUUCCUCAACCUCUCCCUCUCUCCUUGCUGGAUCAAGGCAUGGGAGACGUCAUCGGGCUGUACGUGUGUUGAACGCGGAGGUGCCGUCCGUUCGGCACUAGGAUCUCCGGUGAUUUGGAUCACGAUGAGUACGACUCCUUCAACCCCGCACUACUAGGAAAAGGCCUACUAAUGGCGCACCAGUUUUGCCUACUAAUGGCGCAUCACUGGUGCGCCAUUACUAGCACGCCAUUAGUAAUUUUUACUAAUGGCGCACCACUGGUGCGCCAUUAGUAUCUGGUAUACUAAUGGCGCACCACUGGUGCGCCAUUAGUAUAGGCCACAGGUGCACCAUUAGUAUACCAGAUACUAAUGGCGCACCGCGUGGUGCGCCAUUAGUAUACCAUUCGGUGCUCCACUGGUAUUCCCUCCAGGUGCGCCACUAAUAACCUUAUAGGUGCGCCACUAGUAAUAAAGGAAGGUGCGCCACUAAUAAGGGCUUAAAUGCGCCACUACUAAUGUAUUUGGAAAACAAAAAAAAAUCUAAAUUUACAGAAAAAAACCUAUAAGGAAAAAUAAUUUAAAAACAAAAAAUGAAAUAGAAUCAUAAUUUUUAUUAUAGUAAGAAUAUUACAAUGUCUUUACAAGUUUCCAAUAAAAGGGAAAUUGCAAGGAAAUAAAAAAAAUCCUAAAGCUAAUCUUCUAGUAAUCUUCUCUUCUUUUUCUUCACUUUAUCCCUGCAAAAUGUAACAAAAUAAACACAAACACAAACAAACUAUUUAUAACAUGUCAAUACUGUCAUUUUUUCAGACCAAGUAACUAACAACUUCAGUGAGACAGGCACAGUGCAGUGUGAAUUUCAAUUGGCUAAAUCAUAUAUAGAAAUCAGUAUCUUCUCUAUGAACCUGAAACUGAGAUGACUGGACUAAUUUUGCACAUUUGAUUUAUGAAUUUAUUCUUCUUCGACAACCAACUAAACUUCGGAUCACCUACUAAGCAUCUGUACAUACUACAUAGGCUGAUUAAUCCAACAGCCACAAUGCAAAUAUUGACUAUUUCCAUUCAACUUCUUCACUUACUCAUUAUUAUCUAAUGAAACCAUUCGUAACUAAUGAAGCAGAUUGGCUAAAGUUAUUAUCAAGUCCUAAGUCCUAAUUGAAGCAGAUCUGCUAGGGUUCUUCUCGCUAGCCCCUCAUGGCCAACCGUUUCGGAACAGGCAGGCAGAGCUGCUUGGCCGGUGGCUAGGGAGUCGCUGGUGAUGUUGGGCAUCUCACACGAGCACCUGGCUAUUUGAGGAAACCGAAAUAGUAGCAUAAACAAGAUUGAUUCCGAGGAAAUGAUAGAACCUAUUCUAUCAAAGUGCUACUCCCCCCGUUCCAUAAUUCCAGUCGUGGUUUUUUAACUAAAACCAUGAAGAGAACUAUGGAAUGGAGGGAGUAGAAAACAAUAGCAUGCUUAAAAUUCUACCAUACACAGCAGCAACAGACAUUACACAAGCAUUUAUUUAUUUAUUGCAUUUGGCACAAGUUAAAAAUUCUCACAAGCAGAGGCGGUCCUAUCAGACAAAAAGAACAUGGACCGCUCAUUACAAAGCACUUCUACUGCAGUAUCAUGGAGUAGGAAAAGGGGCUUAAGCAGCAAAGAAGUAUAAUAAGAGAAAAAAACACUAUGGCGGCUGGAACUAGAAGAGCACCAUCACAGGUUCGAAACAUCACCAUGGAGUCGAUGGCCGGCAUAGCCCAUGGCAGGGCUGGAUGGGCAGCAUAAUAACACAAUAAAAGUUUGAUGUAUACUUAUUCGUUUGAAAAGAUGCAAGCUUAUUUACACCCUAGGACUGUUGAUUAGGGUCUGGAUGGUAUUUUUGUUCCUUGCGUAAGUAAGAGAAGGACUAGCAUCCAUAGUAGAAAGAAGGGUAAACAUACAUAAAGGAAAGUUUUUAUAGCGUCACGACCGAAAGAGGCUACGUGCGGCUGGGUGAAAUGGACAAGGUUUCAUGUAUGCAAUAUAUUAUAGAAAAAUAAGUGUUGACAGAAAAUGAAAGAUUUCCUGUCAAACAAACAGAGCUUCAUUUUGUAACAUUUCUGACCCACAUGAUAAUUGUACAACAUAGUAGAGGAGACCACUGUACAUACAUGUGUUGAAUGAAGCAGACUAAGAAAUAUUGGGUGGGUAUAAAGAAUACAAUAGUACGGUAGCUGAUGUAAACAAGUGCAGAGUUGCAUCCACAGAAUAGGUAACAAAUUAAAUAGCCCUGGUGCCAACAGUAGAGUUCGUGUAUCCAAUCCAUCCUUUGUUUAACACAGCAGCUCCAACUCUUGUGUAACAAAUUAAGUUUGGCAUGGGCACACAUAAAGCACUGACAUUUUCAUGGCUCGAUGGCCGUGGGCUAAGGGAGCAGAGGAGGAGGUGCGGCUCACCUCACAUGGCGGCGGAACCGAGGGAUGAAGGUGCGGCGCACCGGAGCAGGCAGAGGUGCCUUGUGUUGGCCAAACACGUGGCCAGCAGCAGAGAAGCGCUUCUCUUGCUCGACGGAUGUUGGGUGUGUGUGAGGCGUGCUCCUGCCUGCCUGCCUGCGUGAGGAACGGGAGGACCAUUAGAGAAGAGAAGGGAAGGGAAGAAGAGCAGGUAGAGGAUGGCAAGGGGAGAGGAGGGAAUCAAAAUCAAAGAUGAGAAGAUGACCUUGAGGAGGAGCAGGGGAAGAGCGGAGCAGCAGAAACAGAGGCCUUCCUCUCCCGGUGGUGAGGACCGAGGCGACCUCCGUCACGGCCUAGCCAGGUCGACGACUCUGGCGACCGUGGCUGCCAGAUCCGGUGUCACCAUGGCCGGCCUCCUCCUGUGGUGCCUGCUAGGUCGCCAUGGCCGCGGGCUCCUUGUCCGUGGCGGCUGGAUCUGGGGCCUUGGGGUGGCGGGGAGCUCCUCCUCCUGCAGCUCGGCGGCCUCCACACCCCGGAGCAACGCCGUCGCCGGAGGACGUGGUCACCUGCUCUCCUCUGGAUCCGGUGAGGAGGGUUGGGGAAGGAGCUCACCACGGCUCCAUGCCCUGGAUCUGGUGUGAGGGAGGGGGAAGGGAGCUCGCCGUGGUCAGGAGGGAGAGGAAGAGGCGGGCGGCCGGGGCUUCCCGAUCUAAAUCAAAGUCGAGGGAGGUGGGUGGGUGUGUCAGGAGGAAGGUGAGGGGGAGAGAACGUGACAAGAUGGAGGGGAUAAGGGGUGAUAGCAAUGGCGCACUGGUAGGGGUGCGCCAUACGUAUAGAUAGCAAUGGCGCAUCUCUUACUGGUGCGCCAUUACUAGUUUAAACUAGUAAUGGUGCACGGUGGAACAGUGCGCUAUUAGUAGUUUUGCAAAAAAAAGUAAUAAAAAUAUAAUAAAAAAACAACAUUAGUGGCGCACUUUUCGACAGGUGCGCCAUUACUAGUUACAACUAGUAAUGGCGCACUGUGUCUGGAUGCGCCAUUAGUAUGUUUGGACAGGCGCACUAGUUCAAAAAAAAUUGAUACUAAUGGCGCACCCUGGGCCAGGUGCGCCAUUAGUAGUUUCAACUCUAAUGGCGUAUCAGAAGGUGGUGCGCCAUUAGUAUAUACCCUUGUAGAGGACUUAGGACUUGAUAAUAACUUUAGCCAAUCUGCUUCAUUAGUUACGAAUGGUUUCAUUAGAUAAUAAUGAGUAAGUGAAGAAGUUGAAUGGAAAUAGUCAAUAUUUGCAUUGUGGCUGUUGGAUUAAUCAGCCUAUGUAGUAUGUACAGAUGCUUAGAAGGUGAUCCGAAGUUGGAGAGGUCGGGGAUGAGCUGAUGCGGCGGGGGUGGUGAAGGGGAUCUCUGGUGGCCGGAGUUGAGGACGAGCUCGGUGCAGCGUCUCCGAGGCGAGCAAGCGCUCGGGCGCGGCCUACUCGAUGUAGUCGAUGGCGGCGGAGCUCGUGGACACGAUGGCGCGGCGCGAGGACGACGGAAGGCACGGCUACGACGACGGUGCGGCGACAGAAGUGUCGGCCAUGGUGGGGAACGGCGAAGGGAUAGAGACAGGGGGGAAAUGGCGUGUCCAGGGGCUUCGGGGUGCGACGUGGAGGCGUCCAGGCGUCUAGGGGCGCGGGCGGCAAGCAGGUGACGCCGUGGUGAGCUCGGGCACGCCGGAGUCACCUCCCUGCCUGCGUGGCGGGGAAGAAGCAGCUGGCUGGCGCGAGCCAGCACAGUGCUGGGCCGCCUGGUGGGCCGGCGGGUGAGAUAGCUGGGCCGCGCCAGGUAAGCUUCUCUCUCUCUCUCUCUUUCUUAUUUGUUUUCUUUUUCUAUUUUUCUGCAACUGUUGGGCUUUAUUAAAAAUACCUAGACAUCUUUAAAAAUCCUGAAAAUAAUCAGGGGCUCUGUUUAGAUUAUUCCCAACAGCCCACACUUAUUUCUAGAAUUAUUUGAGCAUUUAAAUUAUUUUAUAGCAUUUAAAUGCCCAAAUUCAAAUACUUAUGAUUUAAUUCAAGAAAAUCCAGAAUGUCCUAGAAAAGAGUGCACCAUUUUUGCCAGGGGUUUUAGCCCAAUCCAGAAAUGAUGAACAUUUUGUGAAAGGCAUUUUGGGUUCAUUGAAAAUAAUUUUAGUAAACCCUAGUUGUUUCCAGGGGGUGCUGGGGGUUCUGUCAUCCCCAUUUCAAAUUUAAAAGGAAUUUAAACAUGAUGCACACUCUAAUGCUUGAACUAGCUAGGGUGUGACACUAAGCAACCCGGCAACGACAUAGAUGUGUACCUAAGGCCAUUAGUUGAAGAACUCUUACAACUGUGGAAUGGAACAGGUGUACGUGCGUGGGAUGAGCACAUGGGGAAAGAAUUUGACCUAAAGGCGUUGUUGUUCGUGACCAUCAAUGAUUGGCCUGCUCUCACUAACCUUUUAGGACAGACAAACAAGGGAUACCGCGCAUGCACGCACUGUUUGGACGAUGCCGACAGUAUAUAUUUGGCUAAAUGUAAGAAGAAUGUGUACCUGGGACAUCAUCGAUUUCUUCCGAGCAGGCAUCCCGUAAGAAAGAAAGGCAAGCAUUUCAAAGGUGAGGCGGAUCACCGGACGAAGCCUCGCCACCGUACUGGUGCUGAUGUACAUGAUAUGGUCAACGAUUUGAAGGUGGUCUUUGGAAAGGGUCCUGGUGGACAACCUAUUCCGAAUGACGCUGACGGACGCGCACCCAUGUGGAAGAAGAAAUCUAUAUUUUGGGACCUGCCCUAUUGGAAAGACCUAGAGGUCCGCUCCGCAAUCGACGUGAUGCACGUGACGAAAAUCUUUGUGUGACCCUGCUUGGCUUCUUGGGCGUGUAUGGGAAGACAAAAGAUACACCUGAGGCACGGGAGGACCAACAAUGUAUGCACGGAAAAGAUGGCAUACAUCAGGGUCAUGCAAGCUACGCUCUUACCAAAGAAGAGAAGGAAAUCUUCUUUGAAUGCCUGCUCAGUAUUAAGGUACCGUCUGGCUUCUCGUCUAAUAUAAAGGGAAUAAUAAACAUGGCAGACAAAAGUUCCAGAACCUAAAGUCUCAUGACUGCCACGUGAUUAUGGCGCAACUGCUUCCGGUUGCAUUGAGGGGGCUUCUACCAGAAAACGUUCGAUUAGCCAUUGUGAAGCUAUGUGCAUUUCUCAAUGCAAUCUCUCAGAAGGUAAUCGAUCCAGAAAUAAUACCAAGGUUAGAGAAUUAUUUGGUGCAAUGUCUUGUCAGUUUCGAGUUGGUGUUCCCACCAUCCUUCUUCAACAUCAUGACGCACGUCCUAGUUCACCUAUGCGAAGAGAUUAACGUUUUGGGUCAUGUAUUUCUACACAAUAUGUUCCCCUUUGAGAGGUUCAUGGGAGUCUUAAAGAAAUAUGUUCAUAACCGUGCUAGGCCAGAAGGAAGCAUCUCCAAGGCCAUGAAAAUGAGGAGGUCAUUGAGUUUUGUAUUGACUUUAUUCCUGACCUUAAGCCGAUUGGUGUUCCUGAAUCGCGGCAUAAGGGCAGACUGGAUGGAAAAGGCACGCUAGGAGGGGAACAAAUAAUAUGUAUGUACGGACAUUCUCUCACUGAAGCACACUACACAGUUCUACAGAAUUCCGCCUUGGUGGCUCCAUAUAUGGAUGAACACAAGAAUUUGCUACGCUCCAAACACCCGGAGCGGUCUGAUGACUGGAUUACACGUGAACAAACCAGAAGUUUCGCCAGCUGGUUGCAGACACGUACCAUGCAUGACACCUCUAUUGAAGAUGACCUGUACUUGCUGUCCCAGUUACCAUCUUCGAAUAUAAUGACUUUCAAAGGGUACCAGAUAAAUGGUAAUACAUUUUACACGAUCGCCCAAGAUAAGAAGAGCACCAACCAAAACAGUGGUGUCUACUUUGAUGCAGAAACCAAGACGGGAAAGGAAACAUAUUAUGGUUAUAUACCGGACAUAUGGGAACUUGACUAUCGACGUGGUUUAAAGGUCCCUUUGUUUCGGUGCAAAUGGGUCAAUAUGACACGAGGCGGGGUAACGGAAGACCCGCAGUACGGAAUGACAACAGUGGAUCUCAACAAUCUUGCGUAUGCAGACGAACCAUUCGUCCUAGCCAAUGAUGUGGCACAGGUUUUCUAUGUGAAGGACAUGUCUACCAAGCCAAGAAAAAGAAAAGAUAAGGAAGCGAAUGCAUCGUACGAUGAGCCAAAGCGGCACAUAGUUCUUUCUAGGAAGAGAAACAUCGUGGGAGUGGAUGACAAGACAGACAUGUCAGAAGAUUAUGAAAAGUUUGAUGAAAUUGCUCCAUUCACAGUGAAUAUUGACCCGAGCAUCCCGUUAAAUGAUGAAGAUUUUCCAUGGUUACGGCGCAAAGGGACGCACGCGAAGAAAAAGUUUCACACCCAAAGAUCUGGGAUGUGAUCGGCUUCACUAUCAUCACUUUCUUCUGUGUUUCACACCCAGGAGGGAAUCUCUGUAAUAGUUAGGGUAGUUAUGUGUUUUGGCAUUUGAAACGCGAAGAAAUUUUAUGUGCAAACAAAUUCUUUCAUGCCUUUACUGAUUUUUAAAGUUAAGUUAUUCACAAACUAGUGAUUCACACUAAUUUCAAAUAAUUCAAAAUUUAAACUAUUCAAAUUUGAAAACUACAGGCACUAACAGAAAGUUUGUAAUUUUUUGUACCUAAAGCAAAAAUUGAAGGAAAUAUGCCCUAGAGGCAAUAAUAAAGUUAUUAUUUAUUUCCUUAUAUCAUGAUAAAUGUUUAUUAUUCAUGCUAGAAUUGUAUUAACCGGAAACAUAAUACAUGUGUGAAUACAUAGACAAACAGAGUGUCACUAGUAUGCCUCUACUUGACUAGCUCGUUAAUCAAAGAUGGUUAUGUUUCCUAACCAUGGACAAAGAGUUGUUAUUUGAUUAACGGGAUCACAUCAUUAGGUGAAUGAUCUGAUUGACAUGACCCAUUCCAUUAGCUUAGCACCCGAUCGUUUAGUAUGUUGCUAUUGCUUUCUUCAUGACUUAUACAUGUUCCUAUGACUAUGAGAUUAUGCAACUCCCGUUUGCCGGAGGAACACUUUGUGUGCUACCAAACGUCACAACAUAACUGGGUGAUUAUAAAGGUGCUCUACAGGUGUCUCCAAAGGUACAUGUUGGGUUGGCGUAUUUCGAGAUUAGGAUUUGUCACUCCGAUCGUCGGAGAGGUAUCUCUGGGCCCUCUAAUGCACAUCACUUAAGCCUUGCAAGCAUUGCAGCUAAUGAGUUAGUUGCGGGAUGAUGUAUUACGGAACGAGUAAAGAGACUUGCCGGUAAUGAGAUUGAACUAGGUAUUGGAUACCGACGAUCGAAUCUCGGGCAAGUAACAUACCGAUGACAAAGGGAACAACGUAUGUUGUUAUGCGGUCUGACCGAUAAAAGAUCUUCGUAGAAUAUGUAGGAACCAAUAUGGGCAUCAAGGUCCCGCUAUUGGUUAUUGACCGGAGACGUGUCUCGGUCAUGUCUACAUUGUUCUCGAACCCGUAGGGUCCGCACGCUUAAGGUUUCGAUGACAGUUAUAUUAUGAGUUUAUGAGUUUUGAUGUACCAAAGGAGUUCGGAGUCCCGGCUGAGAUUGGGGACAUGACGAGGAGUCUCGAAAUGGUCGAGACGUAAAAAUCGAUAUAUUGGACGACUAUAUUCGGACAUCGGAAAGGUUCCGAGUGAUUCGAGUAUUUUUCGGAGUACCGGAGAGUUACGGGAAUUCGCCGGGAGAAGUAUUGGGCCUUAUUGGGCCAUACGGGAAAGAGAGAGGGGCUGCCUAGGGUAGGCCGCGCGCCCCCCAAGGCCUAGUCCGAAUUGGACUAGGGGGAGGGGCUGCGCCCCUUCCUUGUUUCCUACUCCUACUACAUGGAAGGACUCCUACUUGGACUAGGAAAGGGGGAAUCCUACUCCCGGUGAGAGUAGGACUUCUCUAGGCGCGCCAUAGAGAGGGCCGGCCCUCCCCUCCUGCACUCCUUGAUAUACGGGGGCAGGGGGCACCCCAUAGACACACAAGUUGAUCCACGUGAUCAUAUUCUUAGCCGUGUGCGGUGCCCCCUUCCACUAUAGUCCUCGAUAAUAUUGUAGCAGUGCUUAGGCGAAGCCCUGCGACAGUAGUACAUCAAGAUCGUCACCACGCCGUCGUGCUGACGGAACUCUUGCCCGACACUUUGCUGGAUCGGAGUCCGGGGAUCGUCAUCGAGCUGAACGUGUGCUAGAACUCGGAGGUGCCGUAGUUUCAGUGCUUGAUCGUCGGGCCGUGAAGACGUACGACUACAUCAACCGCGUUGUCAUAACGCUUUUGCUAUCGGUCUACAAGGGUACGUAGAUCACACUCUCCCCUCUCGUUGCUAUGCAUCACCAUGAUCUUGCGUGUGCGUAGGAAAUUUUUUGAAAUUACUACGUUCCCCAACAGUGGCAUCCGAGCCUAGGUUUUAUGCGUUGAUGUAAUAUGCACGAGUAGAACACAAGUGAGUUGUGGGCGAUAUAAGUCAUACUGCUUACCAGCAUGUCACAGUUUGGUUCGGCGGUAUUGUUGGAUGAAGCGGCCCGGACCGACAUUACGCGUACGCUUAUGCGAGACUGGUUCUACCGACGUGCUUUGCACACAGGUGGCUGGCGGGUGUCAGUUUCUCCAACUUUAGUUGAACCGAGUGUGGCUACGCCCGGUCCUUGCGAAGGUUAAAACAACACCAACUUGACAAACUAUCGUUGUGGUUUUUGAUGCGUAGGUAAGAACGGUUCUUGCUAAGCCCGUAGCAGCCACGUAAAACUUGCAACAACAAAGUAGAGGAUGUCUAACUUGUUUUUGCAGGGCAUGUUGUGAUGUGAUCUGGUCAAGACAUGAUGCUAAAUUUUAUUGUAUGAGAUGAUCAUCUUUUGUAACCGAGUUAUCGGCAACUGGCAGGAGCCAUAUAGUUAUCGCUUUAUUGUAUGCAAUGCAAUCGCACUGUAAUGCUUUACUUUAUCACUAAGAGGUAGCGAUAGUCGUGGAAGCAUAAAAGUGGCGAGACGACAACGAUGCUGCGAUGGAGAUCAAGGUGUCACGCCGGUGACGAUGGUGAUCAUGACGGUGCUUCGGAGAUGGAGAUCACAGGCACAAGAUGAUGAUGGCCAUAUCAUAUCACUUAUAUUGAUUGCAUGUGAUGUUUAUCUUCUAUGCAUCUUAUCUUGCUUUGAUUGACGGUAGCAUUAUAAGAUGAUCUCUCACUGAAUUAUCCAGAAGUGUUCUCCCUGAGUAUGCACCGUUGCGAAAGUUCUUCGUGCCGAGACACCACAUGAUGAUCGGGUGUGAUAGGCUCUACGUUCAAAUACAACAGGUGCAAAACAGUUGCACACGCGGAAUACUCAGGUUAUACUUGACGAGCCAAGCAUAUGCAGAUAUGGCCUCGGAACACGGAGACCGAAAGGUCGAGCGUGAAUCAUAUAGUAGAUAUGAUCAACAUAGUGAUGUUCACCAAUGAAACUACAUCUCACGUGAUGAUCGGACAUGGUUUAGUUGAUUGGGAUCAUGUGAUCGCUUAGAGGAUUAGAGGGAUGUCUAUCUAAGUGGGAGUUCUUAAGUAAUAUGAUUAAUUGAACUUAAAUUUAUCAUGAACUUAGUCCUUAUAGUAUUUUGCAAAUUAUGUUGUAGAUUAAUAGCUCGUGUUGUUGCUUCCUUGUGUUUUUUAUAUGUUCCUAGAGAAAAUUGUGUUGAAAGAUGUUAGUAGCAAUGAUGCGGAUUGGAUCCGUCAUCUGAGGUUUAUCCUCAUUGCUGCACAGAGGAAUUAUGUCCUUGAUGCACCGCUAGGUGACAGACCUAUUGCAGGAUCAGAUACUAACGUUAUGAACGUUUGGCUAGCUAAAUAUGAUGACUACUUGAUAGUUUAGUGCACCAUGCUUAACGGCUUAGAAUCGGGACUUCAAAGACGUUUUGAACGUCAUGGACCAUAUGAGAUGUUCCAGGAGUUGAAGUUAAUAUUUCAAGCAAAUACCCGAGUUGAGAGAUAUGAAGUCUCCAACAAGUUCUAUAGCUAAAAGAUGGAGGAGAAUCGCUCAACUAGUGAGCAUGUGCCCAAAUUGUCUGAGUACUACAAUCACUUGAAUCAAGUGGGAGUUAAUCUUCUAGAUAAGAUAGUGAUUGACAGAAUUCUCUAGUCACCAUCACCAAGUUAGUAGAACUUCGUGAUGAACUAUGAUAUGCAAGGGAUAACGGAAACGAUUCCCAUGCUCUUCGUAAUGCGGAAAUUGAUGAAGGUAGAAAUCGAGAAAAACAUCAAGUGUUGAUGGUAGACAAGACCACUACUUUCAAGAAAAAGGAAGAGGGAAGAAGGGGAACUUCAAGAAAAACAGCAAGCAAGUUGCUGCUCAUGUGAAGAAGCCCAAGUCUGGUCCUAAGCCUAUGACUAAGUGCUUCUACUGCAAAGGGACUAGUCACUGGAAGCGGAACUACCCCAAGUGAUUGGCGGAUAAGAAGGAUGGCAAAGUGAACAUAAGUAUAUUUGAUAUACAUGUUAUUGAUGUGUACUUUACUAGUGUUUAUAGCAACCCCUCAGUAUUUGAUGCUAGUUCAGUUGCUAAGAGUAGUAACUCGAAACGGGAGUUGCAGAAUGAACAGAGACUAGUUAAGGGUGAAGUGACGAUGUGUUUUGGAAGUGGUUCCAAGAUUGAUAUGAUCAUCAUCGCACACUCCCUAUACUUUCGGGAUUAGUGUUGAACCUAAAUAAGUGUUAUUUGGUGUUUGCGUUGAGCAUGAAUAUGAUUUGAUCAUGUUUAUUGUAAUACGGUUAUUCAUUUAAGUAAAAGAAUAAAUUGUUGUUCUGUUUACAUGAAUAAAACCUUAUUUGGUUACACACCCAAUGAAAAUAGUUCAUUGGAUGUCGAUCGUAGUGAUACACAUAUUCAUAAUAUUGAAACCAAAAGAUGCGAAGUUAAUAAUGAUAGUGCAACUUAUUUGUGGCACUGCCAUUUAGGUCAUAUUGGUGUAAAGCUCAUGAAGAAACUCCAUGCUGAUGGGAUUUUGGAAUCACUUGGUGCUUGCGAACCAUGCCUUAUGGAUAAAAUGACUAAAGACUCCGUUCUCCGGAACAAUGGAGCGAGCAACUGACUUAUUGGAAAUAAUACAUACUGAUGUAUGCGAUCUGAUGAGUGUUGAAGCUCGCGGCGGGUAUCGUUAUUUUCUGACCUUCACAUAUGAUUUGAGCAGAUAUGGUAUAUCUGCUUGAUGAAACAUAAGUCUGAAACAUUUGAAAAGUUCAAAGAAUUUCAGAGUGAAAUGGAAAAUCAUCGUAACAAGAAAAAUAAGGUUUCUACGAUCUGAUCGCGGAGACAAAUAUUUGAGUUACGAGUUUGGUCUUCAAUUAAAACUAUGUGGAAUAGUUUCACAAAUUCAUGCCACCUGGAACACCACAGCAUAAUAGUGUGUUCGAACAUCAUAACCGUACUUUAUUGGAUAUAGUGCAAUCUAUGAUGUUUCUUACCGAUUUACCACUAUAGUUUUGGGGUUAUGCAUUAGAGACAGCUGCAUUCACGUUAAAAGGGCACCAUCUAAAUCUGUUGAGACGACACCGUAUGAACUGUGGUUUGGCAAGAAACCAAAGUUGUCGUUUCUCAAAGUUUGGGGUUGCAAUGCUUAUGUGAAAAAGUUUCAUCCUGAUAAGCUCAAACCCAAAUCGGAAAAGUGUGUCUUCAUAGGAUACCCAAAAAGUUACUGUUGGGUACACCUUCUAUCACAGAUCCGAAGGCAAGACUUUUGUUGCUAAAUUCAGAAACUUUCUGGAGAAGGAGUUUCUCUCGAAAGAAGUGAGUGGGAGGAAAGUAGAACUUGAUGAGGUAACUGUACCUACUCCCUUAUUGGAAAGUAGUACAUCACAGAAAACUGUUUCUGCGACACCUACCCCAAUUAGUGAGGAAGCUAAUGAUACUGAUCAUGAAACUUCAGGACAAGAUACUAUUGAACCUCAUAGAUCAACCAGAGUGAGAUCCGCGCCAUAGUGGUACGGUAAUCCUAUUCUGGAAAUCAUGCUGCUAGAUCAUGAUGAACCUACGAACUAUGAGGAAGCGAUGAUGAGCCCAGAUUCCGAUAAAUGGCUUGAGGCCAUGAAAUCUGAGAUAGGAUCCAUGUAUGAGAACAAAGUGUGGACUUUGGUGGACUUGCCCGAGGAUCGGCAAGCCAUUGAUAAUAAAUGGAUCUUCAAGAGGAAGACGGACACGGAUAGUAGUGUUACUAUCUACAAAGCUAGAAUUUUCGCAAAAGGUUUUCGACAAGUUCAAGGUGUUGACUACGAUGAGAUUUUCUCACUCGUAUCUAUGCUUAAGUCUGUCCGAAUCAUGUUAGCAAUUGCCGCAUUUUAUGAAAUCUGGCAAAUGGAUAAACAAAACUGCAUUCCUUAAUGGAUUUAUUAAAGAAGAGUUGUAUAUGAUGCAACCAGAAGGUUUUGUCAAUCCUAAAGGUACUAACAAAAUAUGCAAGCUCCAACGAUCCAUCUAUGGACUGGUGCAAACAUCUCGGAGUUGGAAUACACGCUUUGAUAAGUUGAUCAAAGCAUAUAGUUUUAUACAGACUUGUGGUGAAGCCUGUAUUUACAAGAAAGUGAGUGGGAGCACUACAACAUUUCUGAUAAGUAUAUGUGAAAGACAUAUUAUUGAUCGGAGAUAAUGUAGUAUUAUUCUGCAAAUCAUAAAGGAAUAUUUGAAAGGAGUUUUUCAAAGAAAGACCUCGGUGAAGCUGCUUACAUAUUGAGCAUCAAUAUCUAUAGAGAUAGAUCAAGACGCUUGAUAAGUUUUUCAAUGAGGAUAUACCUUGACAAGAUUUUGAAGUAGUUCAAAAUGGAAUAGUCAAAGAAGGAGUCCUUGCCUGUGUUACAUAGGUGUGAAGUUGAGUAAGACUCAAAACCCGACCACGGCAGAAGAUAGAGAGAGAAUGAAAGUCAUUCCCUAUGCCUCAGCCAUAGGUUCUAUAAAGUAUGCCAUGCUGUGUACCAGACCUAUUGUAUACCCUGCCCUGAGUUUGGCAAGGGAGUACAAUAGUGAUCUAGGAGUAGAUCACUGGACAUUGUUCAAAAUUAUCCUUAGUGGAAUAAGGAUAUGUUUCUCGAUUAUGGAGGUGACAAAAGGUUCGUCGUAAAGGGUUACGUCGAUGCAAGUUUUGACACUGAUCCAGAUGACUCUAAGUCUCAAUCUGGAUACAUAUUGAAAGUGUGAGCAAUUAGCUAGAGUAGCUCCAUGCAGAGCAUUGUUGACAUAGAAAUUUGCAAAAUACUUACAGAUCUGAAUGUGGCAGACCCGUUGACUAAACUUCUCUCACAAGAAAAACAUGAUCACACCUCAGUACUCUUUGGGUGUUAAUCACAUAGCGAUGUGAACUAGAUUAUUGACUCUAGUAAACCCUUUGGGUGUUGGUCACAAGUUGAUGUGAACUAUGGGUGUUAAUCACAUGGUGAUGUGAACUAUUGAUGUUAAAUCACAUGGCGAUGUGAACUAGAUUAUUGACUCUAGUGCAAGUGGGAAACUAAAGGAAAUAUGCCCUAGAGGCAAUAAUAAAGUUAUUAUUUAUUUCCUUAUACCAUGAUAAAUGUUUAUUAUUCAUGCUAGAAUUGUAUUAACCGGAAACAUUAUACCUGUGUGAAUACAUAGACAAACAGAGUGUCACUAGUAUGCCUCUACUUGACUAGCUCGUUAAUCAAAGAUGGUUAUGUUUCCUAACCAUGGACAAAGAGUUGUUAUUUGAUUAACGGGAUCACAUCAUUAGGUGAAUGAUCUGAUUGACAUGACCCAUUCCAUUAGCUUAGCACCAGAUCGUUUAGUAUGUUGCUAUUGCUUUCUUCAUGACUUAUACAUGUUCCUAUGACUAUGAGAUUAUGCAACUCCCGUUUGCCGGAGGAACACUUUGUGUGCUACCAAACGUCACAACGUAACUGGGUGAUUAUAAAGGAGCUCUACAGGUGUCUCCAAAGGUACAUGUUGGGUUGGCGUAUUUCGAGAUUAGGAUUUGUCACUUCGAUCAUCGGAGAGGUAUCUCUGGGCCCUCUCGGUAAUGCACAUCACUUAAGCCUUGCAAGCAUUGCAGCUAAUGAGUUAGUUGCGGGAUGAUGUAUUACGGAACGAGUAAAGAGACUUGCCGGUAACGAGAUUGAACUAGGUAUUGGAUACCGACGAUCGAAUCUCGGGCAAGUAACAUACCGAUGACAAAGGGAACAACGUAUGUUGUUAUGCGGUCUGACCGAUAAAAGAUCUUUGUAGAAUAUGUAGGAACCAAUAUGGGCAUCCAGGUCCCGCUAUUGGUUAUUGACCGGAGACGUGUCUCGGUCAUGUCUACAUUGUUCUCGAACCCGUAGGGUCUGCACGCUUAAGGUUUCGAUGACAGUUAUAUUAUGAGUUUAUGAGUUUUAAUGUACCGAAGGAGUUCAGAGUCCCGGAUGAGAUCGGGGACAUGACGAGGAGUCUCAAAAUGGCCGAGACAUAAAAAUCGAUAUAUUGGACGACUAUAUUCGGACAUCGGAAAGGUUCCGAGUGAUUCGAGUAUUUUUCGGAGUACCGGAGAGUUACGGGAAUUCGCCGAGAGAAGUAUUGGGCCUUAUUGGGCCAUACGGGAAAGAGAGAGGGGCUGCCUAGGGCAGGCCGCGCGCCCCCAAGGCUUAGUCCGAAUUGGACUAGGGGGAGGGGCUGCGCCCCUUCCUUGUUUCCUACUCCUACUACAUGGAAGGACUCCUACUUGGACUAGGAAAGGGGGAAUCCUACUCCCGGUGAGAGUAGGACUUCUCUAGGCGCGCCAUAGAGAGGGCCGGCCCUCCCCUCCUGCACUCCUUGAUAUACGGGGGCAGGGGGCACCCCAUAGACACACAAGUUGAUCCACGUGAUUAUAUUCUUAGCCGUGUGCGGUGCCCCCUUCCACCAUAGUCCUCGAUAAUAUUGUAGUAGUGCUUAGGCGAAGCCCUGCGACAGUAGUACAUCAAGAUCGUCACCACGCCGUCGUGCUGACGGAACUCUUCCCCGACACUUUGCUGGAUCGGAGUCCGGGGAUCGUCAUCGAGCUGAACGUGUGCUAGAACUCGGAGGUGCCGUAGUUUCGGUACUUGAUCGAUCGGGCCGUGAAGACGUACGACUACAUCAACCGCGUUGUCAUAACGCUUCCGCUAUCAGUCUACAAGGAUACGUACAUCACACUCUCCUCUCUCGUUGCUAUGCAUCAUCAUGAUCUUGCGUGUGCGUAGGAAAUUUUUUGAAAUUACUAUGUUCCCCAACAAAAAUAUUCACAAAGAAACUCUAAAUACACAAAAAAAACAACUCAAAAAUAAAUAAAGCAAAAAAAAUAAAAAAAGCCCGCCUACUGGGCCAGAGCGGCCUGCAUACGACUAGAAACUCAACCUGUUGUUGGGCCAGGAUGCAGGCCCGCAAAGGUCGAGUAGGCCCACAGGGCAGCACAGAACAUGUAGGCCCAGUAGGCCUGCUUUGGAGAGGAGCUCGAGACAGCUACCGCACGGGGGGUUAUAAACCAGUGCAGACGCCCUUCGGCUAGCGAGGUGGGACUAAACUUGCUGCACCGCACCUGCGCCAAUGCACCCCCUUUAGUACCGGGUGGUGGCACCAACCGGUACUAAAGGCGGGGGUGCCUUUAGUACCGGUUGGAGCCACCACCCGGUACUAAAGGGGGUGCGCUUCCCGCCGCUUGGACUGGCCAAAACAGGCCUUUAGUACCGGUUGGUGGCUCCAACCGGUACUAAAGGUCCAUCCUAUAUAUCCAAACACUUCAAAAAUUUCAGUUUUUCAUCUGCUUCUUCUCCUCUGCCCCGUCGCCCGCCGCCCCCGUCUCCAUAUCCCUCGUCGCCGCCCCCGUCGCCGCCCCGUCCCCGUCGUCGNNNNNNNNNNNNNNNNNNNNNNNNNNNNNNNNNNNNNNNNNNNNNNNNNNNNNNNNNNNNNNNNNNNNNNNNNNNNNNNNNNNNNNNNNNNNNNNNNNNNNNNNNNNNNNNNNNNNNNNNNNNNNNNNNNNNNNNNNNNNNNNNNNNNNNNNNNNNNNNNNNNNNNNNNNNNNNNNNNNNNNNNNNNNNNNNNNNNNNNNNNNNNNNNNNNNNNNNNNNNNNNNNNNNNNNNNNNNNNNNNNNNNNNNNNNNNNNNNNNNNNNNNNNNNNNNNNNNNNNNNNNNNNNNNNNNNNNNNNNNNNNNNNNNNNNNNNNNNNNNNNNNNNNNNNNNNNNNNNNNNNNNNNNNNNNNNNNNNNNNNNNNNNNNNNCUCGCCGAUGAGCACACACGCACAUACAUUUUUUUAGUUUUUUAGUUAUAGAAAUAGUUAUAAAAAUGUUAGAAAAUUUUCUUUUCUUAGUUAUAGAAAUAGUUACUUAUAUAUCAUUAUUAGAAAUGUUAGAAUUGUUAGAAAUUUUUUCUGUUUUUUAGUUAUAGAAAUAGUUAUAAAAAAGUUAGAAUUGUUAGAAAUUUUUCUGUUUUUUAGUUAUAGAAAUAGUUAUAAAAAAGUUAGAAAUUUUUCUUUUUUUAGUUAUAGAAAUAUUAGAAAUGUUAUACAAAUGUUAGUUAUACAGAUAGAAAUGUUAUAAUUUUUUUUGUUUUUUAGUUAUAGAAAUAUUAGAAAUGUUAUAGAAAUGUUAGUUAUAUAGCAUUGUUAGAAAUGUUAUAGGAAUGUUAGUUAUAUAGAAAUGUUAGAACUUUGAGUUAUCAAAAUCCAAUUAUUAAAAAAAUGUUACUUUUUGCGGGCAUAUAGCUAGUACUUGUUCUCGACGAUGCCCGGCCCGCAUCCUCGCCGUCGACCCGUCCGCGACGACGUCCGGCUGACCCAUGUCCGAGACUGGGCUCCGCCGGGCUGGCACUGGGGGGGCGCGCCGCUUGAUGAGGAACAUGGCCCCGGGUCCCGUCGUCGACCCUGAUCUAGUUUGGAGGCGUUCGCGUCGGCCAGUUUCGGUGCGGAGGGAGCCGGCCCCGCCGGAGGUGGUACGUCGCCGUGUUAGGGAGGAGGACGAGCACGUCCAUCGCUACAUGGUUGCGUUAGAGGGCGGCAGGUUCUCCAAUACCUGGCAGUUUCUUCAGGGAUCUCACUUCAGCUAUGAUCCUGUGAGGGUUCCUUCUCUUUGGGUGUCCACCGCCCGCGCCGCAGGAACUGCGAGUGUCCUAGAUUCUUCUGUAGUCAGUGAUGUAUUCGAUAUAUAAUAUUCGAGACGAUGUAUUCGAGAUUAUAUAUUAUUCGAGACGAUGUAUUCGAGAUUAUAUCUAUUAUUCGAGACGAUGUAUUCGAGAUUAUAUCUAUUAUUCAAGACGAUGUAUUCGAGAUUAUAUCUAUUAUUUGAGACGAUGUAUUCGAGAUUAUAUCUAUUAUUCGAGACGACGUAUUCGAGAUUAUAUUUGAUGAUGCUUAUAUGUACUAUGAUUGAUUCAGUUUUUCCUUAUUAAUUGAUUGCAUCCAUGCAUUGUAAUUUGAAUAUAUUUCUUUUGGAUUAGUUAAACAAAACCUAUGGCGGACAAUACCGGUAGAGAGGGAGAAGAGGCCCUGUUCAAUAUCAUAUGCAAUCCUCGCGGGCCAGAUGAUGAUCAGAAUGAAGAAGAUUAUGACGGCUCCGAAUAUGUAAACAACACCGGGGAGGGUGAUAUGAUAUUCGAUCGCGACGACUGAAUUGAUGAAGUCAUGAACUAUGAACAUGACAAAGAAAAUGUUGAUCUUGAAACAACAAAGACCGGCGAGGUAUAUAUAUUUAUAUAAGCAGGCAUCUGGUGAUCAUCACAUGUUUUAAAUGACUCGAAGAUAUAUUAACGAAUCGAUCUUUCUUCUUUCAGCUAUCUGGAUCGAGCAAAUCUUCAGGCAACAGGAUGAAAUGAGGCCCAAACAAAAAGUUGAAGGAGGGCGUAAAGUACAAUAUCGAGGCAAUCAGACCUAAUGGCGAACCAUUAGCGCCUAAGAAGAUUGCGGACAAGUUCGUUCGUCAGUGCGGAGUUCUUGUGAAGGACCUACUCCCGAUCUCCCUUCAAGAAUGGAGAGAGCCAGCAAACCAACGUCCAGAUCUUACUUUUGUCGAUGACAGACAAAAAGGUCUGCUUUGGGAUACUCUCAUGGAACAUUUCACCCUACCAGAUCAUUUCACAGAAGCAGAUGUGCAGAAAGUAAAGGACGCUGCUCUUAGGAAGAUGGCGGUUGCAUUCAAGAACCAUAAGAAUCAUGAAUGGGACAAGUACAUCAAGGGAGGAAGGAAGACUCCAGUAUUCGAGGGAACACUAGAGAAGCAAAGUGCUCAUUGGGACGAUUGCGUGAAAUUCAAGGAUUCGGAAUUAGCUAAGGAGCGGUCGAGAAUAAACAAGAAGAAUGUCGAAAAAAGGAUAAGUUCCAUAAGCUGGGGCCAGGUGGCUACGCGAUGGCAAUGCCUAAGUGGGAUAAGUUUGAGAAAGAGAUGGAGGAUGCAAGUGUCACUCCGGUUACUAGGAGCUGGCCCCCCAGGUGCAGGACUUGGUUCUAUGCGCAUGGGGGGAGUUGGACCCGAAGACAGGCAAAGUUUCGACGAAGGCAUGUCUGAACGGAGCCAACGAUGCGCUAAUUGUUGCAAUAGAAGAGGCUCGAACGGGGGUAUUCCAGCCCAACAGAGAGAACGACGAGCUUACGCGUGCCCUGGGAAAUCCUGAACACCCGGGAAUAACACGAGGCAAGGGCGCUAUUCCGUGGUAUGAGUGGUUUUCGGACUGGAACCGACUACAGAAACCGUGUGAGAAGGAAGAUUGCGGAGGAGAAGAAGAGGAAGAUGGAGGAGGAGCAGAGGAAGUUGGACUAUGAACGCCUUCAAGGCCUAGAAUCAAAGCACGCAGACUUGGCAGUCAAAUUCCAGCGGCAGCAGGAGCAGAUCGACUCACUUAGCCAGCAAAGGGGGUCUCAGCAGCUGCAGCGGCAAGCGGAUGAUCCAGCAUUGGAUAGCACCGCCCUAUCCAUGCCGAGAAGCAGCGUGGGUUCCGCCCCGGGCGACGCAAUGCUGGAUAGAUACCCCGUGGAUGACGUCACGGAGAACACUAACUGCGAGCUACACUUCAAAAUGAAGAACAUAUCCAUGAAGGUGGCGGAUGCCGUUGCUUUUACAAAUCCCCCCGAGGCAACCUUCCAUUGCAACCCGAUUCCAGCAGGCUAUGCUCGUGUCUUGGUUGAUGAGGUGGUGGACCCAUAUUCGGGGCUACAUCUUGACAUUCCUGGAGGUGAUGACGAGCACACAUUGGGAGAGGCCAUACAUCGUGUCAUCCUAUGGAGAAAGGAUUGCAUCGUCUUUCGAAGGCCACCGGCACCGCGUCACCCGACUCCUCGUCGAAGUCCGCCACCGAGUCAGCAAACUCCUGCUCCUCCAAGUCCACCAAUGUGUGAGGCCAUUACUCCUCCUCCAAGUCUGGCAAAGUGUCAGGCCACUCCUCCUCCAAGUCCGACACAGCGUCAGACGUCCACUCCUCCUCCAUGUCCGGCACAACUUCAGGCCACUCCUCCUCCAAGUCCGGCACAGCUUCAGGCCACUCCUCCUCAUCCAACUCAGCCCCGUCAGCCUUCUCCGCCGCCUCAGCAAUCGCAGAAGAGACACCCCGCAGCUAUGGUGCAUAGCGGUACGAGUCGAGGUAGUACAGGAAGUACAGGCGGAGGCAAGCUAUAUAAAUAUGGUCCAAGCCUCACUACUCCUCUUCCUCAGAGGGCUUAUGACAUGACCGAGGAGCAAACCAAUGCCAUAGAGCAGGCAGAAGUGGACGCCCAUUUUGGACCGAAACCGCCACCGCCGCCAAGGGAGAAACUGCCUGUGGAAAAGAUUGACCACUUCAUUCGUAUGGCCCAACCACCAGCUCCCAAGCCCGAUGACACAGACUAUGAGCGCCACAUCAGGAAGUUAAAUCGAGCACGUCUACAGAAGGAGGCGAGCUCGAGCUCGAGCAAACAACAAGCAGCUGUCAAAAAAUGCAGGAAAACCGUUCCCCAGCAGGGAGAACAGGCGACGCAAUCGAUCCCCUCGCUUGUUGUGCCAACAACACGUGAUAGUACGCGCGCCCAAUAUUAUUGUGGCCAAACAGUUUAUGUUCCCGAGGUGGGCAAUGUGGUAAUAACCGAGGAGCAUAUAAUGCAGGCUAAAAUUCUCAACAUCACUGUUGGACAACUCCUCAAGAUCGAGCCCAUGCCUGUGCUUACAGAGGAGGAAAUAAAAUGGAAAUAUGUCCGGGGCGAACCUUUGGUCAAGCCAGACGAGGUCAAGAAGCUCCUAACGCGAAUGUAUGAAUUGCAUCAAUGGUACAUGGACAUUACCAAGAGUUCCAAUCGAGAGUCCCUCAUGGUGGAAGUCAAGAAGGAUCAUUACUACCAUCAGAAAGCUGUGGCCGUUGAGUAUAAUGAACUGUUUGAGUUAUACAAUCAAGAUGCACUCGACAAAUCUAUCGUCAGUUGCUAUUGUCUGUAAGUGAUUUCUUUCUGUAAUUUAAGUCUCAAGCUAGCUGUAGUGAUCCUUUUGAUCAAUCAUUACCUGUAAUUAUCCUCACUAUAUUCUUUUCUGUGGUAUUAUGCAUGAUGAAGAUGUAUGUAAUGAAAAAAAGUGGACGCUACGGCAUUGGGUUCAUUGACCCAAACACCGUUAAUGAAUACACAUGGAAAAUAGAUCCAUAUCAUGAAAAGCAUGUAGAGGACAGCAUGCUAGAGUUCUUGAAGCGCCUCAAAUACAAUGAAGAUAUACUACUUCCUUACAACUUCCAGUGAGUCACACUGUCUUGUACUAUACAAAUUCUCUGUUUUUGCCUACUAGCUAGCUACAUGUUUUUGCUUAUGUAUGCCCGCUUAAUUAAGACAUGCAAACGUGUGUGCAUGCAGAUUUCACUGGAUCUUGUGUAUCAUUAAAGUUGACGCUGGAACAAUUGAAAUACUGGACUCACUACUCAAAGCAAAUAGUGACUAUAACAUCUUGUUUGGGAUAGUCAACAGGUAAUUUCAAUCAUUAUUAACUAUAUAUCUCGACCUAUUUAGUUCGUCAUUUCAUGAUAUGAACUAUUUAAUAACCCAUUUAUUCAUUUUCUUUGUCAGCGGGCAGGGCUUGGGCAAGGUUCAUCAGCGUCACUCCAGGCGAAUGGAAACAAAAGCUGAAAUGGUUUCGACCCAAGGUAAGUAAUUAAGUAGUACUAGCUAGCUAGCUAGCUGCCAUCUCUUUAAUUAUCAUGCUUGCUUAAUUAUUAUCUGAUCAACUUCCAUUCUCGUAAAGGCCCUGAAGGAGGCGCAGGGGACUGAUCUGUGUGCAUACUGCGUUUGCGAGAACAUUCACAUGAUGGCAUCCGAAAGGAGCAGAUCUCAAAGACAGGAAUGGCACUAGUAGAAAAAGGGUCCAAUCGUGAAGCACAUUAGUGCCGGUUUGAAUUUGAGCUGGCACUAAUGUGUGCAUUAGUGCCGGUUCCAACGGCUAGCCGGCCGCUCUCAUUAGUACCGGUCCGUGGUGAACCUUUAGCACCGGUUCGUGCCAUGAACCGGUACUAAAGUGAGUGGUGGCAGGAUGUUGUCAGUCCGGGGCCCCUCCAGCACCUUUAGUACCGGGUCGUUUCAUGAACCGGUACUAAAGGUCGUCCUACAUAGACCCUUCGUCCACCCGAGCUCGCUUUGUUCUUCCCCUUUCCCCUCUCCUCUCUGUUCUUUUCCCUCUUCCUCUCAAGCUCAUCACACAUUUUGCCCAAAAUUUGUCAAGAUUUGAAGGCCCCCAUCCAUUCAAAUGAUCACAAAGGUUAACAACUUUUUCCUUUCAUCUCUCAUUGCUAGAUUAGCUUGUGCAAUGCUUUAUAUAGUGAUUGAUUUUUGAGUUUAGUAAUUUGGGAGGAAUUAUAUAGAUGUGCUAGUAUUUGAUUUAUAUGCAAUUUGAGGUCAAAAAUAACACUUAGUUUGCAUAUGUAGGUGUGGUUUACGUAGUACCUUCUAAAUCUCCGUCGUAACCACCGUCGAUCGCUCGCAACGUCCCGUCGCCAGCACCACCUUGUGGUGAGCCUCUUGUUCUUGAACUUUUAUAUAAAAAAUUGAUGUUUGUGUGAUUUGGAUAUAUAGUUACUCGUAUAAUUAUCUUACCCAUACGUUGUUUGUUAUACAUAGUGCCAUGGUUUUGAUAUCCGUCCCCGUUGGCCCUCGUCCGGGUUAUGAUUCGGAUGUGGUAUAUUCUCUUUUAAAACUAUUCAUUGCAUUUCGUGUUUAUGACAAAUUAUGCCCAUCAAGUUGACAUAGAUAUUUGUAUGUAGGAGGUAGUUGAACCGGAAAUUCCAACCGACCCUAUUGUCGAGAGGUUAAAUUUAGUUGAAAGAGAAAACGAGGAUUUGAAGGAAAAAUUGAAAAGAAUUGAGGGGGAGAAGAUGGAAUUGGAGUUGCAUGUUGCCGAUGUCGUCGAUAAUCACAAGAUUAAGAUGGAGAAAAUGCGCUUGAAGAUUAGAAAGAUUAGAAAAUAUGCUAUUCAUAGUGAGGCUUGGUAUCAUUAUGCUGUUGGAUCAAUUGUUACCUUAGUUGCGAUCUUGAUCGCAUUUGUUGUUGCAUUUAAAUUCUUUAGCUAGAGAGUUAUUUGUUUGUUGCAUUUAAGUGUUGUAUGAUCUUUAUGUAUGAACUUUAUGUAUUGUAUUAAUUUGACGUUUUCGGUGCUGUCUAUUGAAGAUGAGCCGGCAAUGGAUGUACGAUGACCGAUGCUCUCCCGAAUUCAUUAAUGGUGUGCGUACUUUUCUGCUUGCGGCUGAGGCAAACAAGCGAGCGGAUGGUUUUAUGCCUUGUCCAUGUGCUGGCUGUAAGAAUGGUCACAAUUACUCUACGUCAAGAACCAUUCACGUCCACCUGUUUGAGUCCGGUUUCAUGCCCCACUAUAAUGUUUGGACCAAGCAUGGAGAAAGAGGGGUUAUGAUGGAAGACAAUGAAGAAGAAGAGGACGACGACAGCUAUCCUGGCCAUGGGUUCCCUGAAUACGAUGAUACAACAAUGAGGGAAGAAGCUGAGCCGGUAAUGCGGGAAGAAGCUAAAGAAGAGGCAUCGGAUGAGCCCGUUGAUGAUCUAGGUCAGGCCAUUGCCGAUGCAAAGAGAAACUGCGCAAGUGAUUUGGAGAAGAAGAAGUUGCAGCGCAUGUUAGAGGAUCACAAAAAAUUGUUGUACCCGAAUUGCGUAGGUGACAAGAAAAAGCUGGGCACCACACUGGAAUUGCUGCAAUGGAAGGCAGAGAAUGGUGUAUCUGACAAGGGAUUUGGAAAGUUGCUGGUAAUGAUAAAGGAUAUGCUUCCACAGGACAACGAAUUGCCCGAGAGUACGUACGAAGCAAAGAAGGUUGUCUGCCCUCUAGGGUUAGAGGUGCAGAAGAUACAUGCAUGCCCUAAUGGUUGCAUCCUCUACCGCGAUGAGUACGAGGAUUUGAACGCUUGCCUGGUAUGCGGUGCAUUGCGCUAUAAGAUCAGCCGCGAUGACCCUGGUGAUGUUGAGGGCGAGCGCCCCAGGAAGAAGAUUCCUGCCAAGGUGAUGUGGUAUGCUCCUAUAAUACCCCGGUUGAAACGUUUGUUCCAAAACAAAGAGCAUGCCAAUGCGAUGCGAUGGCACAGAGAAGACCGUAAGAAAGACGGAAAGUUGAGAGUACCCGCUGAUGGGUCGCAGUGGAGAAAAAUCGAAAGAAAGUACGGAAAGGAGUUUGUAGAUGACGCAAGGAACGUAUGGUUUGGUCUAAGCGCAGAUGGCAUUAAUCCUUUUGGGGAGCAGAGCAGCAACCAUAGAACCUGGCAUGUGACUCUAUGUUUGUAUAAUCUUCCUCAUUGGUUGUGCAUGAAGCGGAAGUUCAUUAUGAUGACAGUGCUCAUCCAAGGCCCUAAGCAACCCGGCAACGACAUUGAUGUGUACCUAAGGCCAUUAGUUGAAGAACUCUUACAACUGUGGAAUGGAACAGGUGUACGUGCGUGGGAUGAGCACAUGGGGAAGAAUUUGACCUAAAGGCGUUGCUGUUCGUGACCAUCAAUGAAUGGCUGUUCUCAGUAACCUUUCAGGACAGACAAACAAGGGAUACCGCGCAUGAACGCACUGUUUGGAUGAUACGGACAGUAUAUAUUUGGCUAAUUGUAAGAAGAAUGUGUACCUGGGACAUCGUCGAUUUCUUCCGAGCAGGCAUCCCGUAAGAAAGAAAGGCAAGCAUUUCAAAGGUGAGGCGGAUCACCGGACGAAGCCUCGCCACUGUACUGGUGUUGAUGUACAUGAUAUGGUCAAGGAUUUGAAGGUGGUCUUUGGAAAGGGUCCUGGUGGACAACCUGUUCCGAAUGACGCUGACGGACGCGCACCCAUGUGGAAGAAGAAAUCUAUAUUUUGGGACCUGCCCUAUUGGAAAGACCUAGAGGUCUGCUCCGCAAUCGACGUGAUGCAUGUGACGAAGAAUCUUUGUGUGACCCUGCUUGGCUUCUUGGGCGUGUAUGGGAAGACAAAAGAUACACCUGAGGCACGGGAGGACCAGCAAUGUAUGCACGGAAAAGACGGCAUACAUUAGGGUCAUGCAAGCUAUGCUCUUACAAAAGAAGAGAAGGAAAUCUUCUUUGAAUGCAUGCUCAGUAUUAAGGUACCGUCUGGCUUCUCGACGAAUAUAAAGGGAAUAAUAAACAUGGCAGAGAAAAAGUUCCAGAACCUAAAGUCUCAUGACUGCCACAUGAUUAUGACGCAACUUCUUCCGGUUGCAUUGAGGGUGCUUCUACCAGAAAAUGUUCGAUUAGCCAUUGUGAAGCUAUGUGCAUUUCUCAAUGUAAUCCCUCAGAAGGUAAUCGAUCCAGAAAUCAUACCAAGGUUAGAGAAUGAUUUGGUGCAAUGGCUUGUCAGUUUCGAGUUGGUGUUCCCACCAUCCUUCUUCAACAUCAUGACGCACGUCCUAGUUCACUUAUGCGAAGAGAUUAACGUUUUUGGUCCUGUAUUUCUACACAAUAUGUUCCCCUUUGAGAGGUUCAUGGGAGUCUUAAAGAAAUAUGUUCAUAACCAUGCUAGGCCAGAAGGAAGCAUCUCCAAGGGCCAUGAAAAUGAGGAGGUCAUUGAGUUUUGUAUUGACUUUAUUCCUGACCUUAAGCCGAUUGGUGUUCCUAAAUCGCGGCAUAAGGGCAGACUGGAUGGAAAAGGCAUGCUAGGAGGGGAACAAAUAAUAUGUAUGGACGAACAUUCUCUCACUGAAGCACACUACACAGUUUUACAGAAUUCCGCCUUGGUGGCUCCGUAUAUGUAUGAACACAAGAAUUUGCUACGCUCCAAACACCCGAGCGGUCUGAUGACUGGAUUACACGUGAACUAACUAGGAGUUUCGCCAGCUGGUUGCAGACACGUACCAUGCAUGACACCUCUAUUGAAGAUGACAUGUACUUGCUGUCCCAGUUACCAUCUUCGAAUAUAAUGACUUUCAAAGGGGACGAGAUAAAUGGUAAUACAUUUUACACGAUCGCCCAAGAUAAGAAGAGCACCAACCAAAACAGUGGUGUCUGCUUUGAUGCAGAAACCAAGACGGGAAAGGAAACAUAUUAUGGUUAUAUACAGGACAUAUGGGAACUUGACUAUCGACGUGGUUUGAAGGUCCCUUUGUUUCGGUGCAAAUGGGUCAAUAUGACACGAGGCGGGGUAACGGAAGACCCGCAGUACGGAAUGACAACAGUGGAUCUCAACAAUCUUGCGUAUGCAGACGAACCAUUCGUCCUAGACAAUGAUGUGGCACAGGUUUUCUAUGUGAAAGACAUGUCUACCAAGCCAAGAAAAAGAAAAGAUAAGGAAGCGAAUGCAUUGUACGAUGAGCCAAAGCGGCACAUAGUUCUUUCUGGGAAGAGAAACAUCGUGGGAGUGGAUGACAAGACAGACAUGUCAGAAGAUUAUGAAAAGUUUGAUGAAAUUGCUCCAUUCACGGUGAAUAUUGACCCGAGCAUCCCGUUAAAUGAUGAAGAUUUUCCAUGGUUACGGCGCAAAGGGACACACGCGAAGAAAAAGUUUCACACCCAAAGAUCUGGGAUGUGAUCGGCUUCACUAUCAUCACUUUGUUCUGUGUUUCACACCCAGGAGGGAAUCUCUCUAAUAGUUAGGGUAGUUAUGUGUUUUGGCAUUUGAAAUGCGCAGAAAUUUUAUGUGCAAACAAAUUCUUUCAUGCCUUUACUGAUUUUUAAAGUUAAGUUAUUCACAAACUAGUGAUUCACACUAAUUUCAAAUAAUUCAAAAUUUAAACUAUUAAAAUUUGAAAACUACGGGCACUAAAGAAAGUUUGUAAUUUUUUGUACCUAAAGAAAAAUAUUCACAAAGAAACUCUAAAUACACAAAAAAACAACUCAAAAAUAAAUAAAGCAAAAAAAAUAAAAAUAAAGCCCGCCUACUGGUCCAGAGCGGCCUGCAUACGACUAGAAACCCAACAUGUUGUUGGGCCAGGAUGCAGGCCCGCAAAGGCACAGUAGGCCCACAGGGCAGCACAAAACAUGUAGGCCCAGUAGGCCUGCUUUGGAGAGGAGCUCGAGAGAGCUACCGCACGGGGGGAUAUAAACCAGUGCGGACGCCCCUCGGCUAGCGAGGUGGGACUAAACUUGCCACACCGCACAUGCGCCAGCGCACCCCCUUUAGUACCGGGUGGUGGCACCAACCGGUACUAAAGGGGGGCCUUUAGUACCGGUUGGAGCCACCACCCGGUACUAAAGGGGGUGCGCUUCCCGCCGCUUGGCCUGGCCAAAACAAGCCUUUAGUACCGGUUGGUGGCUCCAACCGGUACUAAAGGUCCAUCCUAUAUAACUAAACACUUCAAAAAUUUCAGUUUCUCAUCUGCUUCUUCUCCUCUGCCCCGUCGCCCGUCGCCCCCGUCUCCAUAUCCCUCGUCGANNNNNNNNNNNNNNNNNNNNNNNNNNNNNNNNNNNNNNNNNNNNNNNNNNNNNNNNNNNNNNNNNNNNNNNNNNNNNNNNNNNNNNNNNNUUUUUCUGUUUUUCAGAAAUAGUUAGAAAUGUUAGAAUUGUUAAAAUAGUUAGAAAUGUUAGAAUUGUUAGAAUUGUUAGAAAUGUUAGAAUUGUAAGAAAUUUUUCUGUUUUUUAGUUAUAGAAAUAGUUAUAAAAAAGUUAGAAUUGUUAGAAAUUUUUCUGUCUUUUAGUUAUAGAAAUAGUUAUAAAAAUGUUAGUUAUAUAUAUAGUAAUGUUAUAAUUUUUUCUGUUUUUUAUUUAUAGAAAUAUUAGAAAUGUUAUAGAAAUGUUAGUUAUAUAUAGCAUUGUUAGAAAUGUUAUAGAAAUGUUAGUUAUAUAGAAAUGUUAGAAAUUUUAGUUAUCAAAAUCCAAUCAUUAAAAAAAUGUUACUUUUUGCGGGCAUAUAGCUAGUAUUUGUUCUCGACGAUGCCCGACCCGCAUCCUCGNNNNNNNNNNNNNNNNNNNNNNNNNNNNNNNNNNNNNNNNNNNNNNNNNNNNNNNNNNNNNNNNNNNNNNNNNNNNNNNNNNNNNNNNNNNNNNNNNNNNNNNNNNNNNNNNNNNNNNNNNNNNNNNNNNNNNNNNNNNNNNNNNNNNNNNNNNNNNNNNNNNNNNNNNNNNNNNNNNNNNNNNNNNNNNNNNNNNNNNNNNNNNNNNNNNNNNNNNNNNNNNNNNNNNNNNNNNNNNNNNNNNNNNNNNNNNNNNNNNNNNNNNNNNNNNNNNNNNNNNNNNNNNNNNNNNNNNNNNNNNNNNNNNNNNNNNNNNNNNNNNNNNUAUAUUAGAAAUGUUAUAGAAAUGUUAGUUAUAUAGCAUUGUUAGAAAUGUUAUAGGAAUGUUAGUUAUAUAGAAAUGAUAGAAAUUUUAGUUAUCAAAAUCCAAUCAUUAAAAAAAUGUUACUUUUUGCGGGCAUAUAGCUAGUAUUUGUUCUCGACGAUGCCCGGCCCGCAUCCUCGCCGUCGACCCGUCCGCGACGACGUCCGACUGACCCAUGUCCGGGACUGGGCUCCACCGGGCUGGCACUGGGAGGUGCUGCCUAGAGGGACGCACCGCUUGAUGAGGAACCCGGCCCCGGGUCACGUCGUCGACCCUGAUCUCGUUUGGUGGCGUUCGCGUGGGCCAGUUUCGGUGUGGAGGGAGCCGGCCCCGCCGGAGGUGGUACGUCGCCGUGUCAGGGAGGAGGACGAGCACGUCCAUUGCUACAUGGUUGCGUUAGAGGGCGGCAGGUUCUCCAAUACCUGGCAGUUUCUUCAGGGAUCUCACUUCAGCUAUGAUCCUGUGAGGGUUCCUUCUCUUUGGGUGUCCACCGCCCGCGUCGCAGGAACUGCGAGUGUCCUAGAUUCUUCGGUAGUCAGUGAUGUAUUCGAUAUAUAAUAUUCGAGACGAUGUAUUCGGAUUAUAUAUUAUUCGAGAUGAUGUAUUCGAGAUUAUAUCUAUUAUUCGAGACAAUGUAUUCGAGAUUAUAUCUAUUAUUCAAGACGAUGUAUUCGAGAUUAUAUCUAUUAUUCGAGACGAUGUAUUCGAGAUUAUAUCUAUUAUUCAAGACGACGUAUUUGAGAUUAUAUUCGAUGAUGCUUAUUAUGUACUAUGAUUGAUUCAGUUUUUCCUUAUUAAUUGAUUGCAUCCAUGCAUUGUAAUUUGAAUAUAUUUCUUUUGGAUUAGUUAAACAAAACCUAUGGCGGACAAUACCGGCAGAGAGGGAGAAGAGGCCCUGUUCAAUAUCAUACGCAAUCCUCGCGGGCCAGAUGAUGAUCAGAAUGAAGAAGAUUAUGACGGCUCCGAAUAUGUAAACAACACCGGGGAGGGUGAUAUGAUAUUCGAUCGCGACGACCGAAUUGAUGAAGUCAUGAACUAUGAACAUGACGAAGAAAAUGUUGAUCUUGAAACAACAAAGACCGGUGAGGUAUAUAUAUUUAUAUAAGCAGGCAUCUGGUGAUCAUCACAUGUUUUAAAUGACUUGAAGAUAUAUUAACGAAACGAUCUUUCUUCUUUCAGCCAUCCAGAUCGAGCAAAUCUUCAGGCAACAGGAUGAAACGAGGCCCAAACAAAAAGUUGAAGGAGGGCAUAAAGUACAAUAUCGAGGCAAUCAGACCUAAUGGCGAACCAUUAGCGCCUAAGAAGAUUGCGGACAAGUUCGUUCGUCAGUGCGGAGUUCUUGUGAAGGACCUACUCCCGAUCUCCCUUCAAGAAUGGAGAGAGCCAGCAAAGCCACGUCCAGGUCUUACUUUUGCCGACGACAGACAAAAAGGUCUGCUUUGGGAUACUCUCAUGGAACAUUUCACCCUACCAGAUCAUUUCACAGAAGCAGAUGUGCAGAAAGUCAAGGACGCUGCUCUUAGGAAGAUGGCGGUUGCAUUCAAGAACCACAAGAAUCAUGAAUGGGACAAGUACGUCAAGGAAGGAAGGAAGACUCCUGUAUUCGAGGGAACACUAGAGAAGCGAAUUGCUCAUUGGGACGAUUUCGUGAAAUUCAAGGAUUCGGAAUUAGCUAAGGAACGGUCGAGAAUAAACAAGAAGAAUGUCGAAAAAAGGAUAAGUUCCAUAAGCUGGGGCCAGGUGGCUAAGCGGUGGCAAUGCCUAAGUGGGAUAAGUUUGAGAAAGAGAUGGAUGAUGCAGGUAUCAUUCCGGUUACUAGGAGCUGGCCCACCAGGUGCAGGACUUGGUUCUAUGCGCAUGGGGGGAGUUGGACCCGAAGACAGGCAAAGUUUUGACGAAGGCAUGUCUGAACGGAGCCGACGAUGCGCUAAUUGUUGCAAUAGAAGAGGCUCGAAUGGGGGUAUUCUAGCCCAACAGAGAGAACGACAAGCUUACGUGUGCCCUAGGAAAUCCUGAACACCUGGGAAGAACACGAGGCAAGGGCGCUAUUCCGUGGUAUGAGGGGUUUUCGGACUGGAACGCCGACUACAGAACCCGUGCGAGAAGGAAGCUUGCGGAGGAGAAGAAGAGGAAGAUGGAGGGGGAGCAGAGGAAGCUGGACUAUGAACGCCUUCAAGGCCUAGAAUCAAAGCACGCGGACUUGGCAGUCAAAUUCUAGCGGCAGCAGGAGCAGAUCGACUCACUUAGCCAGCAAAGGGGGUCUCAGCAGCUGCAGCGGCAAGCGGAUGAUCCCGCAUUGGAUAGCACCACCCCAUCCAUGCCGAGAAGCAGCGUGGGUUCCGCCCCGGGCGACGCAAUGCUGGAUAGAUACCCCAUGGAUGACGUCACGGAGAACACUAACUGUGAGCUACACUUCAAAAUGAAGAACAUAUCCAUGAAGGUGGCGGACGCCGUUGCUUUUACAAAUCCCCCCGAGGCAACCUUCCAUUGCAACCCGAUUCCAGCAGGCUAUGCUCGUGUCUUGGUUGAUGAGGUGGUGGACCCAUAUUCGGGGCUACAUCUUGACAUUCCUGGAGGUGACGACGAGCACACAUUGGGAGAGGCCAUACAUCGUGUCAUCCUAUAGAGAAAGGAUUGCAUCGUCUUUCGAAGGCCACCGGCACCGCGUCACCCGACUCCUCGUCGAAGUCCGCCACCGAGUCAGCAGACUCCCGCUCCUCCAAGUCCACCAAUGCGUGAGGCCACUCCUCCUCCUCCAAGUCCGGCAAAGUGUCAGGCCACUCCUCCUCCAAGUCCGACACAGCGUCAGACGUCCACUCCUCCUCCAAGUCCGGCACAAGUUCAGGCCACUCCUCCUCCAAGUCCGGCACAGCUUCAGGCCACUCCUCCUCGUCCAACUCAGCCCCGUCAGUCGUCUCCGCCGCCUCAGCAAUCGCAGAAGAGACACCCCGCAGCUAUGGUGCGUAGCGGUACGAGUCGAGGUAGUACAGGAAGUACAGGCGGAGGCAAGCGAUAUAAAUAUGGUCCAAGCCUCACUACUCCUCUUCCUCAGAGGGCUUACGAUAGGACCGAGGAGCAAACCAAUGACAUAGUGCGGGCAGAAGUGGACGCCCAUUUUGGACCGAAACCGCCACCGCCGCCAAGGGAGAAAGUGCCUGCGGAAAAGAUUGACCACUUCAUUCGUAUGGCUCAACCACCAGCUCCCAAGCCUGUUGACACAGACUAUGAGCGCCACAUCAGGAAGUUAAAUCGAGCACGUCUACAGAAGGAGGCGAGCUCGAGCAAACAAUAAGCAGCUGCCAAAAAUGCAGGAAAACCGUUCCCCAGCUGGGAGAACAGGCGGCGCAAUCGAUCCCCUCGCUUGUUGUGCCAACAACACGUGACAAUACGCGCGCCCAAUAUUAUUGUGGGCAAACUGUUUACGUUCCCGAGGUGGGCAAUGUGGUAAUAACCGAGGAGCAUAUAAUGCAGGCUGAAAUUCUCAACAUCACUGUUGGACAACUCCUCAAGAUCGAGCCCAUGCCUGUGCUUACAGAGGAGGAAAUAAAACGGAAAUAUGUCCGGGGCGAACCUUUGGUCAAGCCAGACGAGGUCAAGAAGCUCCCAACGAGAAUGUAUGAAUUGCAUCAAUGGUACAUGGACAUUACCAAGAGUUCCAAUCUAGAGUCCCUCAUGGUGGAAGUCAAGAAGUAUCAUUACUACCAUCAGAAAGCUGUGGCCGUUGAGUAUAAUGAACUGUUUCAGUUAUACAAUCAAGACGCACUCGACAAAUCUAUCGUUAGUUGCUAUUGUUUGUAAGUGAUUUCUUUCUGUAAUUUGAGUCUCAAGCUAGCUGUAGUGAUCCUUUUGAUCAAUCAUUACCUGUAAUUAUCCUCACUAUAUUCUUUUCUGUGGUAUUAUGCGGGAUGAAGAUGUAUGAAAUGAAAAAAGGUGGACGCUAUGGCAUUGGGUUCAUUGACCCAAACACCGUUAAUGAAUGCACAUGGAAAAUAGAUCCAUAUCAUGAAAAUCAUGUAGAGGACAGCAUGCUAGAGUUCUUGAAGCGCCUCAAAUACAAUGAAGAUAUACUACUUCCUUACAACUUCCAGUGAGUCACACUGUCUUGUACUAUACAAAUUCUCUAUUUUUGCCUACUAGCUAGCUACAUGUUUUUGCUUACGUAUGCCCAUUUAAUUAAGACAUGCAAAUGUGUGUGCAUGUAGAUUUCACUAGAUCUUGUGUAUCAUUAAAGUUGACGCCGGAACAGUUGAAAUACUGGACUCACUACUCAAAGCAAAUAAUGACUAUAACAUCUUGUUUGGGAUAGUCAACAGGUAAUUUCAAUCAUUAUUAACUAUAUAUCUCGGCCUAUUUAGUUCGUCAUUUCAUGAUAUGAACUAUUUAAUAACCCCUUUAUUCAUUUUCUUUGUUGGCGGGUAGGGCUUGGGCAAGGUUCAUCAGCGUCUCUCCAGGCGAAUGGAAACAAAAGCUGAAAUGGUUUCGACCCAAGGUAAGUAAUUAAGUAGUACUAGCUAGCUAGCUAGCUGCCAUCUCUUUAAUUAUCAUGCUUGAUUAAUUAUUAUCUGACCAAAUUCCAUUCUCGUAAAGGCCCUGAAGCAGGCGUAGGGGACUGAUAUGUGUGCAUACUGCGUUUGCGAGAACAUUUGCAUGAUGGCGUCCGAAAGGAGCAGAUCUCAAAGACAGGAAUGGCACUAGUAGAAAAAGGGUCAAACGUGAAGCACAUUAGUGCCGGUUUGAAUUUGAGCCGGCACUAAUGUGUGCAUUAGUGCCGGUUCCAACGGCUAGCCGGCCGCUCUCAUUAGUACCGGUUCGUGGAGAACCUUUAGCACCGGUUCGUGCCACGAACCGGUACUAAAGUGAGUGGUGGCAGGAUGUUGUCAGUCCGGGGCCCCUCCAGCACCUUUAGUACCGGGUCGUAUCACGAACCGGUCCUAAAGGUCGUCCUACAUAGACCCUUCGUCCACCCGAGCUCGCUCUGUUCUUCCCCUUUCCCCUCUCCUCUUUGUACUUUUCCCUCUUCCUCUCAAUCUCAUCACACAUUUUGCCCAAAAUUUGUUAAGAUUUGAAGGCCCCCAUCCAUUCAAAUGAUCACAAAGGUUAGCAACUUUUUCCUUUCAUCUCUCAUUGCUAGAUUAGCUCGUGCAAUGCUUUAUAUAGUGAUUGAUUUUUGAGUUUAGUAAUUUGGGAGGAAUUAUAUAUAUGUGCUACUAUUUGAUUUAUAUGCAAUUUGAGGUCAAAAAUAACACUUAGAACCAUUCACGUCCACCUGUUUGAGUCCGGUUUCAUGCCCCACUAUAAUGUUUGGACCAAGCAUGGAGAAAGAGGGGUUAUUGUGGAAGACAAUGAAGAAGAAGAGGACGACGACAGCUAUCCUGGCCAGGGGUUCCCUGAAUACGAUGAUACAACAAUGAGGGAAGAAGCUGAGCCGGUAAUGCGGAAAGAAGCUGAGCCGGCAAUGCAGGAAGAAGCUGAAGAAGAGGCAUCGGAUGAGCCGUUGAUGAUCUAGGUCGGGCCAUUGCCGAUGCAAAGAGAAACUGCGCUAGUGAUUUGGAGAAGAAGAAGUUGCAGCGCAUGUUAGAGGAUCACAAAAAAAUGUUGUACCCGAAUUGCGUAGGUGACAAGAAAAAGCUGGGCACCACACUGGAAUUGCUGCAAUGGAAGGCAGAGAAUGGUGUAUCUGACAAGGGAUUUGGAAAGUUGCUGGUAAUGAUAAAGGAUAUGCUUCCAAAGGACAACGAAUUGCCCGAGAGUACGUACGAAGCAAAGAAGGCUGUCUGCCCUCUAGGGUUAGAGGUGCAGAAGAUACAUGCAUGCCCUAAUGAUUGCAUCCUCUACCGCGGUGAGUACGAGGAUUUGAACGCUUGCCCGGUAUGCGGUGCAUUGCGCUAUAAGAUCAGCCGCGAUGACCCUGGUGAUGUCGAGGGCGAGCGCCCCAGGAAAAAGAUUCCUGCCAAGGUGAUGUGGUAUGCUCCUAUAAUACCACGGUUGAAACGUUUGUUCCAAAACAAAGAGCAUGCCAAGGCGAUGCGAUGGCACAGAGAAGACCGUAAGAAAGACGGAAAGUUGAGAGUACCCGCUGACGGGUCGUAGUGGAGAAAAAUCGAAAGAAAGUACGGGAAGGAGUUUGCAGAUGACGCAAGGAACGUAUGGUUUGGUCUAAGCGCAGAUGGCAUUAAUCCUUUUGGGGAGCACAGCAGCAACCAUAGCACCUGUCCUAUGACUCUAUGUUUGUAUAACCUUCCUCUUUGGUUGUGCAUGAAGCAGAAGUUCAUUAUGAUGCCAGUGCUCAUCCAAGGCGCUAUGAAAAAAAUUCUUAUUUUUAACAGAAGCGCGAUAAAAUACUGAUUAUUUUUGCAGAAGAUUAAUAAAUAAAUUGUUUAGGUCGUCCUAAAUAUUCAGAAUUUUUGAAGUUAAAGAAGUAUUCAUAAUAUCCAGAUUGCUACAGACUGUUCUGUUUUUGACAAAUUCUGUUUUCUAUGUGUUGUUUGCUUAUUUUGAUGAAUCUAUGGCUCGUAUCGGGGCGGGGGGUAUGAACCAUGGAAGAGUUAAAAUACAGUAGAUAUUACACCAAUAUAAAUAAAAAAUGAGUUCACAACAGUAUCAAAAGUGGUGAUUUAUUUUCUUAUAACGGGGCUUAUGAUAUUUUCUGUCGAGUUUUGUGUUGUGAAGUUUUCAAGUUUUGGGUAAGGAAUUGAUGGACUAUGGAAUAAAGAGUGGCAAGAGCCUAAGCUUGGGGAUGCCCAAGGCACCCCAAGGUAAUAUUCAGGGAUAACCAAGAGCCUAAGCUUCCGGGGCAUCCCCUCUUUCGUCUUCAUUUAUCGGUAACUUUACUUGAGGCUAUAUUUUUAUUCACCACAUGAUAUGUGUUUUGCUUGGAGCAUCGUGUAUGAUUUGAGUCUUUGCUUUUCAGUUUGCCACAAUCAUCCUUGUUGUACACACCUUUUGAGAGAGACACACAUGAAUCAUGAUUUAUUAGAAUACUCUAUAUGCUUCACUUAUAUCUUUUGAGGUAGGCAAUUUUGCUCUAGUGCUUCACUUAUAUCUUUUUAGAGCACAGCGGUGGUUUUAUUUUAUAUAAAUUGAUGAACUCUCAUACUUCACUUAUAUUAUUUUGAGUGUCUCUAAACAGCAUGGUAAUUAGCUUUGGUUAUAAAUUUAGUUCUAAUAUGAUAGGCAUCCAAGAGAGAUAUAAUAAAAACUUUCAUAUAAAGUGCAUUGAAUACUAUGAGAAGUUUGAUUCCUUAUGAUUGUUUUGAGAUAUGAAGAUGGCGAUAUUAGAGUCAUGCUAGUGAAGUAGUUGUGAAUUUGAGAAAUACUUGUGUUAAGGUUUGAGAGUCCCGUAGCAUGCACGUAUGGUGAAUCGUUAUGUAACGAAGUUGGAGCAUGAGAUAUUUUUGAUUGUCUUCCUUAUGAGUGGCAUCUGGGGACGAGCGAUGGUUUUUUCCUACCAAUCUACCCCCUAAGAGCAUGCGCGUAGUACUUUUGAUGACUAGUAGGUUUUUGCAAUAAGUAUGUGAGUUCUUUAUGACUAAUGUUGAGUCCAUGGAUUAUAUGCAGUCUCACCCUUCCGCCAUUGCUAGCCUCUCUUGUACAGCACAACUUUCACCGCUAUCAUAAACCCACCAUAUACCUUCCUCAAAACAGCCACCAUACCUACCUAUUAUGGCAUUUCCAUAGCCAUUCCGAGAUAUAUUGCCAUGCAACUUUCCACCGUUCUGCUUAUUAUGAAAUGCAUCAUCAUUGUCAUAUUGCUUUGCAUGAUCAUGUAGUUGACAUUGUAUUUGUCGCAAAGCCACCGUUCAUUAGUUUUUUAUACAUGUCGCUCUUAAUUCAUUGCACAUCCCGGUACACCGUCGGGGGCAUUCAUAUAGAGUCAUAUCUUGUUCUAGUAUCGAAUUGUAAUUUUUGAGUUGUAAGUAAAUAGAAGUAUGAUGAUCUUCCUUUUUAGAACAUUGUCCCAUGUGAGGAAAUAAAAUAAAAAAGAGGAAAAGAAAAAAAGAGCAAAAAAAGAAAAAAAGAGAAGAAGAAAAAAAAAGGAGGGAAAGAAAGAAAAAACGAGAGAAAAAGAGAGAAGGGGCAAUGUUAUUGUCCUUUUCCAUACUUGUGCUUCAAAGUAGGACCUUGAUCUUCAUGAUAGAGAGUCUCCUAUGUUCUUACUUUCAUAUACUAGUGGGAAUUUUUCAUUAUAGAACUUGGCUUGUAUAUUCCAACGAUGGGAUUCCUCAAAAUGCCCUAGGUCUUCAUGAGCAAGCAAGUUGGAUGCACACUCACUUAGUUUUCUUUUCGAACUUUCAUAAACUUAUAGCUCUAGUGCAUCUGUUGCAUGGCAAUUCCUACUCACUCACAUUGAUAUCUAUUAAUGGGCCUCUCCAUAGCCCGUUAAUACCCCUAGUUGAUGUGAGACUAUCUCCCUCUUUUUGUCUUCUCCACAACCACCGUCUAUUCCACCUAUAGUGCUAUGUCCAUGGCUCAUGCUCAUGUAUUGCGUGAAAGUUGAAAAGGUUUGAGAACAUCAAAAGUAUGAAACAAUUGCUUGGCUUGUCAUCUGGGUUGUGCAUGAUUUGAAUAUUUGUGUGAUAAAGAUGGAGCAUAGCCAGACUAUAUGAUUUUGUUAGGAUGAGAUUUCUUUGGCCAUGUUAUUUUGAGAAGACAUAAUUAUCUUGUUAGUAUGCUUGAAGUAUUAUUGGUUUAUGUCAAUAUUAAACUUUUGUUUUGAAUCAUACGGAUCUGAACAUUCAUGCCACAAUAGAGAAAAUUACAUGGAUAAAUAUGUUAGGUAGCAUUCCACAUCAAAAAUUAUGUUUCUAUCAUUUACCUACUCGAGGACGAGCAGGAAUUUUCCGGAGUACCGGGGGCUACCGGAACCCCCCGGGAGUUAAUGAGCCUUCAUGGGCCCUAGUGGAGAGAGGAGGCGGCAGCCAGGUGGUGGCGCACGCCCCCCCAAGCCUGAACCGAAUUGGACUAGGGUUGGGGGGCCGGCCCCCCUUUCCUUCUCUCCUUCUCCUCCUUCCCUCCUUCUCCUAGUGGGAAUAGGAAGGGGGGCGAAUCCUACUUGGACUGGGAGUCCAAGUAGGACUCCUCCCAUGGCGCAUCCCCCCUUGGGCCGGCCACCUCUCCCUUCCCCUUUGUAUACGUGGGAGGGGGGCACCCCAAAGGCACACCAAGCCUUCUCUUAGCCGUGUGCGGUGCCCCCCUCCACAGUUUCACACCUCGGUCAUAUCGUCGUAGUGCUUAGGCGAAGCUCUGGGCCGGUAGCUUCAUCAUCACCGUCGACACGCCGUCGUGCUGACGAAACUCUCCCUCAUCCUCAAUUGGAUAAAGAGAUCGAGGGACGUCAUCGAGCUGAACCGCUAGGGGUACGAAGGAGGAGGAGACCGGAUGCGUUAAGCUAGUUGGUAAGAGUUCUUGUCAUUAUUGAUAGUGGCCCUAGAGAAAGAGAUUACGCUGAUUGUUCUAACUUCAUUCAUAUUUGAUUCCGCAACUGAGACCUUUUCCCACAUCUGUGCCAGGAGGGCAAGUGGUCAAAGCAGAAAGGGUUCUCGCUUCUCCUUCUGGAAGGGUGUGCUGAACACGGAGGUCCCGUAUGUUCGGUGCUUGGAUCGGUUGGAUCGCGAAAACGUUCGACUACAUCAACCACGUUACUAAACGCUUCCGCUUUCGGUCUACGAGGGUACGUAGACAAACUCUCCGCUCUCGUUGCUAUGCAUCUCCUAGAUAGAUCUUGCGUGAUCAUAGGUAAAAAUUUUGAAAUACUGCGUUCCCCAACAUGCUUGCGUUUAUUUCACUACAUCAUGUCAUCUUACUUAAUGCGUUACUCUGUUCUUAUGAACUUAAUACUCUAGAUGCAGGCAAGAGUCGGUCGAUGUGUGGAGUAAUAGUAGUAGAUGCAGGCAGGAGUCGGUCUACUUGAUACGGACGUGAUGCCUAUGUUCAUGAUCAGUGCCUUAGAUAUCGUCAUAACUUUGCGCUUUUCUAUCAAUUGUUAGGCAGUAAUUUGUUCACCCACCGUAAUAUUUUCUAUCUUGAGAGAAGCCUCUAGUGAAACCUAUGACCUCUAGGUCUACUUUCCAUCAUAUAAGUUUCCAAUCUACAAUUUUAGUUUCCUAUUUACUUCCUUUGCAACCUUUUACUUUCCGUUUCAUAAACCAAAAAUAUCAAAAAUAUUACUUUACCGAUUAUCCAUCUCUAUCAUAUCUCACUUUGCAAAUAAUCCCAAAGGGAUUGACAACCCGUUUAGCGCCUUGGGUGCAAGUAGGUGUUUGUUUGUGCAGGUACUCAAUGACUUGUGUGUCGUCUCCUACUGAAUUGAUACCUUAGUUCUCAAAACUGAGGGAAAUACUUACUCUACUUUGCUUCAUCACCAUUUCCUCUUCAAGGGAAAAACCAACGCAAGCUCAAAAGGUAGCAGACCUCCAGUCGUAGCCGCCAUGAUUUUCUUCACGUCUAUCAAUGCCUUGAGAAUUUUGACUUGGACAUGUCCUAUGGCAUGAAUAAGAAAUCGAAGCUUCGCGCCGCGUCCUCUUGAGGCCGUGUUGGCUGAUAAUAUUAGUGCGCAUGACCAGAGCCUUUCUGAUCAAGAUAUCCAAGGACGACAUACACCAAUUCAUAUAGAUCUCCGCUCGGAAAGACCGAAACUCAUCAACGGCCAGAUCCAAGUUGUCGACAUCUGACAGAAAGACGACUUGGCGGAAGAAAAGCAUCAGGGCCAAACCACCAUUAUUAGUCCAAAGCUAAUAGCCUCCACGCCGCCCUCCUCUCGAUCCAGACAGGAAGAAAAAGAUCAACGACGUCGCAUCAUGCCACUCGCAUUCGUGGAGGCUUGAACAUGGCAAGACGCCAACCAUGGCUAGAGACGGGGACCAGCCACUCUGGCCAGAUCCGGCGACUCCUAGUCCCACCGCUCCCGCUACGGCGGCACCGCAUGUAGCCUACAAGCCCAUCCACGAUGAUGUCUGAUUAGAAGGAUAUAUGGAUAUACAGAUGAAAAGGCCCUUGUUAUCCCUCCAACAAUAUAUAUAAAGCUUAUUGGGACAUGAGAAAGCUUGCACAAGGCUAUGGAAAUGUAUUGCCAGACAGAGAUAUACGAUUUUCGUUCGGCAUCCAAACCGCUUGUGUCACGCUUAAUCGAUGGUCACUCUAAUUUUUCCGGCGGGCCUUCCCUGUGGUACUGCAGCCUUACAUGUGUAUUAGUGGUUAGGGCGUCAUCCGUGGCGCCGCUUAAGAGGAAGUUGUUUGCACGCUUUUAUUUUUUUUAAAUCAUGUACUCCUCAUCUCUAUCUAAAAAAAUAUUUAUAGAAAAUCCUCAUCUCCAUCUAGAAAAAGAAGUAAAAAAGAAAAAAAAAAUCACCAACGCAACCUUACAGCGAGCGCCACUUAGCGUAGUCCUCCAUUUAAAAAAAUAUGAAGUCAUCACCUUCAUAUAAAAAGAAAAAAACAUUUUAAAAACGUUUUCAUCUCCAUCUAAAAAUAAUAUCCCAAAAGCUUUUUCACUACGGCCAACCAGCUUGUACCAUGUGCCAUAACUGAUUGGCCGCUCUUCAUGCAUAGCUUAAUGGGUUUAAUGAGUUUCAUAUAGCUAUUCAUUAAGAAGAAAACCAAAAUUACUUGGAGUUAAUAACUAAUACGUUUCCUUUAACUAACACGUGCACGGCGAGGAUUUACGUGCAUGAUGUUUUUUCCUCUCCCCACGUCGUAUUGGGCCGGCCCAUUCGUGCACAUCUCUAUUUCUAAUGCAGCAGUUGGUAGUCUCAUUUUCAGGGUUUUUUUGUCCCACCUUUCAUGGUUUUUUUAUACCUCCUUCCACCUUCGCUGGUUUUUUUCAUAAAUUUUUUGUCCCCUCCCCCUAUUUCAUCGGUUUAUUUUCGCGUCACCCUCUCACACAAUGAAAGAAAUCUGAACAGAUUAGAACUUUCCAUGCUGGCGCAAGUUAUUUAGUAAUGUAGAAUCAAUCACGAACAAUCGCUAAAGAUCAAAUCCAAGUUAAUUAACCUUACCUUAAAUCACUCAAUCACAUUAAUUAGAAAACAAAUAAUUGAUUUUCAGAAAAAUUGCUCAAUCACAUUAACCUUACCUUAACUCACGGAUGGUAAUCAAUCUUCAAACAAAGGAAACAAUACAUCAAGGGAGCAGUAAAUAAACUCCCUUUCUUAUGACAUGUAUAUGAUCUUUCCUUCCCUCUCCGUUGUCGAGCGUUCUUGAUUCUCAAGGCCGAUUCUUGGGCUGCGUCACUGGGUCGCGACGGUGCCGAAGGACGAGGAUGGCGAGGCCGGGUGUCGCGGCACCGCGUUGGCCGUGGCUGAUGAAGGGGGUGAAGAAGGGCGGCUUCCCUGGCCGUGGCCCUGGGAGUUGGUGCGGUGGAAACGUCACUUGAAGGACCCGACGUGGGUGGCCGACGCGCAGACGCACUUGGAAGCGGGCCCAUGGCCCGCGCCGGACGGCGCCGACGCCGACCUGGACCACCUCCUCCGUGUAUCCUUGGAGCUAUGGCUGGCCAAUUUAUAUGAAAUUAAUUCCCUCAGUUGUGGUGGCAAAUAUAAUACACAUAAUCCAUAUUGUUAUGCACUAGUGUGUGUGUGUGUGAAAUAGAUGGAUUAUGGUCCCGUACCAAUAAGAUGGAUAUAUGUGUGUGUUAGAGAGAGAGAGAGAGAGAGAGACAGAGAGGGAGAGGGGGAGAGAGAGUGAGGAAAAGGGAGGGAGAGUGUGUGUAUGAGGAUUUGAUGGUAAAAAAAGUCGCCAAUGUCAUUUGAUAUGUAUGAAAAUAUUAAUAUUAAACUUUUAAAGUUAAUGUGGCCCCGUUAAAAUACACAAGCGUUCUUAUAGUAUAGUUAGAGAAAGACAUGAGGAAAAGGAAGAACCGGGAUCGAUUCCUAGUCUUCUCAAGGUGGCCGCGUGGGUUUGUCUCAAAAAAAAAAGGUGACAGCGUGGGUGCUACUACCGGUCCGCCCAAGUCCGGUUCGUGAUAAGUUGUAGGUGCGCGUCGUACUUGAGGCGAUUGAGGCCUGUUUUAUUUGAGUUUUUCCUCUCUUUUUUCUUCUUCAUUUUUUUCAUUCUUUUUUGCACUCCGUUUCUUUGUUUUGUCAUUCUUUUUUUCUUUUGUUUAUUUUCUUUUUUUCCGGUUUUCUUUGUUCUAUUGGUUAUUAUUGUACAUUUUUUGUAUACGUCUACAACAUUUUUUUCUAAUACACAUCUAACAUUUUUCAAAUACAAACCAACCAUUUUUGUAAUACAUUGUCAAGAUUUUUUUGUACACAUUUUUAAAUGCUUGUUUGUCAUUUUUCAAAUACAAGAUUAACAUUUUUUCAAUACAUGGUCAACAAUUGUUUUUGCCAUUUUUACAAAAAAAUUAAAUGCUUGAUUAACAUUUUCUUAAUGCAUGGUCAUUUAUUUUUCUAUACACAUUUAACAUUGUCCAAAUGCUUAAUUAACAUUUUCAAACCCUUGUUCAACAUCUCUUUUAAAAUGCUUGAUUCACAUUUCUGUAUACAUGAUCAAACAUUUUUAUCAUUUUUAAUACAUGGUCGACGGUAUUACCCAUACACAUUUAACAAUUUCCCAAUUCUUGAUUAACAUUGUUUAAGUACUCGUUCAACAUUUUCUCAAAUGCAUAACGUUGACAUUGUUGAAAAGUGGCAUCACAAGUUCCAGGGAGUAGAAAAGAGAUUAAUCAACGAAACCGCGCGAACUUUGUGGUGCUAUUGUGUUAUAUCAACUACUCCUUUCGUUCCGAAUUACUUGUCACAAGUAUGUAUGUAUAUCUAGAUAUAUUUUAAUUUUAGAUACAUCCAUUUAUGCGACGAGUAAUUUGGAACGGAGGGAGUAUGUGUCUGUUAUGUCACCAAAUUCAGUAUAUAUAGAACAUGGAAAUACAGUAAUAGUGAGCUCACUCGGUGGGAGCCCGUCACGGCCAUGGGAAUAGGAUCCUCCUCGUACUGCUCCUCUCCUGCCCUGCCCUGAGGAGCAGUAUCGUCCGUCGUCGCCGAGCGGCGCAGCAGCCGGUGGCCGAGGGGAGACCGAGAUUUAUUCUCCGGAGGCGCCGAAUCCGGCUCGUAAGUCGAAAUCCCUCUCUGUCCCGCCUCUCGGAUCCUCCCACCGAUCUCCUACUUCCCUGCCGCCAAUGCCCGCCUUUUCUUUGGACUCCGAGCGAGGAAUCGGAGGGAAAGCUGUGUACUUCCUGUGGCUUCAUACCCCGGUAAUGGCGGCCCUGCUUGCCGUUGCCGCUUGGUCCACUCUCUGCGUGCCCGUCUGCAAGGUGUUCGAUGGAUUGUGCGCAGGGUGUCGGCCCGGCUGGCCUCGUUUCACUUCUUCCAGGUUUCAGUCCGUUUACCGCCGGUUGCUGAAAAUGUGCACGAGAAGCAUAAGAAUGCUGGGAUAUGCGCUCUUUGUUUACCGUUUACUGUCAUUUGUUUGGUUGCAGGAAGCACCCGGCCUUAAGCAUAGUACUACAUAUAAAGUUGUAUGUUCUGUUCCGUUUGUUUGUUUGCUGUCUGAUGAUUGAGACAAGUGCAUAAUCUAAAGUUUGGCACCUGCACUUGCACCUGCUCCUGCACAUUUAUGUGUUGGAAACUGGAAUCUGUUCAGUGUAGUAUGGCCAUGCCACAUGUUUUGGCUUUAGCCUAAGGACCAAUUGCUUCUUGACUUUCUUGGAUGCUUGCUGGCCCAACCUUGGAUCUGUAUCUUUCUAAUAGUCUUCUAAAUCAGAAACAUAACGAUUUUUUGUGCUGCUUACUAGAUUCGGUGUGUUUACUUAGCGUGUUUAGUCGAAUCAUCUGUCAUUGUUCUCUCAAGUUACUUUUCCUUGCGAUAUUCAACCCAGCGGUUUAAAAUUCCUGCAAUUGCUUCAUUCAGAUUGAUUUUUCGCUUCUUUGUUGCUGAUUUCCUUUCAACGUUUGGGCUGAGGCUCCAAAUGUUGGUACUCUUUUAACCGGAGUAUGUUACUUUGGAGAAUAGAAGAAUUAUGCAUUGGUAUCAUGAUAACAUAUGCCUAAUGGUUUUUCUUACAGGAGGGCGUUUCCAACACAUAAAUAGUUUGCUAGCAUGCAGACAGUGUCCAGUAGCCUUUGCGCCAUUUGAGGCAUAAUGGACAUAGCUUUUAUCAUGUUGUUGGUUCUUUCUCUGCUCCUGUUCCCUAAUGGCAUCUGCAAGAGUUUAGCUACAGGACCUCCUGUUGUGAAUAUUGGGUCUAUUCUUCAGUUUGACUCCACCACCGGGGGUGUUGCGGCAGUUGCCAUCCAUACAGCCGUGGAAGAUAUCAACUCUGAUCCAACAGUUCUAAAUGGAACUACACUAAAGGUUCAAAUCAAGGAUACAAAUUGCUUUGAUGGUUUCCUUGGCAUGGUUCAAGGUAGGCUAGCUUUAAUGCCACUCAUUCAUUUCACAACCUUCAAAUAGUUAUUACUUCUGUUGUGGAGUUGUGGCAAUGAUGCCGUGUUCCUUGUAUCAGCUUUGCAGUUCAUGGAGACUGAUGUUAUUGCACUCAUUGGCCCUCAGUGCUCCACAAUUUCUCAUAUCAUUUCAUAUGUAGCAAAUGAGCUUCGAGUCCCUUUGAUGUCCUUUGCUUCUGAUGCAACUCUUUCAUCAAUACAGUUCCCGUUCUUUGUCAGGACGGGUCCCAGUGAUCUCUAUCAAAUGGCGGCUGUGGCAGAAGUUGUUGACUACAACCACUGGAAGAUAGUGACUGCCAUAUACAUUGAUAAUGUUUAUGGUAGAAAUGGCAUUGCUGCUUUGGAUGAUGCACUCACUUUAAAGCGCUGCAAAAUAUCCUACAAGGUUGGGUUUCCUUCCAACGCUAAAAGGAGUGACCUCAUAAAUUUGUUGGUUAGUGUCAGUUCUAUGGAGUCUCGUGUUAUCAUUCUCCAUACUGGAACUGAACCUGGACUCAAGCUUUUCUCUAUGGCACACCAACUGAACAUGAUGGGCAACGGCUAUGUGUGGAUUGCAACUGACUGGCUGUCUGCAUAUCUUGAUGCUAAUUCAUCAGUUCCUGUUGAGACUAUAUCUGGCCUGCAAGGUGUUCUUACUUUACGGCCACAUAUUCCCAACUCAAAGAUGAAGAGUAAUUUGGUCUCCAAAUGGAGCACGCAAAGUAAAAAGUACAACUACAGUGAUGUUUGUAUAAAUACUUAUGGUUUUUAUGUUUAUGAUAGUGUCUGGGCAGUAGCUCAUGCUCUGGAUGCCUUCUUUGAUGAUGGUGGUAGGAUUUCCUUUUCAAAUGACUUGCAUGAUGGAACUGGAGGAACUCUUCACCUUGAAGCAAUGAGCAUUUUUGACAUGGGAAAUAAAUUACUGGAGAAGAUUAGAAAGGUAAACUUCAGUGGGUUAUCUGGGCAAGUGCAAUUCGAUGCUGUAGGCAACCUCCUUCACCCUGCGUAUGACAUCAUAAAUGUCAUCGGAAAUGGCAUGCGGACCAUUGGUUUUUGGUCAAACUAUUCUGGCUUGUUGUCGACUGUCUCUCCAGAGGCUCUAGAUUCAAAGCCUCCUAAUACUUCUCUAGCCAAUCAGCAUCUCUAUGAUGUUAUUUGGCCUGGGGAGACUGCACAGAGGCCUCGAGGAUGGGUUUUUCCUUCUAAUGCCAAGCAGUUGAAAAUUGGUGUUCCCAACAGAUUUAGCUUCAAAGAGAUCGUCACGGUAGACAAUGCUACUGGGUCAAUGAAGGGUUAUUGCAUCGAUGUCUUUACUCAGGCAUUGGCUUUGCUUCCUUAUCCUGUUAGUUACAAGUUUGUACCUUUUGGGAAUGGUACUGAAAAUCCUAAUUAUGACAAACUCGUACAGAUGAUUGAAUCAAAUGUAAGUACGGAAUGCCUCUUUUUUCUUCCUCGAACCAUUUCAUCAUAUACCAUGCUGACCAGGGGCAUCUUAUCCUGCAGGAGUUUGAUGCAGCUAUAGGGGAUAUUGCAAUUACAAUGAGGCGGACAGUAACUUUUGAUUUCACCCAGCCAUUCAUUGAAACAGGCUUGGUUAUCUUGGCUCCGGUUAAAGAGCAUAUAACAUCGUCCUGGGCAUUCUUGCAGCCAUUUAGUUUGGAGAUGUGGUGUGUUACAGGGCUAUUCUUUCUUAUUGUGGGUGUGGUUAUUUGGAUUCUUGAACAUCGGAUCAAUGACGAUUUCCGUGGUUCAGUAUGUCAACAAAUAAUAACUAUUUUCUGGUAAGGAGCUGACCUGCACCUUUUGUACCGUCUUCUUGUAUAUCAUUCCUGUUUUCGAAGUGUUGAUGUUUUAACAAGUCUUGUGCAAUAUGUUGCAUACAGCGAGUACCUUAGAGCAGUGGCCAGUUAACAUACCUAAAUGAAGCAUCUAGUGAUUACCAAUGAACUACUCCCUCCGCCCCAUAAUAUAAGGGCGUUUUUGACACUACACUAGUGUCAAAACGCUCUUAUAUUAUGGGACGGAGGGAGUAUUAUCUUAAUAAUCUUGUGAGACAUAUAUACAUGCACAGCAUAUAUAUUCGCUUAAUGAUAUUUAUGAUGCAUUGCUCUAUUUUUCCUGUUUUCACAUACUUCUCUUCUCCACAUGUAUUUGCCAAAUGCUCUUAUAAUGGCGUGAUUCCUUGCUGUGAUUAUAAUUUCAAUUUUUAUUGCCUGCAGGUUCAGCUUUUCGACUUUGUUCUUCGCACACAGUAAGUAAACCAACCUUCUCUCUUAUGUGUUUUUUUUUUUGGCUAUAACAUUUUGUUCUGAGGCAUGAGGCAUGACUCGUGAUUUCAUAUGUAUCUGCGCGCAGGAGAAAAUACUAUGAGCACCUUAGGGCGUGGUGUCCUGAUCAUAUGGCUGUUUGUUGUUUUGAUAAUUGUAUCCAGCUAUACCGCGAGUCUUACUUCCAUCCUGACCGUGCAACAACUCGAUACUUCUAUAAAAGGAAUCGAGGACCUGAAAAAUAGCAAUGAUCCUAUUGGUUUCCAAGUUGGUUCUUUUGCACAAGACUACAUGGUCAAGGAGCUCAACAUCUCACGGUCAAGGCUAAGAGCUCUUGGUUCACCACAAGAAUACGCUGAAGCCCUCAAGAUAGGCCCUAAGGAAGGAGGUGUUAUGGCCAUUGUCGACGAGCGCCCCUAUGUUGAACUGUUUUUGUCAUCCUACUGCAAGAUUGCGGUAGCUGGCACAGAUUUCACCAGCAGAGGAUGGGGCUUUGUAAGUACAGUUCAACCAUAUUCUUUUAUAUAAAUUAGAAUAUAAGAACAAAAAUUGCUGUUAAUGUCCUGGAAUAGAGGUUUUAACUUUGAAUAGUUGUGUCUAGUCUUUAGUUUAUGCAACUUUUAUUGCACUUACCUGCGGCUACUUUGUUUCACAAAUCGAAAUGUAGCACCUUACAAAUUCAUUCUGCCAGGCAUUUCCAAGGGACUCCCCUUUGCAAGUAGACCUCUCCACCGCAAUCCUGUCUCUGUCAGAGAAUGGGGAGCUGCAGCGGAUCCAUGCCAAAUGGCUCAAUACAGGGGAGUGCACAACUGACAACAGUGAGCUUGUCGACUCGAACCAGCUCCGCCUUGAGAGCUUCCUUGGUCUGUUCCUAAUCUGUGGUGUGGCAUGUGUUCUCGCGCUGCUACUCUACUUUGGUAUCAUGCUAUGCAAAUAUCUGAGGCAUGAACCGUGGAAGAGCCUCAGAAGAUUCAUCUCGUUCGUCCAUGGGAAGGAGCCGCCGAAGAACAAGGAGAGGCGGUCCAUGAGCCUGCCUGGAAGCUCAACGCCAACAACGCCGAUGAGCAGCCAUAGUUCCCUUGACAUGGAAAGGCCGGCCAGGCCAGUCAGAAACGGUAGCAUUAUUGACAUGGAAAGCUAAUUCAUGUGUAGAAAGCUAGUUAACAAUGCGGUCGACUAACCUAGGUUCUGGUAGUCGGACAGCAGGGCUGUAUAGGAGGAUUCGAAAUACUUCUUAAGUACUCCCUCCGAUUCAACUUAAUUAACUUUGACUUGGUACAACCUUAGUACAAAGUUGUACUAAGUCGGCGCAAUUAAUUUUGAUCUGAGGGAGUACUAAAGUUUAUGAAAUAACAGAAGGAAGGAUUAAUAAGAAAUAGAAAUAUUGAAAUGCUCCUCCUGUCCUACAUAUAUUGUUUUUACCUUUGCAUGUGUUUGAUAGGGCGUAGUAGUAGUGUGUGGGUACUUCAGUUAGAAGGUAUGCAGUGGACCAGUCUAUCGACCGUGUGGCAAUGCCUGUAGUUUGUAGCACUAAACUUUGAUGCCCAUUCAUAAACUAAUUUAGAUGGAGCCGCACAAAAAUUGUGUUUUUUUUUUUGCUCACACACUCUGUUUUGUCUCAGUUUUAGUCCAGCGCAACUUUGAAGCUUAUCCAGGGCAACUUUGAAGCUUAUCCAGGGCAACUUUAACUAUUUACAGGAGAAAUUGUUAAAGACCUUAUUAAGUGAAGAAGAAUAGACGUCUCCAGUUUUUGUUUCUCCAACUCUAUGCCUACACUGUAAAUUAUUUAUGAAUUAGCUCCAGUUGAUGCAACUGUACUCUUUCUGGUAGGUCUGAGAUGGACUGAGCAUCCUAAGCUAGCUACUUGUCUCCCUUAGGUUUUACAGCAAGACAAAUGCACUGGACUACAAAGAGGAAAAUUCUUGCAGGUUCGUAAUGAAUCUGUUUUGGUUCUGGCAUUCACACCAAUCAUAAAGCAGUGUUUGUUAGUAGCGGAGUGGUAGGCAGACGCAAAUCAAACCAUCAUUUUUCUUCUAAAUACACUUGUAAAAGCAUCGAUGCAUCUCCGUCGCUUAAUUUUAUUUGUCAUUCUGUUCAGUACCUGGUUUGGUUUAGGAAGAGCUCUUUUUCCUAUGCAAAAUGUAUAACGUGUAUGUUUCUAAUUCCGAUUGCAGGCAUAUUCAUCGCGCUUGUGUUUUGACGUGUUGCGGGCAACCAAGAGUCGUUCAACAGUGUGUUGCUGGGGUACGCCACCGGUCUGACAGUAAAAGGUAGCGCUGAUGAACUGGUUUCAAGCCGAGCUGAUCAGUUCUGCUGUUACUAAUAUAUCAUGGCAUCUUGCGGCUCUCGGUCGAUGUUCUGUCAUCUAUGAGGAGAGAGUUUCCAUUUAAUCUAGUUGCUAAUGCUUUGUAUACAAAAUUAUAGAUGCCUACACAAUACAAAAUCAAAAGUUAUUUUCUUAGUCAAACUGGAAAAUUCAUAGAUUUGCAGGAACAUCUGUACAUAAAGCCUUUUCCAUCAAAGUAUGUACAUACAUUGUCUAUUUUAACAUAAGAAUGUAGGACUCGUUCAAAACUAUUUGACUAUUCAUACAAAAAAAAUAGAAUUUCUUAAAAUAAGGGAGCACAUCUUCUCUGGUUUGAUCACUGAAGUCAUCAAUUGAGCAGUCCAGGUUCACCUAGUUAUCUAUUUCAAAACUUAGGGAGAACAAUUUGGGUGAUACUUUUUCAAAGUACAAGGCACAUAUUUAUAGUUCAUUGAAAUGCACCUAUAUUUUGACCUCAUUAAUAUCUCAUCCUUCAUAAUAAAGUAUGGCCAAACAAACAGAGAAACCGCUAGUUUCUUUCAUGUUCCCCAGACAAUAACACCAUAGCUAUUACUGUCAUUCCCCUUCUCUCUUAAUACCUUCCAUCCUUUCCAUUAUAAUUAAUGAAACUGAAACAUAUCAUUCUCUUGGUUGUAUUUUUUUCCUAAAAUGUUUAAGGUGUAUGUGUCAUUGAGUGAAUAUAUUAUGUUGCAAAGUUUCACGAAAUUUAGUAUGCAACCAGUAUGCAAGAGAAAUAAAGAUUAAAGUAAAUUUAGUUAUUUUUAUUAGCCAUUAUUGUUUUUAGAGAAAACAAUAGGCAAGUCACUUUUUCAUGAAAGCUGGAGACAAAUAGUGUAUUCUAACAUAAAAAUGGUCAAUUUUCCUCACACACACACACACACACAUACACAUAAACUUAGAAUUUUUGGAAAUAAUGGGAGCAAUGGCCAUGUGAAAAUAUGAGGUUUAUAUCUUGUGGAUUUCCUUUCAGUGUACAAGGCCUGCAUGUAGAAUGGAUAUUUUUUUUUCUAUAUUUGCUUCCCUAAUUUAAAUCUUAUCCUUCAUCAUCAAUUAUGACUAAACAUAAAUAGUAACUGCUAGUUUCUCUUAUGCUUAUGAGGAGAUAAGACCAUGGAUAUUUUAGUCAUUCCACUUUGCUAUUGAUUGUUUCUGUUCUUUUGCGCUAAAUAGUAGUCAAACAUGUUAUUCAUGUAUUUCGUAAGGAUAAGGUCAAGCCUCAUGAUAAGGAUAGGGUCGCGCUAUUCGUCACCCUGGGUGAGGCAUUGUUAUUUUUCACCCACUUCUAUUUUAUCAUCAAUGCACCGUAAAUUUACGUUUCAUAAGUUUUGUCUUAUUUCCGACGCAAAAAGGGACCGUAAGAAAAUAUAUAAUCGCCAUAAAAAAUAUUUUAUGUUAUAUAAAAUUACAAACAUAAAAACAUAGUCUAAAAUACACACAAACUGCAAAUUUUCUUGUCUUAUAACCUAUAUUUUUAUUUUUUUAUGUCAAAUUUUACGUAGUGAAUCAAUAGAAAUAUAACUAUUUGAAUUCGAAAUGUAAUUUAAUUAUGAAAUGAUCGUAAGAUUACCUCGGGUGAAGAAUAACUUAUUCUGCACCCUGAUUGAUGAAUAAUAAAUUUAAUUAUAUUAUAUACAUAUAGGAUAACACUAUUCUAAUCCUAGAAUUAGAAUAGCUAUUUGGAUCACAGCCAGCCCGACCACAUCUUAGUGAGAUCGCGCGAGCAAAAGAAAAAACCCAAAACGCCCCGCCCCGUUUAUCCCCUUGUCGCUCCACCACCACCCCCCGACCUCUGGCCGCCGCCCACCCUGCUCCGGCGCGCCUCCCACCCUCGCCUCCUUCCGAGCGCUCCGCCGGCCCCGCCUUCUUCCAGGCGCGCCGCCGGCCCCGCCUCCUCCUGGCGUGCUGCCACCCCCACCUCUUGCAGCGCGAGGUCGCCGCCACCGCCUACUUCCCGGCGUGCCGCCAGCCCCGCCCCCUUCGGCGCGAGGCCGCCGCCCCCACCUCCUCCUGGCGCGCCGUCGUCCCCUGUACCUGACGCGCCCCCCGGUGCCGCCGGCCCGCAACCCGCCGCCCAGCACCUUCCCGUCGCGCGCCUCCCAACACCGAGGCGCCGCCGCCCACAGGUUCUGUAGAUGCUGACCUGCCACUGCACCGCCGCUGCAACCUGCUGCUCACUCUUCCUCGCACAUGUGUCAGCAACACAAAAGUGGGUCGCUGCAGUCCACCUCCUGCUACAGCAGCAGGACGACUCCUUCAGGACGCAUCUCACACUCAUGGAGGCGGUGCUAUCUCUGGCGAGCUCCUCCAUCCCCGAGCGCGAUGCUUCCACUACUGCGUCCUCCUCACGUUCCCUUCCCCAUCCUUGUGUAUGCUUAUUUCGAUGUGGAAAACUCCAUCAACUAGUUCGCAUCACGUAUCAGGGCACGGCCAUAACAUGCUAGCAAUAUUAUGCUUUGGCUGCUAGUAAUGUGUUUGUGCUAAUGUCUAGUAGGAACUCUAGUUGUACUGAUAAAAGAGAACCAAACCAUCAUAUAAGGGAAAAGUCGCAUCUCUCUAUCUUUGAUCUCUCUAUGAUACAGAUAUGGACGUAUAUGGAAUUAGUAAAAUUCCUCUUUUAUAUUGCUUGUUCAUUAAUCAUUCAUGCAUCGUGUCCUAAAAGAAAUAUAGUGUGCUCUGUUUGAAAAAGCAUGUGGUCAGCACAUGUUUGUUAUUAUAUGGAUCUAAAGGUUUAACAAACAAACACAUUCAGAUUUCUCUUUAUUCGUAUAAAGGUUGGAGUGAGGUAGCGCUUAUUUCCUAUAUAGCUGCUCAUUUUGGAUGCAGUUUGAACAAUCAGGCUAGGGAGCGGUGAGCGUGGGUAGGCUGGCCAAACCUUCCCUCCACUGGGUCAACCGGCAGCGUCGCCCACCACCGUACUGUCCUACGGCAACGGCCCCAACCUGGGCAGGCGUGCUUUCUGCGACAUGCUCCUGCUCAUGGAUGUCUUGGUGAGGUAAAAACUUCUGUUAACUUAACUUAGCUACCUCAACUGAUUGAACUGCAGGGGUUGUGUGCAGUCUGAUGUGGUUCUAGUGUUUGAUUAAUGCAAUUUGGAAGAACUUGCGUCUCUAAAAUUCAAACUCUGCAUUUUGGUGUAUUUUUAUUUAGAAGUUCAGGUCAUCAUAAGUUGCUUCGGUUUAGCUAGUUACUGUUGUGAAAAAGUUCAGCUCGUCAUAUUUGAACAUCGGAAGAAGAGCUGCUAUAGUCUCCUGCUAUAUGCUUGUUAUAUUCCUAAAUAGUACAGGCUCAACCAAAGCAAGUAGUUAUAGUCUCCUGCUAUAUGCUUAAAUAGUACAUUUUUUCUGUAUUCUUGUUCGGAAGUUCAGGUCAUUCAAAGAGACCAAAUAGUACAGGCUCAACCAAAUAGUGAAAAGUCUACUAGAGUCGAAAAAAUAUAAUGAUACAAAAAUGCAACUCUGCACUUUCCUCAAAAUGGUCAUCAUAUUCUUAAGAAGAUUGGGAUUGCACUAUUUGUUUGAGCUAGUACUACCAGACUGAACAAAUUGCAGAGUUGGAUUUUAGAGCCUGGACAUUUUCAGACAUUUUCAAAAGUGGUCAAUUGAACCUGAACCAAAAAGAUUGACCUGAAAUUCGUUUGGGCUAGUUACUACCAGACUGAAAAAAUUGUAAUAGGUGGAUAAGUGGUAUUGUACUAUUUUCUAUUGUGUGGUAAUGCUCGUACCCCAUGGCCAUGGAAGGUUCAGAUGUUGUGCUCUUCUUUUCUAGCUGAUUCAUGUUCUAUUUGGUAGCUUUAAUGAUAUUCUAUACACUGAUGGCGAGAGUUCAACCAUGGCUAUACGCCAAGUUCUACUAUGGCUAUAUGUCGGCCAUCGUGAAGUCCUACUAUAGCUAUAUGCCAAGUUUAAUUAUGGCUGUAUGCUUGUGCUUCCAGGCUACUAUUGAACGUGUCUUGGCCUUCAUUUUUACGGGUUAUAGUCUCCUGCUAUAUGCUUGCUUUUGCUAUCAGCAUGUUCAUGCAAGUGCCUCUGAAUAAUCUGAAAUUUAAACUUGUACCUAAAACUGAACUUCUACCUCUUUGCUACAGGUGCGGUCGUCGGAGUCCUUUAAGUGCUUGCACUAGUGCUUCUAACUUGUCCAUGAAGGCACUGCAUGGUGUGCCACCUCCCGUCUGCCGCCGCAGCUGCCAUGUGUCCUUGCGACCUCUGCGGCCAGUCACCAACGCCCUAUGAGUGCGCCCUAAGUGUGGCAUGGGGAACAUGCUAAUGUGUGUGUUUCUGCACUGGUGUGUGCGUGCAUGCUCACGUUUAUGCGUGACUGAGUGUGCUGCUUGUGUGCUGUGAUGUAUGUUGUAUAGAUUUUUAUGAAGUUCAUGUUGUGAACCCAACUUAAUUAGAACACAAAAGUUUAGAUCGCAGCUGCUUUGAAUUAUGUAGUGUUUCUAAAUAGCUUCUUGUCUGAAGUUCAGUCGUACAUGUGGGUGCAAGAAAGUUAGUGUCGGAGCCAGAAAAACUGACUUUGAGCAACUGUUGGGUAUUUAUAUAAAAACAUUGUGUGUAGCAAUUCGUUGUGUUUAUUGAAAAAUGAAAAGACAGAAGUUCACCAUGCAAAACUUUCACAGUCCAAUUGGUAUUAAGAAGGCAGAAAUAUAAAACAACAGUGAAGUUCACUAAAAAUGCAACUUUUCACAUUGCGAAGAAACAAUAAUUAACUUCUCAGUGUACAAUUUAGUUUUUGUUUCUCUUUUCCAAAAAAUAAGAAUAGAAGUAAUAUGUGGAAGCUAUUUGUGUUUAUGUCUCAAAUUAGAAUAAUUAUAAGAAUUGCCUCUAUAUGUGCUAUGUGUUACACACCUUUCCGAAUCAAAAGAGAUUAGAUUCAUCCAUGAGUAAGGUAGGUACAAUUAUUUUUAAACAGUUCAAUUGCUCGAUAGAUGUAUGUCCAGAAAAAUAAAAGAUAGUUCAACACAAUAUAAACCCAUGAGAUUGCAAAAAAUCUUUGGAUUAAGUGGAUGAGAACCAAUAAGUUCAUAUAUGAAACCUUGGGGAGUUCAAAAAAAGUUAAAAAGGUUCGAUGUUUGUUGCGAAGCUAGGAUUUUCUUCAUUACUAAUGAAUAAAUCAAGAAGUUCAAAUUAAAAAAGGAUGAGCGGUUCGAUGUUUAUUACGAACCUAGAAUUUUUUCCGUUACUAAAAGAAAUAAUACCAACAAGUUCAAAUUAAAAAAAUCGAGUAGUUUGAUAUUUCUUUGAAAACUCAAAUUUUUCCGGUUAGUAAAUAAUAAAACCAAUAAGUUCAAUUCAAAAUAACGAAGAAGUUCAACUUUUAAAAGCAAAGCAAUUUGAUAUUCAUUUAAAAACUCAAUUUUUUCGGUUACUAAAGAAUAAGACCAACAAGUUCAAUUCAAAGUAACGAAGAAGUUCGAUGUUUCUAACAAAACUCCAAUUUUCACAUUUCUAAAAACUCCAAUUUUAGGUGAGCCCAAUUUUUGUGUGGAUGUGUUGUGCAUGUGCUUGUGCGUAGUACAUUUAAUAGAACAAAAACACUAUUAUGGGUGCCCUCUAAAUGUUUGUCCUAUUGCUUAUGAGAAUUGACCCGAAUUUUCCUAUUGUUUUUGCACAUGUUGGAUUCAAGGGAAAAUGUGUAUAAAACAGGUGUGAUUUCAGAAGUUCAGGUGUAACGAACAUCGAAGUCCAAACCAAAAGAAUGUAAACAAAAAAAUCAUGGAAUUCAAAAGAAUAAAUACUAUCGAGUUUCAUGAAAGAAAAUAGCAUGCGAAGUUCAUGUUUCAGAAAGUUUGAAGUUCACGUGUACCACAUACAGAAGAAAAAUGAUCAAAUGAAAAAAGGGACCGCCUAGGCCAUUUCACCGAAAAGCAAAAAAUGCAUAAAAUGUCACGACAAAAUUCUAUAAGAAGUUCCAAUUUAAAAGCCGAAGUAGGUCAACGUUAAAGAAAAUGAAGUUUUUAAUAUCUAAAAGAAAAUUUUGGAAGCUCAACAAAUUUGUGCAAGGAGUUAAAAAAAUUAGUUGAAAAAUAUUUAUAACGGAUUUUCCCCGUGUAUAAAAAAAUCAGAGAAGUUCAAAUUAAAAAGAGGAGCAUUUCAAAAGAUUGUAUAAAAACUGAUUUACUCAAAAUAGAUAAAGGUGAAGUUCAAAUUGAAAUAACGGAGAUGUUCGGAGUUUAUUAAAACCUAGAAUUUACCUGUUCGAAAAAUAAAAAACACAACACCAUUUUUUUGCACUUUUAGAGACAACUCAUAAACGAAAAAAUGGUUGCUGGAAGUUCAAGUGCUCGGUGAGGAAAAGUUCAAAAAAUUCUUGUAAGAGAGGUUCACCGUGUAUUUAGAUGUCCAAAAUACAUAAAAAAUAUGUUGUUUUUUGUGUUUUAAAAUAAUUCUCUCAAACCAGAGAGAAGUUCAAAGUGAUAAUAGCCGGAAGUUCACGUACUACAUGGUGUGUAUUUCAUAUAAGAAAAAUAGAAUAAAGUGAAACAGAGUAAAGUUCAAACGGACAUGCCCUAGAAGUUCAACUACUUCACGUAGUGCAAAAAAAUAUCACAUCAAAAAUAGAGUGAGGACAGACAUGCCUGAGAAGUUCAACUACUUCACACAGUGUGUUUCCAUUCGCAAUGAAGGCAGAAAUCAUGAUCUCGUCAUUUCUCUAAUUUACUUCAAAACGAUAGGAAUAUCAUUUGUGUAAGUUCAAGUCCUCGGUCGGAGAAAGUUAAAAAAAUAUUGUGAGAGAGGUUUGUACAAAAAGAAUAUCAUUUGUGUAACACUGACGAAAUGGAUGAGAAAAUUACAAACAAAAAACGUCACAGAAGUUCAACGUGAAAACAACAGGAAGUUCGACUACUAUAGUGAAUGAAUUUGAGAUGAAAAACUUUUAAAAUCAUCGCGAGUAUGAAAAAACGAUCAACACGGGAAAGUUAUGUGCUUACAGCAGCUUUCCACCGGUAUAUCACUUUCUCAAUUCCGGUGAGUGGAUGGAGAGUUACGAGCAGUGGAUGGAGACCUACGAGCAAAAAAAUCACGUGAAAAACAGAGUGAAGUUCAGGUACACGCGCCGAGAAGUUCAGGUUCUUCACGCGGUGCAUUUUCGAAGAAUCUGUUUGACGAUAAAGGCAGAACGCAUGAUCUCGCCAUUUUCGAAAUUACUUGAAAAUGGCUAGGAAUCAGAGAAAACCAUCAACAUGAAAAAGUUUUGCAAUUUCCGUAGCUUUUCAGCGGUAUAUUAUUUGCCCCAUUCCGAUAAAGUUUGUAGAAAUUACGGCGAAAAUACGUUUUUCGCCAUUUUCGAAACUGACUUAAAACUGUAAAGAAUUGGGAGAAACAAUACAUACCAAAAAGUUUCACAUUUGUUCAAGAUUUCCAAAGCCAUAACAUUUGCUGCAUUCGGACAGACGGUUAAAAAAUUAGAUCAAAAAUACGAACUCGGUAGGACUAGGACCAUUUUCUAAAUUACUCUUAAACCAUUCAAAAUUAGAAAAAAACUUUCAAGAUGAAAAAGUAGCGCAUUUUCAUAAGCUUUACAAUGCCGUAUCAUAUGCCUCUAUUGGAUUAGCCGUUUAGAAAUGACAUCGAAAAUACGAACUCAGCUGUUCGAUUUACGAAAUUUUACGUUUUUUCAAAUUACUCUUUAACUAUAGGGAAUUAAAGAAAACUUUCAACAUGUGGAAGGAGCGGUUUUGCAGCAGCUUUCCAACGCCAUAUUAUAUGCCUCAUUAAGAUAAACGGUUUAGAAAUGCGGUCGAAAAUACGAUUCACGUUUUUUGUGCGAAGAAAAAACGGUUUUCAAAACUGCUCUUAAACCGCUUAUAUUUUGCCAAAAAUUUAAGUUGGAUAAUGAUACUGAUGUUCAAAACUUUCCAACGGUAUAUAGCAAGCCUCAUUUGGGCAAUGUUGGCGGAAGUUCAACCUAGUUCAUAGGGAAGUUCAGCGUACUACUAGCGGGGCAGGUCAGGUUGUGAUCAGAAUAUUAUUCUGAUCCCGUGAUUAGAAUAGUGUUUAUAUAUAUAUAUAUAUAUAUAUAUAUAUAUAUAUAUUAUAUUUGCCACAUUAACUUUAAGAGUUCAAUAUUAAUAUUUUCAUACAUAUCAAGUGAUAUUGGCGACCUUUUUUACCAUCAAAUCCUCGCGCACACACGCUAGUGCAUAACAAUAUGAAUUAUAUGUAUUAUAUUUGCCACCACAGCUGUGGGUAUUAAUUUCAUGUAAAUCGGUCAAUCACAGCUCCCAGAAUAUGCGAAGGAGGUGGCCUGAAUCGGCGUCGACGCCGUCCAGUGCGGGCCACGGGCCCGCUUCACUAGUAGAAAAAGGGCCUAUUGUCCCGGUUCGUAAGGGCCUUUUGUCCCGGUUCCUGAACCGGGACUAAAGGAUCGGUACUAAUUCCCUGUCCCUUUAGUCCUAGUUCAAUCCAGAACCGGGACAAAUGGGCCUCCACGUGGCCUGUGCGCGGAGCCCAGGCAGGAGGGCCUUUGGUCCUGGUUGGUGGCACCAACCGGGACCAAUAGGCAUCCACGCAUCAGCAUUUCUGUGGCUGGGGUUUNNNNNNNNNNNNNNNNNNNNNNNNNNNNNNNNNNNNNNNNNNNNNNNNNNNNNNNNNNNNNNNNNNNNNNNNNNNNNNNNNNNNNNNNNNNNNNNNNNNNNNNNNNNNNNNNNNNNNNNNNNNNNNNNNNNNNNNNNNNNNNNNNNNNNNNNNNNNNNNNNNNNNNNNNNNNNNNNNNNNNNNNNNNNNNNNNNNNNNNNNNNNNNNNNNNNNNNNNNNNNNNNNNNNNNNNNNNNNNNNNNNNNNNNNNNNNNNNNNNNNNNNNNNNUAGGUGUUUCAUAUAUUGUGUUAGCUAGCUAUAAUUAAUAGAGAGAAGUGUCCUCUCUUAUGUCCAUGCUUGGUCGGCGCUACGUACUAUACAUACGUAUAGAGAGGACUAGACAGGCUAGCUAGCUAGUUAGAAAACGAAGGAAACAGAAGAUCGUCAUGAACAUAUAUGCAUAGAGAGAGAAGUGAUAUCGACCACCUCUCCUUCUCCGAGAGAUUGGUCGAACAACAAGUUCUCGUAUAUCUAUCCGACACUACCGGCUACAUAUAUACAAUAAUUAUCUCUUACAAAUAUAAUCUCCUAACAUACGGACUCAUGGUCCACAUAGUAUUCUCCGUCUUCAGCGAUCACGUGGUCAAGAAAGAAUGCCGACAAUUCCUUUUGAAUUGCUCGCAUGCGAGCUGGUGCUAGGAGUUCAUCUCGCUUCCGAAACAUCUAAUUUGAAGAAGGGGCCGGGGUCAAUACAUAUAUAUAUGAAUGAAUGAAACUAAACACAAAUGAUGGUAAUAAAAUAAAAUUGUGAAUGUUGUUAUUUGCGCACUUCAUAUUGUUCAUCAGAGUAGCCCCGCUCACAGGCCGUGUGGUAGAUGGACUCGCAAACGUAGUAUCCACAGAAAUCAUUCCCUUGUAACUGCCACAACCCCUUUACAAGAAAUAGAGGUCAAUCAAACUGAUAAGCAAGAAUGCCAAAUGGUAUUGAUGAAACUAGCGCUUGAAUCAAUAGGAGAUGCGCGGAACAUGCUACUAUAGUACUUACUUUGGGGUGUCUAAAUUGCAGCUUCUCCGGGAGUCCCGGAGCUUUUUUGGUGAAUUUUUUCCAAACCCUGCCAGACAAAGAAAACAGUUACUUGAUAUAUCAGGAAAUGAACAAAGUUGCUGAUAUGGUGGAUAAUGAUCGAUUUAACUUACUUCUCGAGCAUUUGAGUCAUGUCCGCAUAGUCCUGGGGAUCUUUUCGUCUUGAGUCUAAGACGGUUACUAGUCCCUGCUCAAGCUUAAUCUCUAGGAGAAUAUAGUGGAAACUGCACACGCAUGCAUAACUCAUCAAUUACAUUACUAUAACCUUGACUAAUAUAUAAGGGAAACCGAAUAUGCACAAGACAGUAACACUCACUUGAAGUUGUAAGGAAAAAGUAUUAUAUCUUUGUUUUCAUUUAUUACCAACGAUCGUAGCAAGUUGGCCUCGGUAUCCGCGACAUGAAAUUUAACCUCAGUUGCAUCUAUGAUAUUUGUGUUAAUGAACCCAAUAUCACCGAUUUGUCUUUUCUUCAAUUCGACGAUCUUCAAUCUGCAUAAUAUAGUGAGGAUAAUUAUAAAUACAUGCAAUGAAAGAGCUGAGCUAUAUAGAGAGACUUAAUGACAGAAGUAGUACUACUUACAGACAGUAGCAGGUGACCGUUGCUUUAUCGAGGGCCAAUUGAUUGAAAAACUGAAAGAACUCCUCAAAUGGAACAGGUAACAAACACUAGUAGAAAAAGGGUCAAACGUGAAGCACAUUAGUGCCGGUUUGUAAAAAGACCGGCACUAAUGUGAUCAAUAGUGCCGGUUCGAAUGGCUAUGCAUUAGUGCCGGUUCGUAAUGAACCUUUAGUACCGGUUCAUGCCACGAACCGGUACUAAAGGGGUGGUGGCAGGCUGGCGUCAGGCCAGGCCCCACGAGCCCCUUUAGUGACGGUUUGUGACACAAACCGGUACUAAAGGUCUAACCUAUAGUACCGGUUUGUGUCACCAACCGGCACUACAAAGUCUUAACCUAUAGUCCCGGUUGAAGACACAAACCGACACUAUAGGGCAAUUUUCAAACUCUACCCCCCCCCCCGUGUAUCGCCAUUUCAGUUUUGAAAAAAUCAAAAGAAAAUGAUAAAAACUUCAAAAAAUAAAAUCCUUCGAGAGGUAGUUAUAUUACUACAUCUACUAGUUAGGAAAAUUUGAAAACUUAAAUUUGGACAUGUUUUGCAAAAAGUGUAGGGAAAAUGUAAAACGGCUAUAACUUUUGCAUAUGAUGUCGGAAAAAACGUAUAAUAUAUCAAAAAAUUCAGCACGAAAAUCCUCAAAUUCCAAAAGGAAAAAAAGAUAUGGUCAAAUUUAAGUUUUUUUUAAAAAAAAUUGGUUAAAUCUGGUCAAACUACUUAUUCAAGAAGUGUUAAUGUUACUACAUAAUUAUUCAAGAAUAUUAGUGUUACUAAAUAAUUAUUUCAAUUUUUUGAAUUUUGGUCAAAUCUGGUCAAACUAUGGUCAAACUGUGGUCAAACUAUGGUCAAACUUAUUCAAGAAAUAUUAGCGUUACUAAAUAAUUACUGUUUUUUUAGAAUAAUAGUUUCAAACUCAAACGGUGAAAUGUGUGACUUCAUGCUCAAGCUAAACUCCUGAGGGUUAAUAGGAUUAACAUCUUACUAUCAUCACGAAAACAACAAGUGCAGACAUGGAAACGAAGGAGAAUAGAACCCGAAAGUUAAGCGUGCUCGGGCUGGAGUAGUGAGAGGGAUGGGUGACCGGUCGAGAAGUUAGAUGAUUUGGAAUGAGUGAUCCACACUUGAGCAGUUAAGAGAGGUGAUUAGAGACUAAAUCAUCAAAUAAUUUAGAAAAAUUAAAAAAAUCAAAUUAAUUUUCAAAAAAAAUAUUCAAAAAAAAAACCAUUAGUACCGGUUGGUAACACCAACCGGUACUAAAGGUCCCCCAUACCAGGGCGUGAACUCACGCCACGUGGUGGCACUUUAGCGCCGGUUCGUGCCGAACCGGUACUAAAGGGGGGGGGGGCUUUAGUGCCGGUUCCAUAACCGGCACUAAAGGCACUUACAAACCGGUUUUAAAGCUCCGUUUUCUACUAGUGAAAUCAAUUCCAACGAGGUCAUGCUCCUUUUUAACUCUCACAUACAAAGUACUCCUCCCCUAGACUCUCUGCAGAUUUUCAAGUACCAAUCAUGCAAUCUUUGCAUCAUCGUUGAUAGAGAUCUUUCAUCUUUGACGAGAGGCUUCCCGUACUCGUAUCUUUGUAUCUGCACCUCCAUGAAAUCAUAAUGUACAUCGUCGGGCAGGUAAUCUCCAAGAUUGCUAUAACCGGGCACCAUCCUCGGAUCAUUAGCGACGAUGUCGCUAGGUACCUUGAGCGGGGGGGGGGGGGCACGAUUGCUUCCCUUGUUCGCCAAGCUGGGAAAUUUGUUUCCCAACUCGUCGUUCUUUCAGCCUUUGAUCACUGACAGUACUUCCCGACCGCUCCGCUUCGGCAAAUUCCUUUCCAAUAAUGCGCUCAUAGUUUCCUUUCGGUGGAGACUUGGGUGGUUUUGUUAGGGCAGCCAGAGUGCGCUUCGCUUUCACCGGAUCUACCUUCUCCUCCAGAGGUGGAUGUUUCUUUGCUUUCACCCCUUCAAAGAAGUUCCUGACUUCUUCUCGCACGAUCUCGGCGUUCUCCUCCGGGGUCCUCUCGUAUGGUAACUUCUCUGGAGUCUUUAGAGAAGGACCGAAUCUGUAUGUCCUCCCGCCUCUGGCUGUACUGCUAGACGCCGGCAGAGCAGACGGAGCGGUUGUCUUCUUUACUUGCUUACGAGGCAGAGGAGAAGGACUACGACGCACCAGAGCAGCCGGAGCGGCCGCAGGUCUCUUCCGCCCUUGCUGACGAGGCGGAGAAGGAGGAGGCUGGCUGCUCGGGCGCGCCGGCGCAGGCGGAGAAGGAGGCGGAGUGCCGCCACGCGCCGGAGAAGGAGCCGGCCGAGUGCCCUGAUAGUCACUCGCCAGAGGAGGAGGCGGUGGAGGGGGCGGAGUGCCCUGACUCGCCGAAGGAGGAGGAGGAGGCGGAGGCAUCCAAUUCGGAAGGUUCAUGACCUCCUUCCGCCAUAGGCAUGGAGUCUUCAGAGCAGAACCCAGCCGAGUCUCCCCUUCACCGGUAGGGUGGUCAAGCUGGAGGUCCUCAAAUCCCUCCGUUAUUUCAUCCACCAUCACCCUAGCAUAUCAUUCUGUAAUCGGCCGGCAGUGAAAAGUUGCGCUGGGUUCAGUAGGAAAAACAGAGCCAAUAGCCGCCUUGACCUUCAUAUUAACCCAUUGCGUCAUAAGGUGGCAAUUAUGAGACUCCGUGAUAGCAUCCACGGGAUAGCUGGCAGGAGCCGUCAAGACAUGCUCCUGCUGAAGCAGCUCGGUGGAAGCCAUGCUGCUUCUCCGCUGAGAUGGCGGGGUAGCUUCGGCAGUUCGUUUUGUGCGAUUUGCUUCUCGUUCCUCUAUUGCUUGUACCCUAGCGUGCAGCGCCUGCAGUUGGGUCUGCUCCACUUUCUUCCUCCUCUCGUGGCAUUUGUAACCGCCUGCGUCCGGAAACCCAGCCUUACACGGAAUGGAGCCUGGCGUGCCUCAUGUCCGUCCAGGGUGUUCAGGAUUCCCGAGGGCCAUUGUGAGCUCGUCGUUCUCUCUGUCUGGAACAAACAUACCUUGCUGCGCUGCUUCGAUAUAGUGCUUAAGCCUCUUGACUGGUAUUUCCAUUUGCUCGUCCGUCCAAAUGCACUUUCCUGAUACAGGGUCCAAGGUUUCACCAGCCCCGAAGAACCAAGUCCGGUAACGGUCUGUCCAGUUAAUUGUCUCUGGUUCGAUCCCUUUAUCAACCAGAUCAUUCUCAAUCUUGGCCCACUUAGGCCGAGCUGCCAGGUAGCCACCUGACCCCGUGCGAUGGUGAUGCUUCUUCUUCACAGCAUUUUGCUUGUUUGUCGACGACAUCUUCUUACUCUUUUCCGAUGUCUUGUGGGCCACAAAUGCGGGUCAGUGAUCUCUGAUCUUCUCAUAUCUGCCCUUGAAUUCCGGUGUCUCUUUAUUUUCGACAAACUUAUUCAGCUCUUUCUUCCACCUCCUGAAUAGUUCUGCCAUCCUCUUAAGAGCAAAAGACUUGAUUAAUUGCUCUUUAACUGGCUUCUCCGGAUCAUCCUCUGGCUGUAGGGUGAAAUUUGACUUCAGCUCAGUCCAAAGAUCAUUUUUCUGCAUAUCAUUGACAUAAGACACCUCAGGGUCUUCUGUAGCCGGCUUUAACCAUUGCUGCAUGCUGAUCGGGAUCUUGUCCCUAACCAAAACCCCGCACUGAGCAACAAAUGCGCUCUUUGUCCGGAUAGGUUCAUUCGGUUGGCCCUCGGGCGCGAUUGCUAUGAUCUCAAACUUUUCAUCCGAGCUCAACUUUUUCUUCGGGCCUCGUCUCUUUACCGAAGUUGUGCUCGAUCCGGAGGGCUAGAAAAAAGAACAAAGACUUAAUUAAUAUGUGUACAUACCAAAACAAUGAAUGCAUCAAUUAGCUAGUCAGCAGAAGCUUAACUAAUACUAGAUCAUUGAUGGUGCGUGUUGUUGCGCCCAUCUAUUUUGGAUCUUGGUUGUUAAGGAUAUAACAUUGCUAGUAUACAUUUCUUGCAUUGUUUUAAAAUAUUAUGCUUUCUAUAGCAUGUACUUCUCUUUAUUUUCAAAAUAAUGGUAUGUAAAUCAUCUUCAUUGGGGCAACAUUACAACUUCCAUAUCAACAUAAGCUUAGAUAUAAAUAGGGCAGUGCCAUAAGCCAACCUAUCCAUAUCCACGUUAUAAUAAUGGAUGGCUAUGUACAUUUUUGUUCAAGCAUAGUACAAGCUUGUUGCAGUUGCAUAGGAACAUAGACUUAAACAUAAUAUAAACUUGAAAUGUAUAAUGAUGGAAGAAGGCGGCAUGACAGUAUAUUAUACUUGGAAAACAAAUUGUACGAUGGAGUAGAGCGAACUGGAGAAGAUGUAGACCUCAAAUAGGCACCAGAAACACUGCACCAAAAUUUCUAUGAUUAUGGAUACAUCCAACAUGGCGGACGGUCAGAGGGCAUGAGAAGUAUAAUCAUAUACUAUCUAAGAAAAUCAAGACUCUUGAUUAUUACAUCAAAAGCAAGGCACAGAACAAGCUUACAUAUCGUAUUGUUCGUGCUAACACAAAUAAUAAUAUCUUCUAACACACGAAUGUAAUUUGGCCAAAAGAUAAUUUCUUCAUACGAAUUCCAACGUCACUACAUUUUUUUUCAUUGGGGCUUAAAAAUUGUUUGACCGUUUUACAUGAGAUAGAAAGAACUGACUGAACCGAGCAACAAAAGGCAACAAAAACACAAAUCAGUUUCCUCUCAUUCUCUGCCUACAUCAUAUUUUUUUUCCUGUAAAUAUAUCUUGUGAUUCAUCAUUGUUUCAGACCGUAAGGGCCGGAAGCUCUACCUAAGGCGGCUGCCAUACAAGGAUACACACAGCUUCGCCUUAAACACCCUCCUUGUGGCGAUGCUUAGAAAGGGAAUAACCUCAUGUAUUACCUUGCUCGGAAUAGCCAUGUUUUCAAAUCCCAACUAAUCCACCUUAAUCCUAACAUCAAAUGAACACAACAUUAACUUGAGAUCAGACGCUAUGGAGUCAGAGUGAUUGCAUGACUCGAGGCACAAGGCAACAGGCUGGGGUGAAGGCGUGGCAGCUGCAUGCCACCACGAAACACCGGCGAGCAGAGAACCGGAAGAUACAUAAUCGUUUAUGUCUUAUGAGUUAAUUUCUCCACUCAUUGCACGCUACAAAACAUUAGCGAGUAUACAUAGGAUGUCCCUUUCUGAACAACUACAUAAUAUAUAAAUUCCAAUUGCAUUAGGGAUUUCAUCUAGAGUAUAUUCCCUGAAUUAUUUGAAAUGAAGUAAUGGUUUUUCUAAUCCUACUUUGACCUGGAGCAUCACUCUGAAACAUCAGGGAACACACACAUCUUCAGAAGUAGCAGCAGUAGCUAAUGUGAAAAGUUCACUGGAAUGCUAGGAUACUAAAAAAGCUAGUACAUCCCAAUAGCCAAAGAACAUAACAAAAUUUGGCAUCAUGUGUCAAGUAGCUCACAGUGGGCAUAAAUUUGUACAUUAUAUGUCCCUUUAUUAACUCACUUGUCUCUGAUUUUUAACUAUUAGGAAAUAAUAGUGGUCAUCAAAAUUAGAAUAUAUUGUAAUGCUCUAGAAUAGGAUCUAAUUGUUGGGAGUUGUUACCUGAGGGAAUCCUUGCGGGGAGCUGAGCAUAGGAACCAAUGCUGUUCCGCACUGUCCACGUGACUGACCACCGUGCUGCCUCCAUGAGCCGAUGUGGAACUUCUACCAACAAGUGAUUUGUACAUGACUGCUCAAGCAAACUAAACCACUAAAUCCAAAGGGGAUUCGUUCCAGAAAGGUGCAACACCUUGAGAAAUCUACGUGUAGAAUUGAAGAGGGGAGAGUAUCAGGAGGUAAACCUAGAGAACCUGCAUAGUUUGUGAGUACAAAGAACAGUAUGAGUAAAAUAAAUUUCAAAAAUUGGAUUAGAUGAAGAAUCAGGUGAAGAGGAGAUAAAGGAAAGAACCAUCACCCAUUGCUGCACGAGAGUGGUUUUCAGAAGUAAGGGGAGUAGGGAAGGAGCAACAGCACUUUGGAUCGUAUAUUCGUAUAUGCGCGCGAGUGAAUUGAAGUAAAAAGCAUGAAUCAUCAGACCUGCAAUAAUCUUCAGUUUAGCCGGUUCAUCAAUUGCCAUUAAUCGAUCCUGAUUAAAACCUCAACGAAUCGAUGGCUAGUGAAUUUCAAUCGACAGCGGCUGUUCGCGGCCCUGACCAUCUCCCUAUUGCGUCACCGACCAGGACGCCGUUCGGUCGCUCGGCGAGGAGCGCCGUGUCAGUCGGACCUGAAGCACAGUGGCCAUGAGACACCAUCGGUCGCGUCGAUCCGACCCCAACACGGCCGCCAUCACUACUGCCCAGAUUCUGCUGCCAGCCGACAGCAGCAACCGUGCGAAACUGCGAACCAAAGGAUCUGGCGACGACGCGCCUGAGAACUCUAGAUAUGGCUUGAAAACCAGAAAUAUGCUUCACGGAUGUAGAGCGUGUUUGGUUGAGUUCCAGGAGCAAAAUUGCCUGGCCUGAGACCUUCCUGGGUUGUGCCUGCUUGUUGUUUGGAUAGUAGCCUCAAAUCACAGGCAUGUUCCUGGCCUGGAGUUGACAUGCACCUGAUUAGCCUGGGUAGAUCACAGGCAGCUUGAUUAGCCUGGAUGAGGCCAACGGAACCAGACGCCUGGCCUCCAGGCAGAUGCGUUUUGCGUCAAUUAGCAAGUUGUAUACUGUACUUUUUGUCAACUCAGCCGUCCCAUCUAAUUAUUUAAUAUUUAAGUACGUGUCCCAGGCCAGGUUUGCAACCAAACAUCACAUGCACACAGCAGCCUGGCCAGGCAAAAAUCCUCCUUCUCCCAGGCUACUAUCAGGCAUCAACUUUUGCUAGGCAUCACACCCAGGACAUGAACCAAACAUGCCCGUAGUGCGUCACUGACCUGGGGAUGAGCUCGUCGCCGGCUCGAGAAAAAGUCGCUCCCUGCUGCGCUUUUGGGGAAGAUAGGAAAUGUAGAAGAAUGAGCCAAUCUAGUGAAUCCCGUGGAACUUAAUGGAACCUGCACUCAUUUGGGAGCACAAAGAACAACAUCAAUUGAAAAAAAUUCAUGCAGAAUUUGGGGGAGAGUAGAGGUACCAACGAGGGAACACUUGUAAAAGGCCAGUAGCGGAGACUAAUUAUCGUCCUGUCAACCAUGGCAGCCUGCAAGUAAAAGGAGGAGAAUGAGGAAGGAGAAGCUCCACGAUGGAGAUUAAAUGGACGCAAUUGAAUGGAUGUUGUAACUGAGCCCAGUUAUUGGCCACCGGUGAGUGCGCCUCAUCGAUUGCAAAUUUGCCAUUAUAAUGGUCCGCUGCAACUAUGAAUUGAGUCCCGAAUCGCGGGCAACUGGAGGCAACCGACAGGGGACGAUCCGUUGCCCCGGAUACCUCCUGCUGGCGUCGCCCAGCGAGGCAACCCGGCCGGUCGCGUAGGUCGAGGCACAUCCGGUCGGUCCAAUCGACCUCGCAUCGGCACUGUUUUUUUUUCUCGCAUCAGGACUGGAUGAACGCUCAUCGGUCGCUCGUGUGUAACCCUAGUCGAUGGAACCGCACAAGUGGACCUUCUUCAGCGAAGCCCGUGGGCUGGAAUGGGCUGGCCGACGGCCCAGUUAACCACAGGGCUACGUUUUGGCCUGCGGAGCAGAAGCCCCAGGACAGCCGGCCCAGUUUUUAUCAGAUGUGGGACAGAUUGCUUUAAACAGGAGAUCCGACGACCAAAAACGUCUAGAUCGUGCAAACGGAUGGUCAGAAACGCGAAGCGCUGAGAGAGCUCGCUUUAGGUGCAGUUGUAUUGUACUUAAUAUAUACCUGGCCGGACUCGGUUCGGUCACCAGAGACGUCAUCACGGUCUCCUUCUUGCACCGGCAUUGUGUCACCGGAGCCGUCCUCACGGUCUCCUUCUUGCACCGGCAUUAGGUCACCGGAGCCAUCAUAAUCAUAGCCAGCUGCUUCCAUACCAUCGGUGUCGUUGAGAAACAACGAGCAGACGGCAUCCCUUCCUCGUGCGAUUAUGUCCCCCAACAACUCUUCUUGUACUUCGUCUCGGGCGGUGUCCAUAGUUUCUACAAAUAUUUAUAACAUGGCAAUUAUUAUUCAAACAUGACAGAUGGAUAUAUUAGUGGCAAACGUAGAACUAAUAUUAAUUAGUGGCCUCGACGCUACUUCUCUAGGGUUUGGGGUGGCCUCGACGCUGCUUCUCCAGGGUUUGAAGUGGCCUCGACAACGCUUCAAGGAUAAAAAAAGAAGAGGAAGAAGAAAAAAAGGGGAGAAGAAAGAAUAGAUCCUCUUUUUUUUUCUUCUUCUUCCUCUUUUUUUUUAUCGGGAACGAGGGUCGUCGACGCCCACGUCACUUGUGGGACGUGGAUGUAGUGUCCGACACCGAUGGCCACAUGUAUCUCACACCCACGAUACUUACUAUUUAGGGUUUCCUCUACCGCUCGGCGACCCUGACCCUCGACGACCCUCGUUUCNNNNNNNNNNNNNNNNNNNNNNNNNNNNNNNNNNNNNNNNNNNNNNNNNNNNNNNNNNNNNNNNNNNNNNNNNNNNNNNNNNNNNNNNNNNNNNNNNNNNNNNNNNNNNNNNNNNNNNNNNNNNNNNNNNNNNNNNNNNNNNNNNNNNNNNNNNNNNNNNNNNNNNNNNNNNNNNNNNNNNNNNNNNNNNNNNNNNNNNNNNNNNNNNNNNNNNNNNNNNNNNNNNNNNNNNNNNNNNNNNNNNNNNNNNNNNNNNNNNNNNNNNNNNNNNNNNNNNNNNNNNNNNNNNNNNNNNNNNNNNNNNNNNNNNNNNNNNNNNNNNNNNNNNNNNNNNNNNNNNNNNNNNNNNNNNNNNNNNNNNNNNNNNNNNNNNNNNNNNNNNNNNNNNNNNNNNNNNNNNNNNNNNNNNNNNNNNNNNNNNNNNNNNNNNNNNNNNNNNNNNNNNNNNNNNNNNNNNNNNNNNNNNNNNNNNNNNNNNNNNNNNNNNNNNNNNNNNNNNNNNNNNNNNNNNNNNNNNNNNNNNNNNNNNNNNNNNNNNNNNNNNNNNNNNNNNNNNNNNNNNNNNNNNNNNNNNNNNNNNNNNNNNNNNNNNNNNNNNNNNNNNNNNNNNNNNNNNNNNNNNNNNNNNNNNNNNNNNNNNNNNNNNNNNNNNNNNNNNNNNNNNNNNNNNNNNNNNNNNNNNNNNNNNNNNNNNNNNNNNNNNNNNNNNNNNNNNNNNNNNNNNNNNNNNNNNNNNNNNNNNNNNNNNNNNNNNNNNNNNNNNNNNNNNNNNNNNNNNNNNNNNNNNNNNNNNNNNNNNNNNNNNNNNNNNNNNNNNNNNNNNNNNNNNNNNNNNNNNNNNNNNNNNNNNNNNNNNNNNNNNNNNNNNNNNNNNNNNNNNNNNNNNNNNNNNNNNNNNNNNNNNNNNNNNNNNNNNNNNNNNNNNNNNNNNNNNNNNNNNNNNNNNNNNNNNNNNNNNNNNNNNNNNNNNNNNNNNNNNNNNNNNNNNNNNNNNNNNNNNNNNNNNNNNNNNNNNNNNNNNNNNNNNNNNNNNNNNNNNNNNNNNNNNNNNNNNNNNNNNNNNNNNNNNNNNNNNNNNNNNNNNNNNNNNNNNNNNNNNNNNNNNNNNNNNNNNNNNNNNNNNNNNNNNNNNNNNNNNNNNNNNNNNNNNNNNNNNNNNNNNNNNNNNNNNNNNNNNNNNNNNNNNNNNNNNNNNNNNNNNNNNNNNNNNNNNNNNNNNNNNNNNNNNNNNNNNNNNNNNNNNNNNNNNNNNNNNNNNNNNNNNNNNNNNNCGGGACUAAAGGGGGGCAUUGGUCACGGUUUGUGCCACGAACCGUGACCAAUGCCCCCUUUAGUCCCGGUUGGUGCCAUCAACCGGGACCAAAGGCCUGCGCCUGCCAAAGCCGUGGUGCGGUAGGAUGUUUAGUCCCACCUCGCUAGCUGAGGAGCGGCCGCACCUGUUUAUAAGCGCUGCACCUGUUUGGGCCUAAUCUCACAACGCUAUGCCUGCUGGGCCUUCUGCGGGCCUGAAUCCUGGCCCAUGGAUGGGCUUCUAGUCGUAUUCAGGCCGUGGUGGCCCAGUAGGUGGCAUUUUUUAUUACUAUUUGAUUUUUCAUUUCUACUUAGAACUAAAUACUUGUAGUUUUUUAGUGAUUUUUUUCUUUUAGGUCACAAAAAUUAUAAACUUUCUAUUAUUGCCAUUAGUUUUAAAAUUUGAAUAGUUUAAUUUUGAAUUUUUUAAAAUUUGUGUGAAUCACUAGUUUAUGAAUAACUUUACCGUAAAAAUUGAUUUUUGAGUCAUUUUUUUCCUGCUAUUUAAUAUUACUGUGUUUUAUCAUUAUACUCAAUUUGGUAAUUUUAGUUAGUCAUAACAAAUAUUAUAGGCAUUUUUUUCUUUUUUGCUAUUUUUUUUCAUUUCUACUUAGAACAAAAUACUUAUAGUUCUUUAGUGAUUUCUUUUUUCUUUUAGGUCACAAAAAUUAUAAACUUUCUGGUAGUUCCAUUAGUUUUCANNNNNNNNNNNNNNNNNNNNNNNNNNNNNNNNNNNNNNNNNNNNNNNNNNNNNNNNNNNNNNNNNNNNNNNNNNNNNNNNNNNNNNNNNNNNNNNNNNNNNNNNNNNNNNNNNNNNNNNNNNNNNNNNNNNNNNNNNNNNNNNNNNNNNNNNNNNNNNNNNNNNNNNNNNNNNNNNNNNNNNNNNNNNNNNNNNNNNNNNNNNNNNNNNNNNNNNNNNNNNNNNNNNNNNNNNNNNNNNNNNNUUAAUUCUUUUUGCUUUUCGUUUUAGAAAAAUUAUAAACUUUCUGUUAGUGCCAUUAGUUUUCAAAUUUGAAAACACUUUUUUAGUUUUUUUGCUUUCUUUGUUGCUUUAUUUAUUUUAUUUUGUUUCUACUUACAAAAAAAUACUUAUUGUUGCUAUUUUUUUUCAGUUUUUGUUUUGUUUUCUUUAUUAUUUAUUUUCUUUUGUUUUUUGCUUUAAUUUUUAAUUCUUUUUGCUUUUAGGUCAGCAAAAUUAUAAACUUUCUGUUAGUGCCACUAGUUUUAGAAAAAUUAUAAACUUUCUGUUAGUGCCAUUAGUUUUCAAAUUUGAAUAGUUAAAAUUUGAAUUCUUUAAAAUUUGUAUGAACCACAAGUUUGUGAUUAACUUUACUAAAAAAAUGAACAUAGAUGCACCUAUAGAGAAAAUUCGACCUAAAUUCAUAGUUUUCAAAUGAACUCUCAAAAAGUUGGCAUAGCAUACUCGUGUGUUACAAAGUUGGCAUGGUAUCAUCAUAAUAGUUGCUUGAGAAAGUCUUCACUUUUUCUUCGCUUGUGUCAUUUGCUUAUUGCGCCGUAACCAUGGAUAAUCUUCAUCGUUUAUCAGGAUGCUUGGGUCAGCCUUGACAUUGAAGGGAGGAAUUUCAUGAAACUUUUCAUAAUCUUCAGACAUGUCUGUCUUGCCCUCCACUCCCAGGAUAUCCCUUUUUCCUGAAAGAACUAUAUGGCGCUUUGGCUCAUCGUAUGAUGUAUUCGCUUCCUUAUCUUUUCUUUUUCUCGGUUUGGUAGACAUGUCCUUCACAUAGAUAACCUGUGCCACAUCAUUGGCUAGGACGAACGGUUCGUCAGUAUACCCAAGAUUUUUCAGAUCCACUGUUGUCAUUCCGUACUGUGGGUCUACCUGUACCCCGCCGCCUGACAGAUUGACCCAUUUGCACUUAAACAAAGGGACCUUAAAAUCAUGUCCGUAGUCAAGUUCCCAUAUGUCCAUUAUGUAACCAUAAUAUGCAUCCUUUCCGCUCUCGGUUGCUGCAUCAAAGCGGACACCGCUGUUUUGGUUGGUGCUCUUUUGAUCUUGGGCGAUCAUGUAAAAUGUAUUCCCAUUUAUCUCGUAUCCUUUGUAAGUCAAUACAGUCAAAGAUGGUCCCCUGGACAACAAGUGCAACUCAUCACAAACAGUGUUGUCACCUCUGAGACGUGUUUCCAACCAACUGUUGAAAGUCCUGAUGUGUUCACAUGUAAUCUAGUCGUCGCACUGCUCCGGAUGUUUGGAGCGCAGACUGUUUUUGUGUUCAUCGAUAUACGGGGCCACCAUGGUAGAGUUCUGUAGAACUGUGUAGUGUGCUUGAGACCAAGAAUAUCCGUCCCUGCAUAUUAUUGAGUCACUUCCAAGAGUGCCUUUUCCAGUCAGUCUCCCCUCAUACCGCGAUUUAGGGAGACCUAUCUUCUUAAGGCCAGGAAUGAAGUCAACACAAAAUUCGAUAACAUCCUCUGUUUGAUGGCCCAUGGAGAUGCUUCCUUCUGACCUAGCGCGGUUACGGACAUAUUUCUUUAGGACUCCCAUGAACCUCUCAAAGGGGAACAUAUUGUGUAGAAAUACGGGCCCCAGGAUGACAAUCUCGUCGACUAGAUGAACUAGGACGUGCGUCAUGAUAUUGAAGAAGGAUGGUGGGAACACCAGCUCGAAACUGACAAGACAUUGCGCCACAUCACUCCUUAGCCUUGGUACAAUUUCUGGAUCGAUCACCUUCUGAGAGAUUGCAUUGAGGAAUGCACAUAGCUUCACAAUGGCUAAUCGGACGUUUUCUGGUAGAAGCCCCCUCAAUGCAGCCGGAAGCAGUUGCGUCAUAAUCACAUGGCAGUCAUGAGACUUUAGGUUCUGAAACUUUUUCUCUGGCAUAUUUAUUAUUCCCUUUAUAUUCGAUGAGAAGCCAGUCGUGACCUUCAUACUGAGCAGGCAUUCAAAGAAGAUUUCUUUCUCUUCUUUCGUAAGAGCAUAGCUGGCAGGACCUUUAUACUGCUUCGGAGGCAUGCCGUCUUUUUCAUGCAAAUGUUGCAGGUCCUCCCAUGCCUCGGAUGUAUCUUUUGUCUUCCCAUACAAGAAGCCUACCAGGUUCACACAAAGGUUCUUCAUCACGUGCAUCACGUCGAUUGAAGAGCAGACCUCUAGGUCUUUCCAGUAGGGUAGGUCCCAAAAUAUAGAUUUCUUCUUCCACAUGGGUGCGUGUCCCUCAGCGUCAUUCGGAACAGCUAGUCCGCCGGGACACUUUCCAAAGAUUACAUGUAAAUCAUUGACCAUAGCAAGUACGUGAUCACCGGUACGCAUGGCGGGCUUCUUCUGGUGAUCUGCCUCGCCUUUGAAAUGCUUGCCUUUCUUUCGACAUUGAUGGUUGGUCGGAAGAAAUCAACGAUGGCCCAGGUACACAUUUUUCCUGCAUUUGUCCAGGUAUAUACUUUCAGUGUCAUCUAAACAGUGCGUGCAUGCGUGGUAUCCUUUGUUUGUCUAUCCUGAAAGGUUACUGAGAGCGGGCCAAUCAUUGACGGUCACGAACAGCAAAGCCUUUAGGUUAAAUUCCUCCUGUCUAUGGUCAUCCCACGUACGUACACUGUUUCCAUUCCACAGCUGUAAAAGUUCUUCAACUAAUGGCCUUAGGUACACAUCAAUGUCCUUGCCGGGUUGCUUAGUGUAGGGGAACAUAGUAAUUUCAAAAUUUUCCUACGCACACGCAAGAUCAUGGUGAUGCAUAGCAACGAGAGGGGAGAGUGUUGUCUAUGUACCCUCGUAGACCGAAGCGGAAGCGCUGACACAACGUAGAGGAAGUAGUCGUACGUCUUCCCGAUCCUACCGAUCCAAGCACCGUUACUCCGGCACCUCCGAGUUCUUAGCACACGUACAGCUCGAUGACGCUCCCCAGGCUUCGAUCCAACAAAGCUUCGGGGAUGAGUUCCAUCAGCACAACGGCGUGGUGACGAUGAUGAUGUUCUACCGACGCAGGGCUUCGCCUAAGCACUACAAUGAUAUGACCGAGGUGGAAUAUGGUGGAAGGGGGCACCGCACACGGCUAAGGAACGAUCACGUUGAUCAAUUGUGUGUUCUAGGGUGUCCCCUUGCCUCCGUAUAUAAAGGAUCCAAGGGGGAGGGGUUCGGCCGGCCCUAUGGAGGCGCAGGAGGAGUCCUACUCCUACCGGGAGUAGGACUCCCCCCUUUCCUAGUCCAAGUAGGAUUGGUGGAGAAGAAAGGGAAAGAGGGGGGUGCAGCCCCUCCCUCCUUGUCCAAUUCGGACUAGGGGGAGAGGGGGCGCGCGGCCUGCCCUGGCAGCCCCUUCCUAUUCUCCACUUUAGGCCCAUGAGGCCCAUUAACACCCCGGGGGGUUCCGGUAACCCCCCGGUGCUCCGGUUUUAUCCGAAACUUCAUCGGAACCCUUCCGGUGUCUGAAUAUAGUCAUCCAAUAUAUCAAUCUUUAUGUCUCGACCAUUUCGAGACUCCUCGUCAUGCCCGUGAUCACAUCCGGGACACCGAACUAACUUCGGUACAUCAAAAUGUAUAAACUCAUAAUAACUAUCAUCGUAACGUUAAGCGUGCGGACCCUAUGGUUCGAGAACAAUGUAGACAUGACCGAGACACGUCUCCGGUCAAUAACCAAUAGCGGGACCUGGAUGCCCAUAUUGGCUCCUACAUAUUCUACGAAGAUCUUUAUCGGUCAGACCGCAUAACAACAUACGUUGUUCCCUUUGUCAUCGGUAUGUUACUUGCCCGAGAUUCGAUCGUCGGUAUCCAAUACCUAGUUCAAUCUCGUUACCGGCAAAUCUCUUUACUCGUUCCGUAAUACAUCAUCUCACAACUAACUCAUUAGUUGUAAUGCUUGCAAGGCUUAUGUGAUGUGCAUUACCGAGAGGGCCCAGAGAUACCUCUCCGACAAUCGGAGUGACAAAUCCUAAUCUCGAAAUACGCCAACCCAACAUCUACCUUUGGAGACACCUGUAGAGCACCUUUAUAAUCACCCAGUUACGUUGUGACGUUUGGUAGCACACAAAGUGUUCCUCCGGCAAACGGGAGUUGCAUAAUCUCAUAGUCAUAGGAACAUGUAUAAGUCAUGAAGAAAGCAAUAGCAACAUACUAAACGAUCGGGUGCUAAGCUAAUGGAAUGGGUCAUGUCAAUCAGAUCAUUCAACUAAUGAUGUGAUCUCGUUAAUCAAAUAACAACUCUUUGUUCAUGGUUAGGAAACAUAACCAUCUUUGAUUAACGAGCUAGUCAAGUAGAGGCAUACUAGUGACACUCUGUUUGUCUAUGUAUUCACACAUGUAUUAUGUUUCCGGUUAAUACAAUUCUAGCAUGAAUAAUAAACAUUUAUCAUGAUGUAAGGAAAUAAAUAAUAACUUUAUUAUUGCCUCUAGGGCAUAUUUCCUUCAGUCUCCCACUUGCACUAGAGUCAAUAAUCUAGAUUACACAGUAAUGAUUCUAACACCCAUGGAGCCUUGGUGCUGAUCAUGUUUUGCUCGUGGAAGAGGCUUAGUCAACGGGUCUGCAACAUUCAGAUCCGUAUGUAUCUUGCAAAUCUCUAUGUCUCCCACCUGGACUAGAUCCCGGAUGGAAUUGAAGCGUCUCUUGAUGUGCUUGGUUCUCUUGUGAAAUAUGGAUUCCUUUGCCAAGGCAAUUGCACCAGUAUUGUCACAAAAGAUUUUCAUUAGACCCGAUGCACUAGGUAUGACACCUAGAUCGGAUAUGAACUCCUUCAUCCAGACUCCUUCGUUUGCUACUUCCGAAGCAGCUAUGUACUCCGCUUCACAUGUAGAUCCCGCCACAAUGCUUUGUUCAGAACUGCACCAACUGACAGCUCAACCGUUUAAUGUAAACAUGUAUCCGGUUUGUGAUUUAGAAUCGUCCGGAUCAGUGUCAAAGCUUGCAUCAACGUAACCGUUUACGAUGAGCUCUUUGUCACCUCCAUAUACGAGAAACAUAUCCUUAGUCCUUUUCAGGUACUUCAGGAUGUUCUUGACCGUUGUCCAGUGAUCCACUCCUGGAUUACUUUGGUACCUCCCUGCUAAACUUAUAGCAGGGCACACAUCAGGUCUGGUACACAGCAUUGCAUACAUGAUAGAGCCUAUGGCUGAAGCAUAGGGAACAUCUUUCAUUUUCUCUCUAUCUUCUGAAGUGGUCGGGCAUUGAGUCUGACUCAACUUCACACCUUGUAACACAGGCAAGAACCCUUUCUUUGCUUGAUCCAUUUUGAACUUCUUCAAAAUCUUGUCAAGGUAUGUGCUUUGUGAAAGUCCAAUUAAGCGUCUUGAUCUAUCUCUAUAGAUCUUUAUGCCUAAUAUGUAAGCAGCUUCACCGAGGUCUUUCAUUGAAAAACUCUUAUUCAAGUAUCCCUUUAUGCUAUCCAGAAAUUCUAUAUCAUUUCCAAUCAGUAAUAUGUCAUCCACAUAUAAUAUCAGAAAUGCUAUAGAGCUCCCACUCACUUUCUUGUCAAUACAGGCUUCUCCAAAAGUCUGUACAAAACCAAAUGCUUUGAUCACACUAUCAAAGCGUUUAUUCCAACUCCGAGAGGCUUGCACCAGUCCAUAAAUGGAUCGCUGGAGCUUGCACACUUUGUUAGAUCCUUUCGGAUCGACAAAACCUUCCGGUUGCAUCAUAUACAACUCUUCUUCCAGAAAUCCAUUCAGGAAUGCAGUUUUGACAUCCAUCUGCCAAAUUUCGUAAUCAUAAAAUGCGGCAAUUGCUAACAUGAUUCGAACGGACUUAAGCAUCGCUACGGGUGAGAAGGUCUCAUCAUAGUCAACCCCUUGAACUUGUCCAAAACCUUUUGCGACAAGUCGAGCUUUGUAGACAGUAACAUUACCGUCAGCGUCAGUCUUUUUCUUGAAGAUCCAUUUAUUCUCAAUUGCUUGCCGACCAUCGGGCAAGUUAACCAAAGUCCAUACUUUGUUCUCAUACAUGGAUCCCAUUUCAGAUUUCAUGGCUUCAAGCCAUUUUGCGGAAUCUGGGCUCACCAUCGCUUCUUCAUAGUUAGUAGGUUCAUCAUGAUCUAGCAGCAUGAUUUCUAGAACAGGAUUACCGUACCACUCUGGCGCGGAUCUCACUCUGGUUGAUCUACGAGGUUCAGUAGUAUCUUGUCCUGAAGUUUCAUGAUCAUUAUCAUUAGCUUCCUCACUUAUGGGUGUAGGUGUCGCAGAAACAGUUUUCUGUGAUGUACUUCUUUCCAAUAAGGGGGCAGGUACAGUUACCUCGUCAAGUUCUACUUUCCUCCCACUCACUUCUUUCGAGAGAAACUCCUUCUCUAGAAAGGAUCCAUUCUUAGCAACGAAUGUCUUGCCUUCGGAUCUGUGAUAGAAGGUGUACCCAACAGUCUCCUUUGGGUAACCUAUGAAGACACAUUUCUCCGAUUUGGGUUCAAGCUUAUCAGGUUGAAGCUUUUUCACAUAAGCAUCGCAGCCCCAGACUUUAAGAAACGACAACUUUGGUUUCUUGCCAAACCAUAGUUCAUAAGGCGUCGUCUCAACGGAUUUUGAUGCUGCCCUAUUUAACGUGAAUGCGGCCGUCUCUAAAGCAUAACCCCAAAACGAUAGCGGUAAAUCAGUAAGAGACAUCAUAGAUCGCACCAUAUCUAGUAAAGUACGAUUACGACGUUCGGACACACCAUUACGCUGUGGUGUUCCGGGUGGCGUGAGUUGCGAAACUAUUCCGCAUUGUUUCAAAUGUACACCAAACUCGUAACUCAAAUAUUCUCCUCCAUGAUCAGAUCGUAGAAACUUUAUUUUCUCGUUACGAUGAUUUUCAACUUCACUCUGAAAUUCUUUGAACUUUUCAAAUGUUUCAGACUUGUGUUUCAUUAAGUAGAUAUACCCAUAUCUGCUUAAAUCAUUUGUGAAGUUGAGAAAAUAACGAUAUCCGCCACGAGCCUCAAUAUUCAUCGGACCACAUACAUCGGUAUGUAUGAUUUCCAACAAAUCUGUUGCUCUCUCCAUAGUACCGGAGAACGGUGUUUUAGUCAUCUUGCCCAUGAGGCACGGUUCGCAAGUACCAAGUGAUUCAUAAUCAAGUAGUUCCAAAAGUCCAUCAGUAUGGAGUUUCUUCAUGCGCUUUACACCGAUAUGACCUAAACGGCAGUGCCACAAAUAAGUUGCACUAUCAUUAUCAACUCUGCAUCUUUUGGUUUCAACAUUAUGAAUAUGUGUAUCACUACUAUCGAGAUUCAUCAGAAAUAGACCACUCUUCAAGGGUUCAUGACCAUAAAAGAUAUUACUCAUAUAAAUAGAACAACCAUUAUUCUCUGAUUUAAAUGAAUAACCGUCUCGCAUCAAACAAGAUCCAGAUAUAAUGUUCAUGCUUAACGCUGGCACCAAAUGACAAUUAUUUAGGUCUAAUACUAAUCCCGAAGGUAGAUGUAGAGGUAGCGUGCCGACCGCGAUCACAUCGACUUUGGAACCGUUUCCCACGCGCAUCGUCACCUCGUCCUUUGCCAGUGUUCGCCUAAUCCGUAGUCCCUGUUUCGAGUUGCAAAUAUUAGCAAUAUAACCAGUAUCAAAUACCCAGGUGCUACUGCGAGCUCUAGUAAGGUACACAUCAAUAACAUGUAUAUCACUUAUACCUUUAUUCACCUUGCCAUCCUUCUUAUCCGCCAAAUACUUGGGGCAGUUCCGCUUCCAGUGACCAGUCUGCUUGUAGUAGAAGCACUCAGUUUCAGGCUUAGGUCCAGACUUGGGUUUCUUCUCCUGAGCAGCAACUUGCUUGCCGUUCUUCUUGAAGUUCCCCUUCUUCUUCCCUUUGCCCCUUUUCUUGAAACUAGUGGUCUUGUUGACCAUCAACACUUCAUGCUCCUUCUUGAUUUCUACCUCCGCAGCUUUCAGCAUUGCGAAGAGCUCGAGAAUAGUCUUAUUCAUCCAUUGCAUAUUAUAGUUCAUCACAAAGCUCUUGUAGCUUGGUGGCAGUGAUUGGAGAAUUCUGUCAAUGACGCAAUCAUCUGGAAAAUUAACUCCCAUCUAAAUCAAGUGAUUAUUAUACCCAGACAUUUUGAGUAUAUGCUCACUGACAGAACUAUUCUCCUCCAUCUUGCAGCUAUAGAACUUAUUGGAGACUUCAUAUCUCUCAAUCCGGGCAUUUGCUUGAAAUAUUAGCUUCAACUCCUGGAACAUCUCAUAUGCUCCAUGACGUUCAAAACGUCGUUGAAGUCCCAAUUCUAAGCCGUAAAGCAUGGCACACUGAACUAUCGAGUGGUCAUCAGCUUUGCUCCGCCAGACGUUCAUAACAUCUGGUGUUGCUCCAGCAGCAGGCCUGGCACCCAGCGGUGCUUCCAGGACGUAAUUCUUCUGUGCAGCAAUGAGGAUAAUCCUCAAGUUACGGACCCAGUCCGUGUAAUUGCUACCAUCAUCUUUCAACUUUGCUUUUGUUGGGGAACGUAGUAAUUUCAAAAAUUUCCUACGCACACGCAAGAUCAUGGUGAUGCAUAGCAACGAGGGGGAGAGUCUGAUCUACGUACCCUUGUAGAUCGCAACGGAAGCGUUGACACAACGUAGAGGAAGUAGUCGUACGUCUUCUUCCCGAUCCGACCGAUCCAAGCACUGUUACUCCGGCACCUCCGAGUUCUUAGCACACGUUCAGCUCGAUGACGAUCCUCGGGCUCCGAUCCAGCAAAGCGUCGAGGAAGAGUUCCGUCAGCACGACGGCGUGGUGACGAUCUUGACGUACUACCGACGUAGGGCUUCGCCUAAGCACUACAACGGUAUGAUCGAGGUGGAAUUUGGUGGCAGGGGGCACCGCACACGGCUAAGGAACGAUUUCAAGGAUCAACUUGUGUGUCUAUGGGGAGCCCCCCGCCCCUGUAUAUAAAGGAUGGAGGAGGAGGAGGCCGGCCAAGGCAAAGGUGCGGCCAGGAUAGGGAGUCCUACUAGGACUCCAAGUCCUAGUAGGAGUCCACCAAAAGGGGAGGAAGGGAGAAGGAAUAGGAGGAGAAGGAGAGGUGGCCGGCCCCCUUUUCCCUAGUCCAAUUCGGACCAAAGGGGAGGGGGGGCGCAGCAGCCUUUUCCUCUUCCCACUAAAGCCCAUCAAGGCCCAUUACUUCUCCCGUAACUACCCGGUACUCCGAAAAAUACCCGAAUCACUCGGAACCUUUCCGAUGUCCGAAUAUAGUCGUCCAAUAUAUCGAUCUUUACGUCUCGACCAUUUCGAGACUCCUCGUCAUGUCCCCGAUUUCAUCCGGGACUCCGAACUCCUUCGGUACAUCAAUACUCAUAAACUCAUAAUAUAACUGUCAUCGAAACCUAAAGCGUGCGGACCCUAUGGUUCGAGAACAAUGUAGACAUGACCGAGACACGUCUUCGGUCAAUAACCAAUAGCGGGACCUGGAUGCCCAUAUUGGCUCCUACAUAUUCUACGAAGAUCUUUAUCGGUCAGACCGCAUAACAACAUACGUUGUUCCCUUUGUCAUCGGUAUGUUACUUGCCCGAGAUUCGAUCGUCGGUAUCCAAUACCUAGUUCAAUCUCGUUACCGGCAAGUCUCUUUACUCAUUCUAUAAUACAUCAUCCCACAACUAACUCAUUAGUUGCAAUGCUUGCAAGGCUUAAGUGAUGUGCAUUACCGAGAGGGCCCAGAGAUACCUCUCCGAUAAUCGGAGUGACAAAUCCUAAUCUCGAAAUACGCCAACCCAACAUCUUCCUUUGGAGACACCUGUAAUGCUCCUUUAUAAUCACCCAGUUACGUUGUGACGUUUUGUAGCACCCAAAGUGAUCCUCCGGCAAACGGGAGUUGCAUAAUCUCAUAGUCAUAGGAACAUGUAUAAGUCAUGAAGAAAGCAAUAGCAACAUACUAAACGAUCGGGUGCUAAGCUAAUGGAAUGGGUCAUGUCAAUCAGAUCAUUCAACUAAUGAUGUGACCUCGUUAAUCAAAUAACAACUCUUUUGUCCAUGGUUAGGAAACAUAACCAUCUUUGAUUAACGAGCUAGUCAAGUAGAGGCAUACUAGUGACACUCUGUUUGUCUAUGUAUUCACACAUGUAUUAUGUUUCCGGUUAAUACAAUUCUAGCAUGAAUAAUAAACAUUUAUCAUGAUAUAAGGAAAUAAAUAAUAACUUCAUUAUUGCCUCUAGGGCAUAUUUCCUUCAGUCUCCCACUUGCACUAGAGUCAAUAAUCUAGUUCACAUCGCCAUGUGAUUUAACAGCAAUAGUUCACAUCACCAUGUGAUUAACACCCAUAGUUCACAUCGUCAUGUGACCAACACUCAAAGGGUUUACUAGAGUCAGUAAUCUAGUUCACAUAUCUAUGUGAUUAACACCCAAAGAGUACUAAGGUGUGAUCAUGUUUUGCUUGUGAGAUAAUUUUAGUCAACGGGUCUGUCACAUUCAGAUCUGUAAGUAUUUUGCAAGUUCUAUGUCUACAAUGCUCUACACGGAGCUACUCUAGCUAAUUGCUCCCACUUUCAAUAUGUAUCCAGAUUGAGACUUUAGAUUCAUCUGGAUCAGUGUCAAAAACUUGCAUCGACGUAACCCUUUACGACGAACCUUUUUGUCACGUCCAUAAUCGAGAAACAUAUCCUUAUUUCACUAAGGAUAAUUCUGACCGCUGUCCAGUGAUCUACUCCUAGAUCACUAUUAUACUCCCUUGCCAAAUCAAUGCAGGGUAUACAAUAGAUCUGGUAUACAGCAUGACAUACUUUAUAGAACCUAUGGCCAAGGCAUAGGGAAUGACUUUCAUUCUCUUUCUAUCUUCUGCCGUGGUCGGGCUUUGAGUCUUACUCAACUUCACACCUUGUAAUACAGGCAAGAACUCUUUCUUUGACUGCUCCAUUUUGAGCUACUUCAAAAUCUUGUCAAGGUAUGUACUUAUUGAAAAAACUUAUCAAGCGUCUUGAUCUAUCUCUAUAGAUCUUGAAGCUCAAUAUGUAAGCAGCUUCACCGAAGUCUUUCUUUGAAAAACUCCUUUCAAACACUCCUUUAUGCUUUACAGAAUAAUUCUACAUUAUUUCCGAUCAACAAUAUGUCAAUCACAUAUACUUAUCAGAAAUGCUGUAGUGUCCCACUCACUUUCUUGUAAAUACAGGCUUCACCGCAAGUCUGUAUAAAACUAUAUGCUUUGAUCAACUCAUCAAAGCGUAUAUUCCAACUCCGAGAUGCUUGCACCAGUCCACAGAUGGAUCGCUGGAGCUUGCACAUUUUGUUAGCACCUUUCGGAUUGACAAAACCUUCUGUUGCAUCAUAUACAACUCUUCUUUAAUAAAUCCAUUAAGGAAUGCAGUUUUGUUUAUCCAUUUGCCAGAUUUCAUAAAAUGCGGCAAUUACUAACAUGAUUCGGACAGACUCAAGCAUAGAUACGAGUGAGAAGCUCUCAUCGUAGUCAACACCUUGAACUUGUCGAAAACCUUUUUGCGACAAUUCUAGCUUUGUAGAUAGUAACACUACUAUCAGCGUCCGUCUUCCUCUUGAAGAUCCAUUUAUUCUCAAUUGCUUGCCGAUCAUUGGGCAAGUCAACCAAAGUCCAAACUUUGUUCUCAUACAUGGAUCAUAUCUCAGAUUUCAUGGCCUCAAACCAUUUCGCGGAAUCUGGGCUCAUCAUUGCUUCCUCAUAGUUCGUAGGUUCAUCAUGAUCUAGUAGCAUGACUUCCAGGAUUGGAUUACCGUACCACACUGGUGCGGAUCUCACUCUGGUUGAUCUACGUGGUUCAGUAGUAUCUUGUCCUGAAGUUUCAUGAUCAUCAUCAUUAGCUUCCUCACUAAUUGGUAUAGGUGUCGCAGAAACAGUUUUCUGUGAUGUACUAUUUUCCAAUAAGGGAGCAGGUACAGUUACCUCGUCAAGUUCUACUUUCCUCCCACUCACUUCUUUUGAGAGAAACUCCUUCUCUAGAAAGGAUCCAUUAUAAGCAACGAAUGUCUUGCCUUAGGAUCUGUGAUAGAAGGUGUACCCAACAGUCUCCUUUGGGUAUCCUAUGAAGACAUAUUUCUCCGAUUUGGGUUUGAGCUUAUCAGGAUGAAACUUUUUCUCAUAAGCAUCGCAACCCCAAACUUCAAGAAACGACAACUUUGGUUUCUUGCCUAACCAUAGUUCAUACGGUGUCGUCUCAACGGAUUUAGAUGGUGCCCUAUUUAACGUGAAUGCAGCUUUCUCUAAUGCAUGAUCCCAAAACGAUAUUGGUAAAUCGGUAAGAAACAUCAUAGAUUGUACUAUAUCCAAUAAAGUACGGUUAUGACGUUCGGACACACCAUUAUGCUGUGGUGUUCCAGGUGGCGUGAGUAGUGAAACUAUUUCACAUUGUUUUAACUGAAGACCAAACUCGUAACUCAAAUACUCUUUUCCACGAUCAGAUCGUAGAAACUUUAUUUUCUUGUUACGAUGAUUUUCCACUUCACUCUGAAAUUAUAUGAACUUUUCAAAUGUAUCAGACUUCUAUUUCAUUAAGUAGAUAUACCCAUAUCUGCUCAAAUCAUCUGUGAAGGUUUAGAAAAUAAUGAUACCCGCUGCAAGCCUUAAAUAUUCAUCGGACCACAUACAUUUGUAUGUAUGAUUUCCAACAAAUCUGUUGCUUGCUCCAUUGUUCCGGAGAACGGCGUUUUAGUCAUCUUGCCCAAAAGGCAUGGUUCGCAAGCAUCAAGUGAUUCCGAAAGCCCAUCAGCAUGGAGUUUCUUCAUGUGCUUUAUACCAAUAUGACCUAAACGGCAGUGCCACAAAUAAGUUGCACUAUCAUUAUUAACUUUGCAUCUUUUGGUUUCAAUAUUAUGAAUAUGUGUAUCACUACGAUCGAGAUCCAACGAACUUGUUUCAUUGGGUGUAUGACCAUCGAAGGUUUUAUUCAUGUAAACAGAACAACAAUUAUUCUCUGACUUUAAUGAAUAACCGUAUUGCAAUAAACAUGAUCAAAUCAUAUUCAUGCUCAACCAAAUAACACUUAUUUAAGUUCAACACUAAUCCCGAAAGUAUAGGGGAGUGUGUGAUGAUGAUCAUAUCAAUCUUGGAACUACUUCCAACACACAUCGUCACUUCACCCUUAACUAGUCUUUGUUUAUUCUGCAACUCCUGUUUCGAGUUACUACUCUUAGCAACUGAACCAAUAUCAAAUACUGAGGGGUUGCUAUAAACACUAGUAAAGCACACAUCAAUAACAUGUAUAUCAAAUAUACUUUUGUUCACUUUGCCAUCCUUCUUAUCCGCCAAAUACUUGGGGCAGUUCCGCUUCCAGUGACCAGUCCCUUUGCAGUAGAAGCACUUAGUCUCAGGCUUAGGACCAAACUUCGGCUUCUUCACUUGAGCAGCAACUUGCUUGCCGUUCUUCUUGAAGUUCCCCUUCUUCCCUUUGCCCUUUUCUUGAAACUAGUGAUCCUGUCAACCAUCAACACUUGAUGUUUUUCUUGAUUUCGACCUUCGUUGAUUUCAGCAUCACGAAGAGCUUGGGAGUUGUUUCCGUUAUCCCUUGCAUAUUAUAGUUCAUCACGAAGUUCUACUAACUUGGUGAUGGUGACUAGAGAAUUUUGUCAAUCACUAUCUUAUCUGGAAGAUUAACUCCCACUUGAUUCAAGCGAUUGUAGUACUCAGAUAAUCUGGGCACAUGCUCACUAGUUGAGCGAUUCUCCCCCAUCUUUCAGCUAUAGAACUUGUUGGAGACUUCAUAUCUCUCAACUCGGGUAUUUACUUGAAAUAUUAACUUCAGCUUCUGGAACAUCUCAUAUGGUCCAUGACGCUCAGAACGUCUUUGAAGUCCCGAUUCUAAGCCAUUAAGCAUGGUGCACUAAACUAUCAAGUAGUCAUCAUAUUGGGCUAGCCAAACGUUCAUAACGUCGGCAUCUGCUCCUGCAAUAGGUCUGUCACCUAGCGGUGCAUCAAGGACAUAAUUCCUCUAUGCAGCAAUGAGGAUAAAACUCAGAUCACGGAUCCAAUCCGCAUCAUUGCUACUAACAUCUUUCAACACAAUUUUCUCUAGGGACAUGUCAAAAUAAACACAGGGAAGCAACAACGCGAGCUAUUGAUCUACAACAUAAUUUGCAAAAUACUACCAGGACUAAGUUCAUGAUAAAUUUAAGUUCAAUUAAUCAUAUUACUUAAGAACUCCCACUUAGAUAGAUAUCCCUCUAAUCCUCUAAGUGAUCACGUGAUCCAAAUCAACUAAACCAUAACCGAUCAUCACGUGAGAUGGAGUAGUUUUCAAUGGUGAACAUCGUCAUGUUGAUCAUAUCUACUAUAUGAUUCACGCUCGACCUUUCGGUCUCUGUGUUCCGAGGCCAUAUCUGCAUAUGCUAGGCUCGUCAAGUUUAACCUGAGUAUUCUGCGUGUGCAAAACUGGCUUGCACCCGUUGUAGAUGGACGUAGAGCUUAUCACACCCGAUCAUCACGUGGUGUCUGGGCACGACGAACUUUGGCAACGGUGCAUACUCAGGGAGAACACUUCUUGAUAAUUCAGUGAGAGAUCAUCUUAUAAUGCUACCGUCAAUCAAAGCAAGAUAAGAUGCAUAAAAAGAUAAACAUCAUAUGUAAUCAAAAUAUGUGACAUGAUAUGGCCAUCAUCAUCUUGCUUCUUUGAUCUCCAUCUCCAAAGUACUGUCAUGAUCUAUAUCGUCACCGGCAUGACACCAUGAUCUCCAUCAUCUUGAUCUAUAUCAAUGUGUCGUCGUGUGGUCGUCUCACCAACAAUUGCUCUUGCAACUAUUGCUAUCGCAUAGCGAUAAAGUAAAGCAAUUACUGGACGCUUGCAUCUCAUGAAAUAGAGAGACAACCAUAAGGAUUUUGUCAGUUGCUGAUAACUUCAACAAAACAUGAUCAUCUUAUACAACAACUUAUAACUCAUCACGUUUUGACCAUAUCACAUCACAACAUGCCCUGCAAAAACAAGUUAGACGUCCUCUACUUUGUUGUUGCAAAUUUUACGUGGCUGCUACGGGCUUAGCAAGAACCAAUCUUACCUACGCAUCAAAACCACAACGAUAGUUUGUCAAAUAGACUCCGUUUUAACCUUCGCAAGGACCGGGCGUAGCCACACUCGGUUCAACUAAAGUUGGAGAAACAGUCACCCGCAAGUCACCUAUGUGCAAAGCACGUCGGGGAAACCGGUCUCGCGUAAGCGUACGCGUAAUGUCGGUCCGGGCCGCUUCAUCCAACAAUACCGCGGAACCAAAGUAUGACAUGCUGGUAGGCAGUAUGACUUAUAUCGCCCACAACUCACUUGUGUUCUACUCGUGCAUAUAACAUCAAACCAUAAAACCUAGGCUCGGAUGCCACUGUUGGGGAACGUAGUAAUUUCAAAAAUUUCCUACGCACACGCAAGAUCAUGGUGAUGCAUAGCAACGAGGGGGAGAGUCUGAUCUACGUACCCUUGUAGAUCGCAACGGAAGCGUUGACACAACGUAGAGGAAGUAGUCGUACGUCUUCUUCCUGAUCCGACCGAUCCAAGCACCGUUACUCCGGCACCUCCGAGUUCUUAGCACACGUUCAGCUCGAUGACGAUCCUCGGGCUCCGAUCCAGCAAAGCGUCGAGGAAGAGUUCCGUCAGCAUGACGGCGUGGUGACGAUCUUGAUGUACUACCGAUGUAGGGCUUCGCCUAAGCACUACAACGGUAUGAUCGAGGUGGAAUUUGGUGGCAGGGGGCACCGCACACGGCUAAGGAACGAUCUCAAGGAUCAACUUGUGUGUCUAUGGGGUGCCCCCUGCCCCUGUAUAUAAAGGAUGGAGGAGGAGGAGGCCGGCCAAGGCAAAGGUGCGGCCAGGAUAGGGAGUCCUACUAGGACUCCAAGUCCUAGUAGGAGUCCACCAAAAGGGGAGGAAGGGAGAAGGAAUAGGAGGAGAAGGAGAGGUGGCCGGCCCCCUUUUCCCUAGUCCAAUUCGGACCAAAGGGGAGGGGGGCGCAGCAGCCUUUUCCUCUUCCCACUAAAGCCCAUCAAGGCCCAUUACUUCUCCCGUAACUACCCGGUACUCCGAAAAAUACCCGAAUCACUCCGAACCUUUCCGAUGUCCAAAUAUAGUCGUUCAAUAUAUCGAUCUUUACGUCUCGACCAUUUCAAGACUCCUCGUCAUGUCCCCGAUCUCAUCCGGGACUCCGAACUCCUUCGGUACAUCAAUACUCAUAAACUCAUAAUUUAACUGUCAUGGAAACCUUAAGCGUGCGGACCCUACGGUUCGAGAACAAUGUAGACAUGACCGAGACACGUCUCCGGUCAAUAACCAAUAGCGGGACCUGGAUGCCCAUAUUGGCUCCUACAUAUUCUACGAAGAUCUUUAUCGGUCAGACCGCAUAACAACAUACGUUGUUCCCUUUGUCAUCGGUAUGUUACUUGCCCGAGAUUCGAUCGUUGGUAUCCAAUACCUAGUUCAAUCUCGUUACCGGCAAGUCUCUUUACUCGUUCUAUAAUACAUCAUCCCACAACUAACUCAUUAGUUGCAAUGCUUGCAAGGCUUAAGUGAUGUGCAUUACCGAGAGGGCCCAGAGAUACCUCUCCGACAAUCGGAGUGACAAAUCCUAAUCUCGAAAUACGCCAACCCAACAUCUUCCUUUGGAGACACCUGUAAUGCUCCUUUAUAAUCACCCAGUUACGUUGUGACGUUUGGUAGCACCCAAAGUGUUCCUCCGGCAAACGGGAGUUGCAUAAUCUCAUAGUCAUAGGAACAUGUAUAAGUCAUGAAGAAAGCAAUAGCAACAUACUAAACGAUCGGGUGCUAAGCUAAUGGAAUGGGUCAUGUCAAUCAGAUCAUUCAACUAAUGAUGUGACCUCGUUAAUCAAAUAACAACUCUUUUGUCCAUGGUUAGGAAACAUAACCAUCUUUGAUUAAUGAGCUAGUCAAGUAGAGGCAUACUAGUGACACUUUGUUUGUCUAUGUAUUCACACAUGUAUUAUGUUUCCCGUUAAUACAAUUCUAGCAUGAAUAAUAAACAUUUAUCUUGUGCUUGUGAUCUCCAUCUCCGAAGCACCUUCAUGAUCACCAUCGUCACCGGCGCGACACCUUGAUCUCCAUCGUAGCAUCGUUGUCGUCUCGCCAAUCUUAUGCUUCCACGACUAUCGCUACCGCUUAGUGAUAAAGUAAAGCAUUACAACGCGAUUGCAUUGCAUACAAUAAAGCGACAACCAUAUGGCUCCUGCCAGUUGCCGAUAACUUGGUUACAAAACAUGAUCAUCUCAUACAAUAAAAUUUAGCAUCAUGUCUUGACCAUAUCACAUCACAACAUGCCCUGCAAAAACAAGUUAGACGUCCUCUACUUUGUUGUUGCAUGUUUUACGUGGCUGCUACAGGCUUAAGCAAGAACCAAUCUUACCUAUGCAUCAAAACCACAACGAUAGUUUGUCAAGUUGAUGCCGUUUUAACCUUCGCAAGGACCGGGCGUAGCCACACUCGGUUCAACUAAAGUUGGAGAAACAGUCACCCGCAAGCCACCUUUGUGCAAAGCACGUCGGGAGAACCGGUCUCGCGUAAGCGUACGCGUAAUGUCGGUCUGGGCCGCUUCAUCCAACAAUACCGCCGAACCAAAGUAUGACAUGCUGGUAGGCAGUAUGACUUAUAUCGCCCACAACUCACUUGUGUUCUACUCAUGCAUAUAACAUCAAACCAUAAAACCUAGGCUCUGAUACCACUGUUGGGGAACGUAGCAAUUUCAAAAAAUUUCUACGCACACGCAAGAUCAUGGUGAUGCAUAGCAACAAGAGGGGAGAGUGUUGUCUAGAAGCGUUGACACAACGUAGAGGAAGUAGUCGUACGUCUUCCCGAUCCGACCGAUCCAAGCACCGUUACUCCGGCACCUCCGAGUUCUUAGCACACGUACAACUCGAUGACGCUCCCCGGGCUCCGAUCUAGCAAAGCUUCGGGGAUGAGUUCCGUCAGCACAACGGCGUGGUGACGAUGAUGAUGUUCUACCGACGCAGGGCUUCGCCUAAGCACUACAACGAUAUGACCGAGGUGGAAUAUGGUGGAAGGGGGCACCGCACACGGCUAAGGAACGAUCACGUUGAUCAAUUGUGUGUUCUAGGGUGCCCCCUUGCCUCCGUAUAUAAAGGAUCCAAGGGAGAGGGGUUCGGCCGGCCCUAUGGAGGCGCAGGAGGAGUCCUACUCCUAUCGGGAGUAGGACUCCCCCCCUUUUCCUUGUCCAAGUAGGAUUGGUGGAGAAGAAUGGGAAAGAGGGGGGCGCCGCCCCUCCCUCCUUGUCCAAUUCGGACUAGGGGGAGAGGGGGCGUGCGGCCUGCCCUGGCAGCCCCUUCCUCUUCUCCACUUUAGGCCCAUGAGGCCCAUUAACCCCCCGGGGGGUUCCGGUAACCCCCCGGUGCUCCGAUUUUAUCCGAAACUUCAUCGGAACCCUUCCGGUGUCCGAAUAUAGUCAUCCAAUAUAUCAAUCUUUAUGUCUUGACAAUUUUGAGACUCCUCGUCAUGUCCGUGAUCACAUCCGGGACUCCGAACUAACUUCGGUACAUCAAAAUGUAUAAACUUAUAAUAACUGCCAUCGUAACGUUAAGCGUGCGGACCCUACGGUUCGAGAACAAUGUAGACAUGGCCGAGACACGUCUCCGGUCAAUAACCAAUAGCGGGACCUGGAUGCCCAUAUUGGCUCCUACAUAUUCUACGAAGAUCUUUAUCGGUCAGACCGCAUAACAACAUACGUUGUUCCCUUUGUCAUCGGUAUGUUACUUGCCCGAGAUUCGAUCGUCCGUAUCCAAUACCUAGUUCAAUCUCGUUACCAGCAAGUCUCUUUACUCGUUCCGUAAUACAUCAUCUCGCAACUAACUCAUUAGUUGUAAUGCUUGCAAGGCUUAUGUGAUGUGCAUUACCGAGAGGGCCCAGAGAUACCUCUCCGACAAUCGGAGUGACAAAUCCUAAUCUCGAAAUACGCCAACCCAACAUCUACCUUUGGAUACAUCUUUAGAGCACCUUUAUAAUCACCCAGUUAUGUUGUGACGUUUGGUAGCACACAAAGUGUUCCUCCGGCAAACGGGAGUUGCAUAAUCUCAUAGUCAUAGGAACAUGUAUAAGUCAUGAAGAAAGCAAUAGCAACAUACUAAACGAUCGGGUGCUAAGCUAAUGGAAUGGGUCAUGUCAAUCAGAUCAUUCAACUAAUGAUGUGAUCUCGUUAAUCAAAUAACAACUCUUUGUUCAUGGUUAGGAAACAUAACCAUCUUUGAUUAACGAGCUAGUCAAGUAGAGGCAUACUAGUGACACUUUGUUUGUCUAUGCAUUCACACAUGUAUUAUGUUUCCGGUUAAUACUAUUAUAGCAUGAAUAAUAAACAUUUAUCAUGACAUAAGGAAAUAAAUAAUAACUUUGUUAUUGCCUCUAGGGCAUAUUUCCUUCACUUAGGGCCUUGGAUGAGAACUGGCAUCAUAAUGAACUUCCGCUUCAUGCACAUCCAAGGAGGAAGGUUAUACAUACAUAGAGUCACGGGCCAGGUGCUGUGAUUGCUGCUCUGCUCCCCUAUAGGAUUAAUGCCAUCCAUGCUUAAAGCAAACCAUACAUUCCAUGGGUCGUUUGCAAACUCAUCCCAGUACUUUCUCUCGAUUUUUCUCCACUGCGACCCGUCAGCGGGUGCUCUCAAUUUUCCGUCUUUCUUCCGGUCCUCACUGUGCCAUCGCAUCAACUUGGCAUGCUCUUCGUUUUUGAAUAGACGUUUCAACCGUGGUAUUAUAGGAGCAUACCACAUCACCUUCGCAGGAACCCUCUUCUUGGGGGGCUCACCGUCAACGUCACCAGGGUCAUCUCGUCUGAUCUUAUACCGCAAUGCACCGCAUACCGGGCAUGCAUUCAGAUCCUUGUAUGCACCGCGGUAGAGGAUGCAGUCAUUAGGGCAUGCAUGUAUCUUCUCCACCUCCAAUCCUAGAGGGCAUACGACUUUCUUUGCUGCGUAUGUACUGUCGGGCAAUUCGUUAUCCUUUGGAAGAUUCUUCUUCAAUAUUUUCAGUAGCUUCUCAAAUCCUUUGUCAGCCACAGCAUUCUCUGCCUUCCACUGCAGCAAUUCCAGUACGGUACCGAGCUUUGUGUUGCCAUCUUCGCAAUUGGGCUACAACCCUUUUUUGUGAUCCUCUAACAUGCGAUCGAACUUCAGCUUCUCCUUUUGACUUUCGCAUUGCGUCCUUGCAUCGACAAUGACCCGGCGGAGAUCAUCAUCAUCGGGCAGAUCGUCUGGUUCCUCUUGAUCUUCAGCAGCUUCACCCGUUGCAGCAUCAUUGGGCACAUCGUCUGUUUCCUCUUGAUCUUCACCAGCUCCCUCCAUUGCAGCAUAACCGUAUUCAGGGGGCACAUAGUUGUCAUCGUACUCUUCUUCUUUGCCAUCUUCCAUCAUAACACCUAUUUCUCCGUGCCUCGUCCAAACAUUAUAGUGUGGCAUGAAACCCUUGUAAAGAAGGAGGGGGUGAAGGAUUUUCCGGUUAGAGUAAUACCUCGUAUUCCCACAUUCAGUGCAUGGACAACACAUAAAACCAUUCUGCUUCUUUGCCUCAGCCGCACCGAGAAACUCAUGCACGCCCUUAAUGUACCCGGAGGUGUGUCUGUCACCGUACAUCCAUUGCCAGUUCAUCUACGUGCAUUAUAUAUAAUUAAGUGUCCAAAUUAAUAGAAGUUCAUCAUCACAUUAAAACCAAAGUACAUACAUAGUUCUCAUCUAACAACAUAUAGCUCUCCAGAGCAUCUAAUUAAUUAAACCAUACAUUGAAACUAUGUAAAACAUUUCAAUGCGAAAACAAAUGCGAUCAUAAUUGCAACCAAGGUAACAAUUGAUCCAACGGCAUAAUGAUACCAAGCCUCGGUAUGAACGACAUAUUUUCUAAUCUUUCUAAUCUUCAAGCGCAUUGCAUCCAUCUUGAUCCUGUGAUCAUAGACGACAUCCGCAACAUGCAACUCCAAUAUCAUCUUCUCCUCCUCAAUUUUUUUAUUUUUUCCUCCAACAAAUAGUUUUCUUCUUCAACUAAAUUUAGCCUCUCGGCAAUAGGGUCGGUUGGCAUUUCCGAUUCACAUACAUCCUACAUAAAUAAAAUCUAUGUCACGUUGAUCGGCAUAAUUUUCAUAAACAAUAAAUGAACCAAUAGUUAUAAAGAUAAUAUAUAUACCACAUUCGAAUCAUAGACAGGACGAGGGCGACGGGGGCGGAUACCAAAACCAUCGCACUAUAUAAGAUGCAAUAAUAAAAGUAAGAAAAUAAUACAAGUAUCUAUGUAAACAUACAAGUAAGAAUAUUUUUCCUUUCAGAAAGAAGAUAAGAACAAGAGGCUCACCAUGGUGGUGCCGGCAAGGCCCACCUUGGUCCAUGCGGGGAUGCACAAAAUAAGCUAUGUGCGGCCCAUGCGGGGAAUUUUGGUUACGCAUGGCCCAUACAUAUGGUGAUCCAGCCGUACGUGACCAAAUAGGAUGGACGGACAAACGAAAACGGACAAAAAUUAGGGACCAACCAAUUAGUACCACCUCGCGUAUAUGUUUUAUAUUUAAACUGAAAGCGUAAAUUUUCAUGAAAAGAAAUGUACUGUGACGGUGAACCCGACAAAGUCAAUCCGUGCUUUAUUAUUAGGGAAAGAUAUACUAAUUGGAGGCACCUUUGGAGCGUCUACGUUAAUCCACGUCAUUAAGAUUAAUAUAGCCGUUUGAUAUUAAAUUUAAUGGUUAAGAUAUGCUAGAAGACUAUGCCUUAUUAUAGAAGAAAACAACAUGUACGUAGGGAUGAAAUCCACGCAUACAAAAAAAAACUCAUGUAAAGAAAAAUCAAUUCUCACCACAUAGAUGAAACUCAUUAAACUUGCACAUGCAAAAAAAGUCCUAAGCUCCCACGUCCAUGAAAGAUUAGACAUGCACAUAAAAAAAGAGUCCUAAAUGCCCACGCCCAGGUUCCAAGAAAAAGUACGUGCCUACUCCUUGCAAAAAGAGGACGCGUGGCAAAACUAAAAAAUAUGAAUAUAAUCAUCUCAAUCUCUUUCUAAUAAUAAAAUAUGAAUUGAUUUUGUCAGGUUCGUCGUCACAAUACACUUUUUCCUGUAAAUUUACGCUUUCACUUUGAAUUUAAAACAUAUAGGUGAGGUGGUACUAAAAAACUGUUCAUUGGUCGCGUACGUCAAUUAGUAUAAGUCGCUUUUUUUAGUCCCUCCGGCUCGCUAGACUGGGCCGUGUUGAUCAUUCCCGUGAUGACUGAACUGGGCCUGGUCAAAAAGAAAAAAAACGAUGCAAAAAAUAAUUCCCCAUGAGCUUCGAACCAAGACGAAGGCCCUCAGUCACAAAGGAGAACGCCAACUAGAUUGCUCUAUUUUGUUCUGCCAAAUUGUGUCCCUGUAGAUAUAAUAGUCCCACAUCGCUUCUUUGCACUGUAUCUUAUCGAUUUUUAUACAUCGGCGGACUUGUCCUAGCAGAAGUUAAUUGGAAGAGGAAGCAAGGAAUAAAGAACGAACGCAGGAGGAAUUUGGCCAGAAGAAACAAGGUCGGGGAGCGUGAGGUUUAUGGUGAAUAUUCAGAGAACGGCAGCUGCAUUGUUCGAAUUUAGUCUAUCUUUGGACAUGUCUUUUCCGGGGAUUCGACACCAUGUUUUGUGCGCGAAUGGUUUUAUUAGGGUUUUUGACUGUUCCAAGUUAGAAGAGGCCAGAGUUUUCUCUGGUUCUUCAGUGGCCUGAAGCAACCAUGCUUACGCUUUUUUUUUUCAACCAUUCAUUGCCCAUUUUCAUUAAUUUCUUAAAGAAAAUACAUCAACCGUCCUUGCAGAAAGAACGAGGCAGCUUCACAGCUGGAAAUCAAGAGUGCGGUGUCCAGUUUUACGGGGAAAAGAAUUCUAUGAGACCAGGUCUCACGCGAGACCCAUCCUAAUGAAUGCCACGUGCUAUCCAUCAGAACGGGUCUCACCUGCUAACCGUGAGACUUGGUCUCAUAUAUUUUUUUUCCGUUUUACGGGGAAGCAUCAUCAGAAAUCUAGCAAAUCAUUCGCAUUAUUCUCUCACAUACAGUACAGAUCCUUCGGAUCGCCACAUCACAGCUGGACUUCAUUGCUUUGGGUGUCUAAUUAAGGGCUUGUUCGGUUAAUCCUCUCGCGAAGAGGAUUGGAGGGGAUUGGCAAGGAUUGGUUCGUAUUUUGACUUCUAAGAGGUUUAAGUCCUCCUCAAACCCCUUCAAUCCAUUCGGAUUCACACGCAACCAAACAAGGCCUAAACGGGAUCCGCAUCUGAACUAUUAAGCAGCAAAUGAUAGUGUGCGUGAAACAGGUAGGCAAUGUCAAUGAGGACAAACUGUGAUGAUAUCGUUUGAAAACUCAGCUGUCGUCCGUAGUGUUUGGCAUGUGACAGAUAGAUCCUGUUGAUUGUCUAACGAAAGCCAACGGUGAUGUCAAACUAGACUAUUUUAACAUAGUCGGUAAGACAAAAAUGGGAAACAUAUGUAUAUAUGACUACCGAGAACACGACAUCCAUUGUAUCUCGAUUAAGCAUCUUCAAAUAUUAUUCCUGUCGUGAUAUUGACAACAUUAUUAGUUUGUACUUGAAUGAAUAGUCAAGGAACUUUUGAGUGUUCCAAGUUAAACAUCCAAAUUUGUGUCGCAUUUCAGUAUGGGAGGCGCGUAUGACUCUCAAGUUUUUCCGAAUUUGAGUAAUACGGGUCAACUAUUUGCAAAAAUAAAAUAAAAACAUGUUAUCUAGCAUAUGUUUUUACCGUGUUAACACAUUCACAAUUAUUCCAUUUUGAAAAAAGGUACCUAGGUGGUAAAUGAACUACAAACCUUGCUCGACAUAUAUCGAGAAAUAUGUAUUGACAUACACAACAGAGAAAAUAAAUCAAAAUACAUUGCGCAGAACAUUGACAAUAAAUUAGUUGGUGAAAUUAGACAAUUUAGUUGGUGAACUUAGAAAAUUGUUACAUAAGGCUCCAACUUAAUUUCUCAGCAGUUGGAUCAGUUUUUUUUUUUGAGGACCAUGGAAAUACUGAAACCAUGGUUGAUACAAACUCCCCUCUCACACCUAAACUUUGAGCUAGAUAUUUCCUUUUAGUGAGUUUAGCUACUAAUUUUAAAGGGGUUCGCUAAAUCUCAGUCAAUUGAGAUUUAAUGUAGUCUCAAUCACCUUUCCAAGCCGUUGAAUACAUGCACACUAAGAUUAUGUGCUAGGAAACUUUUCUUUGUUAUUGUGAGGUGGAACGGAAAGAGAUGUGUGUGUGCCUUUCUGGACUAUUCGAAGUGUGCGUGUUUUUCCGAGGAAAGAGCCUACAAUCUACACGAGAAGCUUGUGUUUGGGCCAAGUCCAAACAUAAUAUAAUUUGUCAAACCAAACAACCAACAUUUUCUAAAACCGAAAUCAACAUAGCAAAAACAUGUUUGCUUUCGAAUAUUAAUAAAUAACUGUAUAUAAAUAAUCCCACUUCAAUGCACCACUCCUCUCACACCCGGUGAUAGUGUGAUGUUCGUUGAGGCAACAUCGAAGGACAUGAAUGUAGUUUCAUUAAUCUUUUUCCGAAUUGUGUACACCAAAAAUUGUAUCAUCAUUAACGACGGUGGCAAAAAUGAAAAGUGGCAACAUGAACGAGUCACUGAAAACAUGCGAAGACUUUCUCCUUCCGGUGCAAUGCACGACACAUUAAAUGAUGCAUACAAAGGUUAAAGGGAACCUUCUUUUGAGAAACAAAGACAAACACAGACUCACAAACACGUACAUACAUGAACACCUAGAGAGACUGAGCUGACAAGUCUUGAGAUUGAUGAACACACCACAAGUGUCUCGCUUCGACGCGAACGUCACCAUGCACUGAAAAAAUAUUUCACCUUUGUGAAACAUGAAAUUAAGCGUCAAAGUUAGGUUUUAAUUCUUGCUCUAUUGGGUAUCACCGCCCUGCAAACCAUCCAAUCAGAGAUUGGUUCUCAGGGUUAAAGCGAAACUAACCAAUACAUUUAUUUGAUAUGAAAAAAUGAACCCUUCCAAACCAAGCAAACAACUAUCUCUAAGAAAUCCAACAUAGCAACAAUGCUUUGUAUUCAAAUGUUUUGGAAAUUCUAAAAAAAAACUUUUGGAUUAGUUUUUAAACUCUCGGUUAGUAUAGAACAUUCCAAUGUUUGUAUGUUGCACUAAAAAUAAAUGCACCACUCUUUCACCCGGUGGUAGUGCUAAGCUAAAGGAGUGCCAUCAAAGGACACCACUAUGACUAUCUUAACUCUACUCCAUGAUGCGGACACCAAUAAUCAUUUUUAUUUACCAACACGAAGGCGUUUUUUUAAGAUAGUGAGUGUUUCUAAAUGUUCUUGGUUUCAAAAAAUAUAUUCAUGUUUUAAAUAUGUUUAAACUUUUGAAGAAAUGCUGAAAAUUCCUAAAAAAUGGUUCCAAUUAAAAACCAGCUAUAAUUGUUCAAAAAAUCAUUAAAAAAAAUCAUGAAAUCGCUUGUUUAUAUAAUGUUCGACUUCAAAAAAUAUUCCAAUUCUAGUAAGAAAUUAAAAAAUAGUCGAUUUCUUAAAAAAUAAAGAAAUAUUUGUGUUGUCUUUCAAAAAGCAAAAUAUAUACCGAUUCACAUACUAUUCCAUGCACAACUAUUCUUCCAACAGAUGUGGGAAGUUAGGUUGGUUCUUCAUGUACACACUUCAAGCUCCGAACAAAAAUUAGAGUUUAACAUUAUUACUCUGGUUUAUCAGCCUUUGAUACAAGAAAUGGCACAUGAAGCGCACUUUUAUUUGCCCGUUGCAACGCACGGGCAUUUGUACUAGUAAAUAUCAAUUGAAGGAAUAUCAUUCUGCAAAGGCAGAUUCUUGAAUAGGAUUGUUUCACAACUGCAUCCAUCAAUUUUAAAGUUUACUAUCUAAUAUGAUGCUAGAUAGAUAAAGCCUCAAUUAAGUAUAACAUUGUGUUUGUUGGUUAAGUUAGGAGCACUUACUAAUGUACUAAAAGAGAAAUAUAUAUUAUAUAUGGUUUGAGUACCAUUGUAGUAGUGGUGCAUAUACAUACGCGCACCACCUACUAUAUAUCGAAAUAAUUCAUACUCGCUUUCUCCCUUAUAUAUAUAGUAGGUGGUGUCAAAUUCUUGCUAAUUUGACAUGAAGGCUUCAUUCAGACCAGUGAUGAUACUUUGCGCAACAUAAAUGGGAAAGUAGAGGCACUCUUCCAUAUAAUGAAGUUUAUAAUAUAUGUGUUUAUAUUGUACUAUAAUUGUUUGAAUAACUUACCAUAUGUUCAGAUGUAUGAUAUCUGUAAUUUAAGCGCUUGAAUUUUACAUAUAAAUAUAAUUUUAUUAAUAAAUAUGUACCCAUAUAAUAGCUAGGCCGUGUAGUUGCACGGGUAGAUGACUAGUGAUUACAAUCUUGUUUGUGAGCAAGUCAAGAUUAUCUAGUUUACACGUAACAACUUGUAGAACAUUACAAAAAUUAUGCUUGCUAAUAACUUCUAGAACACUACAACACUUGACAUGUAAAAGGAAUUUGAUGAGUCAUGGCCUACUAAAGCAAGUUACAUUACUACUCUUAUCUAUCUUAACAGACCACACAAGAUUACAAACUAAGUACCGUGACAGCCAUGCUUAUCUAAUUUAUGCGUAACAAUUUGCGGAAAAUUACAAAUUUAGUUUUAGAAAAAUAGGCAAUCUAGAUUAGUGUUUGAGCUGUAAUGUGAAUAAGAUGAGUCGUGCGUCUUGUCACACCUUUUUGGUGGUGGAAUGAUAGUGCAACAACAAGGAACUUUAAUGACCAGUCCAAGAAUACACUUGUAAGUAGUGCCACCAAACAGAACAUACCAAAUUAUGAUUUUGAGAAGAAUCCAAGCACUUUCCACACAAGCAAAUGCCAAUUGUGAAAGAGAUCAUUCCAUGGCAGCUAUAAAUAGCCCCAUAGCAUGACGCUCAUCCUUCCUCAUCCAUCAUUCUCAUAAGUAGAGUGCAUCAUUUAAGCCAAGCAAGCUGUGGUCAAUACAAAUCCACCAUGAAGACCUUUCUCAUCCUUUCCCUCCUUGCUAUCGUGGCAACCACCGCCACAACUGCAUUUAGAAUUCUAGUGCCACAAUUGCAGCCACAAAAUCCAUCUUAGCAACAACCACAAGAGCAAGUUCCAUUGGUACAACAACAGCAAUUUCUAGGGCAGCAACAACCAUUUCCACCACAACAACCAUAUCCACAGCCGCAACCAUUUCCAUCACAACAACCAUAUCUGCAGCUGCAACCAUUUCCGCAGCCGCAACCACCAUAUUCGCAGCCGCAACCAUUUCGACCACAAUAACCAUAUCUCCACAACCGCAACCACAGUAUUCGCAACCACAAUAACCAAUUUCGCAGCAGCAACAACAACAACAACAACAACAACAACAACAAAUCCUUCAACAAAUUUUGCAACAACAACUGAUUCCAUGCAUGGAUGUUGUAUUGCAGCAACACAACAUAGCGCAUGGAAGAUCACAAGUUUUGCAACAAAGUAGUUACCAGCUGUUGCAAGAAUUGUGUUUUCAGCACCUAUGACAGAUCCCUGAGCAGUCGCAGUGCCAAGCCAUCCACAAUGUUGUCCAUGCUAUUAUUCUGCAUCAACAACAAAAACAACAACAACAACAACAACAAAAACAACAACCAUCGAGCCAGGUCUCCUUCCAACAGCCCCAGCAACAAUAUCCAUCAGGCCAGGGCUCCUUCCGGCCAUCUCUGCAAAAUCCACAGGCCCAGGGCUCGGUCCAGCCUCAACAGCUGCCCAGUUCGAGGAAAUAAGGAACCUAGCGCUACAGACGCUACCUGCAAUGUGCAAUCUCUACAUCCCUCCAUAUUGCACCAUCGCGCCAUUUGGCAUCUUCGGUACUAACUGAGAAGAAAAUAACUCUAGUACUAGAUAUAUGAAACACCGUUUUCUUAGUCCAUGGUUUGGUCAUUGUAGCGGUGAAAAAAUAAAGUGACAUGCACUACCAUGUAAGAACUCGAACUAUACUAGUUCAAACUUGGGAAUAAAAGACAAACACAGGUCUUGUCUACAUAUUUAUGUUGCAUUUAUCUAAAGAUAACAAAAUGAGUCUAAAAUUUGAAUUAAAUUGAAGUAUUUUCUUGGACUUUCAAAUUGAGUAUUAUUAACGUAGUAAGGACUAUCCUCAUCCUUGGCCUGCCCCUAAUCAAUUAUUUCCAGAGAAGCAUUCAAUUCAUCAAUCAAUUACAUUGAUUUUUGUGGCUGGUACUUCUCCUCAACAUCAGUAUAUUCACCGUGGCUACUCCAAAUCGGCAAGAAUGAGGUACCGGUGCUCUGGAGCAGUGCCAACUAAUUGCUUCUCAUGUGAAGGGGUGCGGGCGCGGGAGAGGUAUUUCUGGUGGGCCAAGGGAGUAAGAAGCCACCGUGGGAGUGGUACAGACGCCCGUAAAGCCCCAUAGUUUCUUUUUGGUUUACAGGAAAAUGCACAUCCAUACCGGCCUGGGGAGUAUAGGACCGUAUUGGAUGGAAAACCAUGUCCGGAUGGUUGCGAGCGGUUUGAGGGUUAGCUUUUGUAACGCCCGGUUAGUUAUGCUAUAGCAAUUCCCUGCUAAUGAUGUCACGUCACCAAGAUUACUGUUGUUAUCCUCACAAUGAUUCAAUGCCAUUCUAAUUCAAAUUUAAAAUAAAGGCAAGCAUCAAAAGUUUUCAAACAUUAAAACUAAAAUCUUUGAGAGGUAACAAAUAAUGCAUAAGUAAUUAUGGUGGAGAAACCACACUUUAAUAAAAUGUUUAAAUACUCUAAAAUGAAAAAAACAGUGGCUUAAACUAUUAUUUAAAUGCUUUUAAAAUAGUAAAAAUGUUCUAACUAAAUUAAUUGGGUACCAACCUUUUGGUGGCAGUGGUAUAUUUAGUAGAACUAAUUUAGAUGCUAGUUAUAUGAUUUAGAAAAUUAGGGUCAAUUGAAAAAUAGGAUAAAACAGAGAAGGAAAGACAAAACAAAUAAAAGCAAAAGGGGGCAACCCCUCACUGGCCUUGGCCUAGCUGGCCACUGGGCUAGCUAGGUCGGCCCCGCCGCCUCCCUUAACCCCCUGUCGGUGUCGAAACCGGUGGAUGGUACCAUGAGUAGAUCUACCACGAGAUCGGAGAGGCUAAACCCUAGAGGCUAGCCUAUGAUAUGAUUGUAUGUGUCCUACGGACUAAAACCCUCCGGUUUAUAUAGACACCGGAGAGGGUUAGGGUUACACAAGGUCGGUUACAAAGGAGGAGAUAUCCAUAUCCGUAUUGCCUAGCUUGCCUGCCACGCCAAGUAGAGUCCCAUCCGGACACGGGACGAAGUCUUCAAUCUUGUAUCUUCAUAGUGCAACAGUCCGAAAAAGGAUAUAGUCCGGCUGUCCGGAGACCCCCUAAUCCAGGACUCCCUCAGUAGCCCCUGAACCAGGCUUCAAUGACGAUGAGUCUGGCGCGCAGUAUUGUCUUCGACAUUGCAAGGCGGGUUCCUCCUCCGAAUGCAUCACAGAAGAAUUUGAAUACGAGGAUAGUGUCCGACCCUGCAACAUAAGUUCCACAUAAUUCCAUACAGAGAAUAAUAUUUUCGCAAAUCUAAUUUGCUUACUUGUUUUGACAGUACGACAUUAUGUCAUGGCCCGGUGAUUAUUCGAACCGUUUCCUUUAACUAGCCCCGCACAUAACGCGAGGCAGUUUUUCGACAUGUCUUGUCAAAGCAGAGAUCGUGUCCCCUUAUUACUGGAUUCUCAUCAAUACGGGCGUGGGUAACCCAACCGCGCCAUCGAUUGCGGCACUUGGGGGAUGAGCUAUUUUUACCUGGCAAGUGGGGACGCUUAGUUUCGUCCGCCCAUAUAAAGGGAUAAGGAUUCACCUUUCUAUCCAUGCCUUCUUCCUCCUUUGCUCAUCCGUUUUUGCACACUCGAGCUCUAGCGCCCAAGUUCGCACUUCCCACCUCAACCUUCUCCAACCAUGUCCCGAGCGGGAGGCAGGUGGAUGGUAUCCUCCGUCACGGAUGGAGACAUCAAGAAGCUGAGGAGCGCCGGAUACCUGCCUGACGACAUCGCGCACCGGCUCCCAGAUGAGGGGCAGCUCACCCCCACCCCCAGGCCCCAUGAGAGGGUAGUGUUCCUCACCCAUUUCCUCCGCGGACUGGGAUUCCCUCUCCACCCAUUUGUCCCGGGGCUCAUGUUCUAUUACGACCUGGAUUUCCAUGAUCUGGCCCCGAACUUCAUCCUCAACAUCUCGGCGUUUAUCGUUGUGUGCGUGGCCUUCCUCCGCAUCAAGCCCCACUUCGGCUUAUGGUUGAAGACCUUUAAUGUCAAGCCGAAGGUUGUGGGCGACCGCCAGGCGGAGUGCGGAGGCGCCAUGGUGGGCAAGAUGCCCAACGUAACAUGGCUCGAGGGCUCUUUUGUGGAAACCAUAAAGGGGUGGCAAUCGGGUGGUUCUACAUCACCGAGCCGCGUGACCCUGCAUGGGCAGCGGCCCCCCGAGUUCUGAUCUGGCAUCCCCACGCGGCUCACCUCCUGGAAAGAGAAGGGCCUGUCCUGGGGUAGUUUGGAAGAGCUGACCAGACUCCAAACAUGUAUUCAAAACAUGGUGAACAAGAAGCUCAAACUCGUCAACGUGGUCCAGGUCAUGCUCCACCGCCGGAUCCUCCCGUGCCAAUAACGGGAGUUCAACUUGUGGGAGUACAACCCAGCGCAGCACCGAACUCUGAACAGGCUUUUCGACACAACUCACGAAGAUGCCUCGAGGGUGCUGUUCAAAAUCACCAAGGUCCCCCUCCCAUUACUGAGGAUCACGGAUUCAGCGUGAAGCGCCAAGCCAGUGCGGCAGGCUGCUUUACCUUUCACAGGCUACUUAUUUUUUAUAGAUUGACUCCAUGCGGGAUCUAAACUCCCGUACCUUUGACAGGACUGGCAGGAGAUGGCCGGACAGAUCGACUGUCCGGCUCCUAUGCCCGAAGGCCCAGCAGACGCUCUUCUAGCGAAGAUGCUGACUUCGGCUCCUUAUACGGUGCCGGAGAAGACCAAGAAGGACAAGGGAACCCGAAAGAGUUCCCGACGCCAGGCGUCGUCGGACUCACCGUCCGAUGACUCUGCGGCGCACUCCUCCCCCGAAGACGAGGAAGAGGAAGAAGACGCUCCCUCUCUGGCUGGGGGAGAUAAGAAAAGGAAGGCCGCCCCAACUGGGGGGGCGGAAGGGUCCAAGAAGGGAAGGAAUCUCCUUCCGGAUAGUUGCACCGCUGCCGACGAAGGCGAAGACGAGGGGUUGCCCAGGGCCAAGCCCCUGGGGAGAUCGUAAGUAUUCAGAUACCAGAGUAACUCAUAGCAUUCCUUUGUCGCACUGCUUUCCCUAACGUCAAACAUAAUUAUGCAGGUCGCCAUGAGCCAGUAUCGAUGUGUGACGCCCGGAUAAUCAUGCUACAGUAAUCCCACGCUAAUCAUGCCACGUCACCUCGGUUACUGUUGCUAAUCUAUCGUUAGGUCAAAGCUGGUCCAAAAUUCAAAUUCAAAGUUUGGUAAAUAAUAACAGUUUUCAAAAAUUAAAACAAAAAUGUUCGGUGAUUGCCGAAUAAUGCAUAGGUAAUUAUGGUGGAGAAACCACACUUUUAUAAAAUGUUUAAAUAAUCUAAAAUGAAUAAAACAGUAGAAAAACCAAAUCUAAAUGCUUUUAUAAAUAAAUAAAACACUAAACUAAAUUGUUUUGGGAUAAAGCCUUUUGUGGCAGUGGGUUUCGUGGUAUUACAAUUUUAGAGUUCAUUUUAAUACUAAGUAAGAAGUAUAAUUAAGAGAAACUAAAAUAAAGAACAGAAAAAAAAGAAUAAAUAAAAGGAAAAGAAAACACAAAACAGAAAAGAAAACUACCAAAAAAAUAUGGUAAAAGGAGACCCCCCCCACUGGACCCCUUGGCCCAACUGGGCCAUGGCCCAGCCGGCCACCCCCNNNNNNNNNNNNNNNNNNNNNNNNNNNNNNNNNNNNNNNNNNNNNNNNNNNNNNNNNNNNNNNNNNNNNNNNNNNNNNNNNNNNNNNNNNNNNNNNNNNNNNNNNNNNNNNNNNNNNNNNNNNNNNNNNNNNNNNNNNNNNNNNNNNNNNNNNNNNNNNNNNNNNNNNNNNNNNNNNNNNNNNNNNNNNNNNNNNNNNNNNNNNNNNNNNNNNNNNNNNNNNNNNNNNNNNNNNNNNNNNNNNNNNNNNNNNNNNNNNNNNNNNNNNNNNNNNNNNNNNNNNNNNNNNNNNNNNNNNNNNNNNNNNNNNNNNNNNNNNNNNNNNNNNNNNNNNNNNNNNNNNNNNNNNNNNNNNNNNNNNNNNNNNNNNNNNNNNNNNNNNNNNNNNNNNNNNNNNNNNNNNNNNNNNNNNNNNNNNNNNNNNNNNNNNNNNNNNNNNNNNNNNNNNNNNNNNNNNNNNNNNNNNNNNNNNNNNNNNNNNNNNNNNNNNNNNNNNNNNNNNNNNNNNNNNNNNNNNNNNNNNNNNNNNNNNNNNNNNNNNNNNNNNNNNNNNNNNNNNNNNNNNNNNNNNNNNNNNNNNNNNNNNNNNNNNNNNNNNNNNNNNNNNNNNNNNNNNNNNNNNNNNNNNNNNNNNNNNNNNNNNNNNNNNNNNNNNNNNNNNNNNNNNNNNNNNNNNNNNNNNNNNNNNNNNNNNNNNNNNNNNNNNNNNNNNNNNNNNNNNNNNNNNNNNNNNNNNNNNNNNNNNNNNNNNNNNNNNNNNNNNNNNNNNNNNNNNNNNNNNNNNNNNNNNNNNNNNNNNNNNNNNNNNNNNNNNNNNNNNNNNNNNNNNNNNNNNNNNNNNNNNNNNNNNNNNNNNNNNNNNNNNNNNNNNNNNNNNNNNNNNNNNNNNNNNNNNNNNNNNNNNNNNNNNNNNNNNNNNNNNNNNNNNNNNNNNNNNNNNNNNNNNNNNNNNNNNNNNNNNNNNNNNNNNNNNNGCCCCUCGGCGCCCGCUCGGCCCUCUCCUGGGUCGGGCGCCCGUAACGCCCAGCGCCCGUAACCCGCUAUGGCCCCCUGGGCAGUUGACAGAUGGGGCCCACGCCCCUGUCUUGUUAGAAAAAAAAACGAAAAGAAAAUGUAAUUAAAAAAAUGAAAAUAAGUAAUUAGUUAUUUAAUUAAUUAUGUAACUAAUUAAUUAAUUAAAUAAGUAAUUACUUAACUUAAUUAACUCCGUUUAGUACUUAAUUAACUUGAUUAGUUAAUUAAAAUUGUUAAUUAGUUGUUAGACUAUGACGAAUGGGACCCACACGUCAGUUUGACCCAGUCAACGCCCUGUUGACUGCUGACGUCAUGCUGACGUCAGCGUACACUAUUCUGGAUAAUGUUAAUUUAAUUAAUAAUUAAUAAAUUAGAAAAUGAUUUAAAAAUUUAAAAAUUAAUAUAAAUUAAACCGUAGCUCAGAUGAAAAAACUUUGUACAUGAAAGUUGCUCAGAACGACGAGACAAAUCUGGAUACACGGCCUGUUUGUUCGUCACGCAUCCCUAGCAUAGCAAACUCGCAACUUUCCCCUCCGGCUCCUCUGCCCGAAAACGCAAAACACCGGGGAUACUUUCCCGGAUGUCAUCCCCCUUCACCGGUAUCACCUAUUACCGCGUUAGGGCACCUCUAACGCCGUUACUUGUCAUGUCAUGCAUCACUAUGCAUAUGCUUGCUUAAAUAUUUAUUAUUUCUUCCCCCUCUUCUCUCGAUAGACACCGAGACCGACGCCGCUGCUACCCAGUACGACUACGCUGUUGACGACCCUCUUUCUUGCCAGAGCAACCAGGCAAGCGCCCCCCUUGAUCACCAGAUAUCGCCUACUCUCUUCUAUACUGCUUGCAUUAGAGUAGUGUAGCAUGUUACUGCUUUCCGUUAUUCCUAUCCUGAUGCAUAGCCUGUCCUUGCUACUACUGUUGUUACCAUUACCUGCUAUCCUACUGCUUAGUAUAGGAUGCUAGUGUUCCAUCAGUGGCCCUACACUCUUGUCCGUCUGCCAUGCUAUACUACUGGGCCGUGAUCACUUCGGGAGGUGAUCAUGGGCAUAUGCUAUAUACUUUACACAGUUACUUUACCUGUGGUACUGUUCGGAGAUGGGGGCUGAAGGGGCAGGUGGUUCCACCCAGGUAGUGGUGGGCCUGGGUUCCCGACGGCCCCCGACUGUUACUUUGUGGCGGAGCGACAGGGCAGGUUCAGACCACCUAGGAGAGAGGUGGGCCUGGCCCUGGUCGGCGUCCGCGGAUACUUAACACACUUAACGAGAUCUGGGUAUUUGAUCUGAGUCUGGCCAUUUGGUCUAUACGCACUAACCAUCUACGCGGGAGUAGUUAUGGGUAUCCCGACGUCGUGGUAUCAGCCGAAGCCUUCGUGACAUCAGCGACUAAGUGGCGCGUGCCGGAUUGGACCGUAAGCCUGCUCUUGUAUUAAGGGGGCUAGUUCUGCUUCCGGCCGCGUUCGCAACGUGCAGGUGUGCAAAGGGCGAUGGGCCCAGACCCCUGCGCCAUAGGAUUUAGACCAGCGUGCUGACCUCUCUGUUGGGCCUAGGUAGGGCUGCGACGUGUUGAUCUUCCGAGGCCGGGCAUGACCCAGAAAAGUGUGUCCGGCCAAAUGGGAUCGAGCGUGUUGGGGUAUGUGGUGCACCCCUGCAGGGAAGUUUAUCUAUUCGAAUAGCCGUGUCCCUCGGUAAAAGGACGACCCGGAGUUGUACUUUGACCUUAUGAUAACUAGAACCGGAUACUUAAUAAAACACACCCUUCCAAGUGCCAGAUACAACCGGUGAUCGCUCUCUCACAGGGCGACGAGGGGAGGAUCAUCGGUUAGGAUUAUGCUAUGCGAUGCUACUUGGAGGACUUCAGUCUACUCUCUUCUACAUGCUGCAAGACGGAGGUUACCAGAAGCGUAGUCUUCGAAAGGACUAGCUAUCCCCCUCUUAUUCCGGCAUUCUGCAGUUCAGUCCACAUAUGAUAGCCUUAUUCCAAUUGAUACCAAUGCAUACAUAUGUAGUGUAGCUCCUUGCUUGCGAGUACUUUGGAUGAGUACUCACGGUUGCUUUCUCCCUCUUUCCCCCCUAUCCCUUCUACCUGGUUGUCGCGACCAGAUGUUGGAGCUCAGGAGCCAGACGCCACCGUUGACGACGACUCCUACUACACCGGUGGUGCCUACUACUACGUGCUGUCCGCUGACGACGACCAGGAGUAGUUUAGGAGGAUCCCAGGCAAGAGGCCUGCGCCUCUUUCGAUCUAUAGCUCAGUUUGUGCUAGCCUUCUUAAGGCAAACUUGUUUAACUUAUGUCUGUACUCAGAUAUUGUUGCUUCCGCUGACUCGUCUAUGAUCGAGCUCUUGUAUUCGAGCCCUCGAGGUCCCUGGCUUGUAAUAUGAUGCUUGUAUGACUUAUUUUAUUUGUAGAGUUGUGUUGUGAUAUCUUUCUGUGAGUCCCUGAUCUUGAUCGUACACGUUUGCGUGUAUGAUUAGUGUACGGUCAAAUCGGGGGCGUCACACGAUGUAUCAUCGGACGGUUCCCUAGGCUCGUCGGACAUGGAUAGCGAUCCAGUCCCGACCCCCACCUCCCCUCAUCCUGCUGACGACGCCGAGGUGCUGUCUCAAGAGGCAUCGGGUCGAGGGGAGACAGUCCUGGAGGCACCUCAAGGCGACCUUCCGGACUCCGGGAGCCGAGGGGACGGGGCCCCUAAGAGCUUCGAGUUCGGCCCUCAGCCGAACACCGCGCUGGAACCUCCAGUGGUUCCGGGCUCGGUCAGGCGGCCUCCUUCUAAGAGGGGCAAGACACCUGUGCCGGUGACCUCUGUCUAUCCAGAGGCGCCGGACAAUCUGCUGGAAGCGCUUCGCAGCGCUUCCAUCGACGAGGAGCACCGCACUAUCAUGAGUGCGGCGAUCCAGAAAGUUUAGUCCGCCAAGAGCGGAUUGACUGAAGCCUGUGCCAGCCUUCUAACAGGCUUUGAGGUAAGUGUUUUAAAAUAUAGGAAAAAUACUACUGCAUAUAUAGUAGCCCCUGAUGCUUUGUUCGGUGUUCAGAAAGAAAAGCCGAACAGAGGAUCAAAUAAUAUCGCAGGACUCUAAUAUAAGUAUGUCAAUAUGCGUAUGCAAGCCUCACUGCUGGCAUCCGCCACACUGACUGCGGAGGUCGCCCUACUGAAGCAGGACCUCGAGAGGUCUAGGAGAGAGCUCGGCCUUGUCAAGAGGCAGCUCGAGGAGAACAAGGGUAAGUAAUACCUUGUCUUUAGAUAUGUAUAUAUAAAAGAAGAAGCGAUUGCAAAAUGACAGGAUCAUCGUACAUUCGCCAGGGGCCACGACCAAGGUGGCAACCCUCAAGCAAGCGCUAACCAAGGCCGAAGAUAACGCGGCCAAGGAGCGCACCGAGUGAGAGAAGCACGAGGCUCGGGUGGGCGAGGUGCAGCAAGAGCUCUAGGCUAUCAUGGUGAAGCACGAGGCAUUGGAGCUUGACUAAAAGACGCGAGAGUCUGAGCUUUCCGCGGCCCUCGAGAGCGCAAAAAGUGCCAAGGCCGAAGCCCAAAGGGGUCUCCAGGCGGGUAUGGCUUUCUAUAUGCAAAGCAAGCAUGUAAAAGUAAAUUACCGAUUACUUACUCGAAUCCGGAGCUCUCCAGGAGCAUUCGCAGAUUUUCCACGCAGCGUGUCCGAUGCCGCACAAUUUUACCAGGCCGAGGAUGGAAGCUCAAUGGAGAAGCUGUUCUGGUAUCAGUAUGCUGAGGCCGGACACCCGGUGCCAAUGAGCGACCAGCUGAAGCAGGUGGUCGAGCUACAUAAGGCGGCCGAUCAGGCCAUGAAGGGCUUUAUAGUCCGGCUGUGGCCUGGCGACGCCCUUCCGAACAGCUUCCUCGGCCUGGUGAGGCGGCUUGUGGAUGCCUGCCCGCGGCUGGAGGUCGUCAAGCGAUCUGUCUACAUUGAGGGUGCACGCCGGGCUUUCGCCCGUGUGAAAUUGCAGUGGGUCAAGCUAGACGCCGUGAAGCUGAUCAAGGAGGGGCCGCCGGAGGGCAAGGAGCACCGCCACCCCGAGAUGUACUACGAGGGUGUUCUGCUGGGUGCCCGUCUCAUAGCGGACGAGUGUUCAAAAGAUGUAAUAUUUGAGUGAGACUUGCUCGUUUUAUCCUGUAUUUAUGAAAACUUGUUUCAUAUGCACUAUGCAACGCUUGUUUGAAUUUAGAAUAUUACCUUCUGUUUGGCCGUUUAUCAAUCUGAGAGAUGGCUAGUCCUCAGCUUCUGCCCCCAUGCCACGAGUGCUGGGGUCUUCGGGAUAAACCUGAGCACUCUUGUUCCCAUAUUUGGGUCCUUGGAGGGAGGUGCUCAGCACAACGAACAAGGAAACCCGACUAAUAAUGCUUUAUCACUCUCACUUAGCGAUAGAAUUCUAUAAUUUUAAAUUUCGGCGAAGCCCCUGGUAUUCGGAAGGCCGAAUUCGGGGCGCGAUACACGCCUUUAAGCCGGACAGGGCCGGCCCCUCGCCCUAAGCGGCAUAAGUCUUUGGGGACUCGAUAACCUCGCCGAACAGCGAUCAGUCUCUCCCCUUAUCAUGACAGUCAGUUUUAGCUUUCUCUACUUAGGUGCCGAACCCAGCAAAACCGGGGCACAAUCGCAGUAGUUCUCCUAGCGCUACCUUAGCCGAUAGAGUGGAACGUAAGGUACCAAAACAUAGGAGCCGGGCAAACCCAACAUUUGACCAAAGACAUGAUUCGGAGCUGAUGCAUAUAAUGCUAUAAGUUUGGGGUGCCGCACUUGUGAAAGUGUUCGGACUUUUCACACCGUAUUGUGGGGUACGUAAGCCCCUGGUGUAUUGGCCGUACCAAAGUGUACGGUUGCAAGGCAUCAUUAAUGAACAUAUAUAUAUAUAUAUAUAUAUAUAUAUAACAAGAGUGCAAUAAUAGUCGUAAUGUCAUGCAUUGUUUAUUCAAAAAAUUACGUUAAAGUAGGGUGAUACAGAUAGUGUGAUAAGCAAAGAGUAGGACUAUGUCCCUUCCCAAGGCAAGCUAAGGAAUGAUAUUAAAUUGAAUAUUUCGCUCGUUACAGUAAUCCACCUAGGAAUUCCGUGGUGUGACGUAGCUAUCUGCCUCCUUGGUUGCUGCAUCGUGUGUUCGGCAAUAGUGCUGCCGGACAGUGUUUCCAGAGGUUAAUGUCCUGAAAAAAAGAGAAAAAUAACCAAACGGGAAGCCCCUAGUGCGGUUUAAGCCGCGUCUUGGGGCGUGCUGCAGUUGUGCCACCCUCCCCACCUGUGCCCAUGGUAUUUUUAAUGCGUAAUUAUGUACGCGUGGCAUGAGUUUCGUCGUUGGGCUGGGAUUGGGGUGGCCGCCUUAUUGCUACGCGAGCUCAGAUCGCGCAAGGCGGUCUAUUUGCCGAUUGCUCCGAGCGCGCUUGAAGGUGUCCGGGCUUUGAAGCGCCGGACUGGUUGAUUGCCUUGAGAGGCUGCUUUGCGCUUCUGCUGCGAGGGCCGCGGUGUGCUCCUCUGUUCGGAGAGAGCACUCUGUGUUUCCAUUGACUGUAAUAACUCCGCGAGGUCCUGACAUCUUGAGCUUGAGGUAUGCAUAGUGCGGUACCGCAUUGAAUCUAGCAAAUGCGGUUCGCUCGAGCAGCGCGUGGUAACCACUGCGGAAUGGGACUAUAUCGAAGAUUAGCUCUUCGCUUCGGAAGUUAUCCGGGGAUCCGAAGACCACUUCCAGUGUAAUUGAGCCUGUGCAAUGGGCCUCUACACCUGGAAUGAGGCCUUUAAAGGUCGUUUUUGUGGGUUUGAUCCUUGAGGGGUCUAUACCCAUUUUGCGCACUAUAUCCUGAUAAAGUAGGUUCAGGCUGCUGCCGCCAUCCAUAAGGACUCGAGUGAGGUGAAAUCCGUCAAUGAUUGGGUCUAGGACUAGUGCGGAAAAUCUACCAUGAUGGAUACUAGUGGGGUGGUCCCUUCGAUCGAAGGUGAUCGGAUAGGAGGACCAAGGGUUGAACUUUGGGGUGACUGGCUCGAACGCAUAUACGUCCAUGAGCGCACGCUUCCGCUCCCUCUUAGGGAUGUGGGUUGCGUAUAUCAUGUUCACCGUCUGCAGUUGCGGGGGAAACCUCUUCUGUCCUUCGAUGUGCGGCUGCCGGGGCUCCUCCUCGUCAUCGCUAUGCGGCCCCUUGUCCUUCUUUUCGGCAAUUAACUUGCGGGCCUGCUUGAACACCCAACAAUCCCUGUUGGUGUGAUUGGCUGGCUUGUCUAGGGUGCCGUGUAUUUGACACGAGCGAUCGAGUAUACGUUCCAAGCUGGAUGGACCUGGCGUACUUUGUUUGAAUGGCUUUUUCCGCUGACCGGGUUUAGAGCCUUUGAAUCCGGCAUUGACUGCCGUAUCCUCGGUAUUUUCGCUGUUAAUGCGGCGGUUAUGUUUGUUGUGACAUGACCUGCUAUUGCCAUCCUUGGUAUCGGAGGUACCAUGGUUCUUUGAUAUGUUAUUACUACGGGCCAGCCAGCUGUCUUCUCCCGCACAAAAGCGGGUCAUGAGCGUCGUGAGAGCUGCCAUAGAUUUCGGCUUUUCCUGACCAAGGUGCCAGGCUAGCCACUCGUCUCGGAUGUUGUGUCUGAAAGCCGCUAAGGCCUCUGCAUCCGGACAGUCGACGAUUUGAUUUUUCUUUGUGAGGAACCAAGUCCAGAAUUGCCUAGCCGACUCUUCUGGCUGCUGAAUUAUGUGGCUCAAGUCAUCGGCGUCUAGUGGUCGCACAUAAGUGCCCUGAAAGUUGUUGAGGAAUGCGGCUUCCAGAUCUUCCCAACAGCUAAUGGAGUCCGCUGGCAAGCUGUUAAGCCAAUGCCGCGCUGGUCCUUUGAGCUUUAGUGGAAGAUAUUUGAUGGCGUGUAAGUCAUCACCGUGGGCCAUGUGGAUGUGGAGGAGGAAAUCCUCGAUCGAUACUGCAGGAUCUGUUGUGCCGUCGUAUGAUUCAAUAUUUACAGGUUUGAAACCUUCUGGGAAUUGAUGAUCCAUUACUUCGUCUCUGAAGCAUAAGGGGUGUGCGGCGCCUCUGUAGUGGGCUAUAUCGCGACGCAGCUCGAAUGGGUCUUGCCCGCUGUGUUCGGCCCGGCCGGAUUUGCUUUUACUGUAUCCGGCGUGACAUUUAUCGUCUCGCAGAGUUGUGCGCCCUCGUGAUCCGUAGAUCGAUCUUGCAUGCUUUGCUUUGUCCUCCAAUAUAUCUCGCAGGUCUGGCGUAUCUCCCCAUGCCUUUUUAUUUGAAUGGCGUCGGGGUGGAGGCUGAGUUUUUGGCUGGACUGCCUCUCUAUCGCGGCCACGAGGUGGCCGAUCCGGGCAGUAACCUGCACUUUGGGUAAUUCUUGGAGGGGUGCUUGAGUUUAUAUUCCUCGGCCGCGAGGACUUCAGUCCAUCUGUUAGUUAAGAGAUCUUGAUCAGCUUGAAGCUGCUGCUGCUUUUUCUUUAGGCUAUUUUCCGUGGCCAUAAGCCGGUGCUUGAAGCGCUCUUGUUCGAUGGGAUCCUCUGGUACAUCGAAUUCAUCAUCGCCGAGGCUUGCCUCGUCUUCGGAGGCGGGCGUGUAAUUGUCAUCCUCCUCCUCUCCGUCUGCCGCUCUUUCAGGAGGGUUGGCUCCUCCAUCCUCCUGCUCUAAAUCUUGCUGGAGGGGAUUAUUGUUGUCUUCGGCACUAUCCGGAGUGUUAUUAUCUCCUGUGCCGGUAUCACCACUUUUGCUUUGGCGGGACUUAGAGCGGCGCCGCUGACAUCGGCGCUUGGGUUGCUUCUUGGAGAGGUCAUCCUCCGUUAUCUCGUCGCCAUUGCCUUCUUUGGGUGUAUCCACCAUGUAUAUGUCGUAUGAUGAUGUGGCUUUCGAGUGCCCUAUGGGCGCUGGUUCAUGUUCAUCUCCUACAUCGUCGUCCAUACCAUCGAUGUCUUCGGAGUCGAAGUCGAGCAUGUCGGUUAAAUUAUCGACAGUGGCUACGAAGUGGGUGGUGGGUGGGCAUCGAAUUUCUUCGUCGUCCGCCUCCCAAUCCUGUUGGCCAUAGUCCGGCCAGGGCUCUCCUGACAAAGAGAGAGACUUUAGUGAAUUCAGAAUGUCACCGAAGGACGAGUGCUGCAAGAUAUCAGCGGCGGCGAAUUCCAUGAUCGGCGCCCAGUCGGAUUCAAUUGGCAGGGGCGCGGACGGUUCGGAGUCCGGAAAAGAGUCCGGCACCUUGGAGUCACGGGCUUUGCAGAGGAUUAGGCUGGUGUUCAACUCGAUCACCGUUGAGACUGCAGCCCCUGAGGCGGUGUCUAGCCACCCGUCCUCGACUGGCGCAGUUGGCUCCGAGCUAAGGGUCAGAGCUGAUGCGGGCGCGGCCUCUGGGGUACUGUCCGGUGGUAGAGCUAGGUCAUACCCAUCGUGACAGUGCAGCGCGCCCGGCUGUGGCUUGAAUCCGUCGAAGAUCAAGUCUCCGAGGAUGUCGGCCGUGUAGUUCAAACUUCCAAAUCUGACCUGAUGGCCAGGGGUGUAGCUUUCAAUCUGCUCCAGAUGGCCAAGCGAAUUAGCCCGUAGUGCAAAGCCGCCGAACACUGGACCGCAUCGUUGUUCAUGAUCGGAGGAGCCAUCGGGCCUAAAGGUGACGACACCGAGGAAAUCUCAAUGGAAGCACCAAUGUCGGUGUCAAAUCCGGCGGAUCUCGGGUAGGGGGUCCCGAACUGUGCGUCUAGGCCGGAUGGUAACAGGAGGCAGGGGACACAAUGUUUUACCCAGGUUCGGGCCCUCUUGAUGGACGUAAAACCCUAUGUCCUUCUUGAUUAAUAUUGAUGAUAUGUGUAGUACAAGAGUAGAUCUACCACGAGAUCAGAGAGGCUAAACCCUAGAAGCUAGCCUAUGGUAUGAUUGUAUACGUCCUACGGACUAAAACCCUCCAGUUUAUAUAAACACCGGAGAGGGUUAGAGUUACACAAGGUCGGUUGCAAAGGAGGAGAUAUCCAUAUCCGUAUUGCCUAGCUUGCCUUCCACGCCAAGUAGAGUCCCAUCCGGACACGGGACGGAGUCUUCAAUCUUGUAUCUUUAUAGUCCAACAGUCCGGCUGUCCGGAGACCCCCUAAUCCAGGACUCCCUCACCCCCACUCCCUAUCGAACCCUAGCCCAAUCGCCCCACCUCCCCCACACCCCCUCGCCAGCCUCCCCACCUCUUGAUCCCAUCUGGAUCGGGGAGGGGAUCACCCCCAUCGACCCCGUCGCCGUCGCCGGAUCGCCCGUCAGCGUCGCCAGGCCUCCUCCCCGCCGCCCGUCUCCGGCUCGCCUCCCCUCUCGCUCCUCUUUCCCGACCCGAUCAGGAUCGUGAACGAGCAAUGAGCGCGACGCCCCCCCUUCAUCGGCGCCAUCACCGUGCGCCACCACCACCGCCUGAAGACCUCGCCGUCGCUGACCUUGUGUCGUCUCCUGGUAUCCCUUCCCGACUCGCGUCCUCAAGCCAGGCCGACCCCCUUCUCGGCAAUGCUGUGAGACGCCCCCCGUUUCCCUCCUCUUUCCACCGUGUUCACCGCGCCGCCUGACGAAGCUACGUACCUAGGGUAGGGGCAUGGACCUGUCCUAAGAGCCCUACCCAAGGACAUCCCUGGAAGAAGUCACCUUUCAAUCGACUUGAAGGUACCCACUCGACGGGUUUAAGACACUCGACCAAGAAGCUACCACUCGACAUGAAGCCAAUCACUCGACUGCCAGGAGAUCUAAAGUCAUUCCACGGGCAAACGGUCGGCUAUUAAGUAGUCUUUAUGGUCAUUAUAGCACUUUAUUACCAGCAUUACCAGUAACGCCCCGCCUUAAUGUACAUUGAACCCUUGGUAACGUAGGCUGGCCGGGGUCCUGGCGCGCUCUAUAUAAGUCACCCCCUCCUCCGAGACAAGGGUUCGCACCUCUAUUGUUCACAUGCCUAUAAUCCAAUCGACCGCCUCCGGGCACUGAGACGUAGGGCUGUUACUUCCUCCGCGAAGGGCCUGAACUCGUACACCUUGGUGUGUUUACAACUUCCCAAUAGCUGAGAUCUAGCCUCUCCAUACACACCCCCCUACAUCACUGUCAGAGUUAGAACCACAAUAGUUGGCGCCCACCGCGGGGCCAGAAUCUUAGCGCUUACUUGGAGAAGUUGCGAUUCUUCUGAUCCCUUUGAUCAUGGUUUCAUGCGGAGUUUUGGUGGAGGGGCGCGAGAUCCGUCUCGGCGCGCUCACAUUCAUCGCCGACGACUCCGCUUGGUUUCAGGAGGCUCCACUCGACAUCGACGUGCUCCCCGUCCGUGGUGCGACGCACUUCCGCGCAUGCGUUCGUGGCGUCCUCCUGCGGCAGCCGUCGACCCAGUAUCGGUCGGCCCUCGUGUCGUCUCCCCGCUCUGUCUCCCUCCGACGCAAGCGCUUUGGUAGGUCGAGACUUUAGAGGUGGGUGAGGCAUGCCGUGGCUCGCCAGUCGGCCGCCCCACAAGUCGCGGCAAUCGAGCCCGACAAAUCCCUCUGCAGCCUGUUCGACUGGCUCCGCGGAGACUUCAUCCGAGUGUGACAGCAGAGACCCAGCGGCUGAGGUUCUGGCGGUCGAUGGGACACACUGUCCUCCCGGUUUCCCUCGCGCUAAUGGAGGCGCGGGUGGGGGCGACCCGUCGCAUCCCCACGAUGAGUAUCUCCCCGAAUGUCUCACGGCAUCGCAGCGAGAGGAACUUCACCGCCGGAACAUAGACGCACUCCACACUCCUAUCGUCGGAGAAACCCCCGAGGCCCGGGCCUUGGAGGACGCGCGCUUGGCUAACUUGGCUGAGCGCACUCGACUGGAGAAUCUCCAGCUAAUACUCGAUGAGCAAGCGCGCCAGUGAGCUCCCGAGUCCAGUCGACGUCAGCUCUUUCCGCCGAUGCAGGUAUAUUGAACCCUAGUUCAGAAUUUGGCCGCCGCGGCCCGUAUAGCAGAGUCAAUUCAGCCCUCCCAGUCAGAGGCUGGCAGGGGCUUGUUGCAGAUCAGAGCAUUGCUCCGGGCGGCGGGGAACCAGAAUUCCGCUGUUUCUCAGUCGCAGAAUAGGAUCCACAGUCGAUCCGUUGCAACAGAUACAGUCCAGUCGGCUCACAGCCCGAGAUCGCCCCCGAGGCGUGAGGGACAUGGAGACCGGCACGAUCAGUACAGAAGAAAUGAGCAGUAUGAUCACCGAUUCGAUCGUGAGGAUCGACGUCGAGUGCCAACCCCUCCCCCGAGGAGUGGGUCAUAUGCGCCUCGAUAGCGAGAUGACAGGCGCCCUCAUAGUGUUGGGCAGAGGAUUCCAGUCGACCCCAGGGACCCAGGCUUUGAUGCGAGAUCCAUCCUUGAUCAAGGUCUGGUUGACAGGAACGGGGCUCACCGAGAAUGCCAGGACAGAGAUGCGCCUGCCAGCAGCAGAGUGCGUGUUUCAGGGACAGAGUGUUUCAGUCGAGCCAUCAGAGCCACAGUGAUUCCUCCCAACUUCAGGUUGGCGACUGGAGUCAGCUAGUUCACCGGUGAGUCUAAGCCUGACACUUGGCUCGAAGAUUACCGAGUGGCUGUACAGAUUGGCAGUGGCAAUGAUGAGGUGGACAUGAAGCAUUUGCCUCUCAUGUUAGAGGGCUCAGCCAGAGCAUGGCUAAAUCAGUUAGUGCCCAGCAGCAUUUACACUUGGGAGGACCUCUCCCGAGUGUUUGUCACAACCUUUGAGGGAACAUGCAAGCGACCUGCAGGCCUUACAGAGUUGCGGUCUUGCACGCAGAAACCGAAUGAAACGCUGAGGGAUUACAUCCAGAGGUGGAUCACAUUGCAUCACACAGUUGAGAAUGUUCCAGAUCAUCAAGCAGUUUGUGCCUUCAAAGAAGGCGUUAAGUACAGAGAAUUGAAUCUGAAGUUCGGUCGAACUGGAGAGAUGUCUCUGAAUCGGAUGAUGGAGAUUGCCACCAAAUACGCUAAUGGUGAAGACGAAGAUCGCCUCCGGAGUGGCAAGCGCAAGGCAGUCGCCCAAGAAACCGGAGGAAACUCCAGUCAGAAACAGAAGCGGAAGGCUGAGCCAGCCGCCCCUGGGGAGGCCCUGGCCGUAACCCAGGGAAAUUUCAAGGGAAAACCCAAGGGCCCCUGGAAGCCCAAGAAAGUCAAGGAUCAAGAUGGAAAUGAUGUUUUGGAUCUGCCAUGUCACUCCACACCAAGAAAGAUGAAGAGGGUAAUUUUAUUUACCCAAAGCAUACCACUCGACAGUGCCAGCUCCUGAUCCAGCAGUUUCAGGGCAAGCAACCCAAAGAUAAGGAAAAAGAGCCAGACAGAGUUGAGGACAAGGAUGAUAGUGACGAUGGAUACCCCCAAGUCAAUUCCACCCUGAUGAUUUUUGCUGAUGUCGAAAGCAAAAGUCGACUGAAAGUCAUUAAUCGUGAAGUGAAUAUGGUUGCUCCGGCAACACCUAGUUAUCUGAAGUGGUCUCAGGCUGCCAUAACAUUCGACCAGUCUGAUCACCCUACGCACAUUGCCACCCCUGGGAGGCAAGCUUUGGUGGUCGACCCAGUUGUCGAAGGCACUCGACUGACCAAAGUCCUGAUGGAUGGUGGCAGUGGCCUGAACAUACUGUAUGCUAAAACAUUGAAAGGGAUGGGCAUUCCGAUGUCCGGGCUCAGUACCAGCAACAUGAGCUUCCACGGAGUCAUUCCCGGGAAGUAAGCCGAAUCACUCGGCCAGAUUGCUCUUGAUGUGGUUUUCGGUGAUUCAAAGACUUACCGCAAGGAAAAGUUGACAUUCGAGGUUGUGGACUUCCAAAGUGCUUAUCAUGCCAUUUUGGGCAGACCAGCUUAUGCACGCUUCAUGGCCUGACCAUGUUAUGUGUAUCUCAAAUUGAAGAUGCCUGGUCCUAAAGGUGUGAUCACUGUUACAGGCAAUCGGAAGAAGGCAGAAGAGUGUUUUCAGAAAGGCUCAAAGAUUGCUGACGCUCAGAUGGCAGUGGUUGAGCUGCAAGAGUAUCAGAAGACUGCAGAUCCGAGUGAGUUGCUACGAGCUAAGAAGCCCACUUCGGAGUCAGCUUUUCAGUAGUCUGGUGAAAUGAAGGCAGUUCACAUUCACCCGACCAACCCCGAGGCUGCCCCGACUCACAUCUCAAAGACGCUCGACUCCAAAUAGGAAGAAGUGCUCAUCCAGUUCCUCCGUGAGAACUGGGACAUCUUCGCAUGGAAGCCUUCUGACAUGCCUGGAAUAACCAGGGGGCUGGCUGAGCACCGUCUACGAGUCGACCCAAAGUUCAAGCCUAUGAAAGAACAUCUUCGACGGUCCGCCGUCCAAAAGAGGAAAGCUAUUGGCGAGGAGGUGGCUCGGCUCUUAGCAGCAGAGUUCAUCCGAGAGAUGUACCACUCUGAGUGGCUCGCCAAUGUUGUCAUGGUCCCCAAGAAGGACAAGUCGCUUCGCAUAUGCAUCGACUUUAAACAUAUCAAUCGGGCCUGCCCGAAAGAUCAUUUUCCUCUCCCUCGCAUCGACCAAAUAGUCGACUUGACCGCGGGGUGUGAGCGAUUGUCUUUUCUAGACGGCUAUUCCGGGUACCAUCAGAUCCGUCUGUAUGGACCCGAUGAGAUCAAAACAGCUUUCAUCACUCCAUUCGGGUGCUUCCGUUAUGUCACCAUGCCCUUCGGCCUCAAGAACGCUGGAGCCACGUUCAUGAGGAUGAUUCAGAAGUGUUUGCUCACUCAAAUCAGUCGGAACGUGGAAGCAUACAUGGAUGAUAUUGUGGUCAAGUCGCGGAAAGGUUCCGACCUGCUGACUGACCUUGCUGCAACCUUUGCCAACCUUAGGAGGUAUGAUAUCAAGCUUAAUCCAUCAAACUGCACAUUCGGAGUUCCGGGUGGAAAGUUACUCGGUUUUCUCGUUUCCGAAUGAGGAAUCAACGCCAAUCCCGAGAAAGUUGGCACCAUACUCCGGAUGAAGCGCCCUGUGCGUGUGCACGAUGUCCAGAAGCUUAUGGGUUGCUUGGCCGCUCUAAGUCGAUUCAUUUCUCGUCUCAGUGAAAAGGCAUUGCCUCUUUACCGACUGAUGAAGAAGUCUGACAAGUUCGAGUGGACUCCAGAAGCUGAUGCAGCGUUUGCAGACCUCAAAGCUCUGCUCUCCACCCAGCCGGUGCUUGCUGCCCCAAUCAGUAAAGAGCCUUUGCUGCUUUACAUUGCAGCCACAGGACAAGUUGUCAGUACAGUACUUAUGGUCGAGCGGGAAGAUGAAGGAUAGGCCUUCAGAGUUCAACGCCCAGUAUAUUAUGUGUCUGAAGUUUUGACACCUUCAAAACAAAGAUAUCCUCAUUAUCAGAAGCUUGUAUACGGGAUUUAUAUGACCACGAAGAAGGUUGCACAUUACUUCUCUGACCACUCCAUUACAGUCGUCAGCGACGCCCCACUGUCAGAGAUUCUGCAUAACAGAGAUGCAACUGGUCGAGUGGCGAAGUGGGCGAUUGAACUCCUUCCCCUAGAUAUCAAGUUUGAAGCAAAUAAGGCUAUCAAGUCCCAAGCAAUUGCAGAUUUCAUCACCGAGUGGAUCGAACAGCAGCUUCCGACUCAAGUUCACCCGGAGCACUGGACCAUGUUCUUCGAUGGAUCUAAGAUGCUGAAUGGUUCCGGUGCUGGGGUAGUAUUGGUCUCCCCCCGAGGAGAUAAGCUCAGAUAUGUUCUCCAGAUUCACUUUGAUUCCUCCAAUAAUGAAGCAGAAUAUGAAGCACUUUUGUAUGGGUUGCGCAUGGCCAUUUCACUUGGCGUCCGUCGCCUCAUGGUCUAUGGCGACUCAGAUUUGGUGGUUAAUCAGGCGAUGAAGGAGUGAGACGUCAGAAGUCCGGCAAUGACUGGUUAUUGCAAUGUAGUGAGAAAGCUAGAAAAGAAAUUCGAGGGGUUAGAGCUUCAUCACAUCCCCCGACUGAAAAAUCAGGUAGCUGACGAUUUGGCAAAGAUAGGCCCCAAGAGAGAAGCCAUUCCCAGCAACGUGUUCCUGGAACACAUUCAUUCGCCAUCAGUCCAAGAAGAUCCUUUUACAGAAGAAGCCCCGCAGCCGAAAAGUGCCACAGAUCCGACUGAAGUCGAAGUCCCUGCUGUGGUCGACCUAAUCAUGGAAGUCUUCGCAAUCACUCCCGACUGGACGAUACCGUACAUCGCGUAUAUCCUAAGGAAAGAACUCCCGGAGGACGAGGAAGAGGCUCGACAGAUCGUCCGCCGAUCCAAAGCCUUCACAGUCACAAGGGGACAGUUGUAUAGAGAAAGCGCGACUGGGAUCGGUCAGAAGUGCAUAACACUAGAAGAGGUUCAGAUAAUCCUUGACGACAUCCACUCGCGGACCUGUGGUCACCAUGCGUCUUCUCGGACCAUUGUGGCUAAAGCAUACCGAGCGGGAUUUUACUGGCCAAGAGCAAAUGAGAUGGCAAAAGAGAUAGUCGACCAGUGUGGAGGGUGCUAGUUCUACUCCAACAUGUCACACAAGCCUGCGUCAGCCCUGAAGACCAUUCCACUCGUCUGGCCCUUUGCUGUCUGGGGACUGGACAUGGUUGGUCCACUAAGAACAGGCAGGAGCGGUUUCACUCAUGUGCUUGUGGUAGUCGACAAGUUUACCAAAUGGAUUGAGGCUAAGCGCAUCAAGAAUCUUGAUGCUUGCACUACUAUCAGUUUCGUCAGAGGGCUAACAUUCAGAUAUGGAGUCCCGCAUAGCAUCAUCACUGACAAUGGGUCAAACUUUGAUUCGGACAAGUUCAGAGCUUUUUGCGCCUCUCAAGGCACACGAGUCGACUACGCAUCGGUCGCCCAUCCCCAGUCGAAUGGACAAGCAGAGAGAGCAAAUGGUUUGAUUCUCAAAGGACUAAAGCCUCGACUGAUGCGCGAUCUCAAGCACGCGGCAGGUGCUUAGGUCGACGAGCUUCCGUCAGUUCUGUGGGGAUUGAGGACCACCCCGAACCGGUCGACUGGAGGAACUCCAUUCUUUCUGGUUUAUGGAGCCGAGGCAGUUCUGCCGAGUGAUCUUCUUCACAACGCACCCCGAGUCGAACUUUAUACCGAAGAUGAAGCAGAACAAGCCCGGCAAGACGCAGUCGACCUACUAGAAGAAGAGAGGGAGAUGGCCAUGAUCAGAUCGACCAUUUAUCAGCAAGACUUGCGUCGAUUCCACGCUAGGAAUGUGAAGAGUCGAGCCUUCCAAGAAGGAGAUUUGGUCCUCCUAGUGGAUCAACAGAAACCACACAAGCUUGCUCCUACUUGGGAAGGCCCCUUCAUCGUCACCAGAGUCCUCCACAAUGGAGCGUAUCACCUCUACAAUGUUGAUCGCCAGAUCGAUGAGCCGCGAGCUUGGAAUGCGGAACUGCUCCGCCCCUUUUACACUUGAGUUCUCCCUUGGACGAGAUGUAAUAAGAAAAAAUUUCUGCAGUUCAUUUUUAUCAAAGGCAAGAGUGUUCCAAUAAUUGCUGUCACUUUUGUUUGCAUACGAAAUCCCCCAGUGGGUGACUUAGCUGCGAAUCCGUUUCGCCUAAGUUUGAAAAAUCCUACCGAGUGGAGAGCCAGAUUCCCACUCGGGGGCUUAGCUCCAGCCCAGUGCUUGCCUAAGUGUUCAAAAAUCCUACCAAGUGAGAGCAAUCCUCCCACUUGGGGGCUUAGCUGCAGUCCAGUACUCGCCUAAGUUCUCCCACUUAGAGACUUAGCUGCAGUCAGGCACUCGCCUAAGUUUGAAAAAAUCCUACCGAGUGGAGAGCAAUCCUCCCACUCGAGGGCUUAGCUGCAGUCCAGUACUCGCCUAAGUUCUCCCACUUAGAGACUUAGCUACAGUCAGGCACUCGCCUAAGUUUGAAAAAAUCCUACCGAGUGGAGAGCAACCCUCCGACUCGGGGGCUUAGCUGCAGUCCAGUACUCACCAAAGUUCUCCCACUUAGAGACUUAGCUANNNNNNNNNNNNNNNNNNNNNNNNNNNNNNNNNNNNNNNNNNNNNNNNNNNNNNNNNNNNNNNNNNNNNNNNNNNNNNNNNNNNNNNNNNNNNNNNNNNNNNNNNNNNNNNNNNNNNNNNNNNNNNNNNNNNNNNNNNNNNNNNNNNNNNNNNNNNNNNNNNNNNNNNNNNNNNNNNNNNNNNNNNNNNNNNNNNNNNNNNNNNNNNNNNNNNCUCUCCUUCCGAGCUACGCCACAAGUACAACAUGCGCUCUGCAAGGAGGACGAGGUGCAGGUCGACUGCUACCCUCUCCUUCCGAGCUACGCCACCAAUUCAAAAUCCUACUGAGUGGAGAGCAAACCUCCCACUCGGGGGCUUAGCUGCAGCCCAGUGCUCGCCUAAGUAUUUGAAAUCCUACCGAGUGGAGAGCAAACCUCCCACUCAGGGGCUUAGCUGCAGCNNNNNNNNNNNNNNNNNNNNNNNNNNNNNNNNNNNNNNNNNNNNNNNNNNNNNNNNNNNNNNNNNNNNNNNNNNNNNNNNAAAUCCUACCGAGUGGAGAGCAAACCUCCCACUCGGGGGCUUAGCUACAGCCCAGUGCUCGCCUAAGUAUUUAAAAAUCCUACCGAGUGGAGAGGAAACCUCCCACUCGGGGGCUUAGCUGCAGCCCAGUGCUCGCCUAUGUGUUUAGAAAUCCUACCGAGUGGAGAGCAAACCUCCCACUCGGGGGCUUAGCUGCAGCCCAGUGCUCGCCUAAGUGUUUAGAAAUCCUACCGAGUGGAGAGCAAACCUCCCACUCGGGGGCUUAGCUGCAGCCCAGUGCUCGCCUAAGUGUUUAGAAAUCCUACCGAGUGGAGAGCAAACCUCCCACUCGGGGGCUUAGCUGCAGCCCAGUGGUCGCCUAAGUGUUUAAAAAUCCUACCGAGUGGAGAGCCAGACUCCCACUCGGGGGCUUAGCUGCAGCCUAGCGCUCGCCUAAGUGUUUAAAAAUCCUACCGAGUGAGAGCAAACCCCUCACUCGGAGGGCUUAGCUGCAGCCCGGUGCUCACCUAAGUACAGGACACAACCCAAUCCGCAAGAAGUUACGCCACAAAUACAAGGUUAUUCCGAGUGAAGAUCAAGUUGCACUCGACAGAUCAAACCAUGAAGAUAUCCAACGAGAAAUCAAGUUCGGAUAAAGCCUAAAGGUCCCAGACCUCAGAUCAAAGUACUCGAGCCCUCGGCUCGGCAGAGUUUAACGGUUACAAAUCCACUCAGCAUUCCGAGGCAAAUUUAAAGUGAAGCACGACGAACUCGUCCAAGUCGAUCCCGUCUGCAAUACGAGUGGCAGCAGCGAUGAAAGUCUCCAUGAAGUCUUGAAAGCUGUGCUUCCUGGUAUUGGCAACUUGGAUGGCGGCCGGCUUUUCUUCUCGCGCCUCCUUGCAAUGGACGCGGACCAGAGACAGAGCGACAUCAGCACCACAUCUAGCAGAAGAUUUCUUCCAUUCCGCCACUCAACCCGGGACUUCAUUCUGUCGAGCCAUCAGAGACUCGAGGUCGUUCUGAAGCAUCAUCCCAGGCCAGAGUGAUGUGUCAAUCCGCGACAUCGCAACCUUCAGUCGAGCAAGAUAGUCAACAACACUGGUAACACGAGACUCCAGUCGGAGCACGUUCAUAGCAGCUUCAUCCUUCACGAGAGAAUUGGCGGGGUCCAAGCCUGGCUCCACUCGACUGGUUUCCUCUUCGAAGUUCUGGCAGAAUUCUGCAAACACGAUUCAAGAGUCAGACAUUGGCUCUACACAGGCUUGGCAACUGCAAGACAGUCGGGGCAGAGUAAUUACCUUCGAGCAUGACGAACAGCUUCUUGGUGAGUCCACCGAGAUAAGCCUCCAGAUCAUUUACCUUCCCCGCCAGCUUACCCGCCUGGUCGUGUAGAACCAUCUUUUCAUUCUUCAGUCGGCUGACCUCUUGAUUAGCUGUCUCGAGAGCAGUUUUCAGCCUCGAGUUCUCCUGUUCAAGAGUUCCGACCGAAGCCAUUUUCUCUUCUCCAAGCUUCGUUCUGCUCAAGGCCUCCUUCUGUGAUUCUGCAAGAUCUUGAUCCUUCUUCUUCAGAGCUUCUUCCAGUUUAUCUGCGGCACGUCGAGUGAAAUCAACAUCAAGAAUGGACAAGCAAGAAAAAUCACUCGUCAAGAAUGGAGAACCUCACCAGCCAUACCUUUUGCUUCUUCUUGCGCCUUCCUCAAAUUCUCUUGAGCAAGCUUCAAGUUAAGGUUGAGCUGGAUCUGCUUAUUCUCCAACUCAGUAUAGCGAGCUACAAGUUCACAGGAUUUCUGCAAAAAGAAAAAUCAGUGGACAGACGUCCAAGAUAAGUUGCUUCCCAAUAACUAAAAGACAACGAUGGCGUUUCUAAGACUAUAGCCGAAUCUAAAACAUUCGACAGUAGUCUCGGGGACUACACCCAGUGGGUGCACUCUGCGUGCCCCCAUUGUAAAAAAAGUCGACUGCCCGCAGUCGACCGGAUACAGUUCCAUUCGACAUGGCCUGACCAGACCGAAUGAAGAAAUACAGCUACAACAACACAAUAUAAAGACUACAGUCGACUGCCAGCAGUCCACCAUAGUCUCGGGGACUACACCCAGUGGGUGCACUUAGCGUUCCCCCACUCGUCCAAGAAUUGGCAGACACACCCAGUGGGUGUACAGAUAUAAAGAUCUUCAAAAAAAAAGAUUCUUCAAACAGCAUAUCGUAACAGACCAAGUGUUGAGUCGACUGACCUGGACGUUACUCUGAAGAGCCGAACUCGCGUCAUAAGCCGCUUGGCUGGCCUCCCAAGCCGCUUUCACUUGUUCCAUCAUAAUCCCCGCCUGGCGUAUGGCCUCUUUUGCAGCAGCUGCUUGGUCCUCAGGGACGGGGUACGUGGCAAAAAGCGAAGGCGGAUCCGCAGUCGACGUCAAGGGCCGCACCCUCGUCAGAGGAAUGGCGAAAGUCACAGAAGCCCGAGUGGUUUCACCACCGUCUCGGGCUACGGCCUCAGGCGCCGGAGUGGAUUGUGGGGUCUCGCCAGCCGACGCUCCCCUGUUCCUUCUCACUCUCAGCGGCACGUCAUCGUCGUCAUCCGGAAGGUUGAUAACAUGAUAAGGAGCUACAAGAAAAAAUUCAAUCGACCAGAGUUGCAAUAAGUGUCCAGUCGACUGAAGGCAGAACAUCAGUAAUCAUACCAGGGUGGAGGUAACAGCAUCCUCCAUCUCUUGGUCGUCGUCCUUGGCAGAGACCUCCGAAGUAGGAGCACUGCAAAUCUCGAAAGUCAGUCAGUUGGCUCAAUGAAUCGACCAAGGAUCUGUCCACGGUCGACAAAGGAAAACAAGUUUUGUUAUUACCCAGAAAUGGUGGGGACAGCCAUCUUCAUCUUGGGCAGAGCCUUGGGCGGCUUGGACGGCGUCGCGCGUGGGUGCUUGGGAGCCUUUCCAGUCAGCGUAGGAGAAGAGGUUCGAGGGCGUUUCGACAACUGCCCAACAGGAGCAGUCGCCUACCACGUUCCCGCGCUGGAUCAUGUGUGAGCUUGGAUCGCCUCUCCCGGUGGGGGGGGGGGGGGGGUCAACCUCCUCCUCCUCCUCUUCGCUGGAGUUGACGUCGUCGUCUCCCUCUCCUUCGCCAUCGGACUCCCACUCGCCUUGAUCGUCUCCACUCUCACAUCCGCUCGCCUCCCCUUCCUCAGUUGGCUCCUGUGCCCCGUUGGGUGUCGAGUACAUCUCAGUAGUCGCCUGGAAAACAACAGACAAGACAAAAGUUAGUCGACCAAUUCAAAGAAGACCAAUGAAGAAAACAAGAUUUCAAUCGGGAGCGUAAAGUCAGACCUGGUCCACUUCGUAUUGUUGUCGAGUGGAGAAACCCUCCUGGCGCCUCGGGGGUUGUCUUUGUUUCCUGUGAUGCUCGUCAGCCACCCCUCCAACAUCUCAUCAGUGACCUCCUCCGGGUGGAUCCGAGUGGUGUCUUCGAGGCCCGAGUACAGCCACAUCGGGUGGCCGCGAGCCUGGAGCGGUUGGAUGCGCCUCCGAAGAAAGACCUCCAGCAAGUCCAUGCCAGUCACGCCAUCACGGACGAGCUGAACCACUCGACCAACCAGCACUUUGAAUUGGGUCUUUUCUUCUGGCGUCACUUUCAGAGAAGCAGGUUUUUGAGCUCGGUCGAGAGAGAAAUGGGGAAGCCCGGUCGACUGUCCUGGGGUCACCUGGUCUUUGCAGUAAAACCAGGUCGCCUGCCAACCACGGACCGACUCUGGGAAAAUGAUAGAUGGAAAACAACUCUUUCCCCUCGUCUGGAUCGCGAGGCCCCCGCACAGCUGGAUCACUUGCGUCCUUUCCUCACUCGACUUGGCCUUCUUGACCGAUUGGGAGCGGCAAGUAAAGAUGUGCUUAAAGAGCCCCCAAUGGGGGCGGCAACCCAGGAAACCCUCACACAAGGAAAUGAAGGUAGCAAGGUACACGAUAGAGUUGGGAGUGAAGUGGUGGAGCUGCGCUCCGAAGAAAUUUAGAAAACUCCGGAAAAAAGGAUGAGGAGGCAGAGAAAACCCUCGAUCGAUGUGGGUGGUGAGAAGGACACACUCACCAUCACGGGGUUGAGGCUCGACUUCUCCCCCCUGGAGACGCGCAGCCUCGUAAGGAAUGACUCCCCCCUCAACCAUAUCGUCGAGGUCUUCCUGCCGAAUCACCGACGGCAUCCAAUCGCCCUGGAUCCAGCCUCUGGGCAGAGCAGUCCUUGAGGAAGAUCCGCCCCAAGCGGACUUCUUCCCUUUCCCCUGCACCGACGCCUUCUUCGCGCGCUCCAGAGCAGACGUCUUGCCCUUCACCAUCGUCGCCGGCGAAUCUCAAACGGGUCUGCGGCGCUAGGGUGAGAGCGGAGGUGGCGGAGGACUUCGCGAAGGGAGAAAGAAGAGAAAGAAGAGAAAGGAGAGAGCACUGUUCGGGAACCCGAGCAGGCGGCUUAUAAGAGGCCGCUCCUGAGUGGCUGACUGGUAGGCCCAGGCUAUCCCGUCAAAUCCCGCAGUAGACGCGCGCGCAGCUCGUGGCGGAAAAGGUGGCACGGGAAUCGAGGAGCUUCUGCCUUAUCACAUCCGAUUACUGCGGCCGCGCCCGUCCCGCUCGCUCCCCGAUGUUCAAAUCCCGCGAAAUCCGCGGGCUGCGGAACAACUCAUCAAAUAGAAGAUCCCUCUCGUGCCGGCACUCGGUAUUUCACAAGUAAGGAAAUUCACUCGACGGGAGACCAAGAAUGGAUCAAGGCGACCGAAAGAAGUUGACAACGUCAUCCUUGGCGAUAGAUCUAGUACAAGACGUCCAUAUGACGCUAAAAACCAGUCGGAAGGACCCCCAACUCCUUCCCCACUCGAACCUCGAUCCAUUCGGGGGCUAAUGACGAAGCUACGUACCUAGGGUAGGGGGAUGGACCUGUCCUAAGAGCCCUACCCAAGGACAUCCCUGGAAGAAGUCACCUUUCAAUCGACUUGAAGGUACCCACUCGACGGGUUUAAGACACUCGACCAAGAAGCUACCACUCGACACGAAGCCAAUCACUCGACUGCCAGGAGAUCUAAAGUCAUUCCACGGGCAAACGGUCGGCUAUUAAGUAGUCUUUAUGGUCAUUAUAGCACUUUAUUACCAGCGUUACCAGUAACGCCCCGCCUUAAUGUACAUUGAACCCUUGGUAACGUAGGCUGGCCGGGGUCCUGGCGCGCUCUAUAUAAGCCACCCCCUCCUCCGAGACAAGGGUUCGCACCUCUGUUAUUCACACGCCUAUAAUCCAAUCGACCGCCUCCGGGCACCGAGACGUAGGGCUGUUACUUCCUCCGCGAAGGGCCUGAACUCGUACACCUUGUUGUGUUUACAACUUCCCAAUAGCUGAGAUCUAGCCUCUCCAUACACACCCCCAACAUCACUGUCAGAGUUAGAACCACGACACCGCCUGCCGUGCCCCUCGCCGCACGCCCACCACCGCGCCAGCCCCCACUCUGUGGACGACCCUAGCCGCGCCCGCGCCGUGAUCCCCUUUUCCGCCCUACCUUCCCGCACUCGCCGCGGUCCCGAUGCUCCCCCGCGCCCUCUUUCAGGGGCGCCGACUGCCCCUGUCCCAUUACUCGCCGCCGCGCCUCGCCACCGCUCUACUGCUACGUUACUACUGCGCUGCGGCCGCCGCCUCUUCCCGCUGCUCCGCUAGCGCCGAAGCUCCCGGCUGGCUCUGCCACUGGUCACGUUUAACUACCGGUCUAAAUGGCCUAACCUCCCGGCAAAUGAACCCCCAGUAACCCACUGACACCGGGAGCCACAUCCCCUAAUUAACCAUUAAUAAAUUAAAACUCUUAAAUUAACAUUAGUGUAUGACAUGUGCGUCCCCUGUUAAUUAAUAAUUUACAUUAGUGUAUGACAUGUGCGUACCCUGUUAAAUAAACUGAUUUAAUUAAAAUCUAUUAACUUCGAGUCUAUGACAUAUCACUACUUGGGAAAAUCCUAGCAGUAGCGUGGGUAUUUUUCCUAUCAGUUGCGCCGGAUACCGCUCUACUGAUAAGGCACUACAGCUAACAUGUAGCAGUAAUGCGUGUCAUCCAACGCUACUGCUGUACAUGGCUAGCAGUAGCGAGCUUUAGUGCAAAGCGCUGCUGCUAAUAUCUGCAGCGCUUUUCAGCAUGAAGUGAUACUGGUAAGGGACCUCUACUACUAACUUUAUUCCCCUCGCUACUGCUAGUUUUAUUAGUUUCUGUUUUUUUCUGCAUAUUUCUUUUGUAUUUGAACAGGCUUUAUACAAUAAUAUUUAGCGUAUCAUACACAUACAAAUGUAAUCAUAGCAUAUACAUACAAAUAGUCUCGUCAAAUCAUGUCAUCAUCAUAAUCAUCAUCCAUCACAAAGUGGUCUCUCGUCAUCAUCUCUAAAAUAGCGAUACAAGUCUCGAUUACUUGCAACUACAUUGUCAUCCGUCUAAACAAUGAUAUACGCGAGAAGAGCUAUCACUAUGAGUGAGAGCGGAACUAUGCAGUACAUGAGUUUGUAUCCCUCUCUCGCAUUAGCGUGAACCUAAACUAACUACUAGUUGUCGCUCGGAAACCAGAAACCGGUACACCUGGGCCUGACACUCCGUCCACUCAUCUUAUACUCCUGGCGUAGCACUUCUGUGCCAUCGAUGAUCUAUGCACCUGCAUCGUCACAUGAGUCGAUGAUAUGCAACAUAUAUAGUUGAGCAAUAGAAACAGACAGACUUGGCAAAAAUAGAAGCAACAUAUCAUAAGCAUAAAUAACAAAGUUCAUCAUACCCAAAAUGCCCUAACUAGAGUGAUCUUCGCUAGUCGAGGAGGACGGUUUAAUUACAUCACAAAUAAUGUUUCAUCUUGCAUAACUCAAAGUGCCAUCAUACAGAAAGUAUGAACUAAACGGACACAUUGUCAUAUGUCGACAAUCACUCCAACAUGUCGUGCCAUCGAUCCAAGUCAAGGAGAUAGUCCCCGAGCUUAGUGAAAGGCUUCAGGUUGAGACGCUGAGCGGCAACGCGUGUUCGGACGUCUUCCCUCGACAUUUUUCCUUCUUCAUAGAACAUCCCUGUUUUUUCGAUGACCUCCCUCAUGAUGAUUUGGGCAAGUUCGCACUGGAAGUGAUAGAACUCAUCUUGAAGUCGAUGAUCCUCGAUAUCUCCUAAGUUCUUUGCCCAUUGCAGAAUAUGGGCAUCGCCGAAUCUAGGUGUCAUGCAAAGGUUCUGGUGAUCCCGUAUGUACUCCAUCAUGUGGUGUAGGACAUAGAAUCCAUCAUUAAGAGAAUCACUCAGUUGCUGGAUACAGCAGAAGCCGGUCUUAUGGCCGAAGGCGGGCCUGCCGUCCCUUUUCUUCUUGUCCUUGACCUCUCCACCCCGUGCACCGUAGUAAAACAUAGCACCGUCGAGAACAUACUUGAUGUGGGUGUAAUCCUUUUUUUUAAUGUUCUUCGAUGAGUCCAAGUAAAGAGCGUGGGAGUAUCGGGGGUAGAGGAUGAUGAGGAUGGUGCACCCGCCGCUGCGCAAAAUAAGUACACCUCAAAUUAAUUAGCCUCCACCGUGCAAAUGAAUGAUUGAAAUCGUAGGAAGGAUAUCCGCGUGGAUGACUUACAGGGGAUGAUAAGGCACAAGAAUCACCUCCUUGUCCUUAUUGGCACGCAUGAAAUUGACGAUGUAUUCCUCGCGUAUUCACGGUGCUUUGCGUGGACUCACAAGAAGACCUCGUGCAUGAAGUACCGAUCAGUGACACAGAUAUGAGGUAUUUGCUCAACCCCGAUGAGGUAGUUCAUGUGCAAGGCAUAAAGGUGGACGAAUGUAAAAUCCAGCUUCUUUAAGUGAAACAUGUCGAAGAUGUAAUCCAAUCGAAGGAAGAACUUGUUCGAGGGGAAUGUGUCGAUGUACGACAAUUGCAGCGACACGUUAACCACGGAGAGUGGGUAUGCUGGAUUUUUUGAGGCAAUGAGGCCUUUCUCUAUCAGCAACACAUCAUCAUGAAGUCUCCUUAUAUCGCCAAAUCAGGCCCCUAGCGCUGCUUUAGGUAGGAUUGGUUAACCGGGGAUACGCCAUAUUGCCGCACCGAGGAUAUCUAUACGGUCUUGAACCCGAGCCUGCUGAGGUGGCUGGAUCAUAGAAGCACCUUUGUUUCCUUUCCUCGGUGUCUUCCUUGGCUUCUUUGCUACCGGAAAGUCGUCUAUAAUAUGUUCAGCCUCUGGAGGCGGCAAUUCAGGCACCAACUCAUGCGCUCAAACCCUGAGUAGGCGCCAGUAUUGAGGUAUUGUUGAAUGUCAUCGUCGUCCUCAUCUAUGGCGAUGUCACUAGCGACAAAUCGAGCCUCUUCCUCACCCCGUCCGCUAUCACCCAGCACGACAGCCGACGCUAAUUGGGUAGGUGGGGUGUUGAUGUUCGUACCUAACUGCGUGCUCGUGUGUGUGCUCCCGGCCGCCUCCAGACAAAGCAGACUCUUUGACCACAACAGGACCCACCCAUUGCAACCACCAAGCCGCUGCGGGGUCUCGUCGUCAUCCCCUAGUAUCGGAGGAGCCAAAUUCUCGUGGCCCGGUUUGACACUGGCCACGAAAACUUUGAAGACAUACGGGGGGAUUGGUCGGCCAUGGAACAAUGGUUCCUUCGGCUUCAUUACCGUCACCUUCCCCACGUCCACCUUUUGGUCGCCGAUGUUGUACAAUAUGGUGCACGGGGUUACAUCGGCCUGCAAAGACACCGUGAGAUUAUACAUUUAUGGAAGAGGGCCGGUGUGACAGAUACCGUGAGGGCGUCGAGCUCAGCCAAAGACGAAGGACAGCUGAGCACGGCCGGUGUGGGAGCCGGUGUGGGAGCCGGUGCAGGUGCAGGUGCUGGUGCAUCGCUAGUCGUGCUACUCCCGAAGAAGUCAACAAUGGGAAAGUCCGCUGCAUUUUUUCUGGAUUUUGCAUGCUCCAAUUGAAAACGGCUGGAACCAAGACAAUAGACAUAUCUGCAACCACCUGUUUUGCGGCAGCUACCGUUAUCGUGACAGUCUCAGAUGAUUUCUUCUCUACUGCAAUCUCAACCUUCUUGUCGAUGUUUUCUUCAGUUAACCUCCAUCUUUCCUUUCUCUCCUCCGUGGUCUCACGGUAGCACUUCUUCCACGUGGCCCCGUCUCCGACACCGUGAACGCGUCCAUACGACGACCGAGUCUCCACUGGGAGUCCUUUCAAUAUGUUCAAUGCCCGGUUGAAUGGAGUGUCCCACUUGGGCCUCGCCAACGCCUCAGACGGCGAGUCUCUUUCGGUCGCAAUCUUGUGCUGCUCUCUCUACAAAAGGAACAAGGAUCAUUUACAAAUAUGACUAAACGUGCAGUCGAAUUGAUCAGAAACUAAAAUUACCAGCAGUCUCAUGAACUCCGUCGUGAUCGGGUCCGUCUUGAAAACCUUCUUGACCGAGUGCCAAUGGUGCCGUGCCCUGAGGACGUCAUGCUCCUACAGGACGGUGAAGUCCGCCAAGGGGUCUAGGAUGCCAGACUUUCGCGUUUCGUGUCCUCCUUGGCCCAUAUGGACCUCUUCCUGCUGUAACCACGGCUUCCGAGGUGGCGGUGCCCCAUGUUCCUUUGUUGAAACCCCUUCAUGUACUUUGACUUUGUUUUGGCAGUUUCAGCCUCGCAAGCCGCCUUGAAUAUUUCAAAGUGCUCUCCCGUGAUUGUCGGAUUAUCCUUUACAAUCUCGGAGUAGGGUUGAUACGUCUCCAAUGUAUCUAUUAUUUUUGAUUGCUCCAUGCUAUAUUAUCUACUGUUUUGGACAUUAUUGGGCUUUAUUAUCUACUUUUAUAUUAUAAUUUGGACUAACCUAUUAACCGGAGGCCCGAGCCCAGAAUUGCUGUUUUUUUGCCUGUCUUAGGGUUUCAAAGAAAAGGAAUAUCAAACGGAGUCCAAACGGAAUGAAACCUUCGGGAACGUGAUUUUCUCAACGAACAAGACCCAGGAGACUUUGACCCUACAUCAAGACACAAGGCGAAUCAUGUACGUAGCCACUAGUGAAACAUAUUAUCUUUAUUAUAUCUAUCAGAUCUCACUCUCGUAAGUGGCCGUGUUGGGAUUGACAACCCCUAUUCAUGUUGGUUGAGAGGAUUGAUUUGUUUUGUGCAAGUACAAAGGACUCGCGCGUAGCCUCCUAUUGGAUUAAUAGCUUGGUUCUCAAAAAGUGAGGGAAAUACUUACGCUACUUUGUUGCAUCAUCCCUUCCUCUUCGGGGAAAACCAACGCAGUGCUCAAGAGGUAGCAAGAAGGAUUUGCUGNNNNNNNNNNNNNNNNNNNNNNNNNNNNNNNNNNNNNNNNNNNNNNNNNNNNNNNNNNNNNNNNNNNNNNNNNNNNNNNNNNNNNNNNNNNNNNNNNNNNNNNNNNNNNNNNNNNNNNNNNNNNNNNNNNNNNNNNNNNNNNNNNNNNNNNNNNNNNNNNNNNNNNNNNNNNNNNNNNNNNNNNNNNNNNNNNNNNNNNNNNNNNNNNNNNNNNNNNNNNNNNNNNNNNNNNNNNNNNNNNNNNNNNNNNNNNNNNNNCCUCCACCCUCGUGGGCCCCCUGUUGCUCCACCGACGUACUCCUUCCUCCUAUAUAUACCUACGUACCCCCAAACGAUCAUAUACGGAGCCAAAACCCUAAUUCCACCGCCACAACUUUCUGUAUCCACGAGAUCCCAUCUUGGGGCCUGUUCCGGAGCUCCGCCGGAGGGGGCAUCAAUCACGGAGGGCUUCUACAUCAACACCAUAACCUCUCCGAUGAAGUGUGAGUAGUUCACCUCAAACCUACGGUUCCAUAGUUAUUAGCUAGAUGGCUUCUUCUCUCUUUUUGGAUCUAAAUACAAUGUUCUCCCCCUCUCUUGUGGAGAAUUAUUCGAUGUAAUCUUAUUUUUGCGGUGUGUUUAUUGAGACCGAUGAAUUGUGGGUUUAUGAUCAAGUCUCUCUAUGAAUAAUAUUUCAAUCUUCUCUGAAUUAUUUUAUGUAUGAUUGGUUAUCUUUGCAAGUCUCCUCGAAUUAUCAGUUUGGUUUGGCCCACUAGAUUGAUCUUUCUUGCAAUGGGAGAAGUGCUUAGCUUUGGGUUCAAUCUUGCGGUGUCCUUUCCCAGUGACAGUAGGGGCAGCAAGGCACGUAUUGUAUUGUUGCCAUCAUGGACAACAAAAUGGGGUUUUCAUCAUAUUGCAUCAGUCUAGCCCUCUACAUCAUGUUAUCUUGCUUAAGGCGUUAAUUUGUUUUUAACUUAAUACUCUAGAUGCAUGCUGGAUAGCGGUCGAUGAGUGGAGUAAUAGUAGUAGAUGCAGGCAAGAGCGGUCUACUUGUCUCGGACAUGAUGCCUAUAUACAUGAUGAUACCUAGAUAUUCUCAUAACUAUGCUCAAUUCUGUCAAUUGCUGAACAGUAAUUUGUUCACCCACCGUAGAAUACUUAUGCUCUCGAGGGAAGCCACUAGUGAAACCUAUGGCCCCGGGUCUAUCUUUAUCAUAUUAAUCUUCUACUACUUAGUUAUUUCCUUUGCUUUUUACUUUUCCUUUAUUUUACUUUGCAUCUUUAUCACCAAAAUACCAAUAAAAUUAUCUUUAUCAUAUCUAUCAAAUCUCACUCUGGUAAGUGGCCGUGUAGGGAUUGACAACCCCUAUUCGUGUUGGUUGCGAGGAUUUAUUUGUUUUGUGCAGGUACGAGGGACUCGCGCGUAGCCUCCUACUGGAUUGAUACCUUGGUUCUCAAAACCUGAGGGAAAUACUUACGCUACUUUGCUGCAUCAUCCCUUCCUGUUCGGGGAAAACCAACGCAGUGCUCAAGAGGUAGCAAGGGUUCCUUUUUGUCGACGAUCCGAUGUUUCAACCUUGUUUUCCAGGCGGCCAACGCGUCGCUAAACUUGGGCAUGGCGUGUUUGUUUAUCUUCUUCAUUGCCACGUCCUUAUCUGGAUCAUUAUUAUCCUUUUCAUUGCAGUCAGGGAACAAGAAUAUCUGGUGCAGCUUCUUUAGGAGGGAGGGCCUCAUAUUAUCUAUCUUCUGUAGUUUCCCAUCGUUGAUCGUGGCAGUUGUCCGUACGAUGCAACCUAUUUGAUUGCCGUAGCACGAUCGCGCUUCCUCGGGCGCUAUUGUCUCAAAAAUACCGUUGUCCAUCUCCGUGACCACCAGUCUAGUACUCAUGAGCUGGUUUGGGUGCCGUGGCCUCUUUGCUUUCGGUUCUAGACCAGCUCCGCUAGUCUCGGCGCCGGUCUCAGUCUCAUCACCGGUCUGCAUGUCGGUAUCAGUCCCCGAUGCGACAGCACAGUCGCUGCAACAUGGGUAAGGGAGACCACAUCAGUGCUGGGGUGGUCUGAAAAUUGGGACACACUUUCGCGCAUUGCGGGCCGCCUCUCAGACAGCUACUGGGGAGGCGGCGGAGUACCUGGGUGCGCGACGAAUCCCCGGGAACUCGGUGACCAACUUCCUUCCCAUGUAGCGCAUGGAGACGAUGGCGACCCCGCCGAAGAGCAGCUUAGUUGCGAGCUGCACAGCCUCGUCCACCUCCUAAGUUGGGACCUCCGCGCGAGCGUUGCGGGGCCGCCGCUCGGAUGGCUUCUGGAAGGCGCUUGUACAUGGGCACAGGGUGAAUCCCGGCAAGAGCUGGCCAUUGGUGCGCGCAAGUAGACGACGACGUCGCCGACGAAGAGCAGCCCGGCCAGCUCGCCUCACUCUCCUUUGAUUAGAAUUGAAAGAUUGGGAAGAAGCAGACUUGAGCCUGCAGGGAAAGGAUAAGGUGACGAUGCAGUCUCCACUCGUUCGGGGCGACACGCGUACUGAAUGUAUGAGAAACGCGACGUGGCAGGGACCCCAAGAUACUCCCUCCAUUUAUUUUUAGUCUGCAUAUAAAGUUUGGUCAAAGUCAAGAUUUGUAAAUUUUAACUAACUUUAUAAUAAAAAAAAUCAACAUUCACAAUAUGAAAUAAUUAUUACCAGAUGCGUCAUGAAAUGUAUUUCCAUACUAUAUAGGUUUGGUAAUGUAGAUGUUCAUAUUCUUUUAUAUAAAUGGGAAGUAGAGGCACUCUUCCAUAUAAUGAAGUUUAUAAUAUAUGUGCUUAUAUUAUACUAUAAUUGUUUGAAUAACUUAGCAUAUGUUCAGAUGUAUGAUAUCUGUAAUUUAAGCGCUUGAAUUUUACAUAUAAAUAUUUAUUAAUAAAUAUGUACCCCUAUAAUAGCUAGGCCGUGCAGUUGCACGGGUAGAUGACUAGUGAUUACAAUCUUGUUUGUGUGCAAGUCAAGCUUAUCUAGUUUACACGUAACAACUUGUAGAACAUUACAAAAUUUAUGCUUGCUAAUAACUUCUAGAACACUACAACACUUGACAUGUAAAAGGAAUUUGACGAGUCAUGGCCUACUAAAGAAAGUUACAUUACUAGUCUUAUAUCUAUCUUAAUAGACCACACAAGACUACAAAUUAAGUACCGUGACAGCCAUGAUUAUCUAGUUUAUGCGUAACAAUUUGCAGAAAAUUACAAACUUAGUUUUAGAAAAAUAGGCAAUCCAGAUUAGUGUUUGAGCUGUAAAGUGAAUAAGAUGAGUCAUGCGUGUUAUCACACCUUUUUGGUGGUGGAAUGAUAGUGCAAAACAAGGAACUUUAAUGAACAGUCCAAUAAUACACUUGUAAGUAGUGCCACCAAACAGAACAUACCAAAUGAUGAUUUUGAGAAGCAUCCAAGCACUUUCCACACAAACAAAUGCCAAUUGUGAAAGAGAUCAUUCCAUGGCAGCUAUAAAUAGCCCCGUAGCAUGACGAUCAUCCUUCCUCAUCCAUCAUUCUCAUAAGUAGAGCGCAUCAUUUAAGCCAAGCAAGCUGUGGUCAAUACAAAUCCACCAUGAAGACAUUUCUCAUCCUUGCCCUCCUUGCUAUCGUGGCGACCACCGCCACAACUGCAGUUAGAGUUCCAGUGCCACAAUUGCAGCCACAAAAUCCAUCUCAGCAACAGUCACAAGAGCAAGUUCCAUUGGUACAACAACAACAAUUUCUAGGGCAGCAACAACCAUUUCCACCACAACAACCAUAUCCACAGCCGCAACCAUUUCCAUCACAACAACCAUAUCUGCAGCUGCAACCAUUUCCGCAGCCGCAACUACCAUAUUCGCAGCCACAACCAUUUCGACCACAACAACCAUAUCCACAACCGCAACCACAAUAUUCGCAACCACAACAUCCAAUUUCACAGCAGCAGCAGCAGCAACAACAACAACAACAACAAGAACAACAAAUACUUCAACAAAUUUUGCAACAACAACUGAUUCCAUGCAUGGAUGUUGUAUUGCAGCAACACAACAUAGCGCAUGGAAGAUCACAAGUUUUGCAACAAAGUACUUACCAGCUGUUGCAAGAAUUGUGUUGUCAGCACCUAUGGCAGAUCCCUGAGCAGUCGCAGUGCCAGGCCAUCCACAAUGUUGUUCAUGCUAUUAUUCUGCGUCAACAACAAAAACAACAACAACAACCAUCGAGCCAGGUCUCCUUCCAACAGCCUCAGCAACAAUAUCCAUUAGGCCAGGGCUCCUUCCGGCCAUCUCAGCAAAACCCACAGGCCCAGGGCUCUGUCCAGCCUCAACAACUGCCCCAGUUCGAGGAAAUAAGGAACCUAGCGCUACAGACGCUACCUGCAAUGUGCAAUGUCUACAUCCCUCCAUAUUGCACCAUCGCGCCAUUUGGCAUCUUUGGUACUAACUAAGAAGAAAAUAACUCUAGUACUAGAUAUAUGAAACACCGUUUUCUCAGUCCAUGGUUUGGUCGUUGUAGCGGUGAAAAAAUAAAGUGACAUGCACUAUCAUGUAAGAACCCAAACUAUACUAGUUCAAACUUGGGAAUAAAAGACAAACACAGGUCUUGUCUACAUAUUUAUGCUGCAUCUAUUUAUAUAUUAAAAGUAAUAUAAGGUGAACCAGGAGCAAGGUAAAUAUGGUAGAAAAUUGCAC